UACACACAAACUCCGAUUCACACAAUCAACAAUCAAGAUUAAUCCACCGAGACAAUGUAAUCUCACGACAAUAAAGACAUCAGAUCUUCUCGAAUAAUAAUCUGCUAAAAAGAGACAAAGAACAAUAUUGUCUCGGGCAAAAAGAGAAAGAGAGGAUCGAUUAUUUGUUUAUUGAUCCACCCCUUAGAUAGAUUAGGACUGUAUGUUUUCAGCGACGGCGUCGAGUGAUCUGCAGAGGACGCACUUGCAGACAGAUUCGUCACAAAUCCCACCACAAUAGCCAUUAUCGACGCAUGUCUCGGCACAGGCCUUGGCGGCGCAGGCUGGAACUCUGGCUGCGGGGCCGUCCCAAUGCAACUCCCUGCUUGCACCAACAUCUAUGUGCAUAUACAGGAAAAAAAAUGGAGGUUUUGUCAUAAGAUAAGAGGUACUAUACGUAGUACUUACAGAAACUACAAAUUACGAUCUUUUAGAAUCAUACCGAAAGACGCAAGGAGCAGCGCCGACACCAAUACGAGGACGGUGAUCUUGAAAGCCAUGAUCGGCCAAGGAAUGGAAGUACAGAACACUAACUUUGGGCUUAAUAUCUGGUCUAGGUAGGUUGCAUGAGAAGAAGCAAUGCACGGUCUACAAGUUCAGAGUGUGGAUUUAUAGAGAAGCACAAGUGCUAUCCGUACGUAUGGAAAUAUAUCCUGGAUAUGCAAUUUAGGAAAUAUUUUGAUGUCUACCAUUUUGGUUUCUUUUUAUUGCUUACCGCAUAUAUCACGUUGUAUUUUAGAGAAGAUAGAGCUGAUAAUUCUAAUUAAUAGUAACCUUCCUCUUACUGGUAUUAAUUAAUAAAGAUUUGGGGUGGUUAAUGCUGAUGGCAUAGGGCGAUUCUAGGGAUCGGUUGCUUCCCAUCGGACUACAUUAGGCCGAAAAUACGAUUGCUUUCACCAGGAGCCUGCAAUGCUCCAGUCAAACGUGCAGUUUGUGAGACAGCUUGCGUACAGGAUUUUGCAUUAGUUAUGAUUAAUUUGUAUUCAAACAACUUCUUCCUCAAAUCAACGCAUGUCAUACACCUGCCGGUUGAGAUCUGUUGUACAUAUAGUGGAGUUUCUACACAGAUUUCAAGCGUGAGAGUCCUUACCUCCGAAAUGGAAUGGCUGUGUGAACGACCGUGUUGGAUCCAAUAUUUUAAUUUGCUUCGUCAAGUUAAUCUUUUUGUUUCGGAUUCUAAAAAAUUCUUUAUUUGUUUCCGUCAAAUUGCUUCCAUGGCAACUAAAUAAAGAUGAGUGCUUCGCUUAACUAGCAGGUAGUUCGCGGCAUGCCGCUGCGCCUCACUGGUUUGUCUGGGAAUUGUCGAACCAUUGCAGGAUUUUUAUUUAACUCAACAUAUAGAAAACUAUUGGUAAAAGCUAUAUUUCAAGGGAACCCAUGAGAAUUUGGUUUACUUGACUAUAUCAAAUCCAAAGAACUAUCAUGAAAAUCAAUAUUUUAGAGUUAACCUUUUUUUGCGGGUGAUAUUUUAGAGUUAACCUAAUGAGAACUUGCUAAAUUUCCGUGCAUUGCAACGGACUAACAAAAAAACGCACAUAGAAGCAUGGAAAUUAAUUUCCUCUCUCAAUAUAAAAAGACUCAAAAGGCAUAUCAAUUUAAUCUCGCUCAUCGAACAGUAUCGAUCCAACAACCUAGAUUGAUCCAUAAGGGCUCAACAUGUUUAGCCUGCAAUUAAUAUCAUACCAUAUAUAGUGGCAAUGCAAUCACAAAAUUGAUGCGUAAUUGAUGUCCUACCUAAUAUAAGCAUGGAAUUAAUUUGCUCUUUAGUUGAUAUUCUUUUGCCUGUCUUUUAGUAAGGCAGUCUUACAUAUAUGGUGUAAUUUCUAAAUUCUUAAUUAUAUAAUAUUUAUGUGAUUAAAUUGAAUUGGCACCUACCAAAGCAAGCACGAAAACCAAAAGAGUGUCGGACUACUCCAUUCGAUUUUUAGUGGGAGGGUGAAAAAACCAGCGUGGAGGGGUGGUAGUGGGAGGUGGAGGUGAAAAUAAACCAUGGAAACAAAAAUAAAUCAUGCAUAUCGGACUACCAAAUCCCCUAUUAGGAGUAGAGAUUUGUUGUACUCAACUGAAAAAACGACCUGCAAGAGGAAAUUUGAUGUAAGCAACAACAAAAGUAACACACGGUAACCCUAUUCGCAAAUAAAAACAUGGUAACCAAGUACAUAAUCACGAAAGUAGUUAGAAUAAAAAAUCGGAAGUCAUACAUAGAAAUAGAAUCUAAUUACAGAUACGCAUGCAUAUUCCAAUUUAUGAAGAUACAACUCAAGUUUUUUGUGCUCUAACAUAUACAGAAUAAACGUAUAGAUGAACAUAUCCUAUGAUUUUUUUUAAACGAAGGCUCAAGGAGAGCCCCGCUUUGAAUUAACAAAGCCAUCAAUCGGUCGGGAUUACAUUGAAUAAACAUAGGAAACAAUGAAAAAAAAACAGCCAAACGAUACAUGGUGUUGUGUAAAUAGCUAUCAGGCUACUACAAACUACUAGCAAAGAUAUGGAAACUAAAGCACAAGUUCAGCUAGAAGUCAAAGAAGCCAUCCACAGCGAGCAGAGCACCACGCAGGACACCAACAAAAGCUUGGGGAAGAAAACAACCAGUAGCUGGAGGAAUGUCGUUGUCAGCUCCAUGGGUUCUGGCCAUCGAUAUCGCCCUCCUCCACCUCAGAAGGAGGGCUCCCUGCCCCCUCGCCCUGGCACGAAGGGCGCCGAUCCGUCGAAUGUUGGAGACGCUCACCCGAGGGCUAAAGAGCGACCGACGCCAUUGCCAACCGGAAGACCACACUAGGACACCACCACCAAACUACAUGGAGCUCAGCCAAGGGAAGCAUCGGCAUUACAUGAUAUCUGCACAUGAGGAGAAGCAAACUACACGGCAAGGCUGCUGAAGACCAAGCAACCCCCAACCAGAACAAGCACACUUCCCACAAAGCUCACCAAAGACGGCGCCCACGGCGUCGCUACUGACCAAUCCCGAGGGAUUUGGGUUUUCACCCGGUACACAAGCAACACAGGAGGAAGAGGAGGGGGGAAGGGGCAUUUUACCAGCCCCUACAUGUAGGGGACAAGCCCAUGGACGUCGUCACCGGCAGGCCGGCAUAGCCAGCCACAGAUUUCUCCGGUCCCUUCUCCCACCCCCACCUCGAGGGGAGACACAGCUACGGUGCCCGGAGACCGCCGAAGAACGGAUCUGAGACGACGGUGACAAGAGGGUGAAAAGGAAGAUGCCUUCAGAUCUGAUGUGGGUGGCCCCGAGGCCACCGCGCACCAUAGCCAUCGCCCGUCGUCACCAUGCUGCCCGCAUGGCCGAGAUGGGCGGCCAGCACCCGCUACUGCCGUUUGCUAAGGACGACACAACACCACCGCCGAAGGUCGCCAUCUCGGCUCCAAGAUCCUCUACAGGGGCAGAGCGACCAGAUCCUCGCCGCCACCAUCCCCGGCGGCCACGUGGCGUUCCGGUGAUCCCCUCCGGCGGCGACGAGGGAGAGGAAAAGGGAGAGGGAGCCCCGACGGCGGGCUAGGGUUUGAGCCGCCCGAGUCGCCCCUGCGGGAGCGACGCGGGGGCCAAGCGGUUGUGUACGCUGAUAGAGAUGAUUUGGCCCGAUUAUUUGAAAUAGAAACUAAAAUUUGGAAAAUAUGAUGAAACUUCAAAGUUUAACUUGUACAAAGGACAAAUAUCUAACACAAAGUUCUUGUUAAUUUAUAUUGCUACUUAUUAACAUCCCUACCUGAGUAUGUGGCAGGGUAACAUGAUAUCAAAAUCAUCACUACCUGAGGAUAUCUACUGGAAAGGAAUUGAGGUUGACAUAUUUUUGGCCUGGAAGAACACUCAGAGAGCAUUCUUAUUUUGGAAUCAACAUCAGGGCAUGAAAGCCCACUUUUCUUCAUACAAUGGAAAUAAUGUCAUGUCUAUAUAUUGUGCAAAAUUGUUUAUAGAUGGAUCUAGAUCAUAUAACCUUCUAUAGUCACUAUAUCAACAAUGACAUCCUUCCCCUCUGAUAUCCUUCGUUAGGUAUUUUUUCUAAUAGUCUUGUAAUGAAAUCAGCAGCAAUCUCAACAAAUUGAAUGAGUAAUCAAACCAAGUGAACAAUUUUCGGUCAAUGCAAAAAUGAAAAAAAAAAUAGUAAGCCAACAAAAGAUAUGUUGAAUUUAUUUUAGGGUCAGCUUUCGUUUGCGGAGUCUCUCUAUUCGUUAUCUCUGGGAUCCGUUUGCACGGGGUGGAAAACUUGACCAAGAGAAGCCAGUUUUGCCUGGCAUGACCGCUCGUACGAGCGAGUGCACUAAUACCACAAGUCGUCUUAUUUUAUGGAAUUCUAAAAGCAGCACGGUUUCUUGACCAAAAAUAGGUAAUUUGCAAUAAAUGCUCCAAAUCCUCUAAUUCUAUAGAUUUUGGUGAAAUCAGACGAAAACAGACAAGCGAUUGCGGUAAAAUGCAAAAACUUGCAUGUCUACGAUGGAAAAAUACUAAGUAAAACAUGAAGCAAAAUGCAGGAAUUUCCUAUUGGACGCACAACAUACUGUCGAGGUUUGGGGGGACCGAGCGAUCGUUCGACUGGGCCGGCCCGUUUAAACUUUCAUCGUCCCCCGUUUUCAGAACCUUCUAGAGCUUCUAUGGCCCGAUCAUUACUGAAAUAAAAUCAAGAGCUUCUCUUUUGAAUUGUAAUUUUUCUUUCGAAGGUCGUGCAAUCAAUAUGGAUGCACAUAGAUUAGCUAAGUUUGCUUUAUCCUUAGUUCCGGGACGACAUGUAUGGCUUGGCCAGCCUCAUCCCCUGACUCGUAUUCCACACACGGUGGUAUUUGAUUAAUAAAGUUGGCUUUACCCCUCAAAAAAAAGAGGUUUCCAGCAGGUUUUUCUGGUUUUGAGAAACUUCUAGAAAGUUCCUGAACCUUUUUUUCCUUGUUCUUGUUUGCUGUUUUUCUUUGUUCUAUUUCCUUUUCUUUGUUUUUUCUUUUUUUGGCUCUCCAUUUGUUUUUUCUUUUGUCCUGCUUUUUUCAUAAAAUGUUUAAAAUUUGUUCACAUUUCCAAAAAUCAUCUGUAAGUUUAAUUAUUCUCAAAAUUUUAAAAAUGUUUGCAUUUUUGAAAAAAUGUUCAAAAUGCAAAAUAAAAAAAUGUUCAAAAUAUCCGAAGUUUGUUUGCCUUUCCAGCAAAUGCUAGGAUAUUUUCAAAUAAAAGACUGCAUUAUCUGUAAAAAAUGUUCGUGUUUUAUAAAAUUUGUUCAAAGAUUUCAAAAAAGUUUUUGGCUUUCAAAAUUUUGUCCACAUAUUCACAAAAUGUUUGUGCUUCCAUUUUUUUUGAAAUUGUUCUCCGUUUCAAAAUUUGUUCUCUAAUUUUAAAAGAUGUUCUUGCUUUAGAAAAUUGUCCACAAAUUUUGAAAAUGUUCAUGUCUUCAAAAAAUGUUUGUGCUUCCAUAUUUGUUCAUUAUUUCGAAAUUGUUCUCCGUUUCAAAAUUUGUUCUGAAAUUUUUAAAAAAGUGCUUGCUAUACAAAAUUGUUCACAAAUUCUGAAAAUAUUCAUGUUUUCAAAAAAUGUUUGUGCUUCCAUAUUUGUUCAGGAUUUCCCAAAUUGUUCUCAAAUUUUAAAAAUUUCUUGCUUUAGAGAACUGUUGACAAAUUCUCAUGUUCUCAAAAUAUGUUUGUGCUUCCAUAUUUGUUCAGGAUUUUUGAAAUUGUUCUUUGUUUCAAAAUUUGAUCUCAAAUUUUAAAAAAUGUUCUUGCUUUAGAAAAUUCUUCACAAAUUCUAAAAUUGUUCAUGUUUUCAAAAAACAUUUUGGAAAUUCAAAAUUUGUCCAUGAAAUCAUAAAAUUGUUUGCUAUUUUCAAAAAAAAUUGUACGGUCAAAAUUUCAUGAAAAUAUGGAAAAUCGUAAAGGAUUUUUUAAACAGUGUUAAGUCUUAUACUUUCUUUAGUUCUUAUAGUUUUCCGCUAUAUAUUUGUCAACCGAGCCGUUCUGUCGUAGUGUCUAGUAGCGUGCGCACGCGAAUCAGCAAUCCUGUGUUCGAUUCCCAUCCAUCGCGCCCUAUAUUAUUUUUGCAAUUUUUCACCUGCUAUUUUCGGCGCACUGUAAUGGGCCGGCCCAAUCGGCGCACCGUGACGACGUGCCUGUGCGAAAGGGCAGCAUUUUGACGCAGAACACGUCAUAUAGCAACUCCCCAAAAUCCACUCAUCACGUAGCAACCAAUUAGGGGGGAUGGGCUAUUAGGGGGUACACAUGGGCCGCAUUGGGCCUGCCACAUAUCACACAUAGAAGCAGCCCAUGGUACGGUAGAAGCAUGAGUAAAUUUUUUCCCUAGUUAGCCUUAUAAUAUACUAAGUAGAAUGCCCGUGCGUUGUUACGGGCUAUAACGCAUAUAUAAGUAAAUUAAAUAAAUAAAUAGGGUUAUCUUCAAGGUCGAAGUUCAUUUCUCCCUCGUACGUUCGGGCGUGUUCCAACAUUAGACGAGUGCCUAGUAGGCUCCCCAGAAUUUAAACGUCUAAAUAGUCCAGGCUCCCUAAAUCCAUAUCAUAUAUGGUGGAGAAAUAUGGAUGCCCGGACUAUUCUCCAUGUUAUCUCCAACAUGCAGACCCAACAGCAAAAACCACACUCCACGGCACACCCUUCCCUUUUUUUCCUAUCGGACCCUCCAUUUCCUACUCGAUUUUUCGUCAUACCGGGACAUUUCUCACUUGAGCCCUCACCUUUAGAACCAUAUGAUGUUCACCUCACCUUCGCCGUGCAUUGCAACAUGUAUGAAACUUUUUGUAUUUAUAAUAUAAUAGAGCGGGUAGAGCUAACAUAUACUAUUAACACAAAACAACAAAUAACUAUAGAGCUAAUUCAACUAUGCAAAUUAAGACUGACUUGUAAAGCGAGUGGCAACCUAAACAUAUUCCUCGUCUCCAAUAAGCUUCACCUCUAGCCCACACAACAUUCAUUGCUAACCUCUUCGUUCUUCUCUUCCUCGUCCUUCCCUACAUCUUUUAUUCCUAACCUCUUCGUCAAUCUUCGUUGGCGCCAACCAACACCAUGUCAACAUCAGUGUGUUCAUCAGUGACGUCUCAUCUUCUUCUUCCUCCUUCCAUGCUAGUUUUAGUUCUCGAUCCUACUAUUUUAUAGGAUACUCUUCCUUUCUUUUUUCACUUUAUUUUCUGGAACAUUCUUUUCUUAUCCAACACAAUGGAUCAUUUGGCCGCUUUAAUUCUUUUUCCUUCUUAUUCUUGGAACAUUCUUUCUUUCUACUACAAAAUGAACCACCUGACCGCUGUAGUGUCGUGAUGUCCUCGCCCGCGAAAGUUUGAGGAACCGUCGGCGUGUGGACAUACUGCAGAGCAUGGUCGUCAUGCAUCUUGGUGAACGCUUGGUGGACCAUGUCGCGAGCGCAUAUGGUGGCCGUUGUCUAUGGUGCUCGGCGACGCUGAGAGCCUGUUGACCGUCCUUGUCCGUGAGUGAUUUCAAAAUGAUUCGGCGCGAUUAACUGUCUACCUAACUCUACUAGAAGAAUGCCCGUGCGUUGCAACGGGGCCACAUUAACUUUAAGAGUUCAAUAUUACGACAUUGGCGACCUUUUUUACCAUCAAAUCCUCACACACACACUCUCUCCCCCUCUCUCUCUAACACAAACACAUAGCCUAUUCUCCCCGCCAAUAAGACUUACUCAAUUGGCAAUAAUGUGUGGACUUGUGGUGAGCUUGACUGAACUAAUGGAUAGUGUGAUAUAUUCCCCAAUCAUUUAACAAUGAAAUUUCAGAAAUGGGAAGAUUAUGUAACACCUCAAGUCGUUAGCUACAGUGACCUUCCCCUAAUGAUGCCAUGUCAUCAGGCUUGCUAAGCCAAACUGCCACUUGAUAAAAAUCAAAGCCCAAUUCAAAUUUAAAAUAAAGUGAAAUAAAUUAUUUUGUCAAACAGUAAAACCAAAAUGUUCAGCAUAUUCUAUAAAUUCUUCUAAUCUUUGACAUGUUGAGCCCAACAUUAUUUGACCAAAAAUUAAAUCUUGUCAAAUUAAUAAGAGGCCCAACAGUAGUUAAAAUAACCAAUUAAAUAUAAACCUAAUUUUAUGUAUUUCCUUUUGGACCCAAACUUUUUGUGCCACCUAAAAAUAUUGUGCUCGAAUUGUGUGCAUAGUUUCACAAUUAACAAAAUCCAUUUAGUUGAUAAAAGAAUAAAUAGAAAACGGCGUUAGAAAGGAGAAGCGGAUUAGAAUACAUUAAAAACCAAAAGGACGAUGAAAAAGGGGAUACCCCCUACCCCCGGCCUUGCCACCGAACUAGCCCAGUGAUCCAGUCCCCGCACAGUCAUCUUCUCCUGUUCCCCGAGCCCGUCGCUACAGAGCCGGGCUCCCGCCCGACCACCUCGCCGACAUCGAAGGGGAAUGGAUAAGGGUGACGCCCUGCCUCCCCUGCCCCCAUGGCCUCACUCCUCCUCGACGCCCCCUCCCAGAUCCACUUCUCCUCCUCGCUCGCUCGUUCCCGGUGAUCUGGACGAAGUCAGAUGCCAUGGCCACCAUGACCGACCCCGUCCAUACGGCCACUCCCCUCCCUGCUGGCUAGGAGCUUGUCGAGGAGCUUCGAAUGCCUCCGCUACUUCGUCUGCGCCAACGAGAUCAAGUCCAGCAUCCCCAGAUCGAUGUCAUUGUCGUCUUCCUCAACCUUCGGCCACCGCGACAUUGCCGUUCGAUCCGCGCUGCCCUGAGCUCCCCUGUCUUCCCAUAGGGUGCCAUUGACACCGCCGUGAUCUUCUCUUGCCUUUCCCCAGUUUCCCCUCUCAUUUGCUCUCGUUAGGUAUUUCGCCGUGGCCGAGAACCGCCGUCCGCCAUGGCCAUUGCAGGGGUAGCCACUGAGCUCCUCGGAUUGACCCCAUGGCACAUGCCCGCUCCUAUGCGCGCCCAUGCCCGAGCCUUCAGCUCUUAUUUCGCGCCCGCGGGGCCACUCCCUCUCUGGCUCUCCAUGCCCACGCACGUGCUACACCGCGUCCGUCGCGCCCGCCGUUGCCAUGACGCUCGCCACAGCCACCGCACCAUUGUGCCCCGCGCGACGCACAUCCUGGCCGCGCGUCACACUCUCGCUGGCUGCGCUCGCCCCAUCUGCUGCCACCUAUCCCUUCGCUCGCCCCGCUGUCGUGCCCCUGUCUCGCGCCGCCUCCUGUCGCGGCCAUCUUCUGCCGGCCGCACCCUCAGCCACGCCGGCCGCAUCUCUGCCCUCCAUCAUCGGCCGCUCGCCUCGCCUGCUGCGUGCUUCUUCCUGCUGCUAUGGCGCUGCUCUACCACCGAUACGCUGUUGCGCCAUGCCCUCGACACCGCCGUGGACAAACGUGGCGGAGGGAUUGUCAAUGGAGUACGAGGAGGAGGUGGUGGAGAAGGUGUGGAGAGGCAAGAGGUCUAGGGUGGCGCCAGCUGGCUGUGGUGGAGGUGAUUAUGCGAGAAGGAGCCGGAGCGGAAGGAGAGGUCAAAAUUAGAAAGAAUCGCAAAAAAAUCAUAACCCGGAGAUCUCAUUCCAAAAAAAUGCUAAUAUCGAUGAAGGGGUGAUUUUCUUCAAUAGGUGGAAAACAUAGGAAAUAUUGGAUGUUAUCAAGGAAAGGUAAAAAUUUAGGAAAGUUAGGAUUUUGAAUUGAUUUCUAUGCAAAUGGGGUUUUAUUGUUUGGUAACAUGCCCAUUUGUUAGGUGUCUGAUUAGAAAAGUUUGCAAAUGUUAAGAAACUAUUUAUUGAGAGGAAAGUCUGUGACGUGUCUGUUAUUUUUUCCUAAAACAAAUUUCACAAAUGAGAGAUAUCGAUUGAUUUAGAUAUGUUACGAAAGUUAGAUUGAAAUCUAUUAUUUGUUUCUUAAAUUUUUUUAUUUGUUUCCUAAGACAAAUUGAACCAAUAAAAUUAAUCGAUUGAUAUGAUUUAUUAGAUCCGUGAUUUGUUAUACGUUAGGAAAGUCCUGGUUCUAAUAAAGAGUGGAGAGAAAAAUAAACCGAUGGACCAGGAUGGGAGGGGGUGGUGGGAGGAAGACGAAAAAACCCAACAAAAAUAAACCGUGGAGACUAUUCACCAACUGCUCCACUAGGAGUAGAGAUGUAUGACUAAUUAACUGACAAUUAAAUCAAUUAAUUAUCUAGAUAAUUGGGAAAAUCCCUACUUCAAAUUUCCUGACAUUUCAAUGGUACACUUGAUUUAAGAAUAUAUCCUGGCUGGCUAUCUGUAUGACUGACAAGAAAUAUAAUAUGAUCGCGUCCACAAACAUGUACGUGGCGGCCCGAUGACCCGCCUUCCUCCCAGCCGUCCUCGACGCCAAGCUCCCGCCAUGGCAUUCUCGAGCAUUACAUCGGCGUCAGGCCCGGACACGGCGUCCCUCCGCAGGGGCGCGCAGAUGCAUAUGCCCAUAAGAAUUUUUUUAUUUUGUUAGGAAACUUGUGACUGUCAAUUAAUAAUAGAGGUAAUGUUAAUGAUAAAUGGCAUAAUGCGGUAUUAGCCAUUUGUUAAUGAGGAAUAUCUGAUUUUUUGGAAGGUUAUCGAGAAAAAUCUUUUGUCUCUAUUUUAGGCAAGUGAUCUCAGAUGUAUGGUAUGGUUUCUGAAUCCUUAUUUAUCUAUUAUUUUGGAAUCAGCACCUACCAAAGUAAGCACGAAACCGUAUCUCCCCCUUUAAUGGGAUUUGGGUUUUUAAUUGGAAAAAGAAAAAUUCAGUGACAGUGACAGGGGUGAUGAGAGGUGAAGCGUAAAAAAUGAGACAAAAAUAAACCGGUGAUGAGAAGCUACCAACUCCCCCUUUAGGAGUAUAGAUUCCUAUUUCUAAUUAUCUACAUGCUUAUUUAACUAUCAGCAUAAUUGAUUAAUUUCAUUAAUAACUCAUUAUUCAAAUUGAUUACGCGCUAAAAAAUUCCUAUUGAAAUGGACUUAACUAAUUGCAUAAAUAAUUAACAAUCUGGCAAUUAAUUACAUUAAUGGCUUGAUUAUUGUUUUGGCAUCUGGUUUCCAAACUAUUUUCACCAUUGUCCUCGAUGGGGCGGUCAAAACCUUUUGUCGUGAGUGUUUGGUUGUCCUUGAGCACAUGUUGACCUCACCUAUGAAUGUUUGGCAACUGUGAGUGUACGGACGUCUACAGAGCAUGGUUAUCAUCCAUCUUAUCGACCCUUUGGUCGCCCACAUCCAAAGCGCGUGGUGGCCAUUGUCCAUAUUCAAAAGCACUGGUCGGUGAUGUCGCUGAAAGCCCAUUAGCAGUCGGUGAGAACCUGCUGUCCAUCCUCACCAGCGAGCUUUUCAAAUUGUUGGACACGCUUGAUUGUUUGCCUAGUUAAUGAAUUACGGGAUCAAUUAACUGCAUGCCUAAUUAUCCAAAGGCCGAAUUAAUUACCUACCUAAUUAAUUAAUUGCCCGCCAAAUUGAAAUAAAAUUUUAGUUCUAAUUAUCUACAAGGCUAAUUAAAUGUAUGUGUAAUGAAUUAAUUGCAUUAAUGGCUUGGUUUUAAAAUUGAUUCCGUGUGAAAAAUCCUUAUUUAAAUGAACCAAAUUAACUUGCAUGCACAAUUAACAAUCAAGUAAUUAAUUGCAUUAAUGGUUUGAUUUGUUAAUUGAUUCGGCAGUCGGUUUACAAACUAUUUUCGCAUUAAUGACUACAUGCGAACCAAACAAACGAAGUACGGACUCGUCCAUUAAGAAUAGAGAUUUAUUUGUUUUCUCUGGCUUUUAUUUUGAUAAUACAAGAGUAAGCUAGUCCAGGGGUAGCUAUGCCGGUCUCCACGUAGAUAAUACAAGAGUAAGCUUGAUGUAGGGUAGAACCCUAGGUGAGAGAUCUUUCACGAAUUGGAGGGGAAUCCCCUAUGAACAAGAUGAACAAAAGAGGGAAAACAAGAGGAACACUCAAGAACAAGUCCAAUCACACAUCCACUAGACAAUCAAACACAUAAGAUCCACAAGGUACAUGAACAACAAAGGGAAAUAAGAUACAUGGUAGAGUUCAUCCCAAAUCCUAUGAAGGAGAUGAGGGCUUGAUGAUCUAGAUAGAUCCUUCCCACAAAGGGGGUCUUCAUCCACUAGGGAUCUUCUCCAAUGGAGGCCUUGAACUCCAAUGGAGUGUCUCUCUCUCUCUCAAGAGGAAUCCCACAAGGGGAGGUACAUGAGCUAGGCUCUAGUGUUUAGAUCUAUCCUUAGCUAAGUCUAAAUGGAGGAGAUGAAGGAGUAUAUAUAGUCCUAGGCAAAGAGAGGGGUAAGUGGGGGCGAAAUGGUAAAACAAGGGCAAAGCCCGCAAUAUCUCUCAGGGGGCCCCGUGUGCACGGGGUAAGUGGAGCCCGAGCGCACGGGGUAUCCAGGGACCGGACACAAGGGCCCGUGCGCACGGGGUCCGUUAGGCCCGUGGACACGGGGGUCCCGUGGGCACGGUACAAGCCCGUGCGCACGGGGUCUUCAGGACUGCCAGCCUGGGAGGCCCGUGGGCACGGGGUCGGAGGGGCCCGUGCGCACGGGGUCGCCUGGGAGUUGCUGCCUUCUUCUUGGCGCUUCCUUCUCCGCUUCCAGGCUUCCGUCUUGGAUGGUGUAGAUGUUCUCUUCUGCUUGGACUCCUCCGUGAUGAAUGUGUAGCUCCGCUCACACCUAAGUAUGCACACGAGAGAGGGGUGAAGUAGUAUACCAUCCUCGAAGGAUACAAGUGGACACGUGUAAAGGAGAUGGUUCACCUUUGUAUGCACGAAGUAGAUGUGGCACGUGUCACUUAUCAAAUGGACUCUUGACAUGGUGAUGUCCAUAGGAUGCUCCGCAUCAUCCCCUCCCCCUUGGGAAAGAUCCGACCUCGGAUCGAAAUCCAAAUCACCAUGGGAAAGAGAUGAUGUCGUCGUGUAGAAGUGGACGAUCACCAAGCAUUCGUCAUCUUGUAGUUCCAAAUGGGCACUCUCCGAUGUCGCACCGUCUUGUAAUUCCUUCAGAAGUAGCAAAGAUAACAAGCACUUGGAAAAACAAAUGUGGUUGUCGUAAGAGCAAAACCAAGCAUUCAAGAGGUGAUUCACCCAACAAGUGUUGUCAUCAAGCAUAGCAUAUGGUUUGACAAAGAAGUGUGUCAUGGCAUUUGAGCAUAUAAAUUGAGCACAAUCAAUUACAUCAUGGGAACAAGCAUGUAAAUGGGAGGUCAAGAUGCAAAUAUAUGUGAUAAGUGAACAAGCAUCUACCUCAAGGUCAUAGCAAGAAUGCAUAAAGUGCUCAACAAAUGGUCUAUGGUAUGCAUAUGAAUCGUUCACAACACCAAAUAUAGUGAAGUGUCUAAACACAUGGGGAAAGUGCAAGGCAAUCCAAGCAUAACGUGCAUAUGGUGUAGUGAAGAUAUCGAGGCACUCAACACAAUGGAAAGAGCAAUUGUUCAACAUGUGUGAGGCAAUCAAGUCAAGCAUGUGAUAAGCAAAGGGACAUGGCAUAUGUGAAGAACUAGAUGCAACACUCAAGGCAUAUAUGUCGUGAGGCAUAGCAAUGUGGUAAUGAGAAGUCGAAGCAAGAUCACUAGCAUGUGUGCAAAGUGUCGUGGAGCAAGCAACACAUGAAGUAUGAUCCACAAUAUGCAUGCUCAUGGUUUGGGUGAUCUCGAGAUAGAAGGAUAUCACCUCGAAAGCAUGUCCUUGUGCGUCCAUCACAAUGCCGAAGUGGUAGGAAAUGUGGUGUAGAAGCGAGUCGUGGUCGAAUGUAUGAGGCUCGCUCUCAAGAGCUCGAAUGGUCAACUCACGUGAAGUGGAAGUCGACACGAAGUCCAAGUAUCCUACACAUGCACACAACAAAACAAAGAGCGUAUGAGCAUGGUAGAUAAACACAUCAUCCAUCAUGAUGGUUCUCUUCUCUUGCACAUAACCAUUAGAAGCACAAGUAAAUGAAUAAUAUGAUGCAACAAUGGCGAUAUUCAAGGCACUAGGUAUAUGGUGCAAAGAGGUAAGACAAGCAUGCUUCACAAGGAAUAUGUCAACAUCUCCAAACAUAUGUAAGAAUGCUAUGGGGGCAAUCUUAAGAGCAACACUAUAAGCAUUGUUGCACUCAAUACAUGGCAAAUCAUCUAGCAUGAGAGAGGCAACACAUGGAGAUAUAUGACACGAAGCAAUAUGAAUCAUGUGCAAAGCAUAUAGAUGGUUGUCAUCAACCGCGUGAGAUGAGCAAGUAUGACGCAAGAGACAAUGAUCAAGAUAUAGCAUGUGAGAGGCAUGAGUAUAUAUGUCAUCAACCCAAGAAAGCAAGUAAUAGUGGAACAUGGGUGAUGCAACAUAGCAAGCAAUCAUAGCAAUCAAGUCAAGUAAGCUAGUAGUGCGAAGAUGCAACAUACUAGAAGGAAUCAUGGCAAACAUGUCAUUGGUGCAAAUAGUGGGCAUGAAUAAUUCACAUGACAUAGCACAAGCAUGAAAGCAAGAUAUGAGGACAAUAGCAUGGGGCACAUGAUAAACAUGGCAAUAGCAACAAGGAUCUCUACCAAGCAUGCAAAUACACAUAGAAGUAGCAUAAUUAUGAAACAUGGGUAGAUGCAAGCAAGGGUCACAAUUGCAUGGCAAAGGCAUAGAAGCAAGCAUAGCAUGCAAAGUGAACACGGUAAAAUGAGCAUAAGGUGACAAGUGGUAAAUGGCCCAUAGCCGUGUGAGAGCCAAGUAGAGGAGUUGCACGUAGUCCUUGCGCGAAGGGAACGGUGGUAAGGAUAGUCCAUGGGAUCCCAAGUCAUCAUUGCUCUCUAGAGCUCGUUUGAAGUGGCAUAUGCAUAGUCACUAUGAAGAGAUUGUCAUCUAUGCCAGAAGUGCAAAUUGGGUUUAUUUUAAUGGCAUAUGCAUAGUCACUAUGAAGAGAUUGCAAAUAUGACAUAUGAUGGAUCUCAUGCAUAGCAUAUGACAAGUCAAGCGGAUUAUCAAACAUGAUGUGACCAAGAGAAUUAUGACAAGACAUCCUAUGUAACAUGGCAUCACAACUAAUAGACUCCUCAUGGCAAUCAUCAUAGUCAUCAUAAAUGGGCAAAUCAUCACAUGGGAAAUUCAUACUAGCGUGAAUCAUGGUACUAAGUGGAUCAACAUCAUGCAAGCAAUCAAUCUCAAGAAUGUCCACUAGUGGGACUAGAGCAUCACCUUCACCUUUGUUACCUUUGUCAUUCCACUCAAGUGGUGUAGGUGAGGUGGGAAAGACCAAAUGGUGGUCAUCUUCAUCUUGAUGGAACCAUGUGGGGGGUGCAUCAUAUUCCACCAUGGUCAUCGUCAUGUCCAAAGGGAGGAUGAAGUCGUCGAGGAUCGGCGCGUCAUCAUAAAUGGGACGUAGCACCAAAUGAGAAGACACAAUAGAGGUAGAGGUCAAGUUGUUAGAAAUGCAAAUGGCCUCAUGAGACCUAUCAACUAUCUCACUCUCUCUAUGUGGUGGUGAAGGAAAUAUGCCCUAGAGGCAAUAAUAAAGUUAUUAUCUAUUUCCUCAUAUAAUGAUAAAUGUUUAUUAUUCAUGCUAGAAUUGUAUUAACCGGAAACAUGAUACAUGUGUGAAUACAUAGACAAAACAAUAGUCACUAGUAUGCCUCUACUUGACUAGCUCAUUAAUCAAAGAUGGUUAUGUUUCCAAACCAUAGACAUGUGUUGUCAUUUGAUUAAUGGGAUCACAUCAUUAGGAGAAUGAUGUGAUUGACAUGACCCAUUCCGUUAGACUAGCACUUGAUCAUUUAGUAUACUACUAUUGCUUUCUUCAUGACUUAUACAAAGUUCCUGCAACUAUGAGAUUGUGCAACUCCCGUAUAUCGGAAGAACACUUUGUGUGCUACCAAACGUCACAACGUAACUGGGUGAUUAUAAAGGUGCUCUACAGGUGUUUCCGAAGGUACAUGUUGGGUUGGCAUAAUUCGAGAUUAGGUUUUGUCACUCCGAUUGUCGGAGAGGUAUCUCUGGGCCCUCUCGGUAAUACUCAUCACCUAAGCCUUGCAAGCAUGUAACUAAUGAGUUAGUUAUGAGAUGAUGUAUUACGGAACGAGUAAAGAGACUUGCCGGUAACGAGAUUGAACUAGGUAUAGGAUACCGACGAUCAAAUCUCGGGCAAGUAACAUACCGAUGACAAAGGGAACAAAGUAUGUUGUUAUGCGGUUUGACCGAUAAAGAUCUUCAUAGAAUAUGUAGGAACCAAUAUGGGCAUCCAGGUCCCGCUAUUGGCUAUUGACCGAGAAUGGUUCUAGGUCAUGUCUACAUAGUUCUCGAACCCGUAGGGUCCGCACGCUUAACGUUUCAAUGAUAGUUUUAUUAUGAGUUUAUAAGUUUUGAUGUACCGAAGUUUGUUCGGAGUCCCGGAUAUGAUCAAGGACAUGACGAGGAGUCUCGGAAUGGUCGAGACAUAAAGAUUGAUAUAUUGGAAGCCUAUAUUUGGAUAUCGGAAAGGUUCCGGGUGAAAUCAGCAUUUUACCGGAGUACCGGGAGGUUACCGGAACCCCCCGGGGGUUAAUGGGCCUACAUGGGCCAAGAGGGAGAAGAGGGAAGGAGCCAGGAGGGGGCCGCGCGCCCCUCCCCCUCCUAGUCUGAAUAGGACAAGGGAAGGGGGGCGGCGCCCCCCUUUCCUUCCCCUCUUCCUCAUCUUUCCCCCCUUCUUCUACUCCUACUUGGAAAAGGGGAGUCCUACUCCCGGUGGGAGUAGGACUCCCCCCCUUGGCGCGCCCUCUAGGCCAGCCGCCUCCUCCCCCCUGGCUUCUUUAUAUACGGGGGCGGGGGGCACCCGAAAGACACAAGUUGAUCUACGGAUCGUUCCUUAGCCGUGUGCGGUGCCCCCUUCCACCAUAUUCCACCUCGGUCAUAUCGUCGCGGAGUUUAGGCGAAGCCCUGCGCCGGUAGAACAUCAUCAUCGUCACCACGCCGUCGUGCCGACGGAACUCAUCUCCGGAGCUCGGCUGGAUCGGAGGUCGGAGAUUGUCAUCGAGCUGAACGUGUGCUGAACUCGGAGGCUCCGUACGUUCGGUGCUUGGAUCGGUCGGAUCGUGAAGACGUACGACUACAUCAACCGCGUUGUGCUAACGCUUCCGCUUAUGGUCUACAAGGGUACGUGGACGAAUACUCUCCCCUCUCGUUGCUAUGCCAUCACCAUGAUCUUGCAUGUGCGUAGGAAUUUUUUUGAAAUUACUACGUUCCCCAACAGUGGCAUCCGAGCCUAGGUUUUAUGCGUUGAUGUUAUAUGCACGAGUAGAACACAAGUGAGUUGUGGGCGAUACAAGUCAUACUGCUUACCAGCAUGUCAUACUUUGGUUCGGCGGUAUUGUGAGAUGAAGCGGCCUGGACCGACAUUACGCGUACGCUUACGCGAGACUGGUUUCACCAUUACAAGCACUCGUGCUUAAAGGUGGCUGGCGGGUGUCUGUCUCUCUCACUUUAGCUGAAUCGAGUGUGGCUACGCCCGGUCCUUGCGAAGGUUAAAACAGCACCAACUUGACGAACUAUCGUUGUGGUUUUUGAUGCGUAGGUAAGAACGGUUCUUGCUAAGCCCGUAGCAGCCACGUAAAAUUUGCAACAACAAAGUAGAGGACGUCUAACUUGUUUUUGCAGGGUAUGUUGUGAUGUGAUAUGGUCAAGACGUGAUGCUAUAUUUUAUUGUAUGAGAUGAUCAUGUUUUGUAACCGAAGUUAUCGGCAAUUGGCAGGAGCCAUAUGGUUGUUGCUUUAUUGUAUGAAAUGCAAACACCCUGUAAUUUCUUUACUUUAUCACUAAGCGGUAGCGAUAGUCGUAGAAGCAAUAGAUGGCGUAAACGACAAUGAUGCUACGAUGGAGAUCAAGGUGUCGCGCCGGUGACGAUGGUGAUCACGACGGUGCUUCGGAGAUGGAGAUCACAAGCACAAGAUGAUGAUGGCCAUAUCAUAUCACUUAUAUUGAUUGCAUGUGAUGUUUAUCCUUUAUGCAUCUUAUCUUGCUUUGAUUGAUGGUAGCAUUUUAAGAUGAUCUCUCACUAAAAUUAUCAAGAAGUGUUCUCCCUGAGUAUGCACCGUUGCGAAAGUUCGUCGUGCCGAGACACCACGUGAUGAUCGGGUGUGAUAAGCUCUACGUCCAUCUACAACGGGUGCAAGCCAGUUUUGCACACGCAGAAUACUCAGGUUAAACUUGACGAGCCUAGCAUAUGCAGAUAUGGCCUCGGAACACGGAGACCGAAAGGUCGAGCGUGAAUCAUAUAGUAGAUAUGAUCAACAUAGUGAUGUUCACCAUUGAAAACUACUGCAUCUCACGUGAUGAUCGGUUAUGGUUUAGUUGAUUUGGAUCACGUGAUCACUUAGAUGACUAGAGAUGUCUGUCUAAGUGGGAGUUCUUAAGUAAUAUGAUUAAUUGAACUUAAAUUUAUCAUGAACUUAGUACCUGAUAGUAUCUUGCUUGUCUAUGUUUGUUUGUAGAUAGAUGGCUCGUGCUGUUGUUCCGUUGAAUUUUAAUGCGUUCCUUGAGAAAGCAAAGUUGAAAGAUGAUGGUAGCAAUUACACGGACUGGGUCCGUAACCUGAGGAUUAUCCUCAUUGCUGCACAGAAAAGUUACGUCCUGGAAGCACCGCUGGGUGCCAGGCCUGCUGCUGAUGCAACUGACGAUGUUAAGAACGUCUAGCAGAGCAAAGCUGAUGACUACUCUAUAGUUCAGUGUUGCAUGCUAUACGGCUUAGAACCGGGUCUUCAACGACGUUUUGAACGUCAUGGAGCAUAUGAGAUGUUCCAAGAGUUGAAGUUAAUAUUUCAAGCAAAUGCCCAGAUGAAGUCUCCAAUAAGUUCCAUAGCUGCAAGAUGGAGGAGAAUAGUUCUGUCAGUGAACACAUACUCAGAAUGUCUGGGUAUAAUAAUCACUUGAUUCAACUGGGAGUUAAUCUUCCUGAUGAUAGUGUCAUUGACAGAAUUCUCCAAUCACUGCCACCAAGCUACAAGAGCUUUGUGAUGAACUAUAAUAUGCAAGGGAUGAACAAGACUAUUCCCGAGCUCUUCGCAAUGCUAAAAGCCGCGGAGGUAGAAAUCAAGAAGGAGCAUCAAGUGUUGAUGGUCAACAAGACCACUAGUUUCAAGAAAAAGGGCAAAGGGAAGAAGAAGGGGAACUUCAAAAAGAACGGCAAGCAAGUUGCUGCUCAAGAGAAGAAACCCAAGUCUGGACCUAAGCCUGAAAGUGAGUGCUUCUACUGCAAGCAGACUGGUCACUGGAAGCGGAACUGCCCCAAGUAUUUGGCGGAUAAGAAGGAUGGCAAAGUGAACAAAGGUAUAUGUGAUAUACAUGUUAUUGAUGUGUACCUAACUAGAGCUCGUAGUAGCACCUGGGUAUUUGAUACUGGUUCUGUUGCUAAUAUUUGCAACUCGAAACAGGGACUACGGAAUAAGCGAGCACUGGCCAAGGAUGAGGUGACGAUGCGCGUGGGAAACGGUUCCAAAGUCGAUGUAAUCGCGGUCGGCACGCUACCUUUACAUCUACCUUCGGGAUUAGUUUUAGACCUGAAUAAUUGUUAUUUGGUGCCAGCGUUGAGCAUGAACAUUAUAUCUGGAUCUUGUUUAAUGCGAGACGGUUAUUCAUUUAAAUCAGAGAAUAAUGGUUGUUCUAUUUAUAUGAGUAAUAUCUUUUAUGGUCAUGCACCCUUGAAGAAUGGUCUAUUUUUAUUGAAUCUCGAUAGUAGUGAUACACAUAUUCAUAAUGUUGAAACCAAAAGAUGCAGAGUUGUUAAUGAUAGUGCAACUUAUUUGUGACACUGCCGUUUAGGUCAUAUCGGUGUAAAACGCAUGAAGAAACUCCAUACAGAUGGACUUCUGGAAUCACUUGAUUAUGAAUCACUUGGUACUUGCGAACCGUGCCUCAUGGGCAAGAUGACUAAAACACCGUUCUCCGGAACUAUGGAGAGAGCAACAGAUUUGUUGGAAAUCAUACAUACAGAUGUAUGUGGUCCGAUGAAUAUUGAGGCUCGUGGAGGAUAUCGUUAUUUUCUCACCUUCUCAGAUGAUUUGAGCAGAUAUGGGUAUAUCUACUUAAUGAAGCACAAGUCUGAAACAUUUGAAAAGUUCAAAGAAUUUCAGAAUGAAGUGGAGAAUCAUCGUAACAAGAAAAUAAAGUUUCUAUGAUGUGAUCGUGGAGGAGAAUAUUUGAGUUACGAGUUUGGUUUACAUUUGAAACAAUGGGGAAUAGUUUCGCAACUCACACCACCCGGAACACCACAACGAAAUGGUGUGUCCGAACGUCGUAAUCGUACUUUACUUGAUAUUGUGCGAUCUAUGAUGUCUCUUACCGAUUUACCGCUAUCGUUUUGGGGUUAUGCUUUAGAGACGGCCGCAUUCACGUUAAAUAGGGCACCAUCAAAAUCCGUUGAGAUGACGCCUUAUGAACUAUGGUUUGGCAAGAAACCAAAGUUGUCGUUUCUUAAAGUUUGGGGCUGCGAUGCUUAUGUGAAGAAACUUCAACCAGAUAAGCUCGAACCCAAAUCGGAGAAAUGUGUCUUCAUAGGAUAUCCAAAAGAGACUGUUGGAUACACCUUCUAUCACAGAUCCGAAGGCAAUACAUUCGUUGCUAAGAAUGGAUCCUUUCUAGAGAAGGAGUUUCUCUCGAAAGAAGUAAGUGGGAGGAAAGUAGAACUUGAUGAGAUAACUGUAUCUACUCCCUUAUUGGAAAGUAGUUCAUCAUGAGAACCGGUUCCUGUGACGACUACACCAAUUAGUGAGGAAGCUAAUGAUAUUGAUCAUGAAACUUCAGAUCAAGUUUCUACUGAACCCCGUAGGUCUACCAGAGUAAUAUCCGCACCAGAGUGGUACGGUAAUCCUAUUCUGGAAGUCAUGUUACUUGACCAUGAUGAACCUACGAACUAUGAGGAAGCGAUGAUGAGCCCAGAUUCCGCAAAAUGGCUAGAGGCCAUGAAAUCUGAGAUGGGAUCCAUGUAUGAAAACAAAGUAUGGACUUUGGUUGACUUGCCCGAUGAUCGGCAAGCCAUUGAGAAUAAAUGGAUCUUUAAGAAGAAGACUGACGCUGAUGGUAAUGUAACUGUCUAUAAAGCUCGACUUGUUGCGAAAGGUUUUCGACAAGUUCAAGGGAUUGACUACGAUGAGACUUUCUCACCCGUAGCGAUGCUUAAGUCUGUCCGAAUCAUGUUAGCUAUUGCUGCAUUUCAUGAUUAUGAAAUUUGGCAAAUGGAUGUCAAGACUGCAUUCUUGAAUGGAUUUCUAGAAGAAGAGUUGUAUAUGAUGCAGCCGGAAGGUUUUGUUGAUCCAAAAGGUGCUAACAAAGUAUGCAAGCUCCAGCGUUCCAUUUAUGGACUGGUGCAAGCAUCUCGGAGUUGGAAUAAAUGCUUUGAUAGUGUGAUCAAAGCAUAUGGUUUUAUACAGACUUUUGGAGAAGCCUGUAUUUACAAGAAAGUGAGUGGGAGCUCUGUAGCAUUUCUAGUUUUAUAUGUAGAUGACAUAUUAUUAAUUGGAAAUGAUAUAGAAUUUCUGGAUAGCAUAAAGGGAUACUUGAAUAAAAGUUUUUCAAUGAAAGACCUCGGUGAAGCUGCUUACAUAUUGGGCAUCAAGAUCUAUAGAGAUAGAUCAAGACGCUUAAUAGGACUUUCACAAAGCACAUACCUUGACAAAAUUUUGAAAAAGUUCAAAAUGGAUCAGGCAAAGAAAGGAUUCUUGCAUGUGCUACAAGGUGUGAAGUUGAGUCAAACUCAAUGCCCGACCACAGCAGAAGAUAGAGAGAAAAUGAAAAAUGUUCGCUAUGCUUCAGCCAUCGGCUCUAUCAUGUAUGCAAUGCUGUGUACCAGACCUGACGUAUGCUUAGCAAUAAGCUUGACAGGAAGGUACCAAAGUAAUCCAGGAGUGGAUCACUGGACAGCGGUCAAGAACAUCCUGAAAUACCUGAAAAGGACUAAGGAUAUGUUUCUCGUAUAUGGAGGUGACAAAGAGCUAGUCAUAAAUGGUUACGUUGAUGCAAGCUUUGACACUGAUCCGGACGAUUCUAAAUCGCAAACCGGAUACGUGUUUUUAUUAAACGGUGGAGCUGUAAGUUGGUGCAGUUCUAAACAAAGCGUCGUGGCGGGAUCUACAUGUGAAGCGGAGUACAUAGCUGCUUCUGAAGCAGCGAAUGAAGGAGUCUGGAUGAAGGAGUUCAUUUCCUAUCUAGGUGUCAUACCUAGUGCAACGGGACCAAUGAAGAUCUUCUGUGACAAUACUGGUGCAAUUGCUUUGGCAAAGGAAUCCAGAUUUCACAAGAGGACCAAACACAUCAAUGGACGCUUCAAUUCCAUUCGGGAUCAAGUCCAAGUGGGAGACAUAGAGAUUUGCAAGAUACAUACGGAUCUGAAUGUUGCAGACCCAUUGACUAAGCCUCUCUCACGAGCAAAACAUGAUCAGCACCAAGACUCCAUGGGUGUUAGAAUCAUUACUAUGUAAUCUAGAUUAUUGACUCUAGUGCAAGUGGGAGACUGAAGGAAAUAUGCCCUAGAGGCAAUAAUAAAGUUAUUAUUUAUUUCCUCAUAUCAUGAUAAAUGUUUUAUUAUUCAUGCUAGAAUUGUAUUAACCGGAAACAUGAUACACGUGUGAAUACAUAGACAAAACAAUAGUCACUAGUAUGCCUCUACUUGACUAGCUCAUUAAUCAAAGAUGGUUAUGUUUCCAAACCAUAGACAUGUGUUGUCAUUUGAUUAAUGGGAUCACAUCAUUAGGAGAAUGAUGUGAUUGACAUGACCCAUUACGUUAGCCUAGCACUUGAUCGUUUAGUAUACUGCUAGUGCUUUCUUCAUGACUUAUACAAAGUUCCUGCAACUAUGAGAUUGUGCAACUCCCGUAUACCAGAAGAACACUUUGUGUGCUACCAAACGUCACAACAUAACUGGGUGAUUAUAAAGGUGCUCUACAGGUGUUUCCGAAGGUACAUGUUGGGUUGGCAUAAUUCGAGAUUAGGUUUUGUCACUCCGAUUGUCGGAGAGGUAUCUCUGGGCCCUCUCGGUAAUACUCAUCACCUAAGCCUUGCAAGCAUGUAACUAAUGAGUUAGUUAUGAGAUGAUGUAUUACGGAACGAGUAAAGAGACUUGCCGGUAACGAGAUUGAACUAGGUAUAGGAUACCGACGAUCAAAUCCCGGGCAAGUAACAUACCAAUGACAAAGGGAACAAAGUAUGUUGUUAUGCGGUUUGACCGAUAAAGCUCUUCGUAGAAUAUGUAGGAACCAAUAUGGGCAUCCAGGUCCCGCUAUUGGUUAUUGACCGAGAAUGGUUCUAGGUCAUGUCUACAUAGUUCUCGAACCCGUAGGGUCCGCACGCUUAACGUUUUGAUGACAGUUUUAUUAUGAGUUUAUAAGUUUUGAUGUACCGAAGUUUGUUCGGAGUCCCGGAUAUGAUCACGGACAUGACGAGGAGUCUCGGAAUGGUCGAGACAUAAAGAUUGAUAUAUUGGAAGCCUAUAUUUGGAUAUCGGCAAGGUUCCGGGUGAAAUCGGCAUUUUACCGGAGUACCGGGAGGUUACCGGAACCCCUCCCGGUGGUUAAUGGGCCUACAUGGGCCAAGAGGGAGAAGAGGGAUGGAGCCAGGAGGGGGCCGCGCGCCCCUCCCCCUCCUAGUCCGAAUAGGACAAGGGAAGGGGGCCGGCGCCCCCCCUUUCCUUCCCCUCUUCCUCCUCUUUCCCCCCUUCUCCUACUCCUACUUGGAAAAGGGGAGUCCUAUUCCCGGUGGGAGUAGGACUCCCCCCCUUGGCGCGCCCUCUAGGCUGGCCGCCUCCUCCCCCUGGCUCCUUUAUAUACGGGGGCGGGGGGCACCCCAAAGACACAAGUUGAUCUACGGAUCGUUCCUUAGCCAUGUGCGGUGCCCCCUUCCACCAUAUUCCACCUCGGUCAUAUCGUCGUGCAGUUUAGGCGAAGCCCUGCACCGGUAGAACAUCAUCAUCAUCACCACGCCGUCGUGCUGACGGAACUCAUCUCCGGAGCUCGGCUGGAUCGGAGGCCGGAGAUCAUCAUCGAGCUGAACGUGUGCUGAACUUGGAGGCUCCGUACGUUCGGUGCUUCGAUCGGUCGGGUCGUGAAGAUGUACGACUACAUCAACCGCGUUGUGCUAACGCUUCCUCUUACGUUCUACGAGGGUACGUGGACGAAUACUCUCCCCUCUCGUUGCUAUGCCAUCACCAUGAUCUUGCGUGUGCGUAGGAAAUUUUUUGAAAUUACUACGUUCCCCAACAGGUGGUUCACUCACUCCCUCAAAGUAGGUGCACUCAAAGUCACAUAUGGUGGAGUCACUCAUCUCACUCAAGUGGUGGGGGUUGUGGAUCUCCUCACAUGGAAAGUGUGGCAACUCAUUAUAUAUGGGGCUAGUGGUGAAGUCACUCUCACUCUCAAUAUGGUGGCAAAAGUCACUCAAGUCAUCAUACAUCGCCGUGGUCGAAGGGAAGAUCCCAUGCUCAACCAUCUCGUCGUGGUCGCCGUGGAUGAAGGCCGAAGAUGGCACAUCAUCACUCUCGUCGUGGAUGAAGGCCGAAGAUGGCUCAACAUCACUCUCGUCAUGGAUGAAGGCCGAAGAUGGCACAUCAUCACUCUCGCCUCCUAAGAUGGAAGCAUCAUCCUUGCUCGCCACCUUGUUGUUCGCCUCCAAAGCUUGGUCCUUGAAGGUCUCCGUAGUCGUACUCGUCGCUGCACCAUCGUGAAAAAGAUUCGAAGUAUACUCGGCAUCAUCAAUGCCACAAAGAGGGAUGGCGGUGAAGUCGCACUUGGGAGCAUCGUCUUGGAGCUUGUCGGCCUUGGACAUCGUGGUGGUACUAGCCUCAUGCUUGUCGUAGAUCUUGGUCGCCGCGAAGUGUGCUUGGGGUGGAGAAGCCUUGGCCUUCAUGAGUUCUUGUUCCGCCUUGAGAGCACCAAUGUAGUAGUCGUCGAUGGACUUGUAGUUCUCGAUGAAGAUGGUCUUGGAGAUGUCGUUGUGCAAUCCCAUCAUGAAGUGGAACUUCAUUGAUAUGGGGUCGUCCACGCCGGCUCGUCGCAAUGCAAUCGUCAUCUCCUUGAAGUACUUGUCGAUGGACUUGGAUCCUUGGGUGGUGUUCUCCAAUUGGCGUCGAAGUUGUUCCGUGUAGGUUGGAGGCACAAACUCUCGCCGUAAAGCUCUCUUCGUCUUGGGCCAACUCAUCUCGUAGCUCUCCGAAGGUGUGUGAAGCCACCAUGUCGAGGCGUAGUCGUGGAAGUUUCUUGUGGCGCACUUCACUUGAUCUUCGGGACGAACUUGAUGUAGCUUGAGGUAGUCGUCCAUCAAACGUUCCCACUCGAGGUACUCCUCGGGUUCUUGAGUCCCAUAGAAAGGAAUCUUGUGGUCGGUGUCGAGGUCGUAGUAGCUCGUGGAAGUCGCGGACUUGAGCUUGGGUAGCUUCUCUUGAGUGUAGUCUUGAGGUGCUUGUUGGCAAAGAUGCCCAAUAUCCGAAGGCGAAGAUGCCUUGUAGUCACUUGGCGAAGAUGCCAUCGGUGUUCAAGAAGCUGAAGUCUUGAGGUCGAUGUCGCGGCUCUAUAUAGCCCGUGUGCACGAGGGUACAGGAGGCCGUGUGCACGGGGUCCCGUGUGCACGGGGGUCGAAGGCCCGUGUGCACGGGGUUGGCAGAGAAGCCAACUCUCGUCCAGAAGCUCUCUCUUCAUGGUCAUGUCGAUGCCGAUGCUUGUGUGUACUUGCCGGAGAUGGUAGCACGGAAAUCUUUGCACUUGAGCGUCUUCUCGAAGAUGAGGAAGACCGCUUGCGGUUCUUGAUGAGGGCCUUGAUCUCCUCCAUGCGCUUUUCCAUCUUGGCGUCGGAGUUGUUGUUCAUGGCAUCGAACUCGUUGUUGUUGUAGACCGAAGGUGAAAUGCCUUGCCUAUCCAUCACAAGACUCGAGUAUAGGUGAGUAGGAAAUGAGAUAAACAAUACCAAGUUACCUUUUCCCAAAGUUGAGGAUGUAUCUUGUAUCACUCAAUGUGAAUUGAAAGAAUAGUGGAAUUGGUACCGGACUUGUUCACUCACACCUACAAGUAAAGGCUUAUGGUAGAGCUCGGUGAGGAUAGUGGCACAAAAAUUUGAUGCAAAAUGUUAGCAAGAGUCAAUAAUGUUGAAAAAGAUUCACAAAUUCGCAAGUGAAACAAGUAGACCAAUAGCAAAUGGUACACGGAAACACACACACGGAUAGAUAAAUGGGGUCGUGCAACCAAGGAAUGAGCACAAAAUGUGGAGUCCACGGAAAACGCUCGUGUUGCACAACUCAAGAGAGAUGCUAGCACGAUUGCUCAAUAGGCGGAUACGACACUUGUGCACAACCUAUAAGAUGCAAAAUGGAUAAACUUCUUUCCCAAGUAAGCUAUGUAUGUAUGGUUCCCGGUGUUUCUCUCAAGCAUGAUACCAUAUGAUGUAGAUUUUGGUAUGGCUCUUUUUGUGCAAUGGGGUAUGAUGCUAUGGCACUUGCUCACGAGCUCUUUGCUCUCUUUUUGCUUAAAAGCUUCUUCUCUUUUUUUUUCAAUGGCCACUUUUGCACAAUGCACAAACCAAGAUAGUUAUUGUGUAUAUGUGGGAACGAUAUUGUGACACAAAGGAUGAUAUGAUACCAAUAUGAUAUGGGAUGUAUGCAAUGGAAUGGUGGAUCACUAAUGUGCACAAGUAACGUUGCCGGCAAUACUCAAAUGGCUAGUCUCGAUAGGCAAGUAACGCAAAAUGGGUUAGGGGUUAACAAUGCAAUUGCAAGGGUAAUAUACAAUGGUGUCGUCGAGGUUACCAUCCUUUGCGAUGAUGAGUGGCGGUGUUCUUGAUGUAGAUACCAAGAUGAUGUAGACCCGUCCCUAAGUAGCCAAAACACCUUAGGAAACGGUAAAAACCGCAAACUCAAAAUCUCAAAUGACAAAUGUCAAAUGGUGGAAGUGGGAAUGGCAAUGUGGAAGUGGUGGUGGUUUGUGAAGAAGCAAAUGUCCCUAAGUAGCCGAAACACCUUAGGAGACUCAUGUCGCCACUCAAACAACCACAAAUGCUAAGGGGAUCAAGAUGGGUUAGGUUGCGAAAGUCUAUGGUUGUUUUGCGGAUGAUAUGGUGGAGGGCCUAGGCAAAGAUGCCAAAAUGUCAAAAUUUUGAUGGAGUAAAAUGGAGAUGGAACCUAUCUAGGUGGAUGGGGGAUGUCAAUAACUACUCAACGAGCUAAAGAACGCGAAAAUCGGACUCCGGAUGUGGAAGUUACGGGCAAAACUGUGAACUGCUUGCUGCUGGCCUGGGGGGCCGUUCGCACGGGGUCCAGGGCCCGUGGGCACGGGGUCCCGUGCGCACGGUACACGUAUCGAGGACACGGGGUCACCAGAGACUUCGCGGGGGCCCGUGGGCACGGGGUGGGGAGCCCGUGGGCACGGGGUAGGCGGAAAUUUUGCGAUUUUCUUGUCAAAUUCGAAAGGGGAAAGAAAAAUUGGGGUAUGGGGACACAAGAGGGGGUAGAUCUACUUGCAAUACAUCAAAUCCAUGGAUCAAAUCCAACAAAAUCAAUCUAAACCAACAAAUCACAAAAAAUUUUGGGGCUAUUUUUGGUGGGGAAUUUUCGGAUUUAGGACGAAAUCACACAAAACAAGGCUAGAAAACACGGGGCAGGGGCUCCAAAAACGUGAUCAACGUGGCUCAUGAUACCAUAUGAUGUUGGGUAGAACCCUAGGUGAGAGAUCUUUCACGAAUUGGAGGGGAAUCCCCUAUGAACAAGAUGAACAAAAGAGGGAAAACAAGAGGAACACUCAAGAACAAGUCCAAUCACACAUCCACUAGACAAUCAAACACAUAAGAUCCACAAGGUACAUGAACAACAAAGGGAAAUAAGAUACAUGGUAGAGUUCAUCCCAAAUCCUAUGAAGGAGAUGAGGGCUUGAUGAUCUAGAUAGAUCCUUCCCACAAAGGGGGUCUUCAUCCACUAGGGAUCUUCUCCAAUGGAGGCCUUGAACUCCAAUGGAGUGUCUCUCUCUCUCAAGAGGAAUCCCACAAGGGGAGGUACAUGAGCUAGGCUCUAGUGUUUAGAUCUAUCCUUAGCUAAGUCUAAAUGGAGGAGAUGAAGGAGUAUAUAUAGUCCUAGGCAAAGAGAGGGGUAAGUGGGGGCGAAAUGGUAAAACAAGGGCAAAGCCCGCAACAUCUCUCAGGGGGCCCCGUGUGCACGGGGUAAGUGGAGCCCGUGCGCACGGGGUAUCCAGGGACCGGACGCAAGGGCCCGUGCGCACGGGGUCCGUUAGGCCCGUGGACACGGGGGUCCCAUGGGCACGGUACACGACCGUGCGCACGGGGUCUUCAGGACCGCCAGCCUGGGAGGCCCGUGGGCAUGGGGUCAGAGGGGCCCGUGCGCACGGGGUCGCCUGGGAGUUGCUGCCUUCUUCUUGGCGCUUCCUUCUCCGCUUCCAGGCUUCCGUCUUGGAUGGUGUAGAUGUUCUCUUCCGCUUGGACUCCUCCGUGAUGAAUGUGUAGCUCCGCUCACACCUAAGUAUGCACACGAGAGAGGGGUCAAGUAGUAUACCAUCCUCGAAGGGUACAAGUGGACACGUGUAAAGGAGAUGGUUCACCUUUGUAUGCAUGAAGUAGAUGUGGCACGUGUCACUUGUCAAAUGGUCUCUUGACAUGGUGAUGUCCAUAGGAUGCUCCGCAUCAUCCCCUCCCCCUUGGGAAAGAUCCGACCUCGGAUCGAAAUCCAAAUCACCAUGGGAAAGAGAUGAUGUCGUCGUGUAGAAGUGGACGAUCACCAAGCAUUCGUCAUCUUGUAGUUCCAAAUGGGCACUCUCCGAUGUCGCACCGUCUUGUAAUUCCUUCAGAAGUAGCAAAGAUAACAAGCACUUGGAAAAACAAAUGUGGUUGUCGUAAGAGCAAAACCAAGCAUUCAAGAGGUGAUUCACCCAACAAGUGUUGUCAUCAAGCAUAGCAUAUGGUUUGACAAAGAAGUGUGUCAUGGCAUUUGAGCAUAUAAAUUGAGCACAAUCAAUUACAUCAUGGGAACAAGCAUGUAAAUGGGAGGUCAAGAUGCAAAUAUAUGUGAUAAGUGAACAAGCAUCAACCUCAAGGUCAUAGCAAGAAUGCAUAAAGUGCUCAACAAAUGGUCUAUGGUAUGCAUAUGAAUCGUUCACAACACCAAAUAUAGUGAAAUGUCUAAACACAUGGGGAAAGUGCAAGGCAAUCCAAGCAUAACGUGCAUAUGGUGUAGUGAAGAUAUCGUGGCACUCAACACAAUGGAAAGAGCAAUUGUUCAACAUGUGUGAGGCAAUCAAGUCAAGCAUGUGAUAAGCAAAGGGACAUGGCAUAUGUGAAGAACUAGAUGCAACACUCAAGGCAUAUAUGUCAUGAGGCAUAGCAAUGUGGUAAUGAGAAGUCGAAGCAAGAUCACUAGCAUGUGUGCAAAGUGUCGUGGAGCAAGAAACACAUGAAGUAUGAUCCACAAUAUGCAUGCUCAUGGUUUGGGUGAUCUUGAGAUAGAAGGAUAUCACCUCGAAAGCAUGUCCUUGUGCGUCCUUCACAAUGCCGAAGUGGUAGGAAAUAUGGUGUAGAAGCGAGUCGUGGUCGAAUGUAUGAGGCUCGCUCUCAAGAGCUCGAAUGGUCAACUCACGUGAAGUGGAAGUCGACACGAAGUCCAAGUAUCCUACACAUGCACACAACAAAACAAAGAGCGUAUGCGCAUGGUAGAUAAACACAUCAUCCAUCAUGAUGGUUCUCUUCUCUUGCACAUAACGAUUAGAAGCACAAGUGCAUGAAUAAUAUGAUGCAACAAUGGCGAUAUUCAAGGCACUAGGUAUAUGGUGCAAAGAGGUAAGACAAGCAUGCUUCACAAGGAAUAUGUCAACAUCUCCAAACAUAUGUAAGAAUGCUAUGGGGGCAAUCUUAAGAGCAAGACUAUAAGCAUUGUUGCACUCAAUACAUGGCAAAUCAUCUAGCAUGAGAGAGGCAACACAUGGAGAUAUAUGACACGAAGCAAUAUGAAUCAUGUGCAAAGCAUAUAGAUGGUUGUCAUCAACCGCGUGAGAUGAGCAAGUAUGACGCAAGAGACAAUGAUCAAGAUAUAGCAUGUGAGAGGCAUGAGCAUAUAUGUCAUCAACCCAAGAAAGCAAGUAAUAGUGGAACAUGGGUGAUGCAACAUAGCAAGCAAUCAUAGCAAUCAAGUCAAGUAAGCUAGUAGUGCGAAGAUGCAACAUACUAGAAGGAAUCAUGGCAAACAUGUCAUUGGUGCAAAUAGUGGGCAUGAAUAAUUCACAUGACAUAGCACAAGCAUGAAAGCAAGAUAUGAGGACAAUAGCAUGGGGCACAUGAUAAACAUGGCAAUAGCAACAAGGAUCUCUACCAAGCAUGCAAAUACACAUAGAAGUAGCAUAAUUAUGAAACAUGGGUAGAUGCAAGCAAGGGUCACAAUUGCAUGGCAAAGGCAUAGAAGCAAGCAUAGCAUGCAAAGUGAACACGGUAAAAUGAGCAUAAGGUGACAAGUGGUAAAUGGCCCAUAGUCGUGUGAGAGCCAAGUACAGGAGUUGCGCGUAGUCCUUGCGCGAAGGGAACGGUGGUAAGGAUAGUCCAUGGGAUCCCAAGUCAUCAUUGCUCUCUAGAGCUCGUUUGAAGUGGCAUAUGCAUAGUCACUAUGAAGAGAUUGUCAUCUAUGCCAGAAGUGCAAAUUGGGUUUAUUUUAAUGGCAUAUGCAUAGUCACUAUGAAGAGAUUGCAAAUAUGACAUAUGAUGGAUCUCAUGCAUAGCAUAUGACAAGUCAAGCGGAUUAUCAAACAUGGUGAGACCAAGAGAAUUAUCACAAGACAUCCUAUGUAACAUGGCAUCACAACUAAUAGACUCCUCAUGGCAAUAAUCAUACUCAUCAUAAAUGGGCAAAUCAUCACAUGGGAAAAUCAUACUAGCGUGAAUCAUGGUACUAAGUGGAUCAACAUCAUGCAAGCAAUCAAUCUCAAGAAUGUCCGCUAGUGGGACUAGAGCAUCACCUUCACCUUUGUUACCUUUGUCAUUCCACUCAAGUGGUGUAGGUGAGGUGGGAAAGACCAAAUGGUGGUCAUCUUCAUCUUGAUGGAACCAUGUGGGGGGUGCAUCAUAUUCCACCAUGGUCAUCGUCAUGUCCAAAGGGAGGACGAAGUCGUCGAGGAUCGGCGCGUCAUCAUAAAUGGGACCUAGCACCAAAUGAGAAGACACAAUAGAGGUAGAGGUCAAGUUGUUAGAAAUGCAAAUGGCCUCAUGAGACCUAUCAACUAUCUCACUCUCUCUAUGUGGUGGUGAAGGAAAUAUGGCCUAGAGGCAAUAAUAAAGUUAUUAUUUAUUUCCUCAUAUCAUGAUAAAUGUUUAUUAUUCAUGCUAGAAUUGUAUUAACCGGAAACAUGGUAAAUGUGUGAAUACAUAGACAAAACAAUAGUCACUAGUAUGCCUCUACUUGACUAGCUCAUUAAUCAAAGAUGGUUAUGUUUCCAAACCAUAGACAUGUGUUGUCAUUUGAUUAAUGGGAUCACAUCAUUAGGAGAAUGAUGUGAUUGAGAUGACCCAUUCCGUUAGCCUAGCACUUGCUCAUUUAGUAUACUGCUAUUGCUUUCUUCAUGACUUAUACAAAGUUCCUGCAACUAUGAGAUUGUGCAACUCCCGUAUACCGGAAGAACACUUUGUGUGCUACCAAACGUCACAACGUAACUGGGUGAUUAUAAAGGUGCUCUACAGGUGUUUCCGAAGGUACAUGUUGGGUUGGCAUAAUUCGAGAUUAGGUUUUGUCACUCCGAUUGUCGGAGAGGUAUCUCUGGGCCCUCUCGGUAAUACUCAUCACCUAAGCCUUGCAAGCAUGUAACUAAUGAGUUAGUUAUGAGAUGAUGUAUUACGGAACGAGUAAAGAGACUUGCCGGUAACGAGAUUGAACUAGGUAUAGGAUACCGACGAUCAAAUCCCGGGCAAGUAACAUACCGAUGACAAAGGGAACAAAGUAUGUUGUUAUGCGGUUUGACCGAUAAAGAUCUUCGUAGAAUAUGUAGGAACCAAUAUGGGCAUCCAGGUCCCGCUAUUGGUUAUUGACCGAGAAUGGUUCUAGGUCAUGUCUACAUAGUUCUCGAACCCGUAGGGUCCGCACGCUUAACGUUUCGAUGACAGUUUUAUUAAGAGUUUAUAAGUUUUGAUGUACCGAAGUUUGUUCGGAGUCCCGGAUAUGAUCACGGACAUGACGAGGAGUCUCGGAAUGGUUGAGACAUAAAGAUUGAUAUAUUGGAAGCCUAUAUUUGGAUAUCGGAAAGGUUCCGGGUGAAAUCGGCAUUUUACCGGAGUACCGGGAGGUUACCGGAACCCCCCGGGGGUUAAUGGGCCUACAUGGGCCAAGAGGGAGAAGAGGGAAGGAGCCAGGAGGGGGCCGCGUGCCCCUCCCCCUCCUAGUCCGAAUAGGACAAGGGAAGGGGGGGCGACGCCCCCCUUUCCUUCCCCUCUUCGUCCUCUUUCCCCCCUUCUCCUACUCCUACUUGGAAAAGGGGAGUCCUACUCCCGGUGGGAGUAGGACUCCCCCCCUUGGCGCGCCCUCUAGGCCGGCCGCCUCCUCCCCCCUGGCUCCUUUAUAUACGGGGGCGGGGGGCACCCCAAAGACACAAGUUGAUCUACGGAUCGUUCCUUAGCCGUGUGCGGUGCCCCCUUCCACCAUAUUCCACCUCGGUCAUAUCGUCGCGGAGUUUAGGCAAAGCCCUGCGCCGGUAGAACAUCAUCAUCGUCACCACGCCGUCAUGCUGACGGAACUCAUCUCCGGAGCUCGGUUGGAUCGGAGGCCGGAGAUCGUCAUCAAGCUGAACGUGUGCUGAACUCGGAGGCUCCGUACGUUCGGUGCUUGGAUCGGUCGGAUCGUGAAGACGUACGACUACAUCAACCGCGUUGUGCUAACGCUUCCGCUUAUGGUCUACGAGGGUACAUGGACGAAUACUCUCCCCUCUCGUUGCUAUGCCAUCACCAUGAUCUUGCGUGUGCAUAGGAAUUUUUUUAAAAUUACAACGUUCCCCAACAGUGGCAUCCGAGCCUAGGUUUUAUGCGUUGAUGUUAUAUGCACGAGUAGAACACAAGUGAGUUGUGGGCGAUACAAGUCAUACUGCUUACGACUACGGGAUUGGCCAACCACGCAGGAUGGAGCACUCCUCUGACAAGGCCUACUGCUUCCAACUUCUUGAUCUCUUCUGCAAUGAAUUCUUGGCGCUCCACUGCUUGUUUCCUUACUUUCUGCUUGACGGGCCGUGCGUGAGGACAGACGGCAAGAUGGUGCUCAAUUACUUCCCUGGGAACACCGGGGAUGUCAUACGGUUGCACAAAAAUUUGAUGCAAAAUGUUAGCAAGAGUCAAUAAUGUUGAAAAAGAUUCACAAAUUCGCAAGUGAAACAAGUAGACCAAUAGCAAAUGGUACACGGAAACACACACACACGGAUAGAUAAAUGGGGUCGUGCAACCAAGGAAUGAGCACAAAAUGUGGAGUCCACGGAAAACGCUCGUGUUGCACAACUCAAGAGAGACGCUAGCACGAUUGCUCAAUAGGCGGAUACGACACUUGUGCACAACCUAUAAGAUGCAAAAUGGAUAAACUUCUUUCCCAAGUAAGCUAUGUAUGUAUGGUUCCCGGUGUUUCUCUCAAGCAUGAUACCAUAUGAUGUAGAUUUUGGUAUGGCUCUUUUUGUGCAAUGGGGUAUGAUGCUAUGGCACUUGCUCACGAGCUCUUUGCUCUCUUUUUGCUUAAAAGUUUUUUCUCUUUUUUUUCAAUGGCCACUUUUGCACAAUGCACAAACCAAGAUAGUUAUUGUGUAUAUGCGGGAACGAUAUUGUGACACAAAGGAUGAUAUGAUACCAAUAUGAUAUGGGAUGUAUGCAAUGGAAUGGUGGAUCACUAAUGUGCACAAGUAACGUUGCCGGCAAUACUCAAAUGGCUAGUCUCGAUAGGCAAGUAACGCAAAAUGGGCUAGGGGUUAACAAUACAAUUGCAAGGGUAAUAUACAAUGGUGUCGUCGAGGUUACCGUCCUUUGCGAUGAUGAGUGGCGGUGUUCUUGAUGUAGAUACCAAGAUGAUGUAGACCCGUCCCUAAGUAGCCAAAACACCUUAGGAAACGGUAAAAACCGCAAACUCAAAAUCUCAAAUGACAAAUGUCAAAUGGUGGAAGUGGGAAUGGCAAUGUGGAAGUGGUGGUGGUUUGUGAAGAAGCAAAUGUCCCUAAGUAGCCGAAACACCUUAGGAGACUCACGUCGCCACUCAAACAACCACAAAUGCUAAGGGGAUCAAGAUGGGUUAGGUUGCGAAAGUCUAUGGUUGUUUUGCGGAUGAUAUGGUGGAGGGCCUAGGCAAAGAUGCCAAAAUGUCAAAAUUUUGAUGGAGUGGGGGAUGUCAAUAGCUACUCAAUGAGCUAAAGAACGCGAAAAUCGUACUCCGGAUGUGGAAGUUACGGGCAAAACAGUGAACUGCUCGCUGCUGGCCUGGGGGGGCCAUGCGCACGGGGUCCCAUGCGCACGGUACACGUAUCGAGGACACGGGGUCACCAGAGACUUCGCGGGGGCCCGUGGGCACGGGGUGGGGAGCCCGUGGGCACGGGGUAGGCGGAAAUUUUGCGAUUUUCUUGUCAAAUUCGAAGGGGAAAGAAAAAUUGGGGUAUGGGGACACAAGAGGGGGUAGAUCUACUUGCAAUACAUCAAAUCCAUGGAUCAAAUCCAACAAAAUCAAUCUAAACCAACAAAUCACAAAAACAUUUGGGGCUAUUUUUGGUGGGGAAUUUUCGGAUUUAGGACGAAAUCACACAAAACAACGCUAGAAAACACGGGGCAAGGGCUCCAAAAACAUGAUCAACGUGGCUCAUGAUACCAUAUGAUGUUGGGUAGAACCCUAGGUGAGAGAUCUUUCACGAAUUGGAGGGGAAUCCCCUAUGAACAAGAUGAACAAAAGAGGGAAAACAAGAGGAACACUCAAGAACAAGUCCAAUCACACAUCCACUAGACAAUCAAACACAUAAGAUCCACAAGGUACAUGAACAACAAAGGGAAAUAAGAUACAUGGUAGAGUUCAACCCAAAUCCUAUGAAGGAGAUGAGGGCUUGAUGAUCUAGAUAGAUCCUUCCCACAAAGGGGGUCUUCAUCCACUAGGGAUCUUCUCCAAUGGAGGCCUUGAACUCCAAUGGAGUGUCUCUCUGUCUCUCAAGAGGAAUCCCACAAGGGGAGGUACAUGAGCUAGGCUCUAGUGUUUAGAUCUAUCCUUAGCUAAGUCUAAAUGGAGGAGAUGAAGGAGUAUAUAUAGUCCUAGGCAAAGAGAGGGGUAAUUGGGGGCAAAAUGGUAAAACAAGGGCAAAGCCCGCAACAUCUCUCAGGGGGCCCCGUGUGCACGGGGUAAGUGGAGCCCGUGCGCACGGGGUAUCCAGGGACCGGACGCAAGGGCCCAUGCGCACGGGGUCCGUUAGGCCCGUGGACACGGGGGGUCCCGUGGGCACGGUACACGCCCGUGCGCACGGGGUCUUCAGGACCGCCAGCCUGGGAGGCCCGUGGGCAUGGGGUCGGAGGGGCCCGUGCGCACGGGGUCGCCUGGGAGUUGUUGCCUUCUUCUUGGCGCUUCCUUCUCCGCUUCCAGGCUUCUGUCUUGGAUGGUGUAGAUGUUCUCUUCCGCUUGGAUUCCUCCGUGAUGAAUGUGUAGCUCCGCUCACACCUAAGUAUGCACACGAGAGAGGGGUCAAGUAGUGUAGCAUCCUCGAAGGGUACAAGUGGACACGUGUAAAGGAGAUGGUUCACCUUUGUAUGCAUGAAGUAGAUGUGGCACGUGUCACUUGUCAAAUGGACUCUUGAGAUGGUGAUGUCCAUAGGAUGCUCCGCAUCAAAGCUAGGCCGGUCUCCACGUAGCACCCGGGGCCAAGUCAUUAGCCAGGGUUUUAAGGUCCAUUUCCAGAAUAACCUUGCCAUUAAAAAAAUUCACCAAGGUCUCCAGCCCCAUUUGAGCCGCAGCGGCUUCUGCCUCCUCAAUAAGCAUGCAAGGAUACAUUUUUAUAUACUGUUUGUCAGAGUGAACUUUGUCGGUUGUGUGCAUUUUAAUUAUGCAGAGACCGGGUGUAAUACUUAAAUUUUUUUAGUAAUAAAGCAGCCUUAUCAGGAAAAAAACCUGGCCAUCAUGGUUCCUGGCAACUUCCCCUCUAACAUGACCUAGUAGGGGCCAUCUCUGAAUUUGCACACAAUUUGGAAGAACACAAGAAAUUCGGUGGGAAAUUUGGGGAUUGAUACACUCAGAUCCGAAGCAGGAAGCUAGGGUUUUCGCCAGCCGGAACACGGCGGCUACAAGGGCCAAGCCUAGGAUAAUCCAGAGUGCCCCUCUCCACAAGCCGGAGGGGGUUAUAUAAAGCAAAAUCCAGGUAAAGUAGACAGCGACAGGUUCAACAGGUAAAAGGACAGCACGGUAACUUCUAAAAAGUAGAGCGAAACGAUUCCAGCCGUCCAGAUGAAGAUCAACGGUUGAGGACACACUUAAACGACGAAGCGGUAAGUACUUCACCUCGCCGUCCGAUCGCAGAUCAACGGUCCUAGCUCCUCCAAACAAAACUCACAGCACUGUGGAUCAUCAGAUGAACUUCAACAGUGGGCAGGCCUGACAAUUCCCCCCUGCUAACAACAGACUUGCCCUCAAGGAUGGAAUUCUGGGAAAAUCUUCUGUAUGAACGCCGCAUCCUCCCAGGUUGCAUUCUCCACUGGUAAAUUGAGCCACUUGAUGUGCCAUUGCACCACUGGAAUACUAAUAUCACCCUAAACCCGAGGGAUCAACCUUCUGUCCAGCAGAGUUUUAGGUUGAAUUAGAAUGUGACCCUGUUCAUCGAGGAGCGGUAAGGUUGGGUUUGGGACAGCUUCCGGCCCAAUGUGCUUUUUGAGUUGACUGACAUGGAAGGUGGGGUGGAGCUGACAGCCCUCAGGAAGAAGGAGGCGAUAAGCUACAGCUCCAAUUCUUUCCAUGACUCUGAAGGGACCAUAGUACUUGGAAUGGAGCUUCAGAUGUCUGUGUAUACUUAAGCUAGUGUGCAUGUAUGGUUGCAAUUUUACAUAGACCAUAUCUCCCACUGCAAGCUGUCUUUCAGAUCUCUUUUUGUCUGCAAAGAACUUCAUUCUUUCUUGUGCUUUGAGCAAGUUGUCCUUUAUCUGUUGAGCUAUUGUGUCCCUGUCCAACUGAGCAUGGUGACCUUCUCCUUCCACUGGUGGUAGCAUUAGUUCUGCAAUUAGGGGAGGAGGUCUUGCAUACAGAGCUUGGAAAGGGGUCAUUUUCAGAGAAGUGUGGAAGGUGGUGUUGUACCACCACUCAGCCAUGGAGAGCCAAGAGUGCCAUUUCUUGGGCCGAGCAAAGGCCAUGCAUCUUAAGUAAUUUUCAAGACACUGGUUCACCCUUUCAGUUUGACCAUCUGAUUGUGGGUGGUAGGAAGUACUCAUGUGCAGUUUGACUCCCAUUUUGGUGAACAGAUGUUGCCAAAUAUGACUAGUGAAAAUCCUAUCUCUGUCUGUUACUAUGACAGUGGGCAGUCCAUGCAAUCUGAAUAUAUUGUCAGUAAAAGCUUGAGCUAUUGUUUUGACAGUAAUUGGGUGCCUCAUAGCAACAAAAUGAGCAUAUUUGGUGAAACGAUCCACCACCACCAAGAUCAUGUCUUUGUGUUCAGAUUUUGGUAGGCCUUCCACAAAGUCCAUGCUUAUAUGAGUCCAAGCAAAAUCAGGGACUGGGAGGGGUUGCAGCAAGCCAGGAGGGUGCACAUGUUGGGCUUUGUUCAAUUGGUAGACAGGGCACUGUUGAACAAAGGUUUGCACAACUUUUCUCAUGCCAGGCCAAGUGAAAAGUAUUUUCAGUCUGUGAUAUGUAGCUCUUUCUCCAGAGUGGCCUCCUAGUUCAGACUUAUGGAAGGAAGUCAGCAGGGAGGUUUUGAGUUCACUGUUAUUGCCAACCAUGAUUUCGCCCUUGUACUUGAGCACUCCACUGGUAAGAGUGUAAGGAGGCUGAGCAGCUGGAUCAAUUGCAAGUUUAGUAAUGAGUUCAGAACAUUUAGUGUCCCCCUUGUAACUAUUCACAACUUCAGUAAUCCAGGAUGGAAUUGUUGUGCUAGAACCCAAAACAUUGAGAGCAUGUUUAACUCUGGAAAGAGCAUCUGCUACUCUGUUUUCUCUGCCUUUCUUGUAUUCCACUGUGAACUUGUAACCAUUAAUUUAAUGAGAAGUUUGUGCUGAAUCCCUUCAGUGACCUUUUGCUCUUGUAUGUAUUUCAAACUCUCCUAGUCAGUUCUGAUAAUCAGAGAAGAUGAAGCAAAGUAGUGCUUCCAUUUCUUAAUUGCUUUAAUGAUUGCCAAUGCUUCCUUAUCAUAAGUGGACCAUCCAACAGCUUUAGGCCCUAAGGCUUUGCUGAUGUAUGCAAUAGGCUGUCCUUUCUGCAUGAGGACUGCUCCAAUUCCAUAUCCAGAAGCAUCUGCUUCCAAUACAAAGGGCAAGGAGAAAUCAGGUAAGGCAAGAACUGGGGCAGAGGUCAUUCUGUUCUUAAGUUGCUGCAAAGUAGCUUGUUGUGUUUCAGUCCAAAUAAAUCCAUCCUUUUUCAAGGCAUCAAAUAGUGGCUUGCAGAUCAGACCAUAAUUCUGAACAAAACUCCUGUAGUACCCAGCUAAUCCCAAAAAGCUCCUCAAGUGUGUCACAUUCUGGGGUGUGGGCCAGUUUAAAAUUGCCUCUACUUUAGCAGGGUCUGUAGAAACUCCCUUGUCAGAGAUCACAUAGCCCAAGUAUUCCACUUUGUUUUGUGCAAAUGUGCACUUAGAGAGCUUUGCAUACAAUUGAUGUUUUCUGAGUGCUUCCAGAACCAAGGCUACAUGUUCCAAGUGCUCCUUGUAUGUGUUGCUAAAGAUGAGGAUAUCAUCAAAGAAAACUAGCACACAGUGUCUCAGAAGGGGUCCCAAGACUGUGUGCAUGAGUUCUGUAAAUGUAGGAGGGCUAUUGGUUACUCCAAAGGGCAUUACUAGGAACUCAAACAGGCCUAUGUGUGUGCUGAAGGUUGUUUUCUCUAUGUCCCCCUCCUUCAUUCUGAUUUGAUGAUAACCACUCCUCAGAUCCAGUUUGGUGAAUAUUUUAGCUCCAUUAAGUUCAUCCAAAAGAUCCUCAAUCAUGGGUAUAGGAUACUUGUUCUUGAUGGUGUGAGUAUUCAGUUUCCUGUAGUCAAUGCAGAGUCUCCAAGUCAUAUCCUUUUUCUUUACUAGAAUAGCAGGAGAGGAAUAUGGACUGUGACUUAGUCUGAUAAUCCCUUUAUUGAGAAGAUCUUUAAUGAUUUCCUCUAGAGCAUUUUUCUGGUGAUGUGGCAACCUGUAUCCUCUCUGGUUUAUAAUGGGGCUCCAGGCUCCAGGUUAAUUGCAUGGUCACAUUCUCUUUGAGGAGGUAGACCAGUAGGCUUUGCAAAAACAUCCUUGAAGUUCUCUAAAAGUGUAGUAAUUCCAGGUUUCUUUAUAGAGUCAUCUAUGGUUUCAAGUUGCACUGGUUCCAUCCACAUCAGGGCUCCAGUGAGCAAGUCAUCUAUUAUGUUCUCCAUAUCUUGCAGUAAAGGAGUACAGGGACUUGUGGGCAAGCUCUCAUCCAAGAAGGUUAUUUGUUUUCCAUUGAUAAGCAUAAUUCCAAGCUUCAUGUUAGGCAGAUCAAAAAUGACAGGACUGUGCUUAUACAUCCAGUCAGCUCCAAGUAUGAUAUCAUAUCCAGUAAGUUUCAACAUCCUGAAAUCAGACUCUAAUUCCACCCCUUGGACAGUGCAUUUGGUGUUGUAGAGAGAGAAGUCACUGUAUAGCUUGCCCCCAUUUGCAUCAGUUACUUGCACUUGUUUCACUGGUGUGGCUAGACAUCCAGAUUGUAAAGCUAGGGCAGGAGAAAUGUAGGUGGUAGUACUACCACUAUCCACUAAGGCCAGGCCUACUGUGUUUCCAAUUUGGACCUGCAGAGUGAAAGUGUAUUUCUUUUUGUCUUGAGGUACUCCUGUAGCAGCAUGCAUAGAAAUUUUGAGCUCUUGCUGAUCAGGAGGCUCUUCCUCCCCAUCUGACUGUACCUCCUCUGCAUCUACUAUGUAGAUGAUGUCAGGAUUUUCUGCGUGUUCUUGUAAUGCUUGAAUUUGAGCUUUCUGUGACAGUUUGCACACCUGCUUAUGUCCUGGAAACCAUGGCUCUCUGCAUUUAUAACAAAUGCCCUUUUCUCUGGCCUGUUGUAUAACAGUAGCAGGUGAUGUACUUGCAGGGAUCACAGGUUUAGAGAUUUCUCCCGGAGUUCCUCUUUUGUAGUUUGGCACAUAGGACUUUUGAGUUGUAGUUGUAGGACAUGAUUUCUCAAUUCUUCUAGCUAACCACAUAGCUUUGGUCAUGUCAGUAGGUUCUAAACAUUCCAAGUGACUUUGGAUAUAAGGAUUUAGACCUGCAAUGAAACUAUGCAUGUAAUAGUCAUCUGGUACUGCAGGGUUGUCCCUUCUCAUCAAGUUCAUGUGCUGCUCAAAAUCAGCUAUAUACUGGGCAACUGAAGUUUGCUGAGUUAACUUGUGGAAUGCUUUCACAUUUUCACGCAUAGAUGUUAUGGCAAAUCUUUGUGUAAUAGCAGAGCAGAACUUGUGCCAAGGGGUGUGAUGAGAAAUGAACCCAGUACCUCUCCACCAUUGUAUGGCCUCUCCCUUCAAAUAGGAAACAACUAUCUCAGUCCUGUGUUCAAUUGGUGUCCUUGCAGCUGAGAAGUAUUGUUCAAUGUUUUGUAUCCAUGAGUCAGCAUCCACUCCAUCAAAUUCACCAAUGUUUAAUUUUGCAGGUUUAACACUCAUAAGGUUUCUUCUGACUUCAGGAACAUAGGGCCUGUUUCUUUCUCUUCUCCCCUCUGCUUCAGGCAAUUCCUCUACUGUCAUAAAUUGUCUUAUGACUUGUCCUUGCUGUUGUGGAGGUGUGAUGAAUUUCUGCUUAUUAACAGCAUGGUUAGGAUGCCUAGAAGGUGCUUUAGGAGUGCCAUCCAUAUCUAGUUCUCUGCCUGUAGCUUUGUCCACCAGAACAGCAGAUCCGACAGUUGCAGGAUCAUGUUUAUCAGGAGGAAAAUGGUUGUUCGGCAGCUGUUUUGGUCUCCCUGGAGGAACCACUGUGCUUCCUUGGCCAGAUAAUGGAUCUGGUCUUUCUUCCUCCUCCUCUUCUUCUUCCCCUGUUUGUUCUGCAGUUAACUUCAGCAGGGUGGUCUGAAUUUUCUUGAAAUUCUUCUGUAUGCUAGCGAAAUUCUUGUUCACCGAAUCAGUGAAAUGAUAGAAUUCCUUUCUAUCUUCCUCUCUUUCUUGCCGGAGUGUUUUUAUGUCAAGCUGUAGCGAUUCAAGCUCCAAACACUCAGUGUCUUGCGUCUCACCAGCCAUGUCUUCAGGGUUUUUGUUGGUCAUUCCUUGCAGAUCUGGUCCAAGGGCGAAACUUGAGAAGAACAGAAGGAAUUUUACACCGGUGGCCCGGAAACCCACCACUCUGACUCGAUUUCACUCAUCAGAUCUGACAGAAUAGCGCCGCAAGAGCAACAGCCUGAAGGGAGGGUUGGGUGGGAUUUUGCACUGAAGAAAAGUUCUUCAGAAACCACGACUCCACCUUCUGCUGCCGAUCGAUCCUCCGCCGCCACUCGCCGUCGAUACUGCCGCCGCGCUGGUCGAGAGGCCAGAUCGGAUCUGGGCUCGGAUCCCGCCUCCAAGGACUACAACCUACGCUCUGUAUACCACUUGACAGGACCUAGUAGGGGCCGUCUCUGAAUUUGCACACAAUUUGGAAGAACACAAGAAAUUCGGUGGGAAAUUUGGGGAUUGAUUCACUCAGAUCCGAAAUAGGAAGCUAGGGUUUUCGCUAGCCGGAACACGGCGGCUACAAGGGCCAAGCCCAGGAUAAUCCAGAGUGCCCCUCUCCACAAGCCGGAGGGGGUUAUAUAAAGCAAAAUUCAGGUAAAGUAGACAGCGACAGGUUCGACAGGUAAAAGGACAGCGCGAUAACUUUUAAAAAGUAGAGCGAAACGAUUCCAGCCGUCCAGAUGAAGAUCAACAGCUGAGGACACACUUAAACAGCGAAGCGGUAAGUACUUCACCUCGCCGCCCGAUCGCAUAUCAACGGUCCUAGCUCCUCCAGACAAAACUCACAGCACUGUGGAUCAUCAGAUGAACUUCAACUGUGGGCAGGCCUGACACCCUCCCCAGGUUUGUCCCGUGUCCGCCACGUACCCGGCAUCGAUGUUUAAUUUUACAACAUCGGUUGGUGGGAGUGUCCACUUUCCGGUAGUGAUCGAUUCUCUAACUGUCCGUGCCUUCACCACUUGCUUCCCAUCUCUCAUCUGGAUUGCCAAGUUCUGCUGUAGUUUACCUGGAUCUCUUGGGAUCAGUGAGUUCUCCUUUUGCCCCCCGGGCUUUGCUGUGCCGUAGUUGAAUAGCUCCGACUCCAUUUUACUGAGAAACCCCACUGAUCUGCUCAUCGAUUCUUUGCCUGCCCCAUGGAUGCAAUCAUCUCCAAGCAACAGUAGUUUUCUCCGGCUUUUCUCAUGUGCCAUGCAGCGGGAAUACAAGUUGCAACGACUGGGGAGUACAUGUUACAUCUGCAAUGUAGUUGUGCUUCAUGUCUGGAGCACAUGCAACACACACGAAGCACAUAUUGUGUCACAUUGGGAGGACAAGCCAUAAUAUAGUACACUAGAAAGUUCGACUUUACUUUGAUUGAGAAUAGCAUGCUUACUUUAUUUCCUAAAAUUAAUUUGACGUUUCUUUUUUUAUUUUGGAUCGGAGUUGUAUAAAUGCUAGAAAUUUGAGUAUUUCAUUGUGUUAUUCUAAAAUAAACUAAGACCCUUUUAUAAGUACAUGUCAAUCUGCCAAUCUUGCGCUCCACGGGAGCACACUAAACAACCGUGUGAAGUACACAUAUGUUGUCUCGAGGAGCACAAGUUAGUUCUCAAUGGGGGUACAAGUUGCGCUCGAAGAAGUUCAUUGAAACCUCUAAAAAUGGAUCUAAUUUUGAAGAUUUUAACGCGAGGGAUGCAACAGUGUAAAUGGUCCGUAAUUUGGACACUCGGUUCAAUAGAUAUUCCAUUAUAAAAAUCUGAUACAUUAAAAACGACACAAAAGCACAAACCACCCUUCUCCUCCCGUGAGAAGAAACCCAACUAACUCUUCUGAUGGUGAUAAGAGAUGCACAUAAGUAUCGACAUUUAUUCCCAUUAAUGAUUUCGAUAGUCCAGAUGGCAGCCACUUAUAAUGGCUUCCGUAACAUAUAGAAAAGCUUCACAAGCACAUAAUGUUUCAAGCAAUGCAGAUAAACUUUUGAAUUCUUUCUCAUGACUUGACUGGAGCCUUAACAAACACACAAAACACGGAAGAUGGUAGCAUGGGUCGAAGCCUACGCCUUCCACAUCCAUACAUAAUGUUGCCCCUUUGGAAGGGAAAGACAACCAUGCCAUGGUGGCAGAGCUAACCUUAGACUUGAGUUGGCGGUGCAGGAGCAAAAGCGUUGCAACCGACUUUAGAUGUUGUUGGCACCAGAGGAAGAUUACUGCCAACGUAUUCUUAGUAGUGGUCCUUCUUCCGAACUAGGCGGUAUGAGGCAACCUCAAGAGCGGCAACUACAAGAAACAAAAACGUCGCGAUCACAAAAAUUGCGACACCUCCGACAGUCCUAGCAUUCCCAACAGUUUUCUUUGCAGAGCCUUCAAACCCUAACAUGGCGCCUGCCAGAAAUAGUAGCACUGCUAUGAUCGCAAGGACCCUGAAAGUAUAGACACAUGGUGUAGAGACCAUAUUAAUUAUACAAGUUAAAUCAACAAGCCACCAAGUAGAUAUAGAUUCUGUAUUAAGUUUAGUUUUCAAAUUCUAAGAGAAAUGAUAAAAGAACAAUGAAUUCUAAAGCUCUCGGGCCGCGCCACCACUUAGCACACAACGCACCACUAGACUAGCAAUAAUUUUAAUGACAAUAUUUUCCUUGAUUAGCGACAAAAAGGAGGCGGCAUAUCGAGUUGUGAAUAACCAAAUUAUUUAUGUACCAUGAGAUGAUGAAGAAGACCACCGCCGCGAUGCGCUUGGCCCCCUUUGUUAUCCGCCACGCCCCACAGCAGCAGAUGGCCAUGCUGGCAAGAAUCUGCGUCAUCAACGCCAACCCGGCCGCUACCACGCCACAUGUCAUUGCCGGCGAUCGCCGGUACGUAGAGAACUCGCCACGGUCAUCUUGAUGAUGUUUCUGCAUGAAUAAAUGCACGCCGUUAAGAAGAAUCAACAAUAUUAUUAUCAACUAGGUUAUGCUUGGCCGGAGUUUCUUAUUUUGAAAUCUUGGCCUAAGGUUAGAGUGAGAAAGAGAUAGCAUGUAGCAGGUUACAAUGACAAAGACAUAAUAUCUAGCGUGCGAUGUGUGCAUACCAGCGCCAAGAGAACCGCGCUGAUGACUCCGAACACGAUCGUCAUCACAGCGAGGAUGCUGGUCACCACCAUGAGACCUUUCCUCCCCAUCGAUGAUCUCACUACUAAUCGCAGCAGAUGAGUUAAAUAGUGCAUUGCCACACGCAAAUAGAUAGACAGAGAUGAACAAGUGCAUGAAUGCGAGUAUGCAAUGUUAGCUCGAAUAAGGUUACUCGAGGACGGGCUACCUCAUGCAUGAAGAUUGUCACCCGCAUUGCUCCAUUUCUUGAAAGCUAUAUAAAGUUGGUAAAUGUAUAUUUUAAUUAAUUAAACUACCUAAAAUAUAUGUCAUUCAGUUGCAUGUAACCAAAGAUCUGUGGAGGAUUCACACGACUCCGAGUGGAGCGGUGUCAAGAUUCCCACCCCACCAAGCAUGGCAAAAACUUUGAGAUCUGUGUGGUGUCUUUGUUGCCGGCUUAUAUGGGCAAAGACCGUACUGUCGUUUCUAUUGGUCAGAAAACAAGGAUUUCAAAGUGUAUUGCCUACUGAUCCUGUGUUUGUUGUAACCAUGGGUUGUGCUGCAGAAAAGAAGACUACAAGGCUUGCUUAGUGAGAUUUCUAAAAGACUCUGCCCUGUGGUGGGAGAAGUCUCCAAACACUCGCAUGGAUGUGGCCCUGCUGUCCGACGACUCUGUUGAUUUUGAAAGGAUAACAUUGUGUCAAGAUGAUAGAUGUCUUUGGUUGCUUCAUGCGGUAGUCUGGAUUAUGUGGUCAUUGACAUCCCAUCCUUUAGAUGUGGUCAAGUAUCUAGGGAAGUAUGAUCUCAAUGGGUACUUGUUGUGCUUGUACUGUGACUCGAUUGUCGUAAUGAAAAUGGAGCAGUGUAGCCCCUUCGAUAAAGGAAAAGGCAUGGCGCAGACAAGCAAGGUCGCAGCACGCAAAAAACAAAACUUAGAUCAGCAAAUAGACAUCAAGAUAGAGGCACCGCGAACUAUCACAUUGCGGGUAUAAAUAGAACUGAAACCUGUUUUUUUUUAGAAAAAGGAGGAUGACCCCCGGCCUCUGCAUCCGGGAGAUGCAUACGGCCACUUUAUUAAUUAUUCUCACAAGACCUUACAAAGUAAUACAACAGUAAGACUAAAGCCGCCGUCUAAGCAACAAACUGUCGCUACACCUAUCCAGUUGAUGAAGGGGCGCAGAUAGCCUGGGCCUAAUACCAAACAGACAUCGCAGCCAAACCUAACAUCUAAGACCUGAGGACCCAUCCAGGACGCCUGCCGGGCAUGGGUCUCGCCGGUCCGGCGUGCUCUCAGAGGCCGCCGCCGCCAACUGCCACCGCUCCAUCUUCAGAACUGUACUGAUGCAUCAACCUUGCUCGGUCUAGCUAUCGUCGACGCCACCACGGCGCCCAACGGUACCUCCUCCCUGCGCGCAAACAGUUGAGCACGUCGCGGUCGCCGCUGAUACACCUCAGCACCAUGCUGCCAAGUACCACCAGCCGACACAGCUUGAAGUCUUUGGAAGAUCUGUCGUGCGUAGCACCUGCCGACCAGGCAUGACUCAGCGUAGCACCUGUCGAUCAGGCAUGACUUGACAGCUCCACCGAAGCUCCGUGCAAGACGAAGCCGCUCCACCUCCCGCCUCUGUCUUCUAGCGCUGCUCCACAAACGAUGCUCCCAAGAGAGAGACGGCACCGUAGUACCGCCAUCGUCCGAUCUGGAAGGCCAGAUCCGAGGGUUUCCCCCGAAGCAGCACGAGUGGGUUGACAACAGUUACACGACGAUGCCUUCAUCAAGGUAACGACGCAAAACGCCGCCAUCGCCCGCCAACGGCUCAGUUUUCACCGGCAACUAUGUCUCCCCGACUCGUAGCCGGGACUAGCUGACGGAUCUCGAGAUCCGAUCACCCAGCCGCAGGCCGAUCACCUCUGACAGAAAAGAUGACCACCACCGUCGACUGCACCGGUCAGAACAGAUCUGACGAAGGUGCCGCCUACGCGACCACCAGGCCCUCCACGCCGCCGCCGCCGAUCCAAAGGCAGAUGGCGCGCCGCCGCCGUCGCCGACCGCAGUGCCGCCUCCGCCCGAACAUUGCUGGUCGCCGCGCCCGCAGCCCGCGCCAACUCCGACGCCGCCGCGCCGCAGCCAUCGCCGUUGCCGAUCGGAUCUGAGGCGCCUCCACACGAUUCGGGGAUCCGCACAACCCCAGAUCCACGGGAGAGAGGUGAUGUCCUCCGCCACCGCCGUCGGCCCCCGGGCUUAGACCGGCAGCGUCCCCCGGCGGCGGCGGAGGGUGGGGAGGAAGGAGUAUACGCCCCCGGCGGCUGGGUAGGGAGCCGCCCGAGCCGCCCUAGCGGGGACGACGCGAGGGCUGUUAUCAAAUCGACCUGUUAGGUUGAUCUCGUACCGAUCGAGCCCAACGGCUCGACGGACCCCUUGGCUUGCGCCCUGAUCGGGGGCGCCCAACCCUUUUAUGGGUGGUGGGCCCCUGUCGCAGCGCUAUAUAAAGAGGUGGGGGAGCCGGCUGCACGCGGUACGAGGUUCAUCGUGCGCCGCAACCCCCACCGAUAUCCCUACCGAUCUAGGAUUAGCGCACAAGCGACGGAAAGCUCCGCCACCAGCCACUUCACCCUCAUCAUUACUCUCUGCCAUCGCCGUCACCAUCCACCAUGGCGGCCGCCUCGAGCUCAUCCGGCCAGGCAGAAGGUAAAUCACCGGAUUGAUCUAACCCUACCCAAUCCAAGAGGUUUAAUAAAACCAAUCUCCUGGGGUACUAAACUACUCCCUCCAUUCCGAAUUACUUGUCACAUUCUAUUCAUUUAUGCGACAAGUAAUUCAUGAUGGAGUGAGUUUAUCCAUUUCUGUGACAAGUAACUUGGAAUGGAGGUAGUAGCUGAAAAAGACGAGGAGCAGAGGAAUCUUUACGUUAUACUCCCUCCGUUCUCAAAUAAUUGUCUUUCUAACCAUCUCAAAUGGACUACAACAUACGGAGGUAUGUAGACAUGUUUUAGAGUGUAGAUUCACUCAUUUUGAUCCGUAUGUAGUCGCUUGUUGAAAUCUCUAGAAAGAUAAUUAUUUAGGAACGGAGGGAGUAGCUCCAAAUCGAUGGGAACCAGCCGAAAUCUAGAAAGUGACCGCCGAACCCUACACAAUGAAGCCGAAAUGUAGAAAGUGACGGAAACCAAACCUUUUGGUGUGGGAAGCCAGAGCGAGAGGGGUGAUGAUAUGAGAGGAGUGGGAGGGCCUUGUCCGUGACAGAUUUUCAUGCAUGUGAUGCAGGAUCCAUACAACCAUAUGAACAUGCGUACAUAGUACCACAUGACAGAAUUUUGGCUGGCUUCGCCCCAUGUCCGGUUCAGCCAUCAACGUCCACGCGCGCGGUCGACAUGCCUUGAUGUGCCACACCACACCAAAAGUUGAUGUCGACGGAAACAUGAGAUUCACUUUUUCCCCCAAAUUAAAGGGCAGAAGCCGAGUUGGACACUCAUAGGAGAGUGCGAAAAAUAGAAAUCACGGACGUGCUCAAAGCGUGGUCGCUCUUGCCGCCCACACAACACAAACCACAGUCCGAGGGUGGCUGGGAAGUCAAAAAUAUCAUACGGAAACCAAUAUACGAAGCAAAUUUUUCUAAAGAAAUGCAUUUGAAAUUUUUCAAAAAAAAUACGGAUGUUAAGAGGAUAAUGUCCUAUUGUCAUGUGAAGUUUCAAGUAAGAACAUAUUACAGAAUGAGCCAUGAAAAAGACAAAUUGGGGGCAGUGAAUAGUGUCAUUACUGUUUGGCACUAUUCAGUAAUAAUUUUGUCUUUUUCAUAGCUGACAUCACGUAAUGUGAUUAAAUUUAAAAAUUUGCACGAGAGUAGAACAUCACCUAUGUUAACCUCUUAUAUAUUUUUUAGAUCUUUUUAAAACUUCAAAACAUCAUUUUCACGUGCUGAUUUUUAUUGGUUUUUCACUAAAUGUUGGUUUCUGUACUUUAUUUUCCCGGCCGGAAAGUGUCUCCUAAUCCCGCCGGGAGAACUAAACUAGCAGAAAAAGACGAGUCAAUGGAUGAGAGCAGAGGAAUCCUUACCUGGACGAAGCGCAGCAAUAUAAUGGCCAAGGGAUCGUUACUCGGGAGGAACCAAACCUCGCCGGAGAUUGGGACGGAAACCUCACCGGAGCAGUACGGUCUUGGGUUGGUUGUGGGUGAAGCAGCGUCCGCGAACGAAUGGAUUCCGAGUUCUAUUUGCCUUCGGAGUCCAUCCACUAUAUAUCCCCGGCCGACACAAAAAUAAGUGGAUAGCAACUUAUCUCGAUCUCGUGACUCAGAUACGUUUUCGAAGCGAGAGAAUCAGAAGCGGACACGUACGUACGUACGUGCGGCCUGUCGACCGCUUCCACUAGCCAGUAGAAAGUUCAAGGAUUGCAUGAGGUGCACGAUGCAUAUUUUAUGGUUGGUCGCAAUUUCUUUAUAGGAGCUUCGGUUUUGGUGUUUUUGAGCUUGUUGGACUGCUAGCAAAAGCCCGAUGAGUUUGUGGCCUUCGAUCAUCCUUUGGACAUUUUGAUAAAUAUCAAAUCAUCAAACUCUCUGAAGGGUCUUGAUUUGGUGCCCGGAACACCUCCGGUUUGACCCCUAGCUUGAUUCUUUUGAUGUCCCAAGUCCAUAAACACGUCAACACACCUACAAAGACCACAAAUGAAAGGAAAACUAAUAUAAACCAAAUAAAAAUAAAAAGUGUGCAAGAAAGUUGGUAAAACAAGUAAAUACCGAAAACUAUGCGUUGAAGACAUGAAUAAGUGCUAGAUGGGUAUGAUAUGAGGGAUUUUGGCACUAGAAUAUACUCUAAGAAGUAUGCAUAAAAUCCACUCACCAACUGCCACGCUAACCACUCAUCGCGGAUACUGUGACGGAAAGCCGGGAUCGCUUCUGCAUCCUGGCAAUCGACUAUCGAGUUCUUUUAAGUUAUGAACCGAUUACAGAACUUCCUGGCCGACUCGCCAGGCUACUGGAUGAUAUGGCUAAGGUCGUCGGCAUUCAGGGGAUGAACGUAUGUGCCCUGGAAGUUUGCCCUCAAGGCCUCUUCUAGCUCCUCCCAGCUUCCAAUAGAGUUCUUGUGCAUGCUGUUAAGCCAAUGCCUUGCCAGUCCUUUGAGCUUGAGCGGUGGCUAUUUACUUGAGCCAUGUGGAUGUGGAGAAAAAAAUCUUCGAUCCAGAUAGCCCGGUCAGUGGUUCCAUCGUAUGAUUCAAUAUUAACAGGUUUAAACCCCUCUGGGAACUUAUGCACCAAGACCUCAUUUGUAAAACAUAUCGGAUGUGUUGGCCCUCGAAAACGAGCGAUUUCAUGCCGGAGGUCGAAUGUCGUCCGUGCACGUGUUUGCUCCCGAGUCCUUGCAUAACUAUCGAACCAUGCUUCAUAGCCGUCCCGUCCAGUUGGAGCAUGUCCACUUGAUCCGCACAUGGAACUUGUUGGCAGGGACGAAUCCAAGGGGGGCGAGGGGGGGCUAGACCCCCCCUAACGAUCUCAUUUUACUCGGUAGCGAUNNNNNNNNNNNNNNNNNNNNNNNNNNNNNNNNNNNNNNNNNNNNNNNNNNNNNNNNNNNNNNNNNNNNNNNNNNNNNNNNNNNNNNNNNNNNNNNNNNNNNNNNNNNNNNNNNNNNNNNNNNNNNNNNNNNNNNNNNNNNNNNNNNNNNNNNNNNNNNNNNNNNNNNNNNNNNNNNNNNNNNNNNNNNNNNNNNNNNNNNNNNNNNNNNNNNNNNNNNNNNNNNNNNNNNNNNNNNNNNNNNNNNNNNNNNNNNNNNNNNNNNNNNNNNNNNNNNNNNNNCUUUUAACACCCCGCAGGAAAUAGCCCAGCGCGAAGGGAGACGGUCAUAUCGUUUGAUUUUCCAUCGUCCGAUGCCUGUCGCCAAGGUUAGCUGUCUAGGAUAGUUCCUGACCAGCGCCAUUUCAAUCUGAGUUCUACGGCAGUUCAUGACCAGCGCCGUUUCAAUCUGAGUUCUACGGCAGUUCAUGACCAGCGCCGUUUCAAUUUGAGCGGACAAUCCUUGCUUGGACGAGAUAGCGUCUAACGUGAACGAGGGCCAUCUUGCGUGGACGCGCGGCCGGCCGGCCGCGCAACCAGUGGAGAGAAGCGGCGACCAAGGAAAGGUUAGGUUAGUCUGUUUCUCACUCAUUGGUUUGUCCUUGCUUAUGUUUCUAAAUCAGAUUAAUGGAUGCCUUCAGAACUACACAAGUCGAAUGGUAGUAACUGUAUAAAAGUAAAAGAUUGGGGACAUAUCCCUGUACCCAUCGGACAAGCUUUUGCAUUGUUUAUCCCAUCCAAUAGUAGAAAGAUUUAGUUCAUUAACACGUGAAUUGCUUUGGCAUUUGCCUGAUAGUAACUUUUGAUAAAAAUUCAACUUGCUCACAGCGGAAUAUGUUUUGACGAAGAUUUAGUUCGUUAACAAGGCUGUCUCUUCUAUUUUUUUUACGAGUCUCUACACUACUAGAGGAAUUUUUUUUGCCCCCCUAUGUUCAAAUCCUGGCUCCGUCCCUGCUUGUUGGGACGGGAUUUACAUUUAAUUUUCUUCGCAAAUCGUAAGACUCAGCUAGUAGUGUUNNNNNNNNNNNNNNNNNNNNNNNNNNNNNNNNNNNNNNNNNNNNNNNNNNNNNNNNNNNNNNNNNNNNNNNNNNNNNNNNNNNNNNNNNNNNNNNNNNNNNNNNNNNNNNNNNNNNNNNNNNNNNNNNNNNNNNNNNNNNNNNNNNNNNNNNNNNNNNNNNNNNNNNNNNNNNNNNNNNNNNNNNNCCUCCAGUGGGCCUAUCUCGUCUGCGAGGAGGACGAUCAGGCUCGUCAGCCCAGUCAUGCUUGCUUUGAUAGCACGUUGUUGGCGACUUCGUUGUUGAACGCGGGAAGUAAGCGCCGACAUGGGUAGGUUUUGACUUUGUCCUCGCGCCGUAACUCAAAGUCUUGCUCGGCUGCGAGGACCUCGACCCACUUAUUAUUGAGCGUAUUAUGAUCAACUUGGAGUUGUUGUUGUUGUUUAUUUUUCAUACUUCGGGUGGUGGCAAGGAGCCACCGCCCAAAUCAUUCUUUCUCGUAUGGGUACUCGGGGAUGAUGAAAUCCUCGGGUCCGAACUGAUAUCGCCCUCGGAUUGGGGAGGUAAUUGUUAUCCUCCUCAUCCUCAAGGUCUUCGAGAUUCUCCUCGUCGGAUAUCCCUAUGGGGUCAUUGACCUGACCGGGCGUGGUGUGACCGCCAUUACCCUGGUCCUCAGCGUCUUCUUGUGUAGCGCCGUUAUCAGUGGCAUCUAUCAUGUUGUUUUGGCUUUCCCUGCCUCUACCGGCACUCUUGGACCGCUUCUAGCCAUGUCGGCACUUGGGAGGAUCUGGUUUCUCUUCUCCAUCCUUCUUAGGGGUGUCUACCAAGGUUUGUGGGUCACACCUACUCCAGGACACCGUCAGUACCCCCAUCAAGACUGUUGUCCGAAGAUCCAUGUAAUGACUUGAUUCGGGGAGAAGAUUUCGAUGCGUCCGAGGUGGCCGGUCAAGUCGGCAUGAAGCACGAUGCUGUCGAACGUGAAAGGCUGGCCGGGGACGAAGAUGUCACCGCAUCCGAUGUUGCUGUUAAUCUGGAGACAAGCCAUCGAUCAUUUAUGACCACAUAGCCGGAACUGUAUGGGCCUCCAAUGUCGGUACUAAAGCAGGCAAAUCUCGGGUAGGGGGUCCCGAGCUAUGGAUCUGGGAACGAUGGUGAAGAGAAGACAAGGGAGACAGUGUUUACCCAGGUUUGGACCCUCUCUAAGAGGUAAAACCCUACAUCAUGUUUGAUUAUAUUUAUGAUGGAGUAUCAAGUAUAGGUCGAUCUACCUCGAGACUAUGUGUUGUGUUCUAAACCCUAAGGCUAGUAAUUGUGAUUCUGUCUUCUACGGACUAAACCCUCUGGUUUAUGUAGGCACUAGGGGUAUUUAAGGUUACACAUUGUCGGUUGCUCACUAGGAAUAAACAUGCUGAUAUAUGGAACUAUCCUUGAAGUGUACGCCAAGUCUUCCGCAGUGUCCAUCUUAAUCACGAGUGGGUUCACCAGUAGAAAAAGGGUCAAACAUGAAGCACAUUAGUGUCGGUUUGAUUUUGGCCCGGUACUAAUGGUACCAUUAGUGCCGGUUCAAACGGAUUUGCAUUAAUGCCGGUUCGUGUUGAACCUUUAGUACCGGUUCGUGGCACGAACCGGUACUAAAGGGGUGGUGGCAGGCUGGCGUCAGGCCGGGGCCCCACGAUCACCUUUAGUACCGGUUUGUGACACAAAGCAGCACUACAGCGUAAUNNNNNNNNNNNNNNNNNNNNNNNNNNNNNNNNNNNNNNNNNNNNNNNNNNNNNNNNNNNNNNNNNNNNNNNNNNNNNNNNNNNNNNNNNNNNNNNNNNNNNNNNNNNNNNNNNNNNNNNNNNNNNNNNNNNNNNNNNNNNNNNNNNNNNNNNNNNNNNNNNNNNNNNNNNNNNNNNNNNNNNNNNNNNNNNNNNNNNNNNNNNNNNNNNNNNNNNNNNNNNNNNNNNNNNNNNNNNNNNNNNNNNNNNNNNNNNNNNNNNNNNNNNNNNNNNNNNNNNNNNNNNNNNNNNNNNNNNNNNNNNNNNNNAGUUCUGAAAAAAUCAAAAGAAAAUGAUAAAAACUUCAAAAAAUAAAAUCCUUCAAGAGGUAGUUAUAUUACUACAUUUACUAGUUAGGAAAAUUUGAAAACUACAAUUUGGACAUGUUUUGCAAAAAGUGUAGGGAAAAUGUAAAACGGCUAUAACUUUUGCAUACGAUGUCGGAAAAAAACGUAUAAUAUAUCAAAAAAUUCAACAAGAAAAUCGCAUCCGAUGGAGACCGCCUAUGGCCUGUUUGGAAUUUUUUAGAAUCCUCAAAUUCCAAAAGGAAAAAAGAUAUGGUUAAAUUUCAGUUUUUUUAAAAAAAAUUGUUUAAAUCUGGUCAAACUACUUAUUCAAGAAGUAUUAAUGUUACUACAUAAUUAUUCAAGAAUAUUAGUGUUACCAAAUAAUUAUUUCAAUUUUUUGAAUUAUGGUCAAAUCUGGUCAAACUGUGGUCAAACUGUGGUCAAACUAUGGUCAAACUUAUUUAAGAAAUAUUAGCGUUACUAAAUAAUUACUGUUUUUUUAGAAUAAUAGUUUCAAACUCAAACGGUGAAAUGUGUGACUUCAUGCUCAAGCUAAACUCCUGAGGGUUAAUAGGAUUGACAUCUUACUAUUAUCAGGAAAACAACAAGUGCAGACUCGGAAGCGAAGGAGAAUAGAACCCGAAAGUUAAGCGUGCUCGGGCUAGAGUAGUGAGAGGGAUGGGUGACCGGUCGGGAAGUUAGAUGAUUUGGAAUGAGUGAUCCACACUUGAGCAGUUAAGAGAGGUGAUUAGAGACUAAAUCAUCAAAUAAUUCAAAAAAAAUAAAAAUCGAAAAAAUGAAAAAAAAUCCAAAAUUUUCAAAAAAACCUUUAGUACCGGUUGGUAACACCAACCGCCCAUACUAGGGCGCGAGCUCACCCUUUAGCGCCGGUUCGUGCCGAAGCGGUACUAAAGGGGGGGCCCUUUAGUGCCCACCCUUUAGUGCCAGUUAUGGAACCGGCACUAAAGGCCCUUACAAACCGGCGCUAAAGCUCCGUUUUCUACUAGUGGUUCGAGGCCUUUGGAGUCCUCCCUAAGAUAGGUGGGGCCAUAGGUAUGGCCCAAGGAUUGUGGGUCACCUUGGUGGGGACCUGUUGGGGAACGUAGCAGAAAUUCAAAAUUUUCUACGCAUCACCAAGAUCAAUCUAUGGAGAUUCUAGCAACAAGAGAGAGGGGAGUGUAUCUUCAUACCCUUGAAGAUCGCGAAGCGGAAGCGUUACAAGAACGCGGUCUGUGGAGUCGUUCACGAAGCGAUUCAGAUCGCGAACGAAUCCGAUCUAAGCACCGAAUAACGGUGCCUCCGCGUUCAACACACGUACAGCCCGGGGACGUCUCCUCCUUCUUGAUCCAGCAAGGGGAGAGGAGAAGUUGAGGGAAAAAUCGGACAGCACGACGGCAUGGUGGUGAUGGAGCUCGUGGUUCUCCGGCAGGGCUUCGCCAAGCACUACGGAGGAGGAGGAGGUGUUUGAGGAGGGAGAGGGCCGCGCCAGGGGAAGGGUGCGGCUGCCCUCUCUCUCCCUCACUAUAUAUAGGGGGAAGGGAGGAGGGGGAUGCACCCUAGGGUUCCCUAGGGGAGGGGCGGCGGCCACAGGGAAACCCUAGAUGGGUUUUGGCGCCCCCACCCCCUAGGAAACUUGCCCCCCAAGCCGGGAGGGGCGGCUGCCCUAGGGGUGGCGCCCCCACCUCUCCUGGUUACAUGAGAUGGGGUGGGAGGGGCGCUCAGCCCCUUAGUGGGCUGAUGUGCCCUCUCCAGUUGGCCCAUAAGGCCCCCCAACGCUUGCCGGGGCCUCCGAAACCCCUUUCGGACACGCUGGUCAUCACCUGGUACCCCCGGAACAAUUCCGGACUCCAAUACCCUUCGUCCAAUAUACCGAUCUUCACCUCCGGACCAUUCCGGAGCUCCUCGUCAUGUCCGGGAUCUCAUCUGGGACUCCAAACAACCUUCGGUAACCACAUACUAUUUCCCAUAACAACUCUGGCGACACCGAACCUUAAGUGUGUAGACCCUACGGGUUCGGGAACAAUGUAGACAUGACCGAGACGUUCUCUGGUCAAUAACAAACAGCGGGAUCUGGAUACCCAUGUUGGCUCCCACAUGUUCCACGAUGAUCUCAUCGGAUGAAUCACGAUGUCAAGGAUUCAAGCAAUCCCAUAUGCAAUUCCCUUUGUCAAUCGGUAUGUUACUUGCCUGAGAUUCGACCGUCGGUAUCCCAAUACCUCGUUCAAUCUCGUUACCGGCAAGUCACUUUACUCGUUUUAUAAUGCAUGAUCCCGUGACUAACUACUUAGUCACAUUGAGCUCAUUAUGAUGAUGCAUUACCGAGUGGGCCCAGAGAUACCUCUCCGUCAUACGGAGUGACAAAUCCCAGUCUCGAUGCGUGCCAACCCAACAGACACUUUCGGAGAUACCCGUAGUGCACCUUUAUAGCCACCCAGUUACGUUGUGACGUUUGGCACACCCAAAGCAUUCCUACGGUAUCCAGGAGUUGCACAAUCUCAUGGUCUAAGGAAAUGAUACUUGACAUUAGAAAAGCUUUUAGCAAACGAACUACACGAUCUUGUGCUAUGCUUAGGAUUGGGUCUUGUCCAUCACAUCAUUCUCCUAAUGAUGUGAUCCCGUUAUCAAUGACAUCCAAUGUCCAUGGUCAGGAAACCAUAACCAUCUAUUGAUCAACGAGCUAGUCAACUAGAGGCUCACUAGGGAAAUGUUAUGGUCUAUGUAUUCACACAUGUAUUACGGUUUCCAGUUAAUACAAUUAUAGCAUGAACAAUAGACAAUUUUCAUGAACAAGGAAAUAUAAUAAUAACCAUUUUAUUAUUGCCUCUAGGGCAUAUUUCCAACAGUCUCCCACUUGCACUAGAGUCAAUAAUCUAGUUCACAUCACUAUGUGAUUGCAAUGAAUUCAACACCCAUUGGGUUUGAUCAUAUCUCGCUUGUGAGAGAGGUUAUUAGUUAACGGGUCUGAAUCUUUCAGAUCCGUGUGUGCUUAACAAAUCUAUAUGUCAUCUCCUAGAUGCAGCUACCACGUGCUAUUUGGAACUAUUCCAAAUAACUGCUCUACUAUACGAAUCCAGUUUACUACUCAGAGUCAUCCGGAUUAGUGUCAAAGUUUGCAUCGACGUAACCCUUUACGACGAACUCUUUUACCACCUCCAUAAUCGAGAAAAUUCCUUAGUCAACUAGUUACUAAGGAUAAGUUUGACCGCUAUGAUGUGAUCCAUUCCUGGAUCGCUCUUGUACCCCUUGAUGGACUUCAUGUCAAGGCACACUUCGGGUGCGGUACACAACACAGCAUACUAUAGAGCCUACGUCUAAAGCAUAGGGGACGACCUUUGUCCUUUCUCUCUCUUCUGCCGUGGUCAGAUCUUGAGUCUUACUCAAUGCUCACACCUUAUAACACAACCAAGAACUCCUUCUUUGCUGAUUUGUUUGAACUCCUUCAAAAUCUUGUCACGGUAUGUAUUCAUUUGAAAGUACUAUUAAGCACUUUUUGAUCUAUCCUUAUAGAUCUUGAUGCUCAACGUUCAAGCAGCUUAAUCCAGGUUUUCCAUUGAAAAACACCUUUUCAAAUACCCUAUAUGCUUUCUAGAAAUUCUAUAUCAUUUCUGAUUAACAAUACGUCAACAACAUAUAUAUACUCACCAGAAAUUCUAUAGUGCUCCCAUUCACUUCUUCGGAAAUAUAAGUUUCUCAUAAACUUUGUAUAAAUCAAAAAUCUUUGAUCAUCUCAUCAAAGCGUAUAUUCCAACUCCGAGAUGCUUACUCCAGUCCUUAGAAGGAUUGCUAGAGCUUUGCAUACUUGUUAGCAUCUUUUAGGAUUGUCAAAACCUUCUGGUUGUAUCAGAUACAACCUUUCCUCAAGAAAAUCAUCGAGGAAACUAUAUUUUGACAUCCUAUCUGCAAGAUUUCAUAAAUAAUGUAGUAGCUGCUAAUAUAAUUCUAACAGACUCUUAGCAUCGCUACGAGUGAGAAAGUAUCAUCGUAGUCAACUCCUUGAACUUGUCGGAAAACAUCUCAGCGACAAGUCGAGCUUUGUUAAUGGUGACACUUACCGUCAUUGUCCGUCUUCCCUUUAAAAUCCAUCUGUACCCAAUGCCUUACGACCAUCAAGUAGUUCUUCCAAAGUCUAUACUUUGUUUUCAUACAUGGAUCCUUUCUCGGAUUUUAUGGCCUCGAGCCAUUCGUCGGAAUCCGGGCCCACCAUCGCUUCUCCAUAGCUCGUAGGUUCAUGGUUGUCUAGCAACAUGACCUUCAAGACAGGAUUACUGUACCACUCUGAAGUAGUACGCAUCCUUGUCACCCUACGAAGUAUGGUAGUGACUUGAUCCGAAGCUUCAUGAUCACUAUCAUAAGCUUCUACUUCAAUUAGUGUAGGCGCCACAGGAACAACUUCAUGUGCCUUGCUACACACUAGUUGAAGUGACGGUUCAAUAACCUCAUCAAGUCUCCACCAUCCUCCCACUCAAUUCUUUCGAGAGAAACAUUUCCUCGAGAAAGGACCCGUUUCCAGAAACAAUCACUUUUGCUUCCAGAUCUGAAUUAGGAGGUAUACCCAACUGUUUUAGGUGUCCUAUGAAGAUGCAUUUAUCCGCUUUGGGUUCGAGCUUAUCAGGCAAAACUUUUCCACAUAAGCGUCGCAGCCCCAAACUUUUAAGAAACGACAGCUUACGUUUCUCUAAACCGGUGUCAUCUCAACGGAAUUACGUGGUGCCCUAUUAAAGUGAAUGCGGUUGUCUCUAAUGCCUAACCCAUAAACGAUAGUGGUAAUUCAAUAAGAGACAUCAUGGUAUGCACCAUAUCCAACAGGGUGCAGUUAUGAUGUUUGGACACACCAUCACACUAUGGUGUUCCAGGCAGUAUUAGUUGUGAAACAAUUUCCACAAGGUCUUAAUUGUGUACCAAACUCGUAACUCAGGUAUUCAUCUCUAUGAUCAUAUCAUAGACAUUUUAUCCUCUUUUCACGACGAUCUUCAACUUCACUAUGAAAUUACUUGAACCUUUCAAUAAUUUAGACUUGUGUUUCAUCAAGUAAAUAUACUCAGAAUCUACUCAAUCAUCUGUGAAGUAAGAACAUAACGAUAUUCACUGCGUGCCUCAGCACUCAUUGGAUUGCACACAUCAAAUGUAUUACUUCCAACAAUUUGCUCUCUAGUUUCAUCUCACUGAAAAACGAGGCCUUUCAGUCAUCUUGCCCAUGUGGUAUAAUUUGCAUGUCUCAAGUGAUUGAAAAUCAAGUGAGUCCAGACGAUCCAUCUGUAUGGAGUUUCUUCAUGCAUAUAUACCAAUAGACAUGGUUCGUAUGUCUCAAUCUGUUCAAAAAACAAGUGAGUCCAAAGAUCCAUCAACAUGGAGCUUCUUCAUGCGUUUUAUACCAAUAUGACUCAAGUGGCAGUGCCACAAGUAUGUGGUACUAUCAUUACUAUCUUAUAACUUUUGGCAUGAACAUGUGUAUCACUACGAUCGAGAUUCAAUAAACCAUUCAUAUUAGGUGCAAGACCGUUGAAGGUAUUAUUCAAAUAAACAGAGUAACCAUUAUUCUCCUUAAAUGAAUAACCGUAUUGCGAUAAACAUAAUCCAAUCAUUUCUAUGCUCAACACAAACACCAAAUAACAAUUAUUGAGGUUUAACACCAAUCUCGAUGGUAGAGGGAGCAUGCGAUGCUUGAUCACAUCAACCUUGGAAACACUUCCAACACAUAUCGUCAUCUCACCUUUAGCUAGUCUCGCUUAUUCCGUAGCUCUUUUAUUUCGAGUUACUAACACUUAGCAACCGAACCGGUAUCUUAAUACCCUGGUGCUACUAGGAGUACUAGUAAAGUACACAUUAAUAUAAUGUAUAUCCAAUAUACUUCUAUUGACCUUGCCAACCUUCUCAUCUACCAAGUAUCUAGGGUAGUUCCGCUUCAGUGACCGUUCCCCUUAUUUCAGAAGCACUUAGUCUCGGGUUUGGGUUCAACCUUGGGUUUCUUCACUAGAGAAGCAACUGAUUUGCCGUUUCAUGAAGUAUCCCUUCUUGCCCUUGCCCUUCUUGAAACUAGUGGUUUUACCAACCAUCAAUAAUUGAUGCUCCUAUUUGAUUUCUACUUUCGCGGUGUCAAACAUCGCGAAUUGCUCAAGGAUCAUCAUGUCUAUCACUUAUAUGUUAUGGUUCAUCACGAAGCUCUAAUAGCUUGGUGGCAGUGACUAUGCAGAACCAUCACUAUCUCAUCUGGAAGAUUAACUCCCACUCGAUUCAAGUGAUUGUAGUACUCAGACAAUCUGAGCACAUGCUCAAUGAUUGAGCUUUUCUCCCUUAGUUUGCAGGCUUAAGAAACUCGUCAGAGGUAUCAUACCUCUUGAUGCGGGCACGAGCCUGAAAUCCCAAUUUCAUCCCUUUGAACAUCUCAUAUGUUCCACGACGUUUUAGAAACGUCUUUGUCGCCUCAAUUCUAAACCGUUUAACAUUACCGAACUAUCACGUAGUUAUCAAAACGUGUAUGUCAGAUGUUCGCAACAUCCACAGACGACGUUCGAGGUUCAGCACACCGAGCGGUGCAAUAACGACAUAAGCCUUCUAUGCAGCAAUGAGGACAAUCCUCAGUUUACGGACCCAGUCCGCAUAAUUGCUACUAUCAACUUUCAACUAAAUUUUCUCUAGGAUCAUAUCUAAAACAAUAGAACUAAAGCGCAAGCUACGACAUAAUUUGCAAAAACCUUUUGACUAUGUUUAGGAUAAUUAAGUUCAUCUUAUGAACUCCCACUCAGAUAGACAUCCCUCUAGUCAUCUAAUUGAUACAUGAUCCGAGUCAACUAGGCCGUGUCCGAUCAUCACGUGAGACGGACUAGUCAUCAUCGGUGAACAUCUUCAUGUUGAUCGUAUCCACUAUAUGACUCAUGUUUGACCUUUCGUUCUCUUGUGUUCCGAGGCCAUGUCUGUACAUGCUAGGCUCGUCAAGUCAACCUAAGUGUUUCGCGUGUGUAAAUCUGGCUUACACCCGUUGUAGGUGAAUGUUAGAAUCUAUCACACCCGAUCAUCACGUGGUGCUUCGAAACAACGAACUUCCGCAACGGUGCACAGUUAGGGGGAACACUUUCUUGAAAUUAUUAUGAGGGAUCAUCGUAUUUACUACCGUCGUUCUAGGCAAAUAAGAUGCAUAAACAUGAUAAACAUCACAUGCAAUCAAAUAGUGACAUGAUAUGGCCAAUAUCAUUUUGCUCCUUUUGAUCUCCAUCUUCGGGGCUCCAUGAUCAUCAUCGUCACUGGCAUGACACCAUGAUCUCCAUCAUCAUGAUCUCCAUCAUCGUGUCUUCAUGAAGUUCUCUCGCCAAGUAUUACUUCUACUACUAUGGCUAACGGUUUAGCAAUGAAGUAAAGUAAUUACAUGGUGUUAUUCAGUGACACACAGGCCAUACAAUAAAUAAAGACAACUCCUAUGGCUCCUGCCGGUGGUCAUACUCAUCGACAUGCAAGUCGUGAUUCCUAUUACAAGAAUAUGAUCAAUCUCAUACAUCACAUAUAUUUCAUUCAUCACAUCCUUCUUGGCCAUAUCACAUCACACGGCAUAUGCUGCAAAAACAAGUUAGACGUCCUCUAAUUGUUGUUGCAAGUUUUUACGUGGUUGCUACGGGUUUCUAGCAAGAACGUUUCUUACCUACGCCAAAACCACAACAUGAUAUGCCAAUUGCUAUUUACCCUUCAUGAGGACCCUUUUCAUCGAAUCCGAUCCGGCUAAAGUGGGGGAGACUGGCACCCGCUAGCCACCUUAUGCAACAAGUGCAUGUCAGUCGGUGGAACCUGUCUCACAUAAGUGUAUGUGUAAGGUCGGUUCGGGCCGCUUCAUCCCACAAUACCAUCGAAACAAGAUAGGACUAGUAACGGUAAGCAUAUUGAACAAAAUCAAUGCCCACAACAACUUGUGUUCUACUCGUGCAUAGAAUCUACACAAUAGACCUAGCUCAUGAUGCCACUGUUGGGGAACGUAGCAGAAAUUCAAAAUUUUCUAUGCAUCACCAAGAUCAAUCUAUGGAGAUUCUAGCAACAAGAGAGAGGGGAGUGUAUCUUCAUACCCUUGAAGAUCGCAAAGCGGAAGCGUUACAAGAACGCGGUCGGUGGAGUCGUUCACAAAGCGAUUCAGAUCGCGGCCGAAUCCGAUCUAAGCACCGAACAACGGUGCCUCCGCGUUCAACACACGUACAGCCCGGGGACGUCUCCUCCUUGAUCCAGCAAGGGGAGAGUUGAAGUUGAGGGAAAACUCCGACAGCACGACGGCAUGGUGGUGAUGGAGCUCGUGGUUCUCCGGCAGGCCUUCGCCAAGCACUACGGAGGAGGAGGAGGUGUUGGAGGAGGGAGAGGGCUGCGCCAGGGGAAGGGUGCGUCUGCCCUCUCUCUCCCUCACUAUAUAUAGGGGGAAGGGAGGAGGGGGAGGCGCCCUAGGGUUCCCUAGGGGAGGGGCGGUGGCCACAGGGAAACCCUAGAUGGGUUUGGGCGCCCCCACCCCCUAGGAAACUUGCCCCCCAAGCCGGGAGGGGCGGCUGCCCUAGGGGUGGCGCCCCCACCUCUCCUGGUUAUGUGAGAUGGGGUGGGAGAGGCCUUCAGCCCCUUAGUGGGCUGAUGUGUCCUCUCCCCUUGGCCCAUAAGGCCCCCAACGCUUGCCAGGGCCUCCAAAACCCCUUUCGGACACGCUGGUCAUCACCUGGUACCCCCGGAACAAUUCCGGACUCCAAUACCCUUCGUCCAAUGUACUGAUCUUCACCUCCGGACCAUUCCAGAGCUCCUCGUCAUGUCCGGGAUCUCAUCUGGGACUCCGAACAACCUUCGUUAACCACAUACUAUUUCCCAUAACAACUCUAGCAUCACCGAACCUUAAGUGUGUAGACCCUACGGGUUCGGGAACCAUGCAGACAUGACCGAGACAUUCUUCGGUCAAUAACCAACAGCGGGAUCUGGAUACCCAUGUUGGCUCCCACAUGUUCCACGAUGAUCUCAUCGGAUGAACCCCAAUGUCAAGGAUUCAAGCAAUCCCGUAUGCAAUUCCCUUUGUCAAUCGGUAUGUUACUUGCCCGAGAUUCGAUCGUCGGUAUCCCAAUACCUCAUUCAAUCUCGUUACCGGCAUGUCACUUUACUCGUUCCAUAAUGCAUGAUCCCGUGACUAACUACUUAGUCACAUUGAGCUCAUUAUGAUGAUGCAUUACCGAGUGGGCCCAGAGAUACCUCUCCGUCAUACGGAGUGACAAAUCCCAGUCUCGAUGCGUGCCAACCCAACAGACACUUUCGGAGAUACCCGUAGUGCACCUUUAUAGCCACCUAGUUACGUUGUGACGUUUGGCACACUCAAAACAUUCGUACGGUAUCCGGGAGUUGCACAAUCUCAUGGUCUAAGGAAAUGAUACUUGACAUUAGAAAAGCUUUUAGCAAACGAACUACACGAUCUUGUGCUAUGCUUAGGAUUGGUUCUUGUCCAUCACAUCAUUUUCCUAAUGAUGUGAUCCCGUUAUCAAUGACAUCCAAUGUCCAUGGUCAGGAAACCAUAACCAUCUAUUGAUCAACGAGUUAGUCAACUAGAGGCUCACUAGGGAAAUGUUGUGGUCUAUGUAUUCAGACAUGUAUUACGGUUUCCAGUUAAUACAAUUAUAGCAUGAACAAUAGACAAUUAUCAUGAACAAGGAAAUAUAAUAAUAACCAUUUUAUUAUUGCCUCUAGGGCAUAUUUCCAACAGGACCUCCUAGUCCAGGACACCGUCAGUCGGGUAGCAAUACUAGGGAAAACCUUAUACAUAGAAUCUUAGCAGUAGCGCUGGGUAAAAUGAGGCGUUGCUGCUACUUAGUACUAGCGUGUGUCAGUAAGACGCGCUACUACUAUCCUUUUAGCAGCAGCGCGUUUUAGCGAAAUGCGCUGCAGCUAACUUUAACUAGGCACAUAUGGCUAGCCCCACUUAGCAGCAGCGCAUAUCCCGAUACCACGCAACUACUAUGCUCCAUAGUAGUAGCGCCUUUCUUAGACACACGCUACUACUAACCCUACCUUAUCGUCCCCGCACGACUGACGACCCCCCUUACUCUUCCUCUCACUCACUCUCUCCCCCGUGCCCCCGUCCUCCGCCACCGCUGUCGGUGUCAAAACCGGCGGAUCUCGGGUAGGGGGUCCCGAUCUGUGCGUCUUAAGCUAAUGGUAACAGGAGGCAAGGGACACAAUGUUUACCCAGGUUCGGGCCCUCUCGAUGGAGGUAAAACCCUACUUCCUGCUUGAUUGAUAUUGAUGAUAUGAGUAGUACAAGAGUUGAUCUACCACGAGAUCGUAGAGGCUAAACCCUAGAAGCUAGCCUAUGCUGAUUAUGAUUGUGAUCGCCCCUCUAAGGAUUAAACCCUCCGGUUUAUAUAGACACCGGAGGGGGCUAGGGUUUACCAGGAGUCGGUUACAAAUAAGGAAACAUAAUAUCCGAAUCGCCAAGCUUGUCUUCCACGCAAAGGAGAGUCCUAUCCGGACAUGGGACGCUGUCUGGAGUGUUGUAUCUUCACGGUCCUAUAGUCCGGCCAAAGUAUAUAGUCCGGCAGUCCGGAUACCCCCUAAUCCAGGACUCCCUCAGUAGCCCCUGAACCAGGCUUCAAUGACGAUGAGUCCGGCGCGCAGUUUUAUCUUCGACAUUGCAAGGCGGGUUCCAUCUCCGAAUACUCCAAAGUAAUUAUCGAACACUUAGACCGUAUCCGGAUCUGCAAGAUGAUCUUUGUGACGCCCGGAUACUUAAGCUACAGUGAUCCCCGCUAAUAAUGCCACGUCACCUCGGUUACUGUGGAUAAACUCACGUUAGUUCGAAACCUAGUUCGAAUUUCAAAUUUAAAACCGAGGCAAACAAUAAAAGUUUUAAAAUAUUGAACAAAAAUGUCCGGUGUGUGACCAAUAUUGCUAAAGUAAUUAUAUUGAAGAAAGCAUAAUUUUACAAAGUGCCUAAGUGCUUUAAACUAAAUAAAACAGAAAAGAAAAAGAAAUAAAAGAAAACAGAAAGCAAACUAACAAAAAAGGAGAAAGGCCCCACUGAGCUUCGGCCCAGCAGGCCGGCCCAUUCGGCCACACCGACCGGCCCAACCCCUCCCCUCGAUAACCCCACCAGGAGAAACCCUAACUUACCCACUCCCCAAUCCCCACUCCCCCCACUCUUCCCUCACUCCCCCGAUCUGGAUCGAGAUCGGGGUGACCACGCCACCGCCCCGGAUCGCUGUCGCCGUUGCCUUCUCGCCCCCCUCGCCUCGCGCAACCCCCACCUGAAGCCGACGCCACCCGUCUCCGACCCUGUCGCCCUCGCUUGCCGCGACGACCGCACGCGGGCGCCUCGGAGCUCGCCGACCCCGCCCCGCACCAAGACGCCACCUCGCCGGCCUGCCUCCUCUACGCCGUCGUCGCCAUCUUCCUCCUCAACCCCCGUUGCCUAGACCCCACGCUCCCAUGGUGAGCUUCUACGCCGAACGCGCCGUCCCUUGUCCCCCUUUCGACCUCGUCGGCCUAGUCGCCGCCGCCCCUGUAGUUCGUCCCGCGCCUCUAUGUUCCGCCCCUGCCCGCGUGUCCCCGCGGCCCGUGCGCGCCGUGGCCGCGCCAUGCCUCACUCCGGGGACGCGCUCGCCGUGCCCGCGACCUCCCGUGGCCGCGCCCGGAGUUCUGGUCCCCUGCGCUUGCUCCACUCCCUCCGCGCCCUGGCCGGACCCACCUGCACCCAGCCGCCCGUGCCUACUCCCGCCGCCACUCCCGCUGCUGCACGGCUCCGCCGCCCUACGCCACUUCGGUCGGCUGUGCCUCGCCGGCGCCAAACCCCGAGCCCCACCCCGUGGCUGGCCUUGCCCAAUGCCUAGUCGGGCUCACGCCCGCACCAGCACCGCCCUGUGCCCGCUAAGGCCUCCGUGCCUUUAACAUCUGGGGCCGCCCCAGAACGUUUAAAAAAAAGAAGAAUUAGAAAAAUAUUAAUUAAUUAAUUAAUUAAUUAGAUAAUUAAUUAACUUAAUUAGAUAUGCUAAUUAACCUGAUUAACUCUGAUUAGAUAACCUAAUGAUUAAUUAACUAGUUAAUUAGGUUUAGUUGAACUAUGACUAUGACAAGUGGGACCCACACAUAAGUUUGACUAAGUCAACAGGACUGUUGACUGCUGACUGGGCCUGUUGACCGGGCUGUUGACCCAGUCAAUGGCCCCAUCUGUCAGGUUGACCAGUCAACUCCGUUGACUGCUGACGUCAGCAUGACAUCAUGCUGAUGUCAUAAAUCCAUUUUCGAAUUAAAUUAAAUAGUUAAUUAAAUUCCAGAAAUUAAUAAAAUCUUUAGAAAAUCAUAUCUUUUAAACCGUAACUCGGAUUAAAUUAUUUUCAACAUGAAAUUUGCUCAGAACGACGAGAUGAAUCCAAAAACGCAGCCCGUUCGUCCGCCACGCAUCCCUAACCUAUCGAACUCGCAACUUUCCCCCUCCGGCUCCUCUGCCGAAAACACGAAACACCGGGGAUACUUUCCCGGAUGUUUCCCCCCUUCACCGGCAUCACCUCAUACCGCGUUAGGGCACGCCUAGCAUCACGCUUUGCUUCGUCAUGCAUCUGUUUGCAUUGUAUUCAUUGUUUCUUCCCCCUCUUCUUCCGCUAGACACCGAGACCAACGCUGCUGCUGCCCUGUUCGACUACGGAGUUGACGACCCCUCUCUCUUGCCAGAGCAACCAGGCAAGCCCCCCCCCUUGAUCACCAGAUAUCGCCUAUUCUCCUCUAUAAUGCUUGCAUUAGAAUAGUGUAGCAUGUUACUGCUUUCCGUUAAUCCUAUUCUGAUGCAUAGCCUGACAUUGUUGCUACAUCUGUUGAUACCUUACCUGCAAUCCUAAAUACUGAGUAUAGGAUGCUAGUUUAUCAUCAUUGGCCCUACAUUCUUGUCAGUCUGCCUUGCUAUACUAUUGGGCCGUGAUCACUCGGGAGGUGAUCACGGGUAUAUACUAUACAUACAUACAUACUGUACAGAUUGUGACUAAAGUUGGGUCAGCUCGAUGAGUACCCGCAAGUGAUUCUGAUGAGGGGGCUGAAAGGACAGGCGGCUCCUUCCCGGUAGAGGUGGGCCUGGGUUCCCGGCGGCCCCCGACUGUUACUUUGUGGCGGAGCGACAGGGCAGGUUGAGACCACCUAGGAGACAGGUGGGCCUGGCCCUGUUCGGCGUUCACGGAUACUUAACACGCUUAACGAGAUCUUGGUAUUUGAUCUGAGUCUGGCUACUGGCCUAUACGCACUAACCCACUACGCGGGAACAAUUAUGGGCACUCGACGUCGUGGUAUCAGCCGAAGCCUUCUUGACGUCAGCGACGGAGCGGCGCGCGCCGGAUUGGACUGGAAUGCCUACUCUUGUAUAAGAGAGGCUAGGUCUGCUUCCGGCCACCCUCGCAACGUGCAGGUGUGCAAUGGGCGAUGGGCCCAGACCCCUGCGCGCAUAGGAUUUAGACCGGCGUGUUGACCUAUCUGUUGUGCCUAGGUGGGGCUGCGACGUGUUGAUCUUCCGAGGCCGGGCAUGACCCAGGAAAGUGUGUCCGGCCAAAUGGGAUCGAGCGUGUUGGGUUAUCUGGUGCACCCCUGCUGGGAAGUUAAUCUAUUCGAAUAGCGUGUCCCUCGGUAAAAGGACGAACCGGAGUUGUACCUUGACCUUAUGACAACUAGAACCGAAUACUUAAUAAAACACACCCUUCCAAGUGCCAGAUACAACCCGGUGAUCGCUCUCUAAUAGGGCGACAAGGAGAGGAUCGCCGGGUAGGAUUAUGCUAUGCGAUGCUACUGGAGAUGCUACUUGGAGAUGCUACUUGGAGAUGCUACUUGGAGGACUUCAAUCUACUCUCUUCUACAUGCUGCAAGACGGUGGCUGCCAGAAGCGUAGUCUUCGAUAGGACUAGCUAUCCCCCUCUUAUUCUGGCAUUCUGCAGUUCAGUCCACUGAUAUGGCCUCCUUACACAUAUACCCAUGCAUAUGUAGUGUAGUUCCUUGCUUGCGAGUACUUUGGAUGAGUACUCACGGUUGCUUUCUCCCCCCUUUUCCCCCCUUUCCUUUCUUUCUGGUUGUCGCAACCAGAUGCUGGACUCCAGGAGCCAGACGCCACCGUCGACGACGACCCCUACUACACUGGAGGUGCCUACUACUACGUGCAGCCCGCUGACGACGACCAGCAGUAGUUGGGAGGAUCCCAGGCAGGAGGCCUGCGCCUCUUUCGAUCUGUAUCCCAGUUUGUGCUAGCCUUCUUAAGGCAAACUUGUUUAACUUAUGUCUGUACUCAGAUAUUGUUGCUUCCGCUGACUCGUCUAUGAUCGAGCACUUGUAUUCGAGCCCUCGAGGCUCCUGGCUUGUAUUACGAUGCUUGUAUGACUUAUUUAUGUUUUAGAGUUGUGUUGUGAUAUCUUCCCGUGAGUCCCUGAUCUUGAUCGUACACAUUUGCGUGCAUGAUUAGUGUACGAUUGAAUCGCGGGCGUCACAAGUUGGUAUCAUAGCCGACUGCCUGUAGGAAUCCCUCUUCCACACUCCUUGGCCGAAGUCGAGUCUAGUCACUACAAAACUUUUACUAACUUGGUUGUGUGCCUUACGGGCCCACGUCGCCAUUGGGUGGUAUUAGGAUCUUUUACUUCUCGACCUUUACUCUGGGGCUCUGAACUCUCUCCUACUCGGGUUAAAUGAAUUUUGCUAAAUCUAACAUUAGGAUCUCGUUAUCACUUUCACCCGGAGAGCCCCUUAUUACUGAUGAUCGUCUGCUGCACGUGAAGACCCUGAAGAUACUCUCCGCUGUUAACCCGAGAACUUGUGUUCAUCGCGUUUGCAAUUCCUCUUCCACCGUAAACCCUUAUGGAUAACUACUUGCAGUUGUUAUUCUUACCUUCAUCCCCAGUUGGUCUUGUUAUUACAAGAUACCCUGAAAAACUCGUCGUUGUUUCGAUAAUCCUUUGAGCUUACUGCCUUGUUGUUCUUUGUCACCUGAAUACCCCUAUGGUUAAUUCUCGCACUUAUCGAGUAUCCGCUCAUCCCCCAGUUGUUCAUGUGUUACACAAAAGUCUUCAAAAUGCUAUUUGAACUUCCGAAAAUCCUGAGUCGCCUAUUGCACUUGAAAUUCUUGCUUGCUGGCAUUAUGGUUAAUCCCAUAAGUCCCGUAGUCUUAUUGACAUUCCUUGUCAUUAUCAUUUUGAGUCUGUUGACUCAAUAUGUUUGCGAAUACACGCAAUCAUCAUUGAUAUAAAUUACCUUUCCGGCUGAGCUGCCAUUCUUUUAACUGGAAUUAGUUCUCGACCAAUCCAAUUGUCGUUGAUUGUACCCUAAGGCUAUUCAACUUAUCCAUCCCUAAUCAGAGCAUUGCUUCUGAUCCCUUGAUUUGGAAAUCAUAAUUCCUUUGCAUUUGACAAUUGAGUUAGUCAGUUGUUUCUAUAAUCUGAUCUCCUUGUAUUCUUAUUCCUCUAGUUGAGUACCGAUGCUCAUGUCAGAUCCCUUGUGGACCACCAGAUCCUUUGUUGGAUUUUAUCUGACAACGCCCUUCAUAUUCAAUAACCUUGUGAGCCUUUCCAUGGGUAUAUAAUGCCUUUGGUAAUUUGUAACCUCUACUUUGAUAACCAUACUCUAGUUUCGAGCUUGUAUUAUCUACUCCGAAGCUUGUGGUACAUUUUUCUAAGAAGCCCUUAUGGGUUGAACAUAUGCCUUCUCUAAACCGUGUGAACCCGAAAGUUUUCACGAGUCAUACCAUUCUGGUGUUUUUACCAGAUAAUUUUCUGCUCUACAACUUCUUCAAAAAACGAGAAGUAAAUGAUAGGUUAGGCAUUGAAGAAGUGGGAGUCGACCUUGAACUUUGUGUUCAUGCCCAUGGACACGAUGCAGAUCUUAUCAUGGAAGCUUCUCUUAAAUUAAUUAUCCCCUUGGUAUAAGUUCAUCUUAUAUCUGGGAUUUGAUCUUUUGCAAUCGUGGUUCCGGCCAUAUUGUUCUUCUUUGAUCCCGUUUCUCGGACAAGUUAAAUUGCUUGUCUUCUGCACAUCAUUUCACCUGUCAAGCUUCUAUUCUAGUCUACUUCGAGUAUUACCCCCUGGUGUCUCAAGGAUAUCAACCCAUUGCACUUCAUCUUAUGAAUUUCUGACGAAGUAAUACCUUUCCCGUCAUAGUCACUCCACGGGUUCUAGGUUGUCGUCAACCGAAAAUACCGGGUUGUGACUCGAAUCAACACUGAGAUUAGUACUCCCAGUACAUUGUUGUUGAGAAUUUUAAUACUCCAUCAAGUCAUUCUUAGCCUGAUCGGCUAUAUUGUUAUCAUGCUAAAUUUUAAUUGUGCUACCUGGUCCUUAUUCCCGGAGCACAACUUUCGACGAUAGCUAGCUUACGGCGAUCGUCCUCGGCAUAUCAUUUCGCCUUGAACAACAAUCUUUGAUUUCAAGUUUGUAUUGUACUAGUGGUUUCAAUAACCUUUCGCUUCAUCAUUCCCUUGACUUGUUGUCAUCGCCGAUCAAUUACACCUUCAUGAAAUCUCUCGACAAUUGUGUCGGAUCACCUUCAACACUUUGACUUCUUCCGAGAUGUUAACUGUGUUCAUGAUGAGAAAUACCCUCCUUGCCCUCGAUGAUUUUAUUAUCAUCGACAACACCCUUGACUUCCUUUCAUCGCGAGCUUGUCCACAUUAUGAAUACAACCUGCUCUCCAGCUAAUGUUGUGUUCUGCCUUGAAGUAUUACUGUCUUUUCUAUCAAGAACGUGGUGAGGAUUGCUCCACCUCUUAAGAAUUCUUGAAAUAGUGAUACUUCUCCCCAUCACCUUCUUUCUUGGUCCCCGUGUUGUUUCUAACCGGAAUACUAACAAUUGAACUAUGAUGUGUGAAUUCAAAAUUCCUAGCAACCCUAUUGCUUUGAAGUGAAUGGUCAAUAACUCCAUUCUAAGUCUUUUGGUUAUUGAAUCGCCAUUCUAACAUUGAUCAUGCUACCUAAGCCCGUAUUUCAGGGUGCACCUUUCAACUGUUGUUUACUUGGGUAUGUUUUCCUCGAGCAUAUCUCAUUAUAUCAUUUGAUCUGACAAAUGUUAUCUCCUUGUUCACAUAAUUGUGGAAAUCCAUCCUUUGAAAUUCUCAAUGAAUUGUUGCCGAGUCAAUCAGCCACCUCCUCACCUCUCCUUGAUUUAAUGAAGAACUCUUGUUUUGGAACUCACUUCCAUAGUUCAAUUCUCUAGAAUCUUACAAUGUCAUCUCGACAACUUGUGUUGCACCUUCCUUCUUCGGCGUCAUGAGUCUAAGGUAUCCUGACACCAAUCAGAACUGAAUCUCGGUCAGAUAUGAUGGUUGGAACAUAUUUCCAUGAGAUAUAACAUGGGCCUUUAUAUGACUCGGUAAUAUGAUGUCAUGCCUAGCACCCCCCCCCCUUAUUGGAGGACCUAUCAUUAUAAUUUCUUUCACAAGGAUAACCAUUCUUCCUGGAGGAAAUUAUAAGACUUAUUUUAUAAGUUGCUCCUAAUGGAUCAUUUGUGUAUCCAAAGUCCGACCCUUGAUUGAAACACCAUCUCAAUGCUACCUCGAAGCAUGACUAUGAUACCCCGCUCUUCAACAAGAACAUUGGAGGCGUGAUGCUAAAUAUUUCUUGGUCAGUUACCCAAACACCGUUGUAUGGGUAACAUCAUAAUUAAUCCUUGCCUCUUAUCUGAAUGUUGGGUACUUGCUCUCCUACCCUAUAUGCCAUGCUCUGCUUGUACAUGGGAAGGAUAUACUCCUUAUAAUUGUGUGUAAUCACAAUUUUCCUUUCCAUUCUUUCGUUUAUCCUUUCCUGAAUCUGACUUAACUAAGUAGAGAUAAUUCCCUGCUUAGGUAGGCACCUUGUUGUAACAUUCUGUCUGUAAGAUCCUGUUACUAUUGUUGAUGACAUUCCGGUAACCACCGAUGGGUGAUAACUUUGCCAAUUGGUUCACCUCGUUCAACAAGCAAGAAAAAUUGCUCUCUUAAUUCCCCGUCCUUGGUACCGACAUUGUUGCCGACAUAGCUGACAAGCUAUUCACUGGCAUGCCUCCUUGUCUCCACUUUGCAAGAUGUCACCACCCUUCCUACUUUCAACCCACAUGGUGGGCCCAUGACGCACAGGUCCACUGGAUCGAAACCUGACUCUCCUUUACAACCCGAAUUCUAAUGUAUCCUUUGCACCUAGCUUCGUAUGUGAUUCACGAGCUGAAUGCUAUACCAUUAUUCAUCCUGGAAUCAAACACCAUGUUAUUCUCGUUGUUCAAACCCCCAUUCUAGCUUCUGUCUAGUCAUGAAUGGUUGCCUACCCGUUUGGAACUUUGGUACCAUUGUAUAUUGCACUCAACGAAUUCUCUGAAAUACAACUCGUUGGGUACCUUGUGUAUUUCCCAUUCCGUUCACUGUCAGAUGCCUAGCCUUGUGGAGAUGCGUUCUUCCAGAGUUUUUCUCCUUGGUCGCGUUCGUAGGACGAUGGAGAUCCCGAAGAAAGGAUGACGAUUUGAUCAUGGUGCCUUGAAGCAGAGAAAUGAAGACAUCAACGAAAGAGAUCAACCUCUUCGAAAGGGGAGCCAAGACCAAGAAGACUCGUUAGGUUUUUCGCUACCAGCACCUUUCCCCCUUUCACUACCUCUUAAAUCUCGGGACGAGAUUUCUUGUAGUGGAGGAGACUUGUGACGCCCGGAUACUUAAGCUACAGUGAUCCCCGCUAAUGAUGCCACGUCACCUCGGUUACCGUGGAUAAACUCGCGUUAGUUCGAAACCUAGUUCGAAUUUCAAAUUUAAAACCGAGGCAAACAAUAAAAGUUUUAAAAUAUUAAACAAAAAUGUUCGGUGUGUGACCAAUAUUGCUAAAGUAAUUAUAUUGAAGAAAGCAUAAUUUUACAAAGUGCCUAAGUGCUUUAAACUAAAUAAAACAGAAAAGAAAAAGAAAUAAAAGAAAACAGAAAGCAAACUAACAAAAAAAAGAGAAAGGCCCCACUGAGCUUCGGCCCAGCAGGCCGGCCCAUUGGGCCACACCGACCGGCCCAACCCCUCCCCUCAAUAACCCCACCAGGAGAAACCCUAACUUACCCACUCCCCGAUCCCCACUCCCCCACUCUCCCCUCACUCCCCCGAUCUGGAUCGAGAUCGGGGCGACCACGCCACCGCCCAGGAUCGCUGUCACCGUUGCCUUCUCGCCCCCCCUCGCCUCGCGCGACCCCCACCUGAAGCCGGCGCCACCCGUCUCCGACCCUGUCGCCCUCGCUCGCCGCGACGACCGCACGCGGGCUCCUCAGAGCUCGCCGACCCCGCCCCGCACCAAGACGCCACCUCGCCAGCCUGCCUCCUCUACGCCGUCGUCGCCAUCUUCCUCCUCAACCCCCGUUGCCUAGACCCCACGCUCCCACGGUGAGCUUCUACGCCGAACGCGCCGUCCCUUGUCCCCCUUUCGACCUCGUCGGCCUAGUCGCCGCCGCCCCUAUAGUUCGUCCCGCACCUCUGUGUUCCGCCCUUGCCCGCGUGUCCCCGCGGCCCGUGCGCGCCGUGGCCGCGCCAUGCCUCACUCCGGGGACGCGCUCGCCGCGCCCGCGUCCUCCCGUGGCCGCGCCCGGAGUUCUGCUCCCCUGCGCCUGCUCCACUCCCUCCGCGCCCUGGCUGCACCCACCUGCACCCAGCCGCCCGUGCCUACUCCCGCCGCCACUCCCGCUGCUGCACGGCUCCGCCGCCCCGCGCCAAACCCCGAGCCCCACCCCGUGGCUGGCCUUGCCCAGUGCCCAGUCGGGCUCACGUCCACACCCGCACCGCCCUGUGCCCGCUAAGGCCUCCGUGCCUUUGACAUGUGGGGCCGCCCCCAGAACAUUUAAAAAAAAAGAAGAAUUAGAAAAAUAUUAAUUAAUUAAUUAGAUAAUUAAUUAACCUAAUUAGAUCUGCUAAUUAACUUGAUUAACUCUGAUUAGAUAACCUAAUGAUUAAUUAACUAGUUAAUUUGGUUUAGUUAAGCUGUGACUAUGACAAGUGGGACCCACGCAUAAGUUUGACUAAGUCAACAGGACUGUUGACUGUUGACUGGGCCUGCUGACCGUGCUGUUGACCCAGUCAAUGGCCCCAUCUGUCAGGUUGACCGGUCAACUCCGUUGACUGCUGACGUCAGCAUGACAUCAUGCUGAUGUCAUAAAUCCAUUUUCGAAUUAAAUUAAAUAGUUAAUUAAAUUCCAGAAAUUAAUAAAAUCUUUAGAAAAUCAUAUCUUUUAAAUCGUAACUCGGAUUAAAUUAUUUUCAACAAGAAAGUUGCUCAGAACGAUGAGACGAAUCCAGAAACGCAGCCCGUUCGUCUGCCACGCAUCCCUAACCUAUCGAACUCGCAACUUUCCCCCUCCGGCUCCUCUGCCCGAAAACACGAAACACCGGGGAUACUUUCUCGGAUGUUUCCCCCCUUCACCGGCAUCACCUCAUACCGCGUUAGGGCACGCCUAGCAUCACGCUUUGCUUUGUCAUGCAUCUGUUUGCAUUGUAUUCAUUGUUUCUUCCCCCUCUUCUUCCGCUAGACACCGAGACCAACGCUGCUGCUGCCCAGUUCGACUAAGGAGUUGACGACCCCUCUCUCUUGCCAGAGCAACCAGGCAAGCCCCCCUCCCCCUGAUCACCAGAUAUCGCCUACUCUCCUCUAUACUUCUUGCAUUAGAGUAGUGUAGCAUGUUACUGCUUUCCGUUACUCCUAUUCUGAUGCAUAGCCUGACAUUGUUGCUACAUCUGUUGAUACCUUACCUGCAAUCCUAAAUACUUAGUAUAGGAUGCUAGUUUAUCAUCAUUGGCCCUACAUUCUUGUCAGUCUGCCUUGCUAUACUAUUGGGACGUGAUCACUCGGGAGGUGAUCACGGGUAUAUACUAUACAUACAUACAUACUCUACAGAUUGUGACUAAUGUCGGGUCAGCUCGAUGAGUACCCGCAAGUGAUUCUGAUGAGGGGGCUGAAAGGACAGGUGGCUCCAUCCCGGUAGAGGUGGGCCUGGGUUCCCGACGGCCCCCGACUGUUACUUUGUGGCGGAGCGACAGGGCAGGUUGAGACCACCUAGGAGACAGGUGGGCCUGGCCCUGUUCGGCGUUCGCGGAUACUUAACACGCUUAACGAGAUCUUGGUAUUUGAUCUGAGUCUGGCUACUAGCCUAUACGCACUAACCAACUACGCGGGAACAGUUAUGGGCACUCGACAUCGUGGUAUCAGCCGAAGCCUUCUUGACGUCAGCGACGGAGCGGCGCGCGCCGGAUUGGACUGGAACGCCUACUCUUGUAUAAGAGAAGCUAGGUCUGCUUCUGGCCGCCCUCGCAACGUGCAGGUGUGCAAUGGGCGAUGGGCCCAGACCCCUGCGCGCAUAGGAUUUAGACCGGCGUGUUGACCUCUCUGUUGUGCCUAGGUGGGGCUGCGAUGUGUUGAUCUUCCGAGGCCGGGCAUGACCCAGGAAAGUGUGUCCGGCCAAAUGGGAUCGAGCGUGUUGGGUUAUGUGGUGCACCCCUGCAGGGAAGUUAAUCUAUUCGAAUAGCCGUGUCCCUCGGUAAAAGGACGACCCGACGUUGUACCUUGACCUUAUGACAACUAGAACCGGAUACUUAAUAAAACACACCCUUCCAAGUGCCAGAUACAACCCGGUGAUCGCUCUCUAACAGGGCGACGAGGAGAGGAUCGCCGAGUAGGAUUAUGCUAUGCGAUGCUACUGGAGAUGCUACUUGGAGAUGCUACUUGGAGGACUUCAAUCUACCCUCUUCUACAUGCUGCAAGACGGUGGCUGCAAGAAGCGUAGUCUUCGAUAGGACUAGCUAUCCCUGUUGGGUAACGUAGCAGAAAUUCAAAAUUUUCCUACGUGUCACCAAGAUCUAUCUAUGGAGAAACCAGCAACGAGGGGAAGGAGAGUGCAUCUACAUACCCUUGUAGAUCGCUAAGCGGAAGUGUUCAAGAGAACGGCGUUGAAGGAGUCGUACUCACCGUGAUCCAAAUCACCGGAGAUCCUAGUGCCGAACGGACGGCACCUCCGCGUUCAACACACGUACAGCCCGGUGACGUCUCCCACGCCUUGAUCCAGCAAGGAGAGAGGGAGAGGUUGAGGAAGACUCCAUCCAGCAGCAGCACAACGGCGUGGUGGUGAUGGAGGAGCGUGGUAGUCUACCAGGGCUUCGCCAAGCACCGCGAGAUAUGAGGAGAAGGGAGAGAGGUAGGGCUGCGCCAAGAGGAGAAGGGAGAGAUUCUCGUGUGUUGGGCAGCCCCUAGGCCUCAAGUAUUUAUAGGGGGAGGAGAGGGGGCUGCGCCCCCUCUAGGGUUCCCUCCCCAGGGGUGGCGGCAGCCCCCAGAUCCCAUCUGGGUGGCGGCAGCCCCCAGAUCCCAUCUGGGUGGCGGCCAGAAGGGGAGAGGGGGGAGGCGCACCCAGGGUGGGCCUUAGGGCCCAUUUGCCCUAGGGUUUGCCCCCCCUUCCCCACUUCCUGCACCUUGGGCCCUGUGGGGGGGCGCACCAGCCCACCUGGGGCUGGUCCCCUCCCACACUUGGCCCAUGCAGCCCUCCAAGGUUGGUGGCCCCACUUGUUGGACCCCCAGGACCCUCCCGGUGGUCCCGGUACGUUACCGGAAAAACUCGAAACUUUUCCGGUGACAAAAAUAGGACUUCCAAUAUAUAAAUCUUUACCUCCGGACCAUUCCGGAACUCCUCGUGAUGUCCGGGAUCUCAUCCGGGACUCCGAACAACAUUCGGUAACCACAUACAAACUUCCUUUAUAACCCUAGCAUCAUCGAACUUUAAGUGUGUAGACCCUACGGGUUCGGGAGACAUGUAGACAUGACCGAGACGUUCUCCAGUCAAUAACCAACAGCGGGAUCUGGAUACCCAUGUUGGCUCCCACAUGUUCCACAAUGAUCUCAUCGGAUGAACCACGAUGUCAAGGACUCAGUCGAUCCCGUAUACAAUUCCCUUUGUCUAACGGUAUUUUACUUGCCCGAGAUUCGAUCGUCGGUAUACCGAUACCUUGUUCAAUCUCGUUACCGGCAAGUCUCUUUACUCGUUACGUAACACAUCAUCCCGUGAUCAACCCCUUGGUCACAUUGUGCACAUUAUGAUGAUGUCCUACCGAGUGGGCCCAGAGAUACCUCUCCGUUUACACGGAGUGACAAAUCCCAGUCUCGAUCCGUGUCAACCCAACAGACACUUUCGGAGAUACCUGUAGUGCACCUUUAUAGUCACCCAGUUACGUUGUGACGUUUGAUACACCCAAAGCACUCCUACGGUAUCUGGGAGUUACACGAUCUCAUGAUCUAAGGAAGAGAUACUUGACAUUGGAAAAGCUCUAGCAAACGAACUACACGGUCUUUGUGCUAUGCUUAGGAUUGGGUCUUGUCCAUCACAUCAUUCUCCUAAUGAUGUGAUCCCAUUAUCAACGACAUCCAAUGUCCAUAGCCAGGAAACCAUGACUAUCUGUUGAUCACAACGAGCUAGUCAACUAGAGGCUCACUAAGGACAUAUUGUGGUCUAUGUAUUCACACGUGUAUUACGAUUUCCGGAUAAUACAGUUAUAGCAUGAAUAAAAGACAAUUAUCAUGAACAAGGAAAUAUAAUAAUAAUACUUUUAUUAUUGCCUCUAGGGCAUAUUUCCAACAGUCUCCCACUUGCACUAGAGUCAAUAAUCUAGUUCACAUCGCCAUGUGAUUAACACUCACAGGUCACAUCACCAUGUGACCAACAUCCAAAGAGUUUACUAGUGUCAUUAAACUAGUUCACAUCAUCAUGUGAUUAAGACUCAAUGAGUUCUGGGGUUUGAUCAUGUUUUGCUUGCAAGAGAGGUUUUUUGUCAAUGGGUCUGCAACUUUCAGAUCCGUAUGUACUUCGCAAAUUUCUGGGUCAUAUUGUAAAUGUUGCUUCCACGCUCCACUUGGAUCUAUUCCAAAUGGUUUCUCCACUAUACGUAUCCGGUUUGCUACUCAAAGUCACUCGGAUAGGUGUUAAAGCUUGCAUCGACGUAACCCUUUACGCCGAACUCUUUAUCACUUCCAUAAUCGAGAAACAUGUCCUUAUUUACUCCAAGGACAAUUUUGACCACUGUCCAAUGAUCCAUUCCUGGAUCAUUCUUGUACCCCUUGACUGACUCGUGGCAAGGCACACUUCCGGUGCGGUACACAGCAUAGCAUACUAUAGAGCCUAUGUCUGAAACAUAGGGGACGACCAUCGUCCUUUCUCUCUCUUCUGCCGUGGUCGAGCUUUAACUCUUAACUUCAUACCUUACAACUCAGGCAAGAACUCCUUCUUUAACUGAUCCAUCUUGAACACCUUCAAGAUCAUGUCAAGGUAUGUGCUCAUUUUGAAAGUACCAUUAAGCGUUUUUGAUCUAUCAUUAUAGAUCUUAAUGCUCAAUGCUCAAGUAGCUUCAUCCAGGUUUUCCAUUGAAAAACACUUUUCAAAUAACCCUAUAUGCUUUCUAGAAAUUCUACAUUGUUUCUGAUCAACAAUAUGUCAACAACAUAUACUCAUCAGAAAUUCUAUAGUGCUCCCUCUCACUUCUUUGGAAAUACAAGUUUCUCAUAAACAUUGUAUAAACAAAAAAUCUUUGAUCAUCUUAUCAAAGUACAUAUUCCAACUCCGAGAUGCUUACUCCAGUCCUUAGAAGGAUCGCUGGAGCUAGCAUACCUUUUAGCAUCCUUAGGAUAGACAAAACCUUUCUGAUUGUAUCACAUACAACCUUUCCUUACGAAAACCGGUAAGGAAGCUCGUUUUGACAUCCAUCUGCCAGAUUUUAUAAAUGCAGCUAAUGCUAACUUGAUUCCGACGGACUUAAGCAUCGCCACGGAUGAGAAAAUCUCAUCGUAGUCAACUCUUUGAACUUGUGAAAAAACUCUUCGCCACAAGUCGAGCUUCAUAGAUGGUGACAUUACCAUCCACGUCCAUCUUCUUCUUGAAGAUCCAUUUAUCUCAAUGGUUUGCCGAUCAUUGGGCAAGUCCACCAAAGUCCAUGCUUUGUUCUGAUACAUGGAUCCUAUCUCAGAUUUCAUGGCUUCUAACCAUUUGUCGGAAUUUGGGCCCACCAUCGCUUCUCCAUAUCUCGUAGGUUCAUUGUUGUCUAGCAACAUGACCUUCAAGACAGGAUUACUGUACCACUCCGAAGCAGUACACAUCCUUGUCACCCUACGAGGUACGGUAGUGACUUGAUCCGAAGUUUCAUGAUCACUAUCAUAAGCUUCUACUUCAAUUGGUGUAGGUGCCACAGGAACAACUUCCUGUGCCCUGCUACACACUAGUUGUAGUGACGGUUCAAUAACCACAUCAAGUCUCCACCAUCCUCCCACUCAACUUUUCGAGACAAACUUUUACUCGAGAAAGGACCCGAUUCAAGAAACAAUCCCUAUUGCUUUCGGAUCUGAAUUAGGAGGUAUACCCAACUUUUUUGGGUGUCCUAUGAAGAUGCAUUUUAUCCGCUUUGGGUUCGAGCUUAUCAACCUGAAACUUUUUCACAUAAGCGUCGCAGUCCCAAACCUUUAAGAAAUGACAGCUUAGGUUUCUCUAAACCAUAGUUCAUACGGUGUCAUCUCAACGGAAUUACGUGGUGCCCUAUUUAAAGUGAAUGUGGUUGUCUCUAAUGCCUAACCCAUAAACGAUAGUGGUAAUUCGAUAAGAGACAUCAUGGUACACACCAUGUCCAAUAGGGUGCAACUAUGAUGUUCGGACACACCAUCAAACUAUGGUGUUCCAGGCGGUAUUAAUUGUGAAACAAUUUCCACAAUGUCUUAAUUGCGUGCCAAAGCUCGUAACUCAGAUACUCAUCUCUAUGAUCAUAUCAUAGACAUUUCAUCCUCUUGUCACGAUGAUCUUCAACUUCACUCUGAAAUUACUUGAACCAUUCAAUAAUUCAGACUUGUGUUUCAUCAAGUAAAUAUACUCUACAUCUACUCGAAUCAUCUGUGAAGUAAGAACAUAACGAUAUUCACUGCAUGCCUCAGCACUCAUUGGACUGCACAUAUCAAAAUGUGUUACUUCCAACAAGUUGCUAUCUUGUUCCAUCUUACUGAAAACGAGGCUUUUCAGUCAUCUUGCCCAUGUGGUAUGAUUUGCAUAUCUCAAGUGAUUCAAAAUCAAGUGAGUCCAAACGAUCCAUCUGCAUGGAGUUUCUUCAUGCAUAUACAUCAAUAGACAUGGUUCGCAUGUCUCAAACAUUUCAAAAACGAGUGAGUCCAAAGAUCCAUCAACAUGGAGCUUCUUCAUGCGUUUUACUCCAAUAUGACUUACAUGGCAGUGCCACAAGUAAGUGGUACUAUCAUUACUAUCUUAUAUCCUUUUUGGCAUGAAAUUGUGUAUCACUACAAUCGAGAUUCAAUAAACCAUUCCUUUAGGUGCAAGACCAUUGAAGGUAUUAUUCAAAUAAAUAGAGUAACCAUUAUUCUCCUUAAAUGAAUAACCGUAUUGUGAUAGACAUAAUCCAAUCAUGUCUAUGCUCAACGCAAACACCAAGUCUCGAUGGUAGAGGGAGCGUGCGAUGCUUGAUCACAUCAACCUUGGAAACACUUCCAAUACAUAUCGUCAGCUCACCUUUAGCUAGUCUCCGUUUAUUCCGUAGCUUUUAUUUCGAGUUACUAACACUUAGCAACCGAACCGGUAUCUAAUACCCUGGUGCUACUAGGAGUACUAGUAAAGUACACAUUAACAUAAUGUAUAUCCAAUAUACUUCUAUCGACCUUGCCAGCCUUCUCAUCUACCAACUAUCUAGGGUAAUUCUGCUCCAGUGGUUGUUCCCCUUAUUACAGGAGCACUUAGUCUCGGGUUUGGGUUCAACCUUGGGUUUCUUCACUAGAGCAGCAGCUGAUUUGCCGUUUCAUGAAGUAUCCCUUCUUGCCCUUGCCCUUCUUGAAACUAGUGGUUUCAUCAACAAUUGAUGCUCCUUCUUGAUUUCUACUUUCGCAGUGUCAAACAUCGUGAAUACCUUAAGGAUCAUCAUAUCUAUCCCUGAUAUGUUAUAGUUCAUCACGAAGCUCUAGCAGCUUGGUGGUAAUGACUUUGGAGAAACAUCACUAUCUCAUCUGGAAGAUUAACUCCCACUCGAUUCAAGUGAUUGUUGCACUCAGACAAUCUGAGCACAAGCUCAAUGAUUGAGCUUUUCUCCGUUAGUUUGCAGGCUAAGAAAAUCGUCGGAGGUCUCAUACCUCUUGACGUGGGCACGAGCCUGAAAUCUCAAUUUCAGCCCUCGAAACAUCUCAUAUGUUCCGUGACAUUUCGAAAACGUCUUUGGUGUCUCAACUCUAAACCAUUUAACUGAACUAUCACGUAGUUAUCAAAACGUGUAUGUCUGAUGUUCGCAACAUCCACAAACGACGUUUGGGGUUCAGCACACUGAGCGGUGCAUUAAGGACAUAAGCUUUCUACUGUCCGCAUAAUCGCUAUUGUCAACUUUCAACUAUAUUUUCUCUAGGAACAUAUCUAAACAGUGGAACUAAAGCGCGAGCUUACGACAUAAUUUGCAAAGAUCUUUUGACUAUGUUCAGGAUAAUUAAGUUCAUCUUAUGAACUCCCACUCAGAUAGACAUCCCUCUAGUCAUCUAAGUGAUUACAUGAUCUGAGUCAACUAGGCCGUGUCCGAUCAUCACGUGAGACGGACUAGUCAUCAUCGGUGAACAUCUUCAUGUUGAUUGUAUCUACUAUACGACUCACGCUCGACCUUUCGGUCUCCGUGUUCCGAGGCCAUGUCUGUACAUGCUAGGCUCGUCAAGUUAACCCUAAGUGUUUUGCGUGUGUAAAUCUGUCUUACACCCGUUGUAUGUGAACGUAAGAAUCCAUCACACCCGAUCAUCACGUGGUGCUUAGAAGCGACGAACUUUAGCAACGGUGCACAGUUAGGGGAGAACACUUCUUGAAAUUUUGUAAGGGAUCAUCUUAUUUACUACCGUCGUUCUAAGUAAACAAGAUGCAUAAACAUGAUAAACAUCACAUACAAUCAAAUAGUGACAUGAUAUGGCCAAUAUCAUUUUGCUCCUUUUGAUCUCCAUCUUCGGGGCUCCAUGAUCAUCAUCGUCACCGGCAUGACACCAUGAUCUCCAUCAUCGUGUCUCCAUGAAGUUGUCUCGCCAACUUAUUACUUCUACUACUAUGGCUACCGGUUAGCAGUCAUACAAUAAAUAAAGACAACUCCUACGGCUCCUGCCGGUUGUCAUACUCAUCGACAUGCAAGUCGUGAUUCCUAUUACAAGAACAUGAUCAAUCUCAUACAUCACAUGUCAUUCAUCACAUUCUUCUCGGCCAUAUCACAUCACAUAGCAUACCCUGCAAAAACAAGUUAGACGUCCUCUAAUUGUUGUUGCAUGUUUUACGUGGUUGCUAUGGGUUUCUAGCAAGAACAUUUCUUACCUACGCAAAACCACAACGUGAUAUGCCAAUUGCUAUUUACCCUUCAUAAGGACCCUUUUCAUCGAAUCCGUUUCGACUAAAGUGGGAGAGACUGGCACCCGCUAGCCACCUUAUGCACGAAGUGCAUGUCAAUCGGUGGAACCUGUCUCACGUAAGAGUACGUGUAAGGUCGGUCCGGGCCGCUUCAUCCCACAAUACCGUCGAAACAAGAUUGGACUAGUAAAGGUAAGCAUAUUGAACAAAAUCAACGCCCACAACUACUUUGUGUUCUACUCGUGCAAAGAAUCUACGCAAUAGACCUAGCUCUGAUACCACUGUUGGGUAACGUAGCAGAAAUUCAAAAGUUAAAAACGUGUCACCAAGAUCUAUCUAUGGAGAAACCAGCAACGAGGGGAAGGAGAGUGCAUCUACAUACCCUUGUAGAUCGCUAAGCGGAAGCGUUCAAGAGAACGGGGUUGAAGGAGUCGUACUCGCCGUGAUCCAAAUCACCGGAGAUCCUAGUGCCGAACGGACGGCACCUCCGCGUUCAACACACGUACAGCCCGGUGACGUCUCCCACGCCUUGAUCCAGCAAGGAGAGAGGGAGAGGUUGAGGAAGACUCCAUCCAGCAGCAGCACAAUAGCGUGGUGGUGAUGGAGGAGCAUGGUAGUCUAGCAGGGCUUCGCCAAGCAUCGCGAGAUAUGAGGAGAAGGGAGAGAGGUAGGGCUGCGCCAAGAGGAGAAGGGAGAGAUUCUCGUGUGUUGGGCAGCCCCUAGGCCUCAAGUAUUUAUAGGGGGAGGGGAGGGGGCUGCGCCCCCUCUAGGGUUCCCUCCCCAGGGGUGGCGGCAGCCCCCAGAUCCCAUCUGGGUGGCGGCCAGAAGGGGAGAGGGGGGAGGCGCACCCAGGGUGGGCCUUAGGGCCCAUCUGCCCUAGGGUUUGCCCCCCUUCCCCACUUCUUGCGCCUUGGGCCCUGUGGGGGGCGCACCAGCCCACCUGGGGCUGGUCCCCUUCCACACUUGGCCCAUGCAGCCCUCCAAGGUUGGUGGCCCCACUUGGUGGACCCCCGGGACCCUCCCGGUGGUCCCGGUACGUUACCAGAAAAACCCAAAACUUUUCCGGUGACCAAAAUAGGACUUCCAAUAUAUAAAUCUUUACCUCCGGACCAUUCCGGAACUCCUCGUGAUGUCCGGGAUCUCAUCCGGGACUCCGAACAACAUUCGGUAACCACAUACAAACUUCCUUUAUAAUCCUAGUGUCAUCGAACCUUAAGUGUGUAGACCCUACGGGUUCGGGAGACAUGUAGACAUGACCGAGACGUUCUCCGGUCAAUAACCAACAGCUGGAUCUGGAUACCCAUGUUGGCUCCCACAUGUUCCACGAUGAUCUCAUCGGAUGAACCAUGAUGUCAAGGACUCAGUUGAUCCCGUAUACAAUUCCCUUUGUCUAACGGUAUUUUACUUGCCCGAGUUUCGAUCGUCGGUAUACCGAUACCUUGUUCAAUCUCGUUACCGGCAAGUCUCUUUACUCGUUCCGUAACACAUCAUCCCGUGAUCAACCCCUUGGUCACAUUGUGCACAUUAUGAUGAUGUCCUACCGAGUGGGCCCAGAGAUACCUCUCCGUUUACACGGAGUGUCAAAUCCCAGUCUCGAUCCGUGUCAACCCAACAGACACUUUCGGAGAUACCUGUAGUGCACCUUUAUAGUCACCCAGUUACGUUGUGACGUUUGAUACACCCAAAGCACUCCUACGGUAUCCGGGAGUUACACGAUCUCAUGGUCUAAGGAAGAGAUACUUGACAUUGGAAAAGCUCUAGCAAACGAACUACACGAUCUUUGUGCUAUGCUUAGGAUUGGGUCUUGUCCAUCACAUCAUUCUCCUAAUGAUGUGAUCCCGUUAUCAACGACAUCCAAUGUCCAUAGCCAGGAAACCAUGACUAUCUGUUGAUCACAAUGAGCUAGUCAACUAGAGGCUCACUAGGGACAUAUUGUGGUCUAUGUAUUCACACGUGUAUUACGAUUUCCGGAUAAUAUAGUUAUAGCAUGAAUAAAAGACAAUUAUCAUGAACAAGGAAAUAUAAUAAUAAUACUUUUAUUAUUGCCUCUAGGGCAUAUUUCCAACAAUCCCCCUCUUAUUCUGGCAUUCUGUAGUUCAGUCCACUGAUAUGGCCUCCUUACACAUAUACCCAUGCAUAUGUAUUGUAGUUCCUUGCUUGCGAGUACUUUGGAUGAGUACUCACGGUUGCUUUCUCCCCCCUUUUCCCCCCUUUCCUUUCUUUCUGGUUGUUGCAACCAUAUGCUGGAGUCCAGGAGCCAGACGCCACCGUCGACGACGACCCCUACUACACUGGAGGUGCCUACUACUACGUGCAGCCCGCUGAUGACGACCAGGAGUAGUUAGGAGGAUCCCAGGCAGGAGGCCUACGCCUCUUUCGAUCUGUAUCCCAGUUUGUGCUAGCCUUCUUAAGGCAAACUUGUUUAACUUAUGUCUGUACUCAGAUAUUGUUGCUUCCGCUGACUCGUCUAUGAUCGAGCACUUGUAUUCGAGCCCUCGAGGCCCCUGGCUUGUAUUAUGAUGCUUGUAUGACUUAUUUAUGUUUUAGAGUUGUGUUGUGUUAUCUUCCCGUGAGUCCCUGAUCUUGAUCGUACACAUUUGCGUGCAUGAUUAGUGUACGAUUGAAUCGGGGGCAUCACAAUCUUCACAUACCAUCGUAGGGAGCAUAGCAUAAAUCUGAUCUGCUGACAAUCUUUGUACGUCGUGCCCUUGCAUCGUGGCCCGGCCCAACAUGAACCGGUUCUUCUUAGCCCACCUCGAUACACGUUGCGAGGCAGUUUUAUUGGCACGCCCUGCCAAAGCAGAGAUCGUGUUCCCCUUAUUAUGGGAUCUUCCAUCAAUACGGGCCUGCGCAACCCCAUGACGACUGUUGGUAUGACUCCGUGUUUUUAGAUAAGUCUCAAGCGGUCACACUGAGGACUCUUGAUAUUCACCCCUUAUAAAGGGGUCGAGGCCUAUACCUCUUUUCCACCACCCUUGCGCCCUUUCGCAUCUCGAGUUCUAACACCCGAGACCCAAACUCAAACACCCCAGAUCCUCCAAUAUGUCCGGAUCCAACCCUCAAGGCCGGUGGGUGGCCUCCUUGGUCAAAGAGGAGGACAUUGCGAGGCUUAGGGAGGUCGGAUAUCUGACUGCCGACAUCCAGCACAGGCUUCUUGCUCCAGGGCAAGUCAUCCCUACUCCCGAGCCUAAUGAGAGCGUCGUAUUUGUUCCUCACUUCCUUCGUGGCUUGAGCCUCAUCCUUGAUCCCUUUGUGAGGGGGCUUAUGUUCUAUUACGGGUUAGAUUUUCACGGUCUAGCUCCGGACGCUAUCCUCCACAUCUCGUCGUUCAUCAUUGUGUGCGAGGCUUUUCUCGACGUCACUCGACACUUCGGCUUAUGGCUCAAGACCUUCAAUGUGAAGCCGAAGAUGAUCGAGGGGAGACAUGCGGAGUGCGGAGGUGCCAUAAUAAGCAGGAACGCCGAUGCCCCAUGGCCAGAGGGUUCUUUCCCAGAGGUACCCGAUUUAUGGCAGCGAAGGUGGUUUUACGUCAUGGCUCCUAGAGGCACAAAGUGGGUGGCUGCCCCCGACUUCCGCUCAGGCCCUCCGUCACAACUGGCGUCAUGGACCAAUGUAGGACGGGAUUGGGGGUCUGCUAGUGAUGUACAAACACUGCAGAGCCGUAUCCGGGAGCUUCUUGAGAGGGACUUUAAGCUUGUCAGCAUAAUUCAGGUAAUGCUAAUCCGACGGAUGUUGCCGUGCAAACACCGGCCUCUCCGGAUGUGGGAGUUCAAUCCAGAGGGUCCGCGGACUAUUCUGUACUUCUCGGCCUAACACUCGAAGGGAUGUGUCCGAACACCACCGAGGAUGCGGGCCUAAGCUGCAAUCGCCUAGAUACCCAAGUAAGUAACCCCGAAACCGGACACUUUGUUUAUAUUUGUCAUAAUCAUCAUUCUGAAAAUCCUCCGUGGCCAGGAAUGGCUCGACAAGGCGGAGAGAAUCAGGUCUCCGGUGCCACUUCCCGAAGGCUCGCCUAGUCCCACCGUAGCCAAGAUGCUUGGCCGGGUGCUUAGAAAAAUGCCCUCAGGGAAAGACGAAGGGAAGAACAGAGAAGCUGAACUUCACACACUGCGCAUCCAAACCGGGGGAAUUGCUACCUCCCCAAAGGAGGAUAGUCGGGGAGGGGAAUCUAAGGCCUCCUCCCUGCACGGGAAGAAGAGGGCCGCCUUCGAAGACUUGGAGACGGAGAUGCCCAAACAGGGGAAGAAAGCGUCACCAGGGGGCCCUGCCCUGAAGGGCGCCCUCACCGCGUCAUGCCCGCCAACGGUCCAGGCCUCAACCGAGCUGUAAGUUAACCGUAAAUUCAAAGGUACUGCUUUUCUCCGAGUACAAUAACCAGGAUCCAUUCUUUGCAGUCCGGCUAGCAGCUCUUCUCGACAGAGUUCGUCUUCGGGGGAUCUCCCUCCGGAGAUGAUGUAGAGUGAGACCCCACCAACCUCUCCGCCUCAUGAGGCGUGGGACCCCGAGGUGUCGUCACGGAGGAGUCCGGAUCUGCCGAAGCCAGAAGCUACUCCUUCGGCCGCCCUGAGCCUGGAGCGUUCGGCUCCCACGGGGGGCGAUGAGAAGGGUCCGACACAGGUUGGUGUCCGGGCGGACACACUGACAGGCCUUCUGGAGCGAGCUGCUCUCUUGGAAGAGCACCGCUCAUUAAUUAGCACGGUGCUCAAGAAGAUUUCAUCCGCCACAAGCGGUUUGAAUGAAGCAUUUACGAGCCUGCUCAGAGGCUUUGAGGUAUGUAAUGAAAAAUACAUGAUUUUUUGGCUGUGAGGCACGCGCUAGAUGUGCUCCAUAUGGAUAGUAGCCCCUGAGACUCUGGUUGCCCGCCCUAGGCGGCAAACGGAGGAUCAUAUUGUGUAAGUAAUGAUUGCGCUGUAUAUAUGCGCAGGUGUCUAAGGAUCCGGCAGCCGACCAGUCCGUUGAAGUUGCCGAACUAAGGAGGCAUAUUGGAGCUAUUGAUGCCAAUAUCACGCUGGUGAACGAGCGGCUGAACGAGUCACAAGGUAUGUGCUUUGCUUUCCUUAUUAUGUUGUAUAGCAAAAUUUGAGAGGGGCAUAAUAUUAAUGUGAUAUGCUUGGACUACAGAUGGUGCUGCUGCUGUGGAAGCCCUGAGGGCGGAACUUGCCCAGGCCAAGGAACAAGCUUGGGCUAGCAAUGCGGCUGCCCAAAAGGCGGCCGAAGAGUUGAGAGCCGAACAGGCUGCUCAUCGCCGAAGCGAAGACAAGAUAGCCGAAAUGGCUGUGGAGCUGAAAAAUGCCGCCGACCGGUAUGAGCUCCUUGAAAAGGAGAAUCAGGUUAAUUCGGCUGACCUGAACAAGGCACUUAAUGCCGCCAAGGAGAUGCGGACCGAAAUCAGGGAUGUGCGGGAGGAGCUUCGACAGGCCGGAAAAAUCGCGGCUGGAAACCCCUACUUAUUGUGGAUGAAGUUUUUGGAUCCGAAGUAUGCUCCCCUAGAUCGAUGCUGGAGUCCUGUAGACGUGUAUGCGGACUUGGCGAAGAGUACGGCUGAUGCGGCCAAGUUUUUCGAGGAUCAAGGUGAUAAAGAAGUGGAUAAGUUGUUCUGGUCACAAUUCAAUGCUCCCGCGCGCCCAUUACCGUUGAGUGAGAAGAUGGCUGCUGUUGCUAAGCUUCAUAGGUUGUCCGAUCUUGCGAUGCGGUCUGUAAUAGACCAUCUUUGGCUGAAGGAGCCGAAGCCAGACAGUUAUUUUGGUUUAGUGCAACAAUUCCUUGGUGCCGUAUCACGGAUCGAUGCCAUGAGAAGGUCAGCGUGUAUAGAGGGUGCACGAAUGGCCCUUGCCCGCGUUAAAGCAUAUUGGACAGAUAUGGAGGCCACCAUCGUUGUGACCCGAAUCCGACGGGAGGCCAGGAUCCGGCCAAGCACUACUUGGAGCAGGUAACAGAAGGUGCUUGUUUAAUAGAGGCGCGGUGCUCGAAGAAUGUCUUGUUCGAGUGACAAAUCAUGUCAUUGUAAAAACAAUGUUAUUUUGAUUACAAGGCUAUAUUUAUACUUUUUGCCCGAAAGUAUUAUUGUGCCUCCCGUCGGCCAUUUUUAUGUAUAUGUGUAAUCUGAAAGUUAGCAGUCGUUGGCUUCAGCCCCCACGCAUAAAAUGCGGGGGUGUUCGCGAAAAAUAUGCGUAAUCACACUUGAUCGAAUGUCUUGGUCUAUUAAGGAGGUGAUCGCACGUCGAACUAGGCAACCGGACUAUACAGCUGUAACACUUUCACUUAGCCAUAGGAGUUUGAUGGUGGGGCUACUAUGUAGCCCCUGGUACCUUCGCGUGCACCCGAAUACGGGCGCGUGUGUACAUGAGCAGGAAACAGUCCUUCAUUAAUGUGGAGGAAUCCUAAAGAUUCCGAUAGGUCUUCGAGUGGUUGAACAGUCUCUCGCUAUAUCAUGACAGUCAGUUUUCGGCUUUCUCUACUGAGGUGCUCAUCCGAAAUAACCAGGGCACAAUCGCAGUAGUUCUCCUUUGGCUACCUUAACCGAUAAGAACGGAACGUAAGGCGGCAAACCCAGGAGCCGGGAAACCCCAACAUUUGACCAAAGACAUGAUUCGGAGCUGAUGCCUAUAAGGCCAAACUCGCGACACCGAACACUCCCGAAGGUAUUCGGACUUUAUGACAUAUACUGGGCUGAGUAACGCCCUUUAUUAUGAACCGUGUAUUUCCAGGUACGUGCAUUAGUCUGUCGUGGCGAAAUGCCAAUAAUGGCAGUAUCCUCUGUGGGUGUAGUACCCAUGGGAUGUAUCAACAACAAGAGGCAAUAAAAAAGGUUUACACAUGGGCUUAAUCUAAAGAGAAACCUUUGAGCGGGGCCCUGCUGCACGUCUGUGCCUUUGUCUCCGUUGUGCCGUGUCCUGGAAGGGUAUCGCAUGAAUAGUGUCUGUAGAAAGAAAAACUCAUGUAGAAGAGCAUAACGUGAGCAUGUGAUGGAUAAUAAAAGUGUAAGACAUUGGCCUGUAAAUAAGGUCAAGCCAACAGUGGGGCUUUAUUAAAUAUUUAUAGCCCCUGGUGUCCUUUAUGGGAUUACAUAUAUGGCGCCCUAGCUCAGGUUUAUCCGGGCUGCCGGACUCGUCUAACCGUGUCCGUGGUCUUAACGACCAGCCAUGCUUUCUGGUGUUAGAGGCCGCUUAGAGUCCGGCUGCUAGAGCCGUCGCAUAUUCCACCGCGCGUGCGGGGCGCUCUAUGUUUCCGUUAACGGUGAUGACGCCUCGUGGACUAUGCAUCUUGAGUGUGAGGUAGGCGUAUUGCAGUACUGCGUUGAAGCGGGCGAAUGCCGUUAUCCUGAGCAAUGCGUGAUAGCCGCUUUGGAGGGGGGUGAUGGUGAAGAGUAGUUCUUCGCUUCUGGAGUUGUCGGGGGAACCGAAUGUUACCUCCAGUAUGAUGCAGCCCCUGCCGUGGGCUUCAACGCCUAGUAUCACCCCUUCAAAGGUGGUGUUGCUUUGGCUGAUUCUAGAUGGGUCUAUCCCCAUCCUGCGGACAGUGUCCUGGUAUAUUAAAUUGAGACUACUGCCACCGUCCAUGAGGACGUGAGUAAGAUGGUAUCCGUCGAUUAUUGGGUCGAGCACCAAGGCAUCUGAUCCUCUACGCUGAAUACUAGUCAGGCAGUCCAUGUGAUCGAAAGUGAUCGGACAAGCCGACCAGUGGUUAGGUUUGGGUAUGACGGGCUCUAUAGCGUAUGCGUCUCUGAGCACGCAUUCGUGCCUUCUCGUGGAUGUGUGAGUCGCGUGGAUCAUGUUUACUGUUUUUACCUCUGGUGGGAUUUUUUUCUGUCCCCCGGUGUUCGGCUGGCGAGGCUCAUCCUCGUCUUCACUUGGUGUUUCCCUUCCCUUGUGUUCGGCAUUUAAUUUUCUGGCCUUCUUGAAGACCCGUCAUUCUCUGUGAGUGUGGUUCGCAGGUUUGUCGGGGUGCCAUGAAUUUGGCACAGUCUGUCCAGGACUCUGUUCAGACCGGACAGUCCCUCUUUGUUGUCUUUACAUGGCUUCUUUUGCUGACCAGGUCGAGAGCCCCUGAAUCCGGCGUUGGCCGCUGUGUUGCCCGGGCUCUCUUCCUUGUUUUGACGUUUGUUUUUAUUGUGCCGUGGCUUCCCGUUGCCAUCCCUUAUUUCGGAUGUGCUUGGGUCACUGGUGCCUUUACGGGCCAACCAGCUAUCUUCACCCGCGCAAAAGUGUGUCAUAAGGCUUGUUAAGGCUGCCAUUGUCCUUGGCUUUUCUUGGCCGAGGUGUCUGGCGAGCCACUCGUCUCGGAUGCUGUGUUUGAAGGCCGCUAAGGCUUCGGCAUCCGGACAAUCAACAAUUUGAUUCUUCUUAGUGAGGAAUCUGUUCCAAAGCUUGCGGGCAGACUCUCCGGGCUGUUGGAUUAUGUGACUUAAAUCGUCCGCAUCCGGAGGCCGGACAUAAGUCCCUUGAAAAUUGGCCCUGAAAGCGUCCUCGAGUUCCUCCCAACUUCCAAUUGAAUUUUUGGGGAGGCUUUUCAACCAGUGUCAAGCUGGCCCCUUCAACUUGAGGGGAAGGUAUUUGAUGGCGUGGAGGUCGUCCCCACGAGCCAUGUGUAUAUGCAGGAUAAAAUCCUCGAUCCAGACCCCUGGGUCUGUUAUUCUGUUGUAUGCCUCUAUGUUCACAGGUUUAAAACCCUGUGGAAAUUCAUGGUCCAGUACUUCUUCGGUGAAGCACAGGGGGUGAGUAGCCCUCUGUAUCUGGACGUGAUGUGGCAUGCCGUCGGCUGUUGUUGUGUCCGGUGUUGAUUCCGAACUAGUAUCUGAUCGGUAUGAUCAUUUUGGUGACCAUAGUCCUGCGCCGGGGAGUGUCCUUUGGAUCCAUAGAUGGACCUAUCCGCGCCGGCUUUCUUAUCCAGGAGCUCAUGUAAAUCGUGUACGGCGUCGGUAGCUGCUCUGUUGCGGUUAUGAAGUGGUUUGUCCGGCCUACAGGCCAUGUUAUUCUUUGGUGGAACGGCCUCGUCAUUGAAUUCUGGCAGCAACUUGCGUUUUGGAUAGCUCUUUGUAUGGCGAUCAUCGCCGUACUUUUCUUCAGUGUCUAGCACUUUAUUCCAUCUACGAUUGAGCGUUUCCUGUGCGGCCUUUAGCCGUUGCUUCUGCUUCUUUAGACUUCUCGCAGCGGCCAUAAGCCUUCUGUGGAGGUUAUCUUGUUCCAAGCGUGUUUCCGGGAUGAUGAAUGCAUCGUCAUCCGGACUGUGUUCUUGUUCCGGGGCGGUUUGAUGAAUUCGUCCCUCGGGAUCAUUGAUAUUGGGUAUCUGCUCCGAGCUGUGUUCAGUGUGACCUGGCUCAUCCUGCUCCAUUGCUGGGUCCAUAUGGUCGUUGUUGUCUUCGGAGUUGACUGGGGUGUCGAUCUUUCUGGCGCUCUUAUCGCUAUUUUUACUGUUGCUGGACUUGGAGCGGCGUCUAUGUCGUCGUUUUGGCUUUUUCCCGAGAGUUUUAUCUUCCGGAUUGUCGCCGUCGUUCUCCUUAUGCGUAUCCACCAUGUAUAUAUCGUAUGACGAGGUGGCAGUCCAGCGCCUUAGUGAUUCUGAAUCGUCUCCUGCGCCGACGUCAUACCGUCGGUAUCAUCAGAGUCGAAGUCAAGCAUAUCUGAUACAUCGUCGAUAGUGGCUAUGAAGUGGGUGGUGGGUGGGAAACGAAUUCCUUCGUCGCCUGCUUCCCAUUCGAGCCGGAUGAUAACCCACAAGUGUAGGGGAUCGCAACAGCUUUCGAGGGUAAAGUAUUCUACCCAAAUUUAUUGAUUCGACACAAGGGGAGCCAAAGAAUAUUCUUGAGUAUUAGCAGUUGAGUUGUCAAUUCAACCACACCUGGAUAACUUAGUAUCUGUAGCAAAGUAUUUAGUAGCAAAAGUGGUAUGAUAAUAAAGGUAACGGUAGCAAAAGUAAAGAUAAAUGUUUUUGGGUUUUUGUAGUAGUUGUAAUAGUAGCAACGGAAAAGUAAAUAAGCGAAGAACAAUAUGUGAAAAGCUCGUAGGCAAUGGAUCAGUGAUGGAUAAUUAUGCCGGAUGCGAUUCCUCAUGCAAUAGUUAUAACAUAGGGUGAUGUCGUGGUUCUAAGCCUGACAGUAGAGUGGGGGUAGGUAUGGAGAGGCAAGGUCCUAGCUAUGGAGAGGUUGUAAACACAAGGGAUGUACGAGUUCAGGCCCUUCUCGGAAGAAGUAAUAGCCCUACGUCUCGGAGCCCGGAGGCGGUCGAGUGGAUUAUGAGUAUAUGAGUUACAAGGUGCCGAACCCCUCUGCCUGUGGAGGGGGGUGGCUUAUAUAGAGUGCGCCAGGACCCCAGCCAGCCCAUGUAGGAGAGGGUUUACGGUGAGUUAAGUCUGGGGCGUUACUGGUAACGCCCCACAUAAAGUGUCUUUACUAUCAUAAAGCCUACUUAAUUACAGACCGUUGCAGUGCAGAGUGCCUCUUGACCUCCCGGUGGUCGAGUGAGUCUUCGUGGUCGAGUCCUUCAAGUCAGUCAAGUGAAUCCCUCGUUGGUCGACUGGAAGGCGACCUCUUCUAAGGGUGUCCUAGGGUAAGUUCGUGACCCUACCCUAGGUACAUGACCCCAUCAUUAGCCCCCGAAUGGAUUGAGGCUUCGAGUGAGGAAGGAGUUGAUGUCGUUUCCGAUUAACCUUUGCGCUCUGGUCGUGCGUUGUUCUGGACCAAAGAAUCUCUUCGUCGAUGGUGAGCAACUUGUCUUCAGUCGACUCGAUUCAUUCUCUUCUUUCGUCGAGUGAUCUUUCGGGCUUCGACGAUCCCCGAGCGACGGAUCGCGGGAAACCCCGCGUCUGACAGACUGAUCUGCCGUUCGCAGAUUCCGCGGGAUGCGAAAUUUGGGGACGCGCGCGAAGCGGAGCGGACCGCGGCGUUCGGAUGGGACGGGACAUAGACGCCUCGAUCUCCGCGCCGCUUUCUUCGCCACGUAUCCCGUCUGCAUAACUGCUCCCGGAUAUGAUUAGAUCGACCGGGCCCACCUGUCAUCCACUCGGAAGGGACCUUAUAAAUGCGCCCGGCGAGGAUUUCUGUGCUGUGCCUCAGCAUUCUCUCUCUCUCUGCUCCCUUCGUCCCCGUCCAGCGCGCUCGCUCUCGCCCUCGCACAACUUCCCUUCGCGCAUCUCGCCGGCAACCAUGGCCAAGGAGAAGACGGCGGCGCUGGAACGUGCGAAGAAGGCGUCGGUGUCGGAGAAGGCAAAGGGGAGAUCUACCAGCCGCGGCGGGUCCUCGUCCAAAUCCCGCCUGCCUAAGGGCUGGGUCCAAGGAGACUGGAUCCAGUCGACCAUCACAGAGAAAGACCUCCUCGACAUGGCCAACGAGGGCUUGAUCCCUCAUGGAGCUGCGAGGCUUCCGGGGAAGGAGUGGCAGCCCCAGCCAGAAGAGGGUGAGUGUGUGCUCUUGGCCACCCAUGUUGAUCGUGGAUUUUCUUUGCCGCCGAGUAUUUUCUUCCGUGGCUUCUUGAACUUCUUUGGAGCGCAGCUCCACCACUUUACCCCAAAUUCUAUCGCCUAUCUUGCCGCAUUCGUGUCCAUGUGUGAGGGUUUCCUGGGUUGUCGACCGCACUGGGGUUUGUUCAAGCAUAUAUUCAUAUGUCGCUCUCAGACCGUGAAGAAGGCGAGCCCAGGCGAUGAAAGAACCCGAGUCGUCCAAAUGUGUGGGGGUCUGGGGAUCCAGGUGAGGAAUAAGAGCACCUUCCCGCCCAUGACCUUUCCCGAGUCAGUCAGAGGCUGGCAGUCGACUUGGUUCUACUGCCAGGACCAGUCGACGCCGGGGCAGUCGAGUGGACUCCCUCAGUUUACCAUGGACCGAGUGAACAAGCCCUCCUCUCUGAAGUUGAUUCCGGAGGAGAAAGCUGACGUGAAGAUGUUGAUGGAGCGCGUGGUGCAGUUGGUUCGGGAGGGAGUGACGGGCAUGGAUCUCCUGGAGGUCUUCCUUAGGCGUCGCAUCCAGCCCCUUCAGUUCCGGAGCCACUGCAUGUGGUUGUACUGUGGGACUGAAGACGAGACUAGAGUCCAUCCAGAAGCAGUCGACGACGUCACUCUGGAAAGAUGGAUGGUAGCCGUUACCGGAAACAAGUAUAACCCACGCGGAGCCAGAAGGAUCCCUCCACUCGACCACAACAGCGAUCCAAACAAGGUACGUUUGCUCUGCUCUCCACUGUGUUCUUGUUCACAUUCAUUUCGGUUUAUCCUGUCGACUGGUCGAUUGAUCCUUGUCUUGAUGUCUGCUAGGCCCUCACCGAGCUGUACUCGAUGCCCAAUGGGGCACAAGCUCCGACUGAGGAGGGUGAGGCGAGUGGGGGCGAGAGCCAGGAAGAGGAGGAAUGGGACUCGGACGUUGCAGAGGAUGAUGACGACGAUGAUGAUGAUGACGGUGAUGAAGAUGACGUUGAGGACGAGGAAGAAGAGGAGGAGGAGGUCGUACCACCGCGCUCGGAAAGGCGGUCGAAGCUUGUCCACGACCCUUCGACUGAACGUGGCAAGGGGGUUGCGACCGUUGUUCAGUCGACCAAGCGCCCUCGGACCACCUCUCCGGUGCCGACUGAAAAGGCGCCGAAGCAGCCCAGGGCGGCCCCGUCGAAGACGAUUAAGCUCCUACCGAAGAUGAAGGUGUCCAUCCCCACCAUAUCAGGGUAAUCGUGCUGCUUGAAUCUUCUUAUUUUGUGUGAACUUUGUCUCUGGUCGACGCUGAAGUUAGUCGACUGAUCCUUUGGAGUUGCAGUGCUGCUACUUCUGAAACCUCAGCCCGGGCUGAUGACCAUGAGAUGGAGGACGCAGCAACUUCAAAACUAGGUACUGUAUUCUUAACGCCGUUCUUAGUCGACUGACUCACGAUCUCUGAUCCUGAUUCUUCUCCGUAGCUCCACCCAAUGCUGUUAUCAAUCUCCCUGAUGAUGAUGAGGAUGAAGAACCACUGAAGCGCAGGAGGAGUAGGAAAGCGUCCGCCAGCAAGGUGCCCCGGGAUGUGACGGCGCCUGAGAUUCUGAUUGCGGAGGAAGAGAACACCACUCGACACACGGUGUCCUUCGCAGAUCCAUUGACAAGUGCUCAGCAGCCCUCCCUCUUCACGACGCACCACGUCCCAGAGGACCAAGCUGGCGCGGCGAAGGAAGCGAUACGCCAGGCGGGAAUCAUGAUGGAGCAGUUGAAGACCAUCCGGGAUGCGAGCCAGGCAGCUUAUGACGCCAGUUCUGCCCUUCAAAGCAAUGUUCAGGUCAGUCGACCACCGUUUGUUCUGUUGGAUAUGCUACCAAAAACUUUUCCUUUCCGGAAUUUAUAGUAGUCACCCAGUGGGUGUGUCGAUUAAACUCCGUGUUAGCGGGGGCACGCUGAGUGCACCCGCUGGGUGUAGUCCCCAAGGCUAAGGUCGACUGCUGGCAGUCGGCCUUAGGCUUUAUGAUGUCAAUCUUUCUGUCAGUCGACUAUGUCGACUGGAUUUCACAAACCGGUGGGGGCACGCUGAGUGCACCCACUGGGUGUAGUCCCCGAGACUGUGGUCGAUUGCUUGCAGUUGAUCACAGUCUUAAAGAAUACAUCUCUUUUUUUUGAGGUCGACUGGUCGACUUUAUCUUCAACAGGAUUAGUGGGGGCACGCUGAGUGCACCCACUGGGUGUAGUCCCCGAGACUACGGUCGAAUGCUUGUAUUCGGCUGUAGUCUUAGAAACGUGUGUUUUUUCCUUUUUCACUCGGAAGUGAAUUAUAUUUGACAUUUAGUCGAUUGGUUCUUCGCAGAACUCUUGUGAUCUUGUGGCUCGCUACUCUGAGCUGGAAAAGAAGCACACUCAACUCGAGCUGAGCCUGAAGCUGGUUCAGGAGAAGCUGACAAAGGCAAAGGAGGAGACCGAAGGUAUAUUUGGUGAGACUCUGACGACUGCUUUUCCCCUUGCUUGUUUCAAAAUCUAAUCUUGCUGUAACUUGCAGGUAAGGUAAGGGAGGCCCAACAGAAGAAAGACCUCGAACUAGCUGAGAAGAUCAAGCUUGCUGACGAGAAGUUAGCUUCAGUCACCAAGCUUGAACAAGACAAUACGAAUCUGAAAGCUGCUCUUGGGAUCGCCAACAAGGAGGUCAGUCGACUAAAAACUGAUAAAGCUCCCCUGACCGACCAAGUCAGUAAGUUGACUGGGAAGAAAAAUGAUCUGGAGGCCUUCCUGAGUGGUCUUGCCAAGAAGCUGUUUCUUAUGCUUGAAGGUAAACCUCUAUGCUCGGCGAACAUUUCCAAUUGUGGUUUUUCCAUUCGACCAUCCCCUUGACUUAGUGAUCAUCUUUGCAGAAUUUUGUCAAAACUUUGAAGAAGAAACUAGCCGGCUGGAGCCAAACCUCGACCCCGUCAAUUCUCCGGUGAACGACGAAGUUGCCAUGGAUGUUUUCUGACUGGAGUCUCGUGUUGCAGCUGUCAUGGACUAUCUCGCAAGGCUGAAGGCCGCCACAACUCGCAUCGACUCGACGUUCUGGCCUGAGGAGACACUUCAGAAUGACCUUGAGUCGCUGAUGGCCUGCUUGAACUCGAUCCCUGGUCGAGUGCAGGAAUGGAAGUAGUCCUCGGCUCGGUGUGGUGCAGAUGUUGCUCUGUGUCUGGCUCGAGUCCACUGUAAAGAUGCGUGAGAAGAGAAGCUGGCGGCCCUUCGGGUGGCCAACACCAAGAAACACGACUUCAGGUCCUUUAUGGAAACUUUCCUUGCAGCUGCCACUCGGAUCGCCGACGGAAUUGACCUUGAUGAAUUCGUUGCACCUUCCAGCCCUCCACAGGAGGGGUAAAAAACUUCUUCUGGCUCGACGCUUUAAAUUUGCCUCGGUAUGCCGAGUGGAAUUGUAACCGAUAAACCUUAACAGGCUUAACGCCUGAGCACUUUCGGUUCCUUUAGAUAUCGAUUCAAACUUGAAUUUGGUGCUUGAAUACGAUUGCCUUUGGCUCGAAAUGUCCUUUGCAGGUUCAAAGCAAGGCGCCUUUACUGCAAUCGACUUAUUCUUUAGUCCACUUAGGCGAGCACUGGGCUGCGGCUAAGCCUCCGAGUGAGAGGUUUACUCUUCACUCGGUAGGAUUUUGAUAACUUAGGCUAGCACUGGGCUGCAGCUAAGCCUCCGAGUGAGAGGUUUGCUCUUGACUUGGUAGGAUUUUUAUAACUUAGGCGAGCACUGGGCUGCAGCUAAGCCUCCGAGUGAGAGGUUUGCUCUUCACUUGGUAGGAUUUUUAUAACUUAGGCGAGUGCUUGGACUGCAGCUAAGCCUCCGAGUGAGAGGGUCGCUCUUCACUUGGUAGGAUUUUGAUAACUUAGGCUAGUGCUUGGACUGCAGCUAAGCCCCCGAGUGAGAGGUUUGCUCUCCACUCGGUAGGAUUUUGACAAACUUAGGCGANNNNNNNNNNNNNNNNNNNNNNNNNNNNNNNNNNNNNNNNNNNNNNNNNNNNNNNNNNNNNNNNNNNNNNNNNNNNNNNNNNNNNNNNNNNNNNNNNNNNNNNNNNNNNNNNNNNNNNNNNNNNNNNNNNNNNNNNNNNNNNNNNNNNNNNNNNNNNNNNNNNNNNNNUUUUAUAACUUAGGCGAGCACUGGGCUGCAGCUAAGCCUCCGAGUGAGAGGUUUGCUCUUCACUCGGUAGGAUUUUUGUAACUUAGGCGAGCACAGGGCUGCAGCUAAGCCUCCGAGUGAAAGUCUGGCUUACCACUCGGUAGGAUUUUGAUAACUUAGGCGAGUGCUUGGACUGCAGCUAAGCCCCCGAGUGAGAGGUUUGCUCUCCACUCGGUAGGAUUUUGACAAACUUAGGCGAGUGCUGGACUGCAGCUAAGCCCCCGAGUGAGAGGUUUGCUCUUCACUUGGUAGGAUUUUUAUAACUUAGGCGAGUCCUUGGACUGCAGCUAAGCCUCCGAGUGGAAGUCUCGCUUACCACUCGGUAGGAUUUUGAUAACUUAGGCAAAACGGAUUCGCAGCUAAGCCUCCGAGUGGGAGUCUGGCUCACCACUCGGUAGGAUUUUUACAAACUUAGGUGAAACGGAUUCGCAGCUAAGUCACCCACUGCGGGGGAAUUUUAUUGGACAAAAAUAAAAAGUGACAGAAAUUAUGGAGGAACUAUGACACUAUUAUUUUGAGGUCCAUGAACUACAGAAGUACUUUAUUGCAACUCAUCCGAGUGUUAAAACUUAAGUAUAAAAUGGGCGGAGUAGUUCCGCGUUCCAAGCUCGGGGCUCGUCGAUAUUAUGCUCGACGUUGUAAAGACGGUACGCCCCGUUGUGGAGAACCUUGGUGACGAUGAAGGGACCUUCCCAAGAAGGAGCAAGCUUGUGUGGUUUGUGCUGAUCCACUCGGAGAACUAAAUCUCCUUCCUGGAAGGCUCGACCUCUCACAUUUCUGGCGUGGAAACGACGCAAAUCUUGUUGGUAGAUGGUCGACCGGAUCAGAGCCAUCUCCCUUUCUUCCUCUAAAAGGUCGACUGCGUCCUGCCGCGCUUGUUCAGCCUCUGCUUCGUUGUAGAUUUCAACUCGAGGAGCAUUGUGGAGAAGAUCACUCGGCAAGACUGCUUCAUCUCCGUAGACCAAGAAGAAUGGAGUUCUUCCGGUCGACCGAUUAGGUGUGGUCCGCAGCCCCCAAAGCACUGAGGGAAGUUCGUAGACCCAAGCUCUAGCCGCGUGUUUGAGAUCACGCAUCAGUCGGGGCUUCAAUCCCUUAAGAAUCAGUCCAUUAGCUCGCUCUGCUUGUCCAUUCGACUGCGGAUGGGGGACUGAAGCGUAGUCGACCCGUGUGCCUUGGGAUUUGCAGAAAGCUCUGAAUUCCUCCGAGUCAAAGUUCGACCCAUUAUCCGUAAUGAUGCUGUGCGGGACUCCAUAUCUGAAUAUUAGUUCCCUGAUGAAGCUAACAGCAGUACCGGUGUCAAGGUUCUUGAUUGGUUUAGCCUCGAUCCACUUGGUGAACUUGUCGACUGCCACCAGUACAUGCGUGAAGCCACUUCGUCCUGUUCUCAAAGGACCGACCAUGUCCAGUCCCCAUACUGCGAAAGGCCAGACGAGUGGGAUGGUCUUCAGAGCCGACGCAGGCUUGUGCAACAUAUUCGAGUAGAACUGACAUCCCUCGCACUUAUCCACUAUCUCUUUUGCCAUCUCAUUCGCCUUUGGCCAGUAAAAUCCGGCUCGGUAUGCUUUGGCCACGAUGGUCCGAGAGGACGCAUGAUGACCACAGGUUCCCGAGUGGAUAUCAUUGAGGAUGAGUCGACCUUCUUCUGGUGUUAUGCACUUCUGACCGACUCCAGUCGCGCUUUCUCUGUAUAAUUGUCCUUUGAUUACGGUAAAGGCCUUAGAUCGUCGGACGAUCUGUUGAGCCUCUUCCUCAUCCUCCGGAAGCUCUUUUCUCAGGAUAUACACGACAUAUGGAACUGUCCAGUCGGGAAUGACCACCAAGACCUCCAUGAUCAAGUCGACCACCGCUGGGACUUCAACUUCAGUCGGAUCUGUGGCACUCUUGGGCUGUGGAGUUUCUUCGGUGAAAGGAUCUUCUUUGACUGACGGAGUGUGUAUAUGCUCCAAGAACACACCACUCGGAAUGGCUUCUCUCUUGGAACCUAUCUUUGCUAGAUCAUCAGCUGCUUGAUUUUUCAGUCGGGGUAUAUGAUGGAGCUCCAACCCCUCGAACUUCUUUUCCAGCUUCCUCACUGCACUGCAGUAUCCAGUCAUGGCUGGGCUUCUCACGUCCCACUCUUUCAUCACCUGGUUGACCACUAAAUCCGAGUCGCCAUAGACCAUCAGGCGACGGACGCCGAGUGAAAUGGCCAUGCGCAACCCAUAUAAGAGGGCCUCAUAUUCUGCCUCAUUGUUGGAGGAAUCAAAGUGAAUCUGGAGCACAUAUCUGAGCUUAUCUCCUCUGGGGGAAACCAGGACAACCCCAGCACCGGAACCAUUCAACAUCUUAGAGCCAUCAAAGAACAUGGUCCAAUGCUCCGAGUGAACUUCAGUCGGCUGCUGUUGUUCAAUCCACUCGGCGAGGAAAUAUGCUAUUGCCUGGGACUUAAUGGCUUUCUUUGCCUCAAACUUGAUAUCAAGGGGAAGAAGUUCAAUCGCCCAUUUGGCCACUCGACCAGUUGCAUCUCUGUUGUGUAAAAUCUCGGAUAGUGGAGCGUCGCUGACGACUGUGAUGGAAUGAUCAGAAAAAUAAUGAGCAACCUUCUUUGUGGUCAUGUAUAUUCCAUACACAAGCUUCUGAUAAUGAGGAUAUCUCUGCUUGGAUGGAGUCAAGACUUCAGACAAAUAAUACACUGGGCGCUGAACUUUGAGAGCUUUUCCUUCUUCUUCCCGCUCGACCGUAAGCAUAGUACUGACGACUUGUCCUGUGGCUGCGAUAUAGAGCAACAGAGGCUCUUUGCUGAUUGGAGCAGCAAGCACCGGCUGGGUGGAGAGCAGAGAUUUUAGCUCGGCAAAUGUUGCAUCAGCUUCUGGAGUCCACUCGAACUUGUCUGUCUUCUUCAUCAGUCGGUAAAGAGGCAAUGCCUUUUCACAGAGUCGUGAGAUGAAUCGACUUAAUGCGGCCAAGCAUCCAGUAAGCUUCUGGACAUCGUGCACUCGCGCAGGGCGUUUCAUUCGGAGAAUAGUGCCAAUCUUCUCUGGGUUAGUGUCGAUUCCCCGUUCGGAAACGAGAAAACCGAGUAACUUGCCACCAGGAACUCCAAAUGUGCACUUUGAUGGAUUGAGCUUGAUAUCAUAUCUUCUGAGGUUGGCAAAUGUUUCGGUGAGAUCAGCGAGCAGGUCGGAACCUUUUCGUGAUUUGACAACGAUAUCAUCCAUAUAUGCUUCCACAUUCCGACUGAUUUGAUUGAGUAGACACUUCUGAAUCAUUCGCAUAAAUGUGGCUCCGGCAUUCUUGAGGCCGAAUGGCAUGGUGAUAUAGCAGAAGCACCCGAAUGGAGUGAUGAAAGCUGUUUUUACCUCGUCGGGUCCGUACAGACGGAUCUGGUGGUACCCGGAGUAGGCAUCUAAAAAAGAUAGCCUCUCGCAUCCCGCGGUCGAGUCAACAAUUUGAUCUAUGCGAGGGAGAGGAAAAUGAUCUUUCGGGCAGGCCCGGUUGAUGUGCUUGAAAUCAAUGCACAUUCGGAGCGACUUGUCCUUCUUAGGAACCAUGACCACAUUAGCGAGCCACUCGGAGUGGUAUAUCUCUCGGAUAAAUCCUGCCGCCAACAGUCGAGCCACUUCUUCACCAAUGGCUUUUCUCUUCUGGACGGCGGACCGCCGAAGAUGCUCUUUGACUGGUUUUGCAGAUGAGUCGACUCUUAGGCGAUGCUCAGCCAGUCCCCUGGGAACACCUGGCAUGUCAGCGGGCUUCCAUGCAAAAAUGUCCCAGUUCUCACGGAGGAACUGGAUGAGCGCUUCUUCCUAUUUUGGGUCGAGUGUUGUGGAGAUGCGGGUCGGAGCUGCAUCGGGGUCGGUCGGGUGAAUGUGAACAGGCUUCGUCUCACCGGACGACUGGAAUGCAGACUAUGUGGCGGGUUUCUUUGAUCGCAGCAAGUCACUCGGAUCUGCGUUUUGCUUGUAUUCCUCGAACUCGACCGCUGUCACCUGGGAAUCGGCAAUCUUGGAGCCCUUCUGAAAGCACUCUUCUGCCUUUUUCCUAUCACCGGUGACAGUGAUCACUCCUUUGGGGCCGGGCAUCUUCAAUUUGAGGUACACGUAACAUGGUCGAGCCAUGAACCGUGCGUAAGCUGGUCUCCCCAAAAUGGCAUGAUAUGCACUCUGAAAAUCCACGACCUCAAACGUCAACUUUUCUUUGCGAAAAUGUUUCGAAUCACCAAACACCACGUCCAAAGCUAUUUGGCCGAGUGACUCGGCUUUCUUCCCUGGUAUAACUCCAUGAAAGCUCAUGUUACUAGUGCUCAGUCGGGACAUCGGAAUGCCCAUUCCUUUCAGUGUGUCUGCAUACAACAAAUUCAGCCCGCUUCCACCAUCCAUCAGCACCUUUGUCAGUCGAGUGCCUUCGACAACUGGAUCGACCACCAAAGCUUGCCUCCCAGGGGUGGCAAUAUGAGUCGGGUGAUCAGAUUGGUCGAAUGUGAUGGGUAUUUGAGACCAUUUCAGAUAAUUUGCUUUUGCUGGGGCAACCAUGUUCACCUCUCGGUUAAUGACUUUCAGUCGACUCCUGCUUUCCACAUAUGCAAAGAUCAUCAGAGUGGAGUUGAUAUGCGGAUAUCCUUCCUCACUGUCCUCCUUGUCUUCAGCCUUGUCCGACUCCUUCUCCUUGUCCUUAGACUGUUUUCCCUAAAACUGCUGGAUCAGGAGUCGACAUUGGCGAGUGGUGUGCUUCGGGUAGAUGAUAUUCCCCUCUUCGUCUUUCUUCGUGUGGAUGUGACAUGGCAUAUCCAUUACGUCGUUCCCUUCUUUAUCCUUUACCUUCUUGGGGUUCCAGGAUCCUUUUGGUUUCCCCUUAAACUUUCCCUGAGUCACGGCUAGAGCCUCUCCAGGAGCUGCCGGUUCAGCCUUGCGCUUCUGUUUCCGACUGGUGUUUCCUUUUUCCGACUGACUCGGCUUGUGCUUGCCGCUUCGGAGUCGGUCUUCUUCUUCGCCGUUGGCGUGCUUGGUAGCAAUCUCCAUCAUCCGACUCAAGGUCAUGUCACCAGUUCGACCAAACUUCAAACUCAGUUCUCUGUUCUUGACGCCAUCUUUGAAGGCGCAGACUGCUUGAUGAUCAGACACAUUCUCCACAGUGUGGUGCAAAGUGAUCCACCUCUGAAUAUACUCUCUGAGAGUCUCAUUAGCCUUCUGCACGCAGACUUGCAACUCUGUCAAUCCAGCUGGUCGCUUGCAAGUUCCUUCAAACGUUCUGAUGAACACUCGGGACAGAUCUUCCCAAGUGUAAAUGCUGCUAGGAGGUAAUUGAGUCAACCAUGCCCUGGCAGAACCUUCCAGCAUGAGGGGCAAAUGCUUCAUGGCCACCUCGUCGUUCCCACCACCAAUCUGAACUGCCACUCGGUAAUCUUCAAGCCAAGUUUCGGGCUUAGACUCACCAGUGAACUUGCUGACUCCUAUUGCCAACCUGAAAUUGGGAGGGAUAAAUGCGGCUCUGAUAGCUCUGCUGAAACAUUCAGGACCAGAAACAUGCACUCGACUGCUUGUGGGUGCAUCUCUGUCGAGUCCGCUUCGAUGGGCUCUAUUCCGGUCGACCAAACCUUGCACGAUAAUGGAUCGCGCGUCGAAGCCUGGUUCUCUGGGGUCGACUGGAACCCUUCGUCCUGUACUGUACUGACGCUUGUCAUCUUGCUGCCGAGGAGCGUAAGACCCACCCCUCGGAGGGGAAUUGGGCACUCGACGCCUAUCAUCUCGGUAGAGUCUGUCGCCAUAUUGAUCUCGCCGAUUCUCGCGCCCUUCACGCCGCGGAGGCGAUCUGGGGCUGUGAGCCGACUGAACCGUAUUCGCAGUGACGGAUCGACUGUGAAUUCUGUUGCGCGACUGAGACACGGCUGAAUUCUGAUCUCCUGCUGCCCGGAGCAGAUCCCUGAUCUGCAGCAAACCUCUGCCAGCUUCCGACUGCGAAGGCUGGAUGGACUCUGCUAUACGGGUCGCAGCUGCUAAAUUCUGGAUUGGGGUUCGAUAUACCUGAGUCGGCGGGAAGAGUUGACGUCGACUGGCGUCGGGAACUCGUUGCCGCGCGCGCUCGUCGAGUGCUCGCUGAAGAUUCUCCAGUCGAGUGCGUUCGGCCAAAUUGGCCAGACGUGCCUCCUCCAAGGCACGAGCCUCGGGGGUUUCUCCUGCGAUGGGAGUACGCAGAGCAUCCACGUUCCUGCGGCGAAGUUCCUCUCUUUGCAGAGAGUCGAGUGGCUCGGGCUGGUACUCUUCGUGGCCUCGUGCGGGGUCGCCUCCGUCACCUGCUCCACCAUCACGGGCGAAGCCAGGGGGACUGCGGGGCCCGUCGACCAUCAAGAUUUCCGCCGCUGGAUCACUGCUACCGCACUCGGAUGCUGUCUCUACGGAGCCAGUCGACAGAUCGAACAAGCCGUAGAGAGAUUCGUCGGGCUCGAUUGCCGCAACUUGGGUGGUGGCCGAUUGGCGAGCCACCGCGUGCCUCACCCAUCGCUGAAGCCUCGACCGGCCCGAGCGCUUGCGCUGGCGGGAGACCGGGAGGGUGGACGAUGGAGGAGCCGACCGAUACGGGGUCGACGGUUGCCGCAGCAGAACACCGCGGACACAUGCGCGAAAAUGCGUCGCACCGCGAACGGGGAGCGCAUCAACGUCGAGUGGAGCCUCCUGGAGCCACGCGGAGUCGUCGGCAAUGAAGGUGAGAGUGCCGAGACGGAUCUCUCGACCCUCGACCAAAACUCCAGCAGACACCAUGAUGAAAGUACUCGGAAGAAUCGCAACUUCUCCACAAAAUCGCUAAAACACCUGCCCCAAGGUGGGCGCCAACUGUCGGGGUUCUAAGCCUGACAGUAGAGUGGGGGGUAGGUAUGGAGAGGCAAGGUCCUAGCUAUGGAGAGGUUGUAAACACAAGGGAUGUACGAGUUCAGGCCCUUCUCGGAAGAAGUAAUAGCCCUACGUCUCGGAGCCCGGAGGCGGUCGAGUGGAUUAUGAGUAUAUGAGUUACAAGGUGCCGAACCCCUCUGCCUGUGGAGGGGGGUGCUUAUAUAGAGUGCGCCAGGACCCCAGCCAGCCCACGUAGGAGAGGGUUUAAGGUCAGUUAAGUCUGGGGCGUUACUGGUAACUCCCCACAUAAAGUGUCUUUACUAUCAUAAAGCCUACUUAAUUACAGGCCGUUGCAGUGCAGAGUGCCUCUUGACCUCCCGGUGGUCGAGUGAGUCUUCGUGGUCGAGUCCUUCAAGUCAGUCGAGUGAAUCCCUCGUUGGUCGACUGGAAGGCGACCUCUUCUAAGGGUGUCCUAGGGUAGGUUCGUGACCCUACCCUAGGUACAUGACACCAUCAGGUGAUAUAGAACUAGCUCCAAUUCAUCAAUGUAAUGUAGGCAUGUAUUCCGUAAAUAGUCAUACGUGCUUAUGGAAAAGAACUUGCAUGACAUCUUUUGUCCUACCCUCCCGUGGAAGCGGGGUCCUAGCGGAAACUAAGGGAUAUUAAGGCCUCCUUUUAAUAGAGAACCGGAACAAAGCAUUAGCACAUAGUGAAUACAUGAACUCCUCAAACUACGGUCAUCAUCGAGAAGUAUCCCGAUUAUUGUCACUUCGGGGUUGUCGGAUCAUAACACAUAAUAGGUGACUAUAGACUUGCAAGAUAGGAUCAAGAACACACAUAUAUUCAUGAAAACAUAAUAGGUUCAGAUCUGAAAUCAUGGCACUCGGGCCCUAGUGACAAGCAUUAAGCAUAGCAAAGUCAUAGCAACAUCAAUCUCAGAACAUAGUGGAUAGUAGGGAUCAAACCCUAACAAAACUAACUUGAUUACAUGAUAAAUCUCAUCCAACCCAUCACCGUCCAGCAAGCCUACGAUGGAAUUACUCACGCACGGCGGUGAGCAUCAUGAAAUUGGUGAUGGAGGAUGGUUGAUAAUGACGACGGCGAUGAAUCCCCCUCUUCGGACCCCCGAACGGACUCCAGAUCAUCCCUCCCGAGAGAGAUUAGGGCUUGGCGGCGGCUCCAUGUCGUAAAACGCGAUGAAACUUUCUCUCUUGAUUUUUUUCUCCCCGAGACGGAAUAUAUGGAGUUGGAGUUGAGGUCGGUGGAGGUCCAGGGGGCCCACGAGAUAGGAGGCCGCGCCCUAGGGGGGCGCCCCCUGUCUCGUGGACAGCCUGUGGGCCCCCUGGCAUUGAUUCUUUCGCCAAAAAUUCUUAAUAAUUCCAAAAAGUGCCUCCGUGGAUUUCCAUGACAUUCCGAGAACUUUUCUUUUCUACACAUAAAACAACAUCAUGGUAGUUCUGCUGAAAACAGCGUCUGUCCGGGUUAGUUUCAUUCAAAUCAUGCAAGUUAGAGUCCAAAACAAGGGCAAAAGUGUUUGCAAAAGUAGAUACGUUGGAGACGUAUCAACUCCCCCAAGCUUAAACCUUUGCUUGUCCUCAAGCAAUUCAGUUGAUAAUUUGAAAGUGAUAGAGAAAAACUUUUACAAACUCUGUUUGCUCUUGUUGUUGUAAACAUGACAAGUCAGCAUUCAAGUUUCAGCAAAUAUUAUGAACUAACCAUACUCAGAAUAACACUUAGGUCUCACAAUUACUCAUAUCAAUAACAUAAUCAGCUAGCGAGCCAUAAUAAUAAAAAUCGGAUGACAACACUUUCUCAAAAUAAUCAUAACAUGAUAUAACAAAAUGGUAUCUCGCUAGCCCUUCCUGAGACCGCAAAACAUAAAUGCAGAGCACCUUUAAAGAUCAAGGACUGACUAAACAUUGUAAUUCAUGGUAAAAGAGAUCCAGUCAAGUCAUACCCGAUAUAAACCAAUAAUAAUGAAUGCAAAUGACAGUGUGCUCUCGAGCGGGUGCUUUAAAUAAGAAGGGUGAUGACUCAACAUAAAAGUAAAUAGAUAGGCCCUUCGCAGAGGGAAGCAGGGAUUUGUAGAGGUGCCAGAGCUCGAUUUUAAAAUAGAGAUUGAAUAACAUUUUGAGCGGCAUACUUUCACUGUCCACGCAACAACUAUGAGAUGGUUGUAUCUUCCAUACUACAUGCAUUAUAGGUGGUUCCCAAACAGAAUGGUAAAGGUUUAUACUCCCCCAACCAGCAACAAGCAUCAAUCCAUGGCUUGCUCGAAACAACGAGUGCCUCCAACAUACAACAGCCCUGGGGGCGUUUUGUUUAAUUAUUUUGAUUUGCUUUGAUCUUUUUGGAUCAUGGGACUUGGCAUCCCGGUUACCGACCCUUUCUCGUGAAUGAGGAGCGGAGUCCACUCCUCUUGAGAAUAACCCACCUAGCAUGGAAGAUAUAGGCAUCCCUAGUUGUAACAUGAGCUGCUCGAGCAUACAAAACAGAAUUUAAUUUGAAGGUUUGGAGUUUGGCACAUACAAAUUUACUUGGAACGGCAGGUAAAUACCGCAUAUAGGAAGGUAUAGUGGACUCAUAUGGAACAACUUUGGGAUUUAAGGAGUUUGGAUGCACAAGCAGUAUUCCCGCUUAGUACAGGUGAAGGAUAGCAAAAGACUGGGAAGCGACCAACUGAGAGAGCGACAACAGUCAUAAACAUGCAUUAAAAUUAAUUCACACCGAAUACAAGCAUGAGUAGGAUAUAAUCCACCAUGAACAUAAACAUCAUGAAGGCUAUGUUGAUUUGAUUCAACUACAUGCGUGAACAUGUGCCAAGUCGAGUCACUCAAUUCAUUCAAAGGAGGAUACCAUCCCAUCAUAUCACAUCAUAAUCAUUCUCAUAGCAUGUUGGCACGCAAGGUAAACCAUUAUAACUCAUAGCUAAUCAAGCAUGGCACAAGCAACUAUAAUCUCUAAAUGUCAUUGCAAAUAUGUUUACUUCAUAAUAGCUGACCCAGGAACGAUGAAUCAUCAUAUUUACAAAAACAAGAGAGGUCGAGUUCAUACCAGCUUUUCUCAUCCCAAUAAGUCCAUCAUAUAUCGCCAUUAUUGCCUUUCACUUGCACGACCGAACGAUGUGUAUAAUAAUAAGAGUGCACGUGCAUUGGACUAAGCUGGAAUCUGCAAGCAUUCAACUCAAGAGACAAGACAAGUAAUAUGGGCUCUAAGUUAAAUAAACAAUUAUGCAUAUAAGAGCCACUAAGCAUUUUCAAUAUGGUCUUCUCGACCCCCAAAGGAAAGAAAAGAAAAUAAAACUAUUUACACGGGAAAGCUCCCAACAAGUAAGAAGAAGAAAAAGAAAUAUUUUUCGGUUUUCAUUUUAAAUUCUACUACAAACAUGGAAAUUAAACUAACUAAUUUUUUUGGUUUUUCAUAAAGUUUAUCAAACACACAAGAAGAAAACUAGAAAAAGAAAUUUAAACUAGCAUGGAUAAUACAAUGAAAGAGUAUGAGCACCGACGACUAGUGUGUGAAUAUGAAUGUAAAGUCGGUGAGAAAUACGUACUCCCCCAAGCUUAGGCUUUUGGCCUAAGUUGGUUUAAUACCAAGGACCGCCGCUACUCUCCCCGGUGUAGUGGGAGGUGUAAUCAGGAUACCACUGGCUGGUCAUCUGUGGAUCUCACUGGACAGAUGAUGCACGAUAAGGGUCCAGUUCAGGUUCCGGCUCAGGUUCGUUCUGGAGUAAAAGCUUGAGCUCGAUGGUUGUUCACCGCUUCCGGCGUGACAAGAUGAUUUUCUGCAACCAAAUCAAACAACAGAGGUGCAGGCAAGAUAAUAACCUCAAUGUGUUUCUUAUUAAAUCUAAGUUUAUACAAGAGCAUCUUCUCUUCAUUGUCAAUAAUAAACUUGUGUGCUACCAUGCUCUUGUAAUCUAAAAUGUGAGGAUGCAAUUUUAUCUCAUCCUCCUCAUGGUGCCUAAUGGGUAUCCGAAAAUGUUCAGCAAUACGUGCAGCAUAGAUACCUCCAAAUAUGGGGCCUUUUGUACGAUUCAGGGCUAGCCGUUUAGCAACGACGACACCCAUACUAAAAGUAUUGUCUCCUAGCAAAGCAUGUGGAAGAAUAAUAAUAUCUAGAAUGCUCAAAUUUCCACUAUUUCCACAACCAAUCAAGCAUCUACUAGCAAAUAUGGCAAAGUAGAGUAAAACAGGAAAGUGUAUGCUAGAGACUUUUGGCUCAGAGCCCUUCUUUGUCUCUUCCACGGCAAUAGUUUUAACGAAGCCACCCACAUCUUCACGAUGGGGUUCCUCUAAUUCUCCCUCAUAAGGUAUCCUACAUACCGCACAAAAAUGACGUAAAGACAUUUCUUUGAAUUCAUCAUAUAAAUGAAAUGAUACUGCAGGCGGUGACUUCUUAGGAUAAUAAUAAAAGUUUUGCACGAAAGUAUUGGUGAGUAAGAGAUACUGAUCGAUUCGGUCGUUGAUGAAACCGUUGAGGCCUGCAAUCUCGAUUAAAGCAUAAAAGUCUUCAUGAAUUCCGGCUUCUUUCAAGAAAUCCUCGCAUGGCCAUUCACACGACCAUACUUCCGCUACGCGAGCAAGAUUAUACUUGGCUUUUUCCUUCUCUUUGGCUUGUUUUUCCUGAGAGCUUCGGCUAGAAGAGCCUUUAAAGAUCCUCCUUAACAUUUUCAAGAAACAAUCUCCCAAAGCAGCUUUGUGAAUGGAGCUUUGAGCUAAGAGAUCGAAAAUCGCAGCAAAACGAGCUAGAACUCGUGCUUGAGCUGGAUGGGGAUUUUUUUUGGUAGAAGAUGAAGUGUGUGGGUGCUGGCAUAAGUGGAGGGGAGCCACUAGGGGCCCACGAGAUAGGGGGCGCGCCCUCCACUCUCGUGGCCUGGUGCUUGCCCCUCCUGCAGUGUUUUCAGUGCCUAAAAUCCUCAAAUAUUCCAGAAAAAAUCAUACUAAAUUUGCAGGGCAUUUGGAGCACUUUAUUUUCGGACUAUUUUCUUAAUGCAUGGAUAAUUCAGAAAACAGACAGAUAAUACUAUUUUUGCUUUAUUUAUUCUAAAUAACAGAAAGUAAAAAGAGGGUACAGAAGGUUGUGCCUUCUAGUUUCAUCCAUCUCGUGAUCAUCAAAAUGAAUCCACUAACAAGGUUGAUCAAGUCUUGUUAACAAACGCAUUCCGAAUAACACGGAACCGGAGAAAUUUCGAAUAACACUAAGUUACCUCAACGACGAUACGAAAAUCCCCAACAAUAAGAAUAUCAUACUUUUUCUUGACAGUAGGGAGAGGAAAUUCAAAACCUCCAAAAAUGAUAGUUGGAACUUUUUCAAUAGAAUUGAUGCUAUGAACUUGAGAUUGUUUCCUCGGAAAGUGUACAAUAUGCUCAAUACCAUUAACAUGAAAAGUGACAUUGCCUUUGUUGCAAUCAAUAACAGCCCCUGCAGUAUUAAGAAAAGGUCUACCAAGGAUAAUAUACAUACUAUCGUCCUCGGGAAUAUCAAGAAUAACAAUGUCCGUUAAGAUAGUGACAUUUGCAACCACAACAGGCACAUCCUCGCAAACACUGACAGGUAUAGCAGUUGAUUUAUCAGCCAUUUGCAAAGAUAUUUUAGUAGGUGUCAACUUAUUCAAUUCAAGUCUACGAUAUAAAGAGAGAGGCAUAACACUAACACCGGCUCCAAGAUCACAUAAAGCAGUUCUAACAUAAUUUCUUUUAAUGGAGCAUGGUAUAGUUGGAACACCCGGAUCUCCAAGUUUCUUUGGUAUUCCACCCUUAAAAGUGUAAUUAGCAAGCAUGGUGGAAAUUUCAGCUUCCGGUAUCUUUCUUUUGUUUGUGAUAAUAUCCUUCAUGUACUUAGCAUAAGGAUUUACUUUAAGCAUAUCAUUUAAGCGCAUACGUAAGUAAAUAGGUCUAAUCAUUUCAACAAAGCGCUCAAAAUCCUCAUCAUCCUUUGACUUGGAUGUUUUAGGAGGAAAGGGCAUGGGUUUCUGAACCCAUGGUUCUCUUUCUUUACCGUGCUUCCUAGCAACAAAAUCUCUCUUAUCAUAAUGUUGAUUCUUUGAUUGUGGGUUAUCAAGAUCAACAGCAGGUUCAAUCUCUACAUCAUUGUUUUUGCUAGGUUGAGCAUCAACAUGAACAUUAUCAUUAACAUUAUCACUAGGUUCAUGUUCAUCACCUGAUUGAGUUUUAGCAUCAGAAAUAGAAAUAUCAUUGGGAUUCUCAGGUGUGUCUACAGUAGGUUCACUAGAAGCAUGCAAAGUCCUAUCAUUUUUCUUCUUCUUCUUUUUAGAAGAACUAGGUGCCUCUAAAUUAUUUCUCUGAGAAUCUUGCUCGAUUCUCUUAGGGUGGCCUUCAGGAUACAAAGGUUCCUGAGUCAUUCUACCAGUUCUAGUAACCACUCUUACAACAAAGUCAUUCUUAUUAUUUAAUUCAUCAAGCAAAUCAUUUGGAGCUUUAAGUACUUGCUCAGCUUGAGUAGCAACCAUAGAAGCAUAUUUGCUAACGCAGUGAAGUUCAUCUUUAACUCUAGCCAGAUUAUCACUUACGCGUCCUAUCUCGAAAGCAUUAUUCUUUAACUCUCUACCAACAUAAGCAUUAAAACUUUCUUGUCUAGCCAUGAAGUCCUCAAAUUCAUCUAAGCAUGGGCUAUGAAAAAUUUAGUAGAGGGUAUUUCAACUUUAUCAUACCUAUAGAGAGAAUUUACCUUUACUACCUGUGUCGGGUUAUCAAGACAAUGUGGUUCUUCAAGCGGUAUAUUAAGACCAUGUAUUUCUUCAAUAGGAGGUAAAUUCUUAACAUAUUCAGCUUUAAUACCUUUUUUCUUUCAUUGAUUUCUUUGCCUCUUGCAUAUCUUCAGGACUGAGAAAUAAAACACCUCUCUUCUUCGGAGUGGGUUUAGGAAUAGGCUCUGGAGUUGGCUCAAUUGGUUCAGGAAUUACUUCAGGAACUGGCUAGGGAAGAGUCCAAUUAUUUUCAUUAGUCAACAUAUUAUUCAAUAAUAUUUCAGCUUCAUCGACUGUUCUUUCCCUGAAACACAACCAGCACAACUAUCCAAGUAGUCCUUGGAAGCAUCGAUUAGUCCAUUAUAAAAGAUAUCGAGUAUUUCAUUUUUCUUAAGAGGAUGAUCGGGCAAAGCCUUAAGUAACCGGAGAAGCCUCCCCCAAGCUUGUGGGAGACUCUCUUCUUUGAUUUGCACAAAAUUAUAUAUUUCCCGCAAGGCAGCCUGUUUCUUAUGAGCAGGGAAAUAUUUAGCAGAGAAGUAAUAAAUCAUAUCCUGGGGACUACGCACACAACCAGGAGCAAGAGAAUUAUACCAAGUCUUAGCAUCACCCUUUAAUGAGAAUAGAAAUAUCUUAAGGAUAUAUAAAUAUUGAGACUUCUCAUCAUUAGUAAACAGGGUGGCUAUAUCAUUCAACUUGGUGAGAUGUGCCACAACAGUUUCAGAUUCAAGGCCAUAAAAAGGAUCAGAUUCAACUAAAGUAAUAAUUUCAGGAUCAACAGAGAAUUCAUAAUCAUUAUCAGUAACACAGAUAGGUGAAGUAGCAAAAGCAGGGUCAGGUUUCAUUCUAGCAUUAAGAGACUGCUGCUUCCAUUUAGCUAAUAAUUUCUUAAGAUCAUUUCUAUCAUUGCAAGCAAGAAUUUCCCUAGCAGCUUCUUCAUUCAUAACAUAACCCUAAGGAACAACAGGUAAUACAUAAUCAUUGGGGGGACCUUCAUCAUAACUAUCAUCAGUAAUAGGAUCUUCAGUAAUCAUUCCCCCUAACUCUAGCAAGUUGUUCAUCAAGAAAUUCACCUAAUGGCAAAGUAGUAUCACGCACAGAAGUAGUUUCAUCAUGCAUAACAGAAGUGGCAUCAUCAAUAACAUGCGACAUAUCAGAAUUCAUAGCAGUAGUAGGUUUAGGUGUCGCAAGCCUACUAAUAACGGAAGGAGAAUCUAGUGUAGAGCUAGAUGGCAGUUCCUUACCUCCCCUCGUAGUUGAGGGCAAAAUCUUUGUCUUAGCGUCUUUCAAGUUCUUCAUAGUGAUCAACAGAUAUAAGUCCCAAGCGACUCAGAGAAUAGGGCUAUGCUCCUCGGCAACGGCGCCAGAAAUUAGUCUUGAUAACCCACAAGUGUAGGGGAUCGCAACAGCUUUCGAGGGUAAAGUAUUCAACCCAAAUUAUUGAUUCGACACAAGGGAAGCCAAAGAAUAUUCUUGAGUAUUAGUAGUUGAGUUGUCAAUUCAACCACACCUGGAUAAUUUAGUAUCUGUAGCAAAGUAUUUAGUAGCAAAAGUGGUAUGAUAAUAAAGGUAACGCUAGCAAAAGUAAAGAUAAAUGUUUUUGGGGUUUUGUAGUAGUUGUAACAGUAGCAACGGAAAAGUAAAUAAGCGAAGAACAAUAUGUGAAAAGCUCGUAGGCAAUGGAUCAGUGAUGGAUAAUUAUGCCAGAUGCGAUUCCUCAUGCAAUAGUUAUAACAUAGGGUGCUAUAGAACUAGCUCCAAUUCAUCAAUGUAAUGUAGGCAUGUAUUCCGUAAAUAGUCAUACGUGCUUAUGGAAAAGAACUUGCAUGACAUCUUUUGUCCUAUCCUCCCGUGGAAGCGGGGUCCUAGCGGUAACUAAGGGAUAUUAAGGCCUCCUUUUAAUAGAGAACCGGAACAAAGCAUUAGCACAUAGUGAAUACAUGAACUCCUCAAACUACGGUCAUCACCGAGAAGUAUCCCGAUUAUUGUCACUUCGGGGUUGUCGGAUCAUAACACAUAAUAGGUGACUAUAGACUUGCAAGAUAGGAUCAAGAACACACAUAUAUUCAUGAAAACAUAAUAGGUUCAGAUCUGAAAUCAUGGCACUCGGACCCUAGUGACAAGCAUUAAGCAUAGCAAAGUCAUCGCAACAUCAAUCUCAGAACAUAGUGGAUACUAGGGAUCAAACCCUAACAAAACAAACUUGAUUACAUGGUAAAUCUCAUCCAACCCAUCACCGUCCAACAAGCCUACGAUGGAAUUACUCACGCACGGCGGUGAGCAUCAUGAAAUUGGUGAUGGAGGAUGGUUGAUGAUGACGACGGCGACGAAUCCCCCUCUCUGGAGCCCCGAACGGACUCCGGAUCAGCCCUCCCGAGAGAGAUUAGGGCUUGGAGGCGGCUCCGUGUCGUAAAAUGCGAUGAAACUUCCUCUCUUGAUUUUUUCUCCCUGAGACGGAAUAUAUGGAGUUGGAGUUGAGGUCGGUGGAGGUCCAGGGGGGCCAGAAGAUAGGAGGCCGCGCCCUAGGGGGGCGCCCCCCCUAUCUCGUGGACAGCCUGUGGGCCCCCUGGCAUUGAUUCUUUCGCCAAAAAUUCUUAUUAAUUCCAAAAAGUGCCUCCGUGGAUUUCCAAGACAUUCCGAGAACUUUUCUUUUCUACACAUAAAACAACAUCAUGGUAGUUCUGCUCAAAACAGUGUCAAUCCGGGUUAGUUUAUUCAAAUCAUGCAAGUUAGAGUCCAAAACAAGGGCAAAAGUGUUUAGAAAAGUAGAUGCGUUGGAGACGUAUCACCGAACAUAGUUUGGCCGAGAGUCUCCUGACAAAGAGAGGGAUUUUAAGGAGUUCAGCACGUCGCCAAAGGGCGAGUGCUGGAAGAUAUUCGCGGCGGUGAACUCCAUUAUCGGAGCCCAACCAGAUUCGGCGGGCUUAGAGGCGCGCAGACUGGAACCUACAACCGGGUACGAGUCCGGUGGUCUGGUGUCACAGGCUUCCUUGAAGGUGAAGUCUGUGUUCGUCUCUACCGCCGAUGAGUGUGUGGCCUCUGGGGCGGGGUCCAUCCACCCGUCCUUGGGCAACGUAGUCUGCUCCAGAUUUAGGCCUGGGGCUACUGCAGGGGUGAUAUCCCGAGCAUUGUCCGACAGCAGGUCUAAGCCAUGCUCAUCGUGACUGUCUGGCGCUCCUGGCACAGGUCCGAAUCCGUUGAGGAUCAAGUCUCCACGGAUAUCUGCCGUGUAGUUCAAGUUUACGAACCUGUCCUGGUGGCCAGGGGCGCAUCUGCCGAUCUGCUCCACAUGGCCAAGCGAAUUAGCCCACAGUGCGAAGCCGCCGAACAUGAAGAUCUGUUCGGGGAGAAAAGUCUCACCCUGGACCGUGUCGUUGUUGAUGAUUGGAGGAGCCAUCGAGCCUUGCAGCGACGACACAGAGGAACUCUCGAUGAAAGAACCAAUGUCGGUGUCAAAACCGGCGGAUCUCGGGUAGGGGGUCCCGAUCUGUGUGUCUUAGGCUAAUGGUAACAGGAGGCAAGGGACACAAUGUUUACCCAGGUUCAGGCCCUCUCAAUGGAGGUAAAACCCUACUUCCUGCGUGAUUGAUAUUGAUGAUAUGAGUUGUACAAGAGUUGAUCUACCACGCGAUCGUAGAGGCUAAACCCUAGAAGCUAGCCUAUGCUGAUUAUGAUUGUGAUCGUCCCUCUAAGGACUAAACCCUCCGGUUUAUAUAGACACCGGAGGGGUCUAGGGUUUACCCGGAGUCGGUUACAAAGAAGAAAACAUAAUAUCCGAAUCGCCAAGCUUGUCUUCCACGCAAAGGAGAGUCCUAUCCGGACACGGGACGAAGUCUUGAGUCUUGUAUCUUCACGGUCCUACAGUCCGGCUAAAGUAUAUAGUCCGGCAGUCCGGAUACCACCUAAUCCAGGACUCCCUCAGCCGCCGCCAUUCCCCGAUGACCGUCGUCGCCCACCACUGCCGUUCCUCCUCCACUCAGGUAGUCCCUCCUCCCCUCCUCCCUCCUCCACCGGCCACCCCCUCCUGCCUCCCCACCGACCGCCCNNNNNNNNNNNNNNNNNNNNNNNNNNNNNNNNNNNNNNNNNNNNNNNNNNNNNNNNNNNNNNNNNNNNNNNNNNNNNNNNNNNNNNNNNNNNNNNNNNNNNNNNNNNNNNNNNNNNNNNNNNNNNNNNNNNNNNNNNNNNNNNNNNNNNNNNNNNNNNNNNNNNNNNNNNNNNNNNNNNNNNNNNNNNNNNNNNNNNNNNNNNNNNNNNNNNNNNNNNNNNNNNNNNNNNNNNNNNNNNNNNNNNNNNNNNUCUUGUAUAAUGUAAAAUUGUUUUGCUGUUUUUUAGUAAGUGUUUAAUAGAAUUAGUAAGAAAAUUAAUAAAACAAGUUGAACUAGUUUUUUAGUAAGAAUUAGUUUAUUUUUAUUUAUAGUAAGUGCUUAGUUGAACUCGUUGAAUUAGUAGAACUAUUUUAUUUUUAGUAAGAAAACUUAGGUAUAUGAGAUUUGAUGAUCUAAUUAAAAUGUUACUAUAGAACUAGUUUAUUUUUAGUAAGGACUAGUUUAUUUUUAGUAAGAACUAGUUUAUUUUUAUUUAUAGUAAGUGUUUAGUUGAAGUAGUUCAAUUAAUAGAACUAGUUUAUUUUUAGUAAGAAAAUUUAGGUUUGUGAGAUUUGAUGAUCUAAUCAAAAUUUUACUAUAGAAUUAGUUUAUUUUUAGUAAGAAAAUUAAUAGAACUAGUUUAUUUUUUUAGUUGAAGCAAUUAUUCCCGCAUCGAUGUCGACGAUGCCUAUCCCGCAUCCUCGUCGUCGACUGGAUGGAGGAGGCCUGCUUCAUCAGAGGGGCCAUGUCCGGGACUGGGCUCCGCCAGGCUGGUAGUGGGAUGUGCUACCUUCCGGGGGCGCGGCUUGGUGAGGAGCCAGCCUGUCGUUGACCCGAACCCUCUGUGGUGGCGGUCGCGUGAGCCAGUGACGGUGCGAAGGCUUGAGGACCCCGUGGAGGUGGUACGUCAUCGUGUCAGUGAGGAGGACAAGCACGUCCGUCGCUGCAUGGUUGCGUUGGAGGGCAGGUUCUCCAGUACCUGGUAGGUUCUUCAGGGGUCUCACUGAAGCUGUGAUCCUGUGAUGGUUCCUUCUCUUUGGGUGUCCACCGCCCGGGCCGAUACCCGUCGUUCGCUAGGGUUUUAGCUAUAUUAGUGAGGUUAUAUGUAUGAUACUAUUCGAGAUGUAUUAGUGAUAAUAUUCGACGAUGUACGGACACAAGAGAUGAUUUAGUGAAUGCAUGCUACUUUGAGUACUAAUUUAUUUUAUGAUUUAGUUUUGCUUAUUGAAUCCUCAAAUUGGAGAACUACUCCUAUUUUGAAUGCUCAAAUUGGAGAGCACUAUGCAAGGCGUAUGCAUUUGAUUGGUUGAUAGCUUAUAGGGUUUCACUAAGUCCUAAGAUGAGGAUAAUAAAGUUUUUAUUUAUAUUUUGUGUUUGCAGCCAAAUCUCCAUGUCGUCUUCGCUGUUGUCCCCUUCACGGACCCCCUCCGACCUCAAGGUGAGACCAGCCAAAUCUCCAUGUCAAUAUGAGUCCUAUAAGAUAUUUUGAAAUGUUUUUGUUCAUAUUUUCAACCAUUGAAAUGCAAUGACCAUCAAGUUUGAAUGCAAUGACCAUCAAGUUUGAAGGCAAAUAGGAUAUGUGCUUGCUCAAGUGGCCAUGUUUGCAGGUAAUACCUUCGAGUGGCCUAUGUUUCGCCGGAGUGUUGAUUAAUUUUUGUUCCGGCGAAUUUCAGGUGCUCGAUAUGUCCUUUUUUAGCAAAGUUCAUGCCGGAUUUUUCCAUGAAUUUUGGCAUGAAUUGUGCGAGAAUAUGUAGGAAAUAUCGAGUGGCCUGGAUUUUCUAGAAAGAUAGUUAAACGACAUUUUGGGUUGACUUUAAGUCUGUCGAGGCUCCAUACAUGACAAUCAAAAAAUGAGUGAGGGAGAAAGUAUGCACCAUAUAUGAGAGAGGAAGAAUCCCGACUGUUGUCGUGGCGGUCGUUUGUCCUUCUUCUCCUUGUCCUAUACCUUUGUUAUCCACUCGGGGAAGGAGGAGUAACGACCAUCACCGACGGUCGAAAAAUUAGUGGGGCAGUGUGUGUACACCAUAUAUGAGAGAGGAAGAAUGCCGACUGUUGUCAUGGGGGUCGCUUCUCCUUCGUUCCCUGUGCUAUACAUUUUGGUUUAAUGCACUCGGGGACAAAGGGAGGAGCGACCAUCACCAACGGUCGAAUAUAUACACCACGUGAGCUGAGAGUUUUCAAAAAAAGACUCGACGGACCGAUAGUCAACCCAUGCUGAAUAAUAAUUAUCUAAUUUAGUUUUUGUAGUACAUAUAUUGAAUUUUAGAAGUUUAAUCUUUGAAUUAUGAACAUCGGAAAUGUCGUCGGACGAUGAAAGUCUCGCGGAGUGCUCCUGGUGCGGCGACAACUAGGGUUUUUGCGACAUGCCUCACUUGGUAGAAGGUCGGUGCUUCAGCAUUAAACUCCAUGAGACAUCCGAUGUUGAAACGGUACGCAACGAUGCAAAGAGUUUUUUUCGUAAUUAAGCUCGACUUCUUCUUCUUCAACGUGUAAUUUUCGCCUUUUACAAUUCGACUAGCUUAUCCCAUGCCAUGCAAGACGCUAUGUCUUGGAGAGGAUGGAUUUUGAAGAUCAUGAAAAUAUGGAAACAAAGAUAGUUCACCUAAGGACCCAUCAUGGUUUUGAUUUCCUGUAAAUCUAUACAAUUAUAUGAGCGGAUCCCAUUUUGGAUGCCCAAAUUGGGACGCACUUUGCAAGGCAUAUGAUUUCCAUGAGGGUAUGCUUGUCACCAUGGAUCCUCAUGAGCCUGACAUCGAGGAAGACAAUAUGAACAUUUGGGUCCUUGUUGAAUACGCUUCCAAUUCUACCGCUAUGUGAGUUUCUCAAACAUAGUUAUUAAGUAAUUUAUAUUGUUUAUUUCAAAAUAGUUGACAGCUUAUUUCCAUUGAUAGCUUAUUUUCAUUCUUCAAAGAAUAUGCGAAAGAUGCUAGACAUAACCUACUACACCGAUGGCGCGGAAUUAACUUAUCAGGAGAAAAAUCAUCUAAUCUCGGUUAUUAAUGAUCUUGAGAUUUACAAUAUCUAUAAUCAAACUCCUGCGCAGUAUGGUCAAUACGUGCCACUAGUGCACGUGUUGAACUACGGUAACAUCCAUGGAGAUGGCAUGGUAAGAUUUUUUUACUAUUACGACAUCCGUGCAUCUUUUGCAUAAAUUCUUCUAAAACUAAACUACAUUGCUAACUACGAAGUUAUUACUAUGUUUUUCAACAGAAAAUCCUGAAGGAUUGUGUGCCUCAUCUAAUGUUUCCGAAAGGUCGCCUUGAUGUUAUGAGCUUACAGCCAGGUCAUCCUACGCAUCACAGUUGUUCAUACCAGAUUUCUAAAACUGAUGAAGACAUGACAAUCAAAGAUUGGAAACAAUGUAUGGUCAGUCGUAGGGAGGUACUUGGAAGCAACAUUGUGCGACGCGCAAGAGUUGGAGAUAGGAUAAUCUCGAUUCUCCAUAAUGGAGAGUCAGGGCCUAUCUUCUUUUAUCCUAUUUUACCUAAGAGAGUGUAGUAGGUCCUAUCAGAGAGGAGUAGGUCCGGUACAAUGUGUUAUUAUGUGGUACAAUGUGUUAGAGUUGAUGAGGAGGAGGAGGAGGACUUGUGAUUAUGACUAGUGACCAACUUGCUAUAUGAUGUCUCAUGAAAAUGAUGAUCAUGAGGAGGUGUUAUAUGAUGGUAAGUUGUUAAUGAUAUGAUGGUGAUGAUGAUAUUUAUUAUAUCAUUGGGUGAAAGAACCGCUGAUUAGUUUCAAGUGGAUGUCCAUCCACUUGAAACUAGUCCAUGAUUCUUUCACCCAGUGAUGUAAUAACUCAUUAUGACGUAAAAACAAUCUCUAAAUUGCUACUAUGAAAACUUGUAUAAAGGUGUAUGAAUACAACAUGAAAUAAAAAAUAAAUAGAAUACGGAAUAAUAGUAGUAGCGUGGGCUACGAGAAGCGCUACUAGUAAUUACCAGUAGCGUUGUCACCCACGCUGAUGGUAGGCCAAAAACCCGCUCUACUGCUAGACUUUCCCUAGUAGUGUAGACCUCGCUGUGAGCCCUUCGGAUGACGCCCCCUCGGGUCCGUCGCCCCUGCUUCGGCUUCACCGCUACUUGUGGCUGCUCCCGCGGGUCUUGACUCGGUGUCACCACCACCUACGGCUGGUUACACGGGUCCUCUCACCUGCGCACACGCUGGGGUCUUUCGUCCGAGCUUGCGGUAUGCUCCAGAUGAGUAUGUCUGCACAACAUCCACUUCCGCGCCUUCGCCCUUGCCGGCCUCUGCCCUGGUGGCACUUUGCAACCCUCUUUGGUUCGCUGCAAUGCAGGAGGAUUUUGAUGCAAUGCAGCGAAAUCGGACUUGGCAGCUUGUCCAACGACCUCGGCACACUAAGAUCAUCACCGGGAAGUAGGUCUUGAAGCACAAGCUCUGACUAGAUGAUACACUUGACUGCUAUAAUGCAUGUUGGGUGGUUUGUGGCUUCCGACAACAUGCAGGCAUCGACUUCAUUGACACUUUCACCCCAGUUGUCAAAUCAGGGACGAUUUGCACUGUUCUUCAGCUUGCGGUGUCAGCGGCCCAUGGGGUUCGUUCAUAUGGCACACCCGGAUCAUUCAUGCCUGCUUUCGUGCUCCUUAUAUGGGCUCAAGCAAGCUCCAUGCGCCUGGUAGCAGCGCAUCGCAACGUUUCUUCACUGACUCGGCUUCUGAUCUACACACUCUGAUGCUUUGUUGUUUAUCUAUCACUAGGGCCCUAACAGAGCUUAUCUGCUCCUCAACAUCGACGACAUCAUCCUGGCAGCAUGCACGACUGGUCUUCUUCAAUGGCUCACUGGUGAUCUUUGCGUUGGGUUUGCCAUCAAGGGCUUGGGUCAUUUGCCCUACUUCCUCGGGGUCAAGGUGGUGCGUCGUUCGGAUGGCUUCUUUCUUCACUAGUGGAAGUAUGCUCAUGAGAUCCUUUACCGUGCUGGGAUGCUUAAUUGCAAACUUGCGGCCACGCCUAUCGAUACGAAGGCCAAGCUCUCUACCACUAAUGUGUCCCCUGCUACGGAUGGUUCAUUUAAUCGGUCUAUUGUUGGUGCUCUUCAGUACCUUACACUUAGUUACACGACCGGUGCUGUAGUAUGUUGUUCAGCAUGUGUGUUUUCAUAUGCAUGUUCCACACGAUGCUCACUAGACUUUAGUGAAGCGGAUUAUUCAAUAUAUCUGUGGCACUGAUGUCUACUACACAACCAUCUUCUUGUAGACGGUGUUGGGCCUCCAAGUGCAGAGGUUUGUAGGAAAGUAGAAAAUUUCCCUCAAGUGGAUGACCUAAGGUUUAUCAAUAUGUGGGAGGCGUAGGAUGAAGAUGGUCUCUCUCAAGCAACCCUGCAACCAAAUAACAAAGAAACUCUUGUGUCCCCAACACACCUAAUACAAUGGUAAAUGGUAUAGGUGCACUAGUUCGGUGAAGAGAUGGUGAUACAAGUGCAAUCUGGAUGGUAGAUAUAGGUUUCCGUAAUCUGAAAAUAUAAAAACAGCAAGGUAACUAACGAUAAAAGUGAGCACAAAGGAUAUUACAAUGCAAGGAAACAAGGCCUAGGGUUCAUACUUUCACUAGUGCAAGUUCUCUCAACAAUAAUAACAUAACUGGAUCAUAUAACUAUCCCUCAACAUGCAACAAAGAGUCACUCCAAAGUCACUAAUGGCGGAGAACAAACGAAGAGAUUAUUGUAGGGUACGAAACCACCUGAAAGUUAUCCUUUCUGAUCGAUCUAUUCAAGAGUUCGUAGUAAAAUAACACGAAGCUAUUCUUUCCAUUCGAUCUAUCAUAGAGUUCGUGCUAGAAUAACACCAUAACACACAAAUCAACCAAAACCCUAAUGUCACCUAGAUACUCCAAUGUCACCUCAAGUAUAUGUGGGCAUGAUUAUACGAUAUGCAUCACACAAUCUCCGAUUCAUCUAUUAAACCAACACAAAGUACUUCAAAGAGUGCCCCAAAGUUUCUACCGGAGAAUUAAGACGACAACGUGUGCCAACCCCUAUGCAUAAGUUCACAAGGUCACUGAACCCGCAAGUUGAUCACCAAAACAUGGAUCAAGUGAAUCAUGUGAUAUCCCAUUGUCACCACAGAUAAGCACAUGCAAGACAUACAUAAGUGUUCUCAAAUCCUUAAAGACUCAAUCCGAUAAGAUAACUUCAAAGGGAAAACUCAAUCCAUUACAAGAGAGUAGAGGGGAGAAACAUCAUAAGAUCCAACUAUAAUAGCAAAGCUCGCGAUACGUCAAGAUCGUACCACCUCAAGAACAUGAGAGAGAGAGAGAGAUCAAACACAUAGCUACUGGUACAUACCCUCAGCCCCGAGGGUGAACUACCCCCUCCUCGUCAUGGAGAGCGCCAGGAUGAUGAAGAUGGCCACCGGGGAGGGAUCCCCCCUCCGGCAGGGUGCCGGAACAGGGUCCCGAUUGGUUUUUGGUGGCUACAGAGGCUUGCGGCGGCGGAACUCCCGAUCUAUGGUGCUCCUCGAUGUUUUCGGGGUAUAUGGACAUAUAUGUUGUGGAACAUAGCAGAAAUUCAAAAUUUUCUACGCAUCACCAAGAUCAAUCUAUGGAGAGACUAGCAACGAGAGAGAGGGGAGUGCCUCUUCAUACCCUUGAAGAUUGCGAUGUGGAAGCGUUACAAGAACGCGGAUGAGGGAGUCGUACUCGCGGCGAUUCAAAUCGCAGAAGAUCCGAUCUAACGCCGAACGGACGGCGCCUCCGCGUUCAACACACGUGCAGCCCGAUGACGUCUCUCGUGCCUUGAUCCAGCAAGGGGAGAGGGAGAGGUUGGGGAAGACUCCGUCCAGCAGCAGCACGACGGCGUGGUGGUGGUGGAGUAGCAUGGCACUCCAGUAGGGCUUCGCCAAGCACCGCAAGAGACGAGGAGGGAGAGGGGUAGGGCAGCGCCAAGAGGGAGAGAAUAACUCAUGUGUUGGGCAGCCCCUAGACCUCAACUAUAUAUAGGGGAGGGGAGGGGGCUGCGCCCCCUCUAGAGUUCCCACCCCAAGAGGUGCGGCAGCCCCAGAUCCCAUCUAGGGUGGCGGCCAAAAGGGGAGAGGGGGAGGCACACCUGGGGUGGGCCUUAGGGCUCAUCUGCCCUAGGGUUUUGUCCCCCCUCUUCUCUUGAGGCGCCUUGGGCCUUGGUGGGGGCACCCCAGCCCACCUAGGGGCUGGUCCCCUCCCACACUUGGCCCACGCAGCCCUCUGGGGCCGGUGGCCCCACCUGCUGGACCCCCGGGACCCUCCCGGUGGUCCUGGUACGUUACCGAUAGCACCCAAAACUUUUCCGGUGACCAAAACAGGACUUCCCAUAUAUAAAUCUUUACCUCCGGACCAUUCCGGAACUCCUCGUGACGUCCGGGAUCUCAUCCGGGACUCCGAACAACAUUCGGUAACCACGUACUACAUUCCCUUAUAACCCUAGCGUCAUCGAACCUUAAGUGUGGAGACCCUACGGGUUCGGGAACCAUGUAGACAUGACCGAGACAACUCUCCGGCCAAUAACCAACAGCGAGAUCUGGAUACCCAUGUUGGUUCCCACAUGUUCCACGAUGAUCUCAUCGGAUGAACCACGAUGUCAAGGAUUCAAUCAAUCCCGAAUACAAUUCCCUUUGUCUACCGGUAUAGUACUUGCCCGAGAUUCGAUCGUCGGUAUACCGAUACCUUGUUCAAUCUCGUUAUGGCAAGUCUCUUUACUCGUUCUGUAACACAUCAUCCCGUGAUCAACUCCUUUGAUCACAUUGUGCACAUUAUGAUGAUGUCCUACUGAGUGGGCCCAGAGAUACCUCUCCGUCACACGGAGUGACAAAUCCCAGUCUUGAUUCGUGCCAACCCAACAGACACUUUCGAAUAUACCUAUAGUGCACCUUUAUAGCCACCCAGUUACGUUGUGACGUUUGGUACACCCAAAGCACUACUACGGUAUCCGGGAGUUGCACAAUCUCAUGGUCUAAGGAAAUGAUACUUGACAUUUAGAAAAGCUUUAGCAAAACGAACUACACAAUCUUGUGCUAUGCUUAGGAUUGGGUCUUGUCCAUCACAUCAUUCUCCUAAUGAUGUGAUCCCGUUAUCAAUGACAUCCUAUGUCCAUGGUCAGGAAACCAUAACCAUCUAUUGAUCAACGAGCUAGUCAACUAGAGGCUCACUAGGGACAUGUUGUGGUCUAUGUAUUCACACAUGUAUUACGGUUUCCAGUUAAUACAAUUAUAGCAUGAACAAUAGACAAUUAUCAUGAACAAGGAAAUAUAAUAAUAACCAUUUUAUUAUUGCCUCUAGGGCAUAUUUCCAACAGUCUCCCACUUGCACUAGAGUCAAUAAUCUAGUUCACAUCAUUAUGUGAUUGCAUUGAAUCCAACACCCAUGAUGUUUGAUCAUAUCUCGCUUGUGAGAGAGGUUUAUUAGUCAACGGGUCUGAAUCUUUCUGAUCCGUGUGUGCUCUACAAAUCUCUAUGUCAUCUCCUAGAUGUAGCUACCAUGCUCUAUUUGGAGCUAUUCCAAAUAACUGUUCUACUAUACGAUCCCGGUUUACUACUCGGAGUCAUCCGGAUUAUUGUCAAAGUUUGCAUCGACACUAGUUACUAAGAUUAAGUUUGACCGCUGUCAUGUGAUCCAUUCUUGGAUCACUCUUGUACCCCUUGACUGACUCAAGGCACACUUCAGGUGCGGUACAUAGCACAGCAUACUGUAGAGCCUAUUUCUGAAGCAUAGGGGACGACUUUCGUCCAUUCUCUCUCUUCUGCCGUGGUCAGGUCUUGAGUCUUACUCAAUACUCACACCUUAUAACACAGCCAAGAACUCCUUCUUUGCCGAUCUAUUUUGAACUCCUUCAAAAACUUGUCAUGGUGCAUACUCAUUUGAAAGUACUAUCAAGCGAUUUUGAUCUAUCCUUAUAGAUCUUGAUGCUCAAUGUUCAAGUAGCUUAAUCUAGGUUUUCCAUUAAAAACACUUUUCAAAUAACCCUAUAUGCUUUCCAGAAAUUCUAUACCAUUUCUGAUCAACAAUAUGUCAACAACAUAUUCUCAUCAGAAAUUUUAUAGUGCUCCCACUCACUUCUUUGGAAAUACAAGUUUCUCAUAAACUUUGUAUAAACCCAAAAUCUUUGAUCAUCUCAUCAAAGCGUAUACUCCAACUCUGAGAUGCUUACUCCGGUCCUUAGAAGGAUUGCUGGAGCUUUGCAAACUUGUUAGCAUCUUUCAGGAUUGACAAAACCUUUUGGUUUUAUCACAUACAAACUUUCCUCAAGAAAAACGUCGAGGAAACAAUGUUUUUUGACAUCCUAUCUGCAAGAUUUCAUAAAUAAUGCAGUAACUGCUAAUAUAAUUCCAAUAUACUCUUAGCAUCGCUACGAUUGAGAAAGUCUCAUCGUAGUCAACUCCUUGAACUUGUCGAAAAACAUCUUAGCGACAAGUCGAGCUUUCUUAAUGGUGACACUUACCAUCAUUGUCUGUCUUCCUUUUAAAAUCCAUCUGUACUCAACAGCCUUACGAUCAUCGAGUAGUUCUUCCAAAGUCUAUACUUUGUUUACAUGGAUCCUCUCUCGGAUUUUAUGGCCUCGAGCCAUUCGUCGGAAUCCGGGUCCACCAUCGCUACUCCAUAGCUCGUAGGUUCAUUGUUGACUAGCAACAUGACCUCCAAGACAGGAUUAAGUACCUCUCUGAAGUAGUAUGCAUCCUCGUCGACCUACGAGGUUUGGUAGUGACUUGAUCUGAAGUUUCAUGAUCACUAUCAUUAGCUUCCACUUCAAUUGGUGUAGGCGCCAUAGGAACAACUUCCUGUGCCCUGCUACACACUAGUUGAAGUGAUGGUUCAAUAACCUCAUCAAGUCUCCACCAUCCUCCCACUCAAUUCUUUCAAGAGAAACUUUUCCUCGUGAAAGGACCCGAUUCUGGAAACAAUCCCUUUUGCUUUCGGAACUGAGACAGGAGGUAUACCCAACUGUUUUGGGUGUCCUAUGAAGAUGCAUUUAUCUGCUUUGGGUUCGAGCUUAUCAGGCUAACACCUUUCACAUAAGCGUCGCAGCCCCAAACUUUUAAGAAACGACAGCUUAGGUUUCUCUAAACAAUAGUUCAUACGGCGUCAUCUCAAUGGAAUUACGUGGUGCCCUAUUUAAAGUGAAUGUGGUUGUCUCUAAUGCCUAACCCAUAAAUGAUAGUGGUAAUUCGAUAAGAUACAUCAUGGUAUGCACCAUAUCCAAUAGGGUGCAGUUAUGAUGUUCGGGCACACCAUCACACUAUGGUGUUCCAGGCGGUAUUGGUUGUGAAACAAUUUCCACAAUGUCUUAAUUGUAUGCCAAACUCGUAACUCAGAUACUCAUCUCUAUGAUCAUAUCAUAGACAUUUUUAUCCUCCUAUCACGACGAUCUCCAACUUCACUCUGAAAUUACUUGAACCUUUCAAUAAUUCAGAUUUGUGUUUCAUCAAGUAAAUAUACUCAGUAUCUACUCAAAUCAUCUGUGAAGUAAGUACAUAACGAUAUCCACUGCGUGCCUCAGCACUCAUUGGACUGCACACAUCAAAAUGUAUUACUUCCAACAAGUUGCUUUCACGUUCCAUCUUACUGAAACCGAGGCUUUCAGUCAUCUUGCCCAUGUGUUAUGAUUUGCAUGUCUCAAGUGAUUCAAAAUCAAGUGAGUCCAAACGGUCCAUCGGCAUGGAGUUUCUUCAUGCGUAUAUACCAACAUACAUGGUUCACAAGUCUCAACCUUUUCAAAAACGAGUGAGUCCAAAAAUCCAUCAACAUGGAGCUUCUUCAUGCGUUUUAUACCAAUAUGACUCAAAUGGCAGUGCCACAAGUAGGUGGCACUAUAUCAUUACUAUCUUAUAUCUUUUGGCAUGAACAUGUGUAUCACUAUGAUCGAGAUUCAAUAAACCAUUCUUUUUAGGUGCAAGACCAUUGAAGGUAUUAUUCAAAUAAACAGAGUAACCAUUAUUCUCCUUAAAUGAAUAACCGUGUUGCGAUAAACAUAAUCCAAUCAUGUCUAUGCUCAACGCAAACACCAAAUGACAAUUAUUUAGGUUUAACACCAAUCUCGAUGGUAGAGGGAGCGUGCGAUGCUUGAUCACAUCAACCUUGGAAACACUUCCAACACAUAUCGUCAGCUCACCUUUAGCUAGUCUCCGUUUUUUCCGUAGCUUUUAUUUCGAGUUACUAACACUUAGCAACCGAACCGGUAUCUAAUACCCUGGUGCUACUAGGAGUACUAGUAAACUACACCUUAACAUAAUGUAUAUCCAAUAUACUUCUAUCGACCUUGCCAGCCUUCUCAUCUACCAAGUAUCUAGGGUAGUUCCACUUCAGUGACCGUCCCCCUUAUUUCAGAAGCACUUAGUCUCGGGUGGGUUCAAACUUUGGGUUUCUUCACUAGAGCAGCAACUGAUUUGCCCUUUCAUGAAGUAUCCCUUCUUGCCCUUGCCCUUCUUGAAACUAGUGGUUUCACUAACCAUCAACAAUUGAUGCUCCUUCUUGAUUUCUACUUUCGCGGUGUCAAACAUCGCGAAUAUUUCAAGGAUUAUCAUAUUUAUCCCUGAUAUGUUAUAGUUCAUCACGAAGCUCUAGUAGCUUCGUGGAAAUGACUUUGGAGAAACAUCACUAUCUCAUCUGGAAGAUUAACUCCCACUCGAUUCAAGUGAUUGUUGUACUCAGACAAUCUGAGCACAAGCUCAACGAUUGAGCUUUUCUCCCUCAGUUUUCAGGCUAAGAAACUCAUCAGAGGUCUUAUACCUCUUGACGUGGGCACGAGCCUGAAAUCCCAAUUUCAGCUCUUGGAACAUCUCAUAUGUUCCGUGACGUUUUAAAAUGUCUUCGGUGCCUCAAUUCUAAACCGUUUAACAUUACUGAACUAUCAUGUAGUUAUCAAAACGUGUAUGUCAAAUGUUCGCAACAUCCACAGGCGACGUUCAAGGUUCAGCACACCGAGCGGUGCAUUUAGAGCAUAAGUCUUCUACGAAGCUACGAGGACAAUCCUCAGUUUACGGACCUAGUCCGCGUAAUUGCUACUAUCAACUUUCAACUGAAUUUUCUCUAGGAACAUAUCUAAAACAGUAGAACUAAAGCGUGAGCUAUGACAUAAUUUGCAAAAACCUUUUGACUAUGUUCAGGAUAAUUAAGUUCAUCUUAUGAACUCCCACUCAGAUAGACAUCCCUCUAGUCAUCUAAGUGAUACAUGAUCCAAGUCAACUAGGCCGUGUCCGAUCAUCACGUGAGACGGACUAGUCAUCAUCGGUGAACAUCUUCAUGUUGAUCGUAUCCACUAUACGACUCAUGUUCGACCUUUCGGUCUCUUGUGUUCUGAGGCCAUGUCUGUACAUGCUAUGCUCGUCAAGUCAACCUAAGUGUUUUGCGUGUGUAAAUCUAGCUUACACUCGUUGUAUGUGAACGUUAGAAUCUAUCACACCCGAUCAUCACGUGGUGCUUUGAAACAACGAACUUUCGCAACGGUGCACAGUUAGGGGGAACACUUUCUUGAAAUUAUUAUGAGGGAUGAUCUUAUUUACUACCGUCGUUCUAAGAAAAUAAGAUGCAUAAACAUGAUAAACAUCACAUGCAAUCAAAUAGUGACAUGAUAUGGCCAAUAUCAUUUUGCUCCUUUUGAUCUCCAUCUUCAGAGCUCCAUGAUCAUCAUCGUCACUGGCAUGACACCAUGAUCUCCAUCAUCGUGUCUUCAUGAAGUUGUCUCGCCAACUAUUACUUCUACUACUAUGGCUAACGGUUAGCAAUAAAGUAAAGUAAUUACAUGGCGUUAUUAUUGAUACGCAGGUCAUACAAUAAAUAAGACAACUCCUAUGGCUCCUGUCGGUUGUCAUACUCAUCGACAUGCAAGUCGUGAUUCCUAUUACAAGAACAUGAUCAAUCUCAUACAUCACAUAUAUCAUUCAUCACAAUCUUUUGGCCAUAUCACAUCACAUAGCAUACCCUGCAAAAACAAGUUAGACGUCCUCUAAUUAAUGUUGCAUCUUUUACGUGGCUGCUAUGGGUUUCUAGCAAGAACGUUUCUUACCUACGCAAAGCCACAACGGUGAUAUGCCAAUUGCUAUUUACCCUUCAUAAGGACCCUUUUCAACGAAUCCGAUCUGACUAAAGUGGGAGAGACUGGCACCCGCUAGCCACCUUAUGCAACAAGUGCAUGUCAGUCGGUGGAACCUGUCUCACGUAAGCGUACGUGUAAGGUCGGUCUGGGCCGCUUCAUCCCACAAUGCCGCCGAAUCAAGAUAGGACUAGUAACGGUAAGCAAACUGUACAAACCAUCACCCACAACUACUUGUGUUCUACUCGUGCAAAGAAUCUACGCAAUAAACCUGGUCUGAUACCACUGUUGGGGAACGUAGCAGAAAUUCAAAAUUUUCUACGCAUCACCAAGAUCAAUCUAUGGAGAGACUAGCAACGAGAGAGAGGGGGGUGCAUCUUCAUACCCUUGAAGAUCGCGAUGCGGAAGCGUUACAAGAACGCGGAUGAGGGAGUCGUAUUCGCGGCGAUUCAAAUCACGGAAGAUCCGAUCUAACGCCGAACGGACGGCGCCUCCGCGUUCAACACACAUGCAGCCCGAUGACGUCUCCCGUGCCUUGAUCUAGCAAGGGGAGAGGGAGAGGUUCGGGAAGACUCCAUCCAGAAGUAGCACGACAGCGUGGUGGUGGUGGAGGAGCGUGGCACUCUAGCAGGGCUUCACCAAGCACCGCAAGAGACGAGGAGGAAGAGGGGUAGGGCUGCGCCAAGAGGGAGAGAAUAAGUCAUGUGUUGGGCAGCCCCUAGACCUCAACUAUAUAUAGGGGAGGGGAGGUGGCUGCGCCCCCUCUAGGGUUCCCACCCCAAGGGGUGCGGCAGCCCCAGAUCCCAUUUAGGGUGGCGGCCAAAAGGGGAGAGGGGGAGGCACACCUCGGGUGGGCCUUAGGGCUCAUCUGCCCUAGGGUUUUGUCCCCCCUCUUCUCUUGAGGCGCCUUGGGCCUUGGUGGGGGGCGCCCCAGCCCACCUAGGGGCUGGUCCCCUCCCACACUUGGCCCACGCAGCCCUUUGGGGCCGGUGGCCCCACCUGGUGGACCCCCGGGUCCCUCCCGGUGGUCCCGGUACGUUACCGAUAGCACCCGAAACUUUUCCGGUGACCAAAACAGGACUUUCCAUAUAUAAAUCUUUACCUCCGGACCAUUCCGGAACUCCUCGUGACGUCCGGGAUCUCAUCCGGGACUCCGAACAACAUUCGGUAACCACGUACUACAUUCCCUUAUAACCCUAGCAUCAUCGAACCUUAAGUGUGUAGACCCUACUGGUUCGGGAACCAUGUAGACAUGACUGAGACAACUCUCCGACCAAUAACCAACAGCGGGAUCUGGAUACCCAUGUUGGUUCCCACAUGUUCCACGAUGAUCUCAUCGGAUGAACCACGAUGUCAAGGAUUCAAUCAAUCCCAUAUACAAUUCCCUUUGUCUACCGGUAUAGUACUUGCCCGAGAUUCGAUCGUCGGUAUACCGAUACCUUGUUCAAUCUCGUUAUGGCAAGUCUCUUUACUCGUUCUGUAACACAUCAUCCCGUGAUCAACUCCUUUGAUCACAUUGUGCCUUUAUGAUGAUGUCCUACCGAGUGGGCCCAGAGAUACAUCUCCGUCACACAGAAUGACAAAUCCCAGUCUCGAUUCAUGCCAACCCAACAGACACUUUCGGAGAUACCUGUAGUGCACCUUUAUAGCCACCCAGUUACUUGUGACGUUUGGUACACCCAAAGCACUCCUACGGUAUCCGGGAGUUGCACAAUCUCAUGGUCUAAGGAAAUGAUACUUGACAUUUAGAAAAGCUUUAGCAAAACAAACUACACGAUCUUGUGCUAUGCUUAGGAUUGGGUCUUGUCCAUCACAUCAUUCUCCUAAUGAUGUGAUCCCGUUAUCAAUGACAUCCUAUGUCCGUGGUCAGGAAACCAUAACCAUCUAUUGAUCAACGAGCUAGUCAACUAGAGGCUCACAAGGGACAUGUUGUGGUCUAUGUAUUCACACAUGUAUUACGGUUUCCAGUUAAUACAAUUAUAGCAUGAACAAUAGAAAAUUAUCAUGAACAAGGAAAUAUAAUAAUAACCAUUUUAUUAUUGCCUCUAGGGCAUAUUUCCAACAAUAUAUAGGUGAAAGAAGUCGGUCAGGGGAGGCACGAGGGGCCCACGAGGGUGGGGGGCGCGCCCAGGGCGGUAGGGCGCAGCCUGGACCCUCAUGGCCACCUUGAAGCUUCCCUGACGUCUACUCCAAGUCUCCUGGAUUGAUUCAGUUCCAAAAAUAACUCUCCCGAAGGUUUCAUUCCAUUUGGACUCUGUUUGAUAUUCCUUUUCUUCGAAACACUGAAAUAGGCAAGAAAACAGCAAUUUGGGCUGGGCCUCCGGUUAAUAGGUUAGUCCCAAAAAUGAUAUAAAAGUGUAUAGUAAAGGCCAUAAACAUCCAAAACAGGUAAUAUAAUAGCAUGGAACAAUCAAAAAUUAUAGAUACGUUGGAGAUGUAUCAAGCAUCCCGAAGCUUAUUUCCUGCUCGUCCUCGAGUAGGUAAAUGAUAAAAACAGAAUUUUUGAUGUGGAAUGCUACCUAGCAUAUUUCCCAAUGUAAUUUUCUUUAGUGUGGCAUGAAUGUUCAGAUCCAAAUGAUUCAAGAUAAAAGUUUAUAUUGACAUAAGAGUAAUAAUAUUUCAAGCAUACUAACAAAGUAAUCAUGUCUUCUCAAAAUAACAUGGCCAAAGAAAGUUUCUCCCUACAAAAUCAUAUAGUUAGGCUAUGUUUCAUUUUCGUUACACAAAAUAAUCCCAUCAUGCACAAGUUCGGUUUCAGACAAGCAAUUGGUUCAUACUUUUUAACGCGCUUUAGCUUUUUCAACUCUCACGCAAUACAUGAGCGUAAGCCAUGGAUAUAGCACUAUGGGUGGAAUAGAAUAUGAUGAUGGAGGUUGUGUGGAGAAGACAAAAAAGAAGAAAGUCUCACGUUGACGAGGCUAAUCAAUGGGCUAUGGAGAUGCCCAUCAAUUGAUGUCAACAUGAGGAGUAGGGAUUGCCAUGUAAUGGAUGCACUCGAGCUAUAAAUGUAUGAAAGCUCAACAAAAGAAACUAAGUGGGUGUGCAUCCAACUUGCUUUCUCAUGAAGACCUAGGGCAUUUUGAGGAAGCCCAUUGUUGGAAUAUACAAGCCAAGUUCUAUAAUGAAAAAUUCCCACUAGUAUAUGAAAGUGACAACAUAAGAGACUCUCUAUCAUAGUGAGCACAAACGAUAUUGCAAUGCUAGGAAACAAGGCCUAGGGUUCAUACUUUCACUAGUGCAAGUUCUCUCAACAAUAAUAACAUAACUGGAUCAUAUAGCUAUCCCUGAACAUGCAACAAAGAGUCACUCCAAAGUCACUAAUGGCGGAGAACAAACGAAGAGAUUAUUGUAGGGUACGAAACCACCUCAAAGUUAUCCUUUCUGAUCGAUCUAUUCAAGAGUCCAUAGUAAAAUAACACGAAGCUAUUCUUUCCGUUCGAUCUAUCAUAGAGUUCGUACUAGAAUAAUACCUGAAGACACAAAUCAACCAAAACCCUAAUGUCACCUAGAUACUCCAAUGUCACCUCAAGUAUCCGUUGGCAUGAUUAUACGAUAUGCAUCACACAAUCUCAGAUUCAUCUAUUCAACAAACACAAAGUACUUCAAUGAGUACCCCAAAGUUUCUACCGGAGAGUCAAGACGAAAAUGUGUGCCAACCCCUAUGUAUAAGUUCACAAGGUCACUGAACCCGCAAGUUGAUCACAAAAACAUACAUCAAGUGAAUCACGUGAUAUCCCAUUGUCACCACAGAUAAGCACAUGCAAGACAUACAUAAGUGUUCUCAAAUCCUUAAAGACUCAAUCCGACAAGAUAACUUCAAAGGGAAAACUCAAUCCAUUACAAGAGAGUAGAGGGGGAGAAACAUCAUAAGAUCCAACUAUAAUAGCAAAGCUCGCGAUACAUCAAGAUCAUACCACCUCAAGAACACGAGAGAGAGAGAGAGAGAGAGAGAGAGAGAGAGAGAUCAAACACAUAGCUACGGGUACAUACCCUCAGCCCUGAGGGUGAACUACUCCCUACUCGUCAUGGAGAGCGCCUUCAUGGAGAGCGCCGGAAUAUAACUAGCACAUUUGAGUCUAACCCACUUCCUAUGCAUAGCGAUUUUGUGAGCAAACAACUUAUGGGAACAAUAAUCAACUAGCAUAGGAAGGCAAAACAAGCAAAUCUUCAAGAUCUUCAACACGUGGAGAGGAAACUUGAUAUUAUUACAAUAUGUAGAAGCAUAUGAUCCUCUCUCAUAAUAAUUUUCAGUAGCAUCAUGAAUGAAUUCAACCAUAUAAUCAGCACAUAAAGCAUUCUUUUCAUGAUCUACUUGCAUAGAAAAUUUACUACUCUCCACAUAAGCAAAUUUCUUCUCAUGAAUAGUAGUGGGAGCAAACUCAACAAAAUAAUUAUCAUGUGAGGCAUAAUCCAAUUGAUUAAUAAAAUCAUGAUGACAAGUUUCAUGGUUAUAUUUAUUCUUUAUAGCAUACAUGUCAUCACAAUAAUCAUCAUAAAUAGGAGGCAUGUUAUCAUCAUAAUAAAUAUUCUCAUCAAAACUUGGGAGACUAAACAUACCAUCUUCAUCAAACAUAGCAUCCCCAAGCUUGUGGCUUUGCAUAUCAUUAGCAUCAUGGGUAUUCAAAUAAUUCAUACUAACAACAUUGCAAUCAUGCUCAUCAUUCAAAAUUUUAGUGCCAAACUUUUUAAUGCAUUCUUGUUCUAACACUUGGGCCCAAUUUUUCUUUCCAUCAUUUUCACGAAAGACAUUAAAAAGAUGAAGCAUAUGAGGCAACCUUAAUUCCAUUAUUUUUUGUAGUUUUCUUUUAUAAACUAAACUAACUAGUGAUAAAACAAGAAACUAAAAGAUUCGAUUGCAAGAUCUAAAGAUAUACCUUCAAGCACUCACCUCCCCGGCAACGGCGCUAGAAAAGAACUUGAUGUCUACUACACAACCUUCUUCUUGUAGAUGUUGUUGGGCCUCCAAGUGCAGAGGUUUGUGGGACAGUAGCAAAUUUCCCUCAAGUGGAUGACCUAAGGUUUAUCAACCCUGGGAGGCGUAGGAUGAAUAUGGUCUCUCUCAAGCAACCCUGCAACCAAAUAACAAAGAGUCUCUUGUGUCCCCAACACACCCAAUAUAAUGGUAAAUUGUAGAGGUGCACUAGUUUAGCGAAGAAAUGGUGAUACAAGUGCAAUAUGGAUGGUAGAUAUAGGUUUUUGUAAUCUGAAAAUAUAAAAACAGCAAGGUAACUAAUGAUAAAAGUGAGCAUAAACGAUAUUGCAAUGCUAGGAAACAAGGCCUAGGGUUCAUACUUUCACUAGUGCAAGUUCUCUCAACAAUAAUAACAUAACUGGAUCAUAUAACUAUCCCUCAACAUGCAACAAAGAGUCACUCCAAAGUCAGUAAUGGCGGAGAACAAACGAAGAGAUUAUUGUAGGGUACGAAACCACCUCAAAGUUAUCCUUUCCGAUCGAUCUAUUCAAGAGUCCGUAGUAAAAUAACAUGAAGCUAUUCUUUCCGUUCGAUCUACCAUAGAGUCCGUACUAGAAUAAUACCUUAAGACACAAAUCAACCAAAACCCUAAUGUCACCUAGAUACUCCAAUGUCACCUCAAGUAUCCGUUGGCAUGAUUAUACGAUAUGCAUCACACAAUAUCAGAUUCAUCUAUUCAACCAACACAAAGUACUUCAAUGAGUGCCCCAAAGUUUCUACCAGAGAUUCAAGACGAAAAUGUGUGCCAACCCCUAUGCAUAAGUUCACAAGGUCACUGAACUCGCAAGUUGAUCACCAAAACAUACAUCAAGUGAAUCACGUGAUAUCCCAUUGUCACCACAGAUAAGCACAUGCAAGACAUACAUAAGUGUUCUCAAAUCCUUAAAGACUCAAUCCGAUAAGAUAACUUCAAAGGGAAAACUCAAUCCAUUACAAGAGAGUAGAGGGGGAGAAACGUCAUAAGAUCCAACUAUAAUAGCAAAGCUCGCGAUACGUCAAGAUCGUACCACCUCAAGAACACGAGAGAGAGAGAGAGAGAGAGAGAGAGAGAGAUCAAACACAUAGCUACGGGUACAUACCCUCAGCCCCGAGGGUGAACUACUCCCUCCUCGUCAUCGAGAGCGCUGGGAUGAUGAAGAUGGCCACCGGGGAGGGAUCCCCCCUUCGGCAGGGUGCCGGAACAAGGUCCCGAUUGGUUUUUGGUGGCUAUAGAGGCUUGCGGCGGCGGAACUCCCGAUCUAUGGUGCUCCUUGAUGUUUUCGGGGUAUAUGGACAUAUAUAGGUGAAAGAAGUCGGUCAGGGGAGCCACGAGGGGCCCACAAGGGUGGGGGCGCGCCCAGGGAGGUAGGGGCACCCUGGACCCUCGUGGCCACCUCGAAGCUUCCCUGACGUCUACUCCAAGUCUCCUAGAUUGCUUCCGUUCCAGAAAUUAAGUCUCCCGAAGGUUUCAUUCCGUUUGGACUCCGUUUGAUAUUCCUUUUCUUUGAAACACUGAUAUAGGCAAGAAAACAACAAUUUGGGCUGGGCCUCCGGUUAAUAGGUUAAUCCCAAAAAUGAUAUAAAAGUGUAUAGUAAAGCCCAUAAACAUCCAAAACAGGUAAUAUAAUAGCAUGAAACAAUCAAAAAUUAUAGAUAUGUUGGAGACGUAUCAGGCACCAUGGAUCUCGACAUCAUGUUACGCGCCUCCACCGCCACUGACAUCACUGCCUACUUCGACACUGACUGGGCGUCUGCCCUGAUACACGAUGUUCCACUUCUGGAUAUUGUGUCUUCCUUGGUCCAUCACUUAUUCCGUGGUUGUCCAAGUGGCAGUCCACGGUCUCCCAUUCCAGUGCUGAGGCCGAGUAUCAUGCAGUGGCUAAUGUCAUCGUUCAAUACUACUGGCUUCGCCGGCUUCUCCUUGAGCUCUCGUGCCCUGUCGACAAGGCCACUGUGUUAUAGUGCGAUAACGUCUAUGCCGUCUAACUCUCUGCCAACCCGGCCAUCAUCGUCGUACCAAGCACAUCGAGCUUGACAUUCAUUUUGUUCAAGAACAGGUUCUUGGCCAUAUACGUGUUCUACAUGUACCCACCUCCCAACAAUUUGCAGAUAUCAUGACCAAGGGCUUGCUUAUGGCGUCCUUCGAGGAGUCUCGGUUGUGGCUUGGAGGGACGUCCCUCUGUCGAGGAGUUACGGAUCCCGGCUGGGCAAAGCCCGUGCGGGGGGAUGAUGACAGCGACGGGACGUCCCUCCAUUGCAGCUUGGAGGCGUGGUUGUGACGGUGGAUCUUGAGCGGGCGCCUUGGGACGAUGUGUGUGGCCAUGACGCCGGUCACGCGGCGAUGUGACCUCCUCUACCUUUGGUUGUCUUCAUCGUCGGUGGGUUUGCCUUGCGGUGGCUUCCCCACGGCGGAUCAAGUGGAGGAGGAGAUGGUGGCCUAGCUGCUGAAGUGAGUGAGGAUGCCACCAUCGACGGCGGCGCCCGUGGGUGUCGUUUUCCUCGUGGGAGGCGUUGGUGGGGGCGUUGAUGGUGCCCUAGCUGCUGAAUUGGGUGAGAAGGCUACCAUUGACGGCGGCGCCUGUGGGCGUCAUAGCCCUCGUUGGAGGCAUUGAGGGACCUCUUGGAUCGAAUGAUGGCGAUGUCUUCGUCGUUACCCCCAUAGGGGUAUCAUCUUUGGAGACAUUCAUCGGUUGGAUGGACACGUGGAUGGCUUGGUGGUUGGGCAUCGGUAGGUGGUGGAGCGGUGAUUCAUCCUACACAUCGAUGGCGGUGGAUCUCGGCGGCAUGGCGCAGUGAAGACUCGGCGUCCGAUGGGUGGCGAUGGACUCAUGCAGGAGGACGACGCUGUCUGGCGUCGUGGUGGUGUCAAUGGAAGAGAGGCCUGGCAAGGUCGAUGCGUCAGUAUCUGAUCUGAGGAUGAAUCGAUGGAUGAAGGAGGUGAUGGCCCUUGCAGCUUGUGCAUGUGGUGCCCACUGAAAGUGCGUCGGACCGGUGUGUAACCCAGUCCAGGUAUUGUGGCUUGGGUGGGGUAUCCGGCAUUAGAUGUUAGGUGUUGGUGCGAUAUCUGUUUGGUAUUAGGCUCGGACAUUCGGCACUCCUUCAUCACGGGGAUAGGAGUAGCGACUGGUGUUGCCAAGAUCGUGGCUUCAGACUUACUAAUGUAUUACCUUGCAAGGGCUUUGUGAAUAAUUAAUAUAAUGGAUGCAUGCAUCACCCAAAUGCAGAGACCGCGGGUACAUUCUCCUUUAAAAAAAAGCACCCAAUAAAUAUUGAAAGUUGCAUCCUAAUUGUCUACACACUCCUUGCCAGUAUUAUUUACGUAGUUGGGUAUUUUGUGGCAAUACCCAAACUGACCGCAUAACCUCCCACAGUAUGCGUGCAUGAUCGCAUCUAACUAGGGCGUGAUAUGUAGUUUUGGCCUCCGUGUCGCAUAUAGGACAUGUAUCCCUAGUAGGAAUAUGUCCGGAGUUUUUGCACAAAUUGGUAGAUAAUACACUCGUUGUUGCCUUCCAUGCACAGAUUUUCAUUUUCUAAGGUACAUACGAAAUAAAAUGAGUGAAUCUACAUUCUAAAAUAUGUCUAUAUACGACAGUAUAUAGUUCGUAUUGAAAUCUCUAAAUAGACUUAUAUUUAGAAACUGAGGGAGUAGUAUUUAUAACAAAGAAUGAGAGAGUAAUCAAAAUGACCAAAAGGCUCGCACCCGGUUUAUCAAUAAAGCACCAACCAACAUCUAGUUCAACCCAUACAACUUGACACCACAAUACAGGCAGGGUCUCAUAACCCCAUACCACUCCAAGCAAUCUACUACACGUAGGAACCUAAGGCACCACUUGAAGUGUCCAGAGCCCUCAAUCGUGAACGAGUCGUCACGAAGGAAUAAAACUCUGUGCGCGAAGAACCGAGUAUUCCAAGACGGUGGGAAGGCAGAGCAAGCCAUAAUAUAAUAAACUAGAAAAUUUGACUUUACUUCGAUUUAGAAUAGCAUGCUUACUUUAAUUUCUAAAAAUAGUUUCAGGUUUCCUUAUUAUUUCGGAUCGGAGUAGUACAAUUGCUAGAAAAUUGAGUAUUUCAUUGCAGAAUUUUAAAAUAAACUAAGUCCCUUUUUUAAGUACACGUCAAUCUGCCAAUCUUGUGCUGCACGGGGGUACACCAAGCAACCGUGGAAGUACACAUAUGUUGUUUCGGAGGGUACAAGUUAGUUCUUGAUGGGAUACAAGUUACGCUCGAAAAAGUUCAUCGAAACCUACAAAAUAGAUCUAGUUUUGAAGAUUUUAACAAGACAGACGCAACGGUGUAAAUGGUCCGUAAUUUGGACACUCGGUUCAACAGAUAUUCCAUUUUAUAAUCGGAUACAUUAAGAGAUGCACAUGAGUGACAACAUUUAUUCCCAUAAAUGAUUUCAAUAGUCCAGAUGGCAGCCAUCUAUAAUGGCUUUCGUAACAUCUAUAUCUAUACUAAUAUAAAAAGACCAAAGGAAUAGAUUCAAUUAAUCUCGGCAACAAAUCAUGUCAAUCUAACGACCUAGAUUGUUUCAAUGAUGAACACUCAACACGUUUAGCGUACAGUUAAUUUCAUGCCAAAUAUAGUACUAAUCACAUAAUAAUACGCAAAUAAUACCCUACUUAAUAUCCGCAUGCACUUAAUAAACUUCCAAAUUAACGUACAUUGCACGUACACAUUGACUAAUGCCAGUCCAACGACCUAGACCGCUUCAAUGUCAAAGCGCUCAACACGUUUAGCGUGCAAUUAAUUUCAUGCCAAAAAUAAUGUUAAUCACAUAAUAACACGCAAAUAAUAUCCUACUUAAUGCCGUAUUGCACGUACACAUUGACUAGUAUAAAAAGCUUCACAAGCACAUAAUGUUUCAAGCAAUGCAGAUAAACUUCACAAGCACACUUGAGUGGAGCCGUAACAAACACACAAAACACGCAAGAUGGUAGCAUGGGUCCAAGCCUACGCCUUCCACCUACCGCAGUUCAUACAGCGCGCUCCUCCUUUGGAAGGGAAAGACAACCAUGCCAUGGUGGCAGAGCUAACCUUAGACUUGAUUUGGCGGUGGAGGAGCAGAACCGUAGGGAGCGUCUUUAGAUGGCACAAAAGGAGGAUUACUGCCAACAUAUGCUUGGUAGUGGUCCUUCUUCCGAACUAGGCGGUAUGAGGCAACAUCAAGGGCGGCGACUACAAGAAACAAAAAUGUCGCGAUCACGAAAAUUGCGACACCUCCGACAAUCCUAGCAUUCCCAACAGUUUUCUUUGCAGAGCCUUCAAAUCCUAACAUGGCCCCUGCCAGAAAUAGUAGCACUGCUAUGAUCGCGAGGACCCUGCAAGUAUAUACACAUGGCGUAGAGACUAUAUUAAUUAUACAACUUAAAUGAACAAGACACCAAGUAGAUAUAGAUUCUGUAUUAAAGUUCAGUUUUCAAAUUCUAUGAGAAAUGAUAAAAAAACAAUGAAUCAUAAAGUUCUCGGGCCCCGCCACCACUUAGCGGCUAGCGCACCACGCCACAUAGGCUGGCAUUAAUGUUAAUGAUGAUAUUUUUCUUGAUUAGCAACAGAAAUCAGGCCGGAUAUCGAGUUGUGAAUAACCAAAUUAUUUAUGUACCAUGAGGUGAUGAAGAAGACCACCGCGGCGAUGCGCUUGGCCCCCUUAGUUACCCGCCACGCCCCAAAGCAGCAGAUCGCCACGCCGGCAAGAAUCUGCGUCAUCGAUGCCAACACGGCCGCUACCACGCCACAUGGCAUCGCCGGCGAUCGUCGGUACGUAGAGAACUCGCCAUUGUCAUCUUGAUGAUGUUUCUGCAUGAAUGAAUGCACACCGUUAAGAAGAAUCAACAAUAUUAUUAUCAACUAGAUUAUGCUUGGCCGAAGUUUUUUUUUUCUUUUGAAAUCUUGGCCGAAGGUUAGAGUGAGAAAGAGAUGGCAUCUAGCAGGUUUUUUUAGAGAUAGCAUCUAGCAGGUUACAAUGAGAAAGAUAUAAUAUCUAGCGUGUGAUGCAUGCAUACCAUUGCCAAGAGAACCGCGCUGAUGAUUCCGAAAACGACCGUCAUCACGGCCAGGAUGCUGGUCACCACCAUGAGACAUUUGGUCCCCAUCGAUGAUGUCACUACUAAUCGAGUAGAUGAGUUAGGUAUUGCAUUGCCACAGCCAUAUAGAUAGACAGAUUUAUUGGAAAAGAUAUAGAUAGACCGAGAUGAACAAGUGCAGGAAUCCAACGUUAGCUUGAAUAAGGUUAUCGGAGGACGGGCUACCUCUUGCAUGAAGAUUGUCACCCGCAUUGCUCCAUUUCUUGUAAGAUAUAUUAAGUUGGUAAAUGUAUAAUUUUAUUAAUUGAACUUCCUAAAAUAUAUGUGAUUAAGUUGCAUAUAGCCAAAAAUCGGUCAAGGAUUCACGCGACUCCGAGUGGAGCGGUGUCAAGAAUUCCCACCCCACCAAGCAUGGCGAAAACUUUCUGUGGAGUGGUGUCUUUGUUGCCGGCCUAUACGGGCAAAAGACCGUGCUGUUGUUUCUAUUGGUCCUGCCACUUUACUUAGGAUUAUUUGAAAACAAGGAUUUCAAAGUGUAUUGCCUACUGAUCCUACUAAUGUGAUAUUUAUUUUGUGUUCAUUGUUGUAAUCAUGGGUCGUGCUGAUGAAAAAAAAAAGAGGACUACUAGGCUUGCUUGCUUAGUGAGAUUUUAAAAGUCUCUGCCCUGUGGAGGGGAGAAGCCUCUAACCGUUCACGUGGAUGUGUCCCUGUUGUCCGACGAUUCUGUUGAUUUUGAUAGGGUACCGUUGUGUCAAGAAUGGCGAAAACGGGCCGGGUCGUGGCUCGAAAAAAGCCACACUUAUAAAUCAGCAAAUAAUCAUCAAGAUAGAGGCACCGCAAAGUAACACAAUGCGUGGAUAAAUAGAACUGAAACCAAUCUCCGGGGCCGCUAAACUAGCAGAGGUCUCCUAAAAAACUAAACUAGCAGAAACAGAGGAGGAGCAGAGGAAUCAAGCAAGGGACCGCUGAACCCUACACCAUGAAUCGACCAGCAAAACCAGAGCAGGGAGAAACACGGCCGACAGUUACCGGGAGUGAAGGGAAGACGAACCAACGAAGCACGGCAAUGGCGAGGGAGAUUAGCUGGAGGAGGCAACCUCGCCGGGGUGGGGAGUGGAACGAAAACCAAACCUUUUGGUUGUGGGGAGGCAGAGCGAGAGGAGUAGUGGGUAGGAGAGGAGUGAGAGGCGAAGGCCUUACUUGUCCGUGACAGAUUUACAUCAAGUAGUACUAAUGCAGGAUCCAUACUAGCACGUGACAGAUUUUGGCUGGCUUCUGAGCCGACAACCGGAGACAAGCACGCGUGUAGGGACCGUCGGUUCAGCCAUCAACGUCGACGCGCGCGGUCGACAUGCGCUAAUGUGCCACACCACACCACACCAAAAAAGUUGAUGUCGACCGAAACACGAGAUUCAUUUUUUUUUCCCGAAAUCUAAGGGCAGAAGCCGAGUUGAACACCCAUAGGAGAGUACGAAAAAUAGAAAUUACGGACGUGCUGAAAGCGUCGGCGGGGUCGUCGCCCGACCCACACAGCACAAGCCGCAGCUCGAGGGUGGCCGGGAAGUGGAGAAUAUCAUACGGAAACCAAUGUUCAAAGAAAACAUCUGAGAAACCACAUUUGGAAAUUUCAAAAAAAUAUAAAAAAAUUGAGAUGUUAAGAAGAUGAUGUUCUAUUGUCAUGUGAAGUUUGAAGUAAAAACAUAUUGCGGGAUGCAAGCCAUGAAAAUAACAAAUUCAGCAAUUAAUGGUGACGCUACUGUUCGGCACUAUUCAAUGCUAACUUUUUUCUGAUUUUUCGAAAAUUGAAAGCAUCUUUUUUUCGUGUGGCUUUCAUCGGUUUUCACUAAAUAUUUGUUUUUGUAUGAUAUUCUCCCAGUCGGAGCAGGUGCAACCGGAGCGGUUGAACACACUACAUGAACAUUAUGUUGCUGCAAUGAGAACACACUAUACAUUUUAAUCUGCCCUUUCAAAUAUCGGGGCCUAAAUUUUGAUUCGCACACGGCCUCUGAUUUUUUAGGUACGGCCCGUCCGUCACAUAUGACGGGGAAGCAAGCACUGUACUCCCUCUGUCUCAAAAUGUAACGUUUUUAACACUACACUGGUGUCAAAAACGUUUUUAUAUUAUGGGACGGGGAUAGUGUCAAAAAUGUUCGGAGGGAGUAAUAAGCAAAGAAAACCCCCGAGCUCGCCAGUAACUGAUGAGCUGAAACCAGUCUCCGGGGGCAAUAAACUAGCUCUAGCAGAGAAAAGGGGAGUAGCUAGAUGGAGGAGCAGAGGAAUCCUUACCUGGACGAAGCGCAGCAAUAUAAUGGCUACUCGGGAGGAGCCAAACCUCGCCGGAGACCGGGACGGAAACCUCACCGGAGCAGCACGGCCUUGGAUUGGCUGUGGGGAAGGGAAGGGUCCGCGAGCGAGCGAGUGGAUUCCAAGUUUAAUUUGCCUCCGGAGUCCAUCCACUAUAUAUAUAUAUAUAUCCCCGGCCGACACGAAAAAGUUAUCUCGAUUUCGUGACUCACAUACGUUUUCGGAGAGAAAGAAUCAGGAUGAGCGGACACGUGGUACGUACGUGCGGCUCAGCGGCUGGUCGACCGCUUCCACUAGCCAGUAGCAGUAGUAGAAAGUUGAAGGAUUGCAUGCGAUGCGCGAUGCAUAUCUUCGGACGUCGGCAUAUACAACUUUAAUGAUUCAGAGGUUGGCAGGUGCCUCUCUUGUCUUGGCUCGAUGUUUCUGUCUGUCGUCUCACUCUCAGCCAACCUCCGGAGAAGCGCACAUACGUGGUGAUGCACGCGUGUACGUGUACGUGUCGGCCAGACAGCAUGAGAUAUUUGGAGCCUGGUAAAAAGUAGUAUACUAAAGCAGUCACGUACUCUUUUUUUUGAUUUGACGGCAACAUGAGAUUCAAAAACUUUCCCAAAGGGCCGUCGUCAUCGUCAGCCCGCACAAGCCGCACAUUUCCAUACCUGCUCAUAUACGUUUCCUUCUUUUUUAUAGUGCCUGAAAAUAUAUAAAUAAGCUUGGGUCGUUUCAAUGAAUAAGUACAGAAACAGGCGAGGCGGACACCGCGUGACCGCAAAGAGCUGCAGCCAGUAAGAAUUUUUGCUGAAACCAUGAACUAGGAGAAAACCUACGUAAUGACCAGUAAAGAGAUAGCAAAUCGGGGCAAUCUUGGUAAGAUGCCAGACACCCAUUUAUUAGUAUGAAAUUUCUACCAGUGCCAUAAUAUUUGGAUUGGACGUCAAAAAACACGAAGGUUUUCAUCAUAAAGAUCCACAAACCUUGCCAUGGCAAACUUCACAGCUUCUGUUGUUACCUCUUGAAAACAUCAUAACUACUUUAACAUUCACGAAGACCCUGUUUCUGUAAUGUCAGAGUAUACUUCUUUUCGCCAUGGGUUUUCAUCAUAAAGCUCACAACUAUCCCCUCCGUUACCUAGCUCGUGACAACUUAGUAUCAGAGCCAGGUUUUGAUCCUGGGACUUAUGGUUUUGGAUAUAGUUUGCAUUCGGAGGAAACUAUGUACCUAGUGGCUGUUAGAGGGCAAGGGGUUCAGGCUAGGGUGCCGUGACAUUUGGGGAUAGAUCUGUUCUGGAGCUUAACCACCGUACAUAAAGCGAUGCAAAGCCUGCUUAGAAGACCGAUUUAGAGAAUGAUAAGAAGCCACAUAAACUUAACGGUGCAAAUUGUACUGUUUACAAGAAUUUUGAUUGUAUGCAACAACUAAAAAAAUUACACCCAAAGCAAUUCAAGUGAUGUUUAUCUGAAACAUGAGAUUUUGUUUUUCUUCUCUGGCUAGCUAAGUACUAGUACAUGAGAAAACAGUUUGGCCACACUGACCAAUAACAAUUCCUCCAGAUUGGGUUACAGAAUGAUGCACCUAAAACCAAUCAUGGAUAACAAAGUACAGCACCUGCUAGAACUUGCAGUUGGUUUAACUGGCAGCUCAAAUGCAUUACUAAUGAGAAAUAUCAUGACAUUAGACUGGACAUAAGACAUUGAUCUUGUUCCUUACCGGGUUGCAGGUGAGGGAGCACGGAUCGAUGUCGAUUAGCAGCUGCAGGUGGAGGUGACCGGGCAGUCGGCCGCCGGCGUCGGAGUCAGCAGCGGCAGGUCAGCACGACGGCCAGGCGCAACGGGGGUCCGAGGCCGAGGGCGAGGUGUGACGGCGGCGGGAGUGCGACGAGGUGGGCGGCGCCGCGGAGGGCCCAGGAGCGCGCACGGGUUGGCAGGGAGUCGGGGAUUGGCGCGGCGGCUAGCGGGGGGUGGCGGCGGCGAUUCGCCGGCGAGGGUCACCGGUAGAAGAGGGAAUCGGGAGGGGACCUUUUUUUCUUCUCGUAAAUAGUUUUUUUUAUCACGGGAACCUUCUUCUUGGAAAAGGGGCAAAGAUCCGAAUUGGGCCAACCUCGUGGCUGCAGCCGGCCCGCGGCCCAGAUACGAAGAGAAUGUAAAAUUUGGGCAAUUUUCGAGAGCAACUAGUUAAUGAGCGCUCCUUCGGAAACUUGACAACGAUCAGCGCCACUUGGAAAGCUCUGAGCCAUUCGCCAUGUGUCGUGCUCUGGGCUCCCUCCAGAUUUUUUAUUCCACAUGCGUUUUCGGCUUUAUAAAUGGUUUUUUUGGGUUUUUUCGAUGUUUAGGUUUUCCACCAGUCUUCCUUAGCUUUCCGAUAAAAAAAUCGAAAACAAAGUUUUGCGCAAAAAGACACAUUUUUUUCUUUCGUGAAAGUCACGAUUUUUCUUCCGCGAGAGGCACGAUUUUGCUUUCGUGAGAGUCACGGCCAUGCCUCUCGAAAAUGAAAAAAACAUGUUUUCUUUUUCUUUUUCUUUCGCGAAGUCACGGUUUUGCUUUCGUGAGAGGCACGGUUGUGCUUUAGUGAGAGUCACGGCCGUGCCUCUCAGAAAUGAAAAAAAUGUGUUUUCUAUUUUUUUUCCUUUCGAGAGUCACGGUUUUGCUUUCGCGAGAGGCACGGACGUGCCUCUCAGAAACGAAAAAAACGUGUUUUCUGUUUUUUUUCCUUUCGUGAGAGUCACUGUUUUGCUUCUGCAAAAGGCACGGUUGUGCUUUCGCGAGAGUCACGACCGUGCCUCCUCGGAAACGAAAAAAAUGCGUUUUCUCUUUUUCUUUCCUUCCGCAAGAGUCACAGUUUUGCUUCCGCGAGAGGCACGGUUGUGAUUUCAUGAGAGGCGCGGCCGUGCCUCUUUCGAAAAGGAAAAAAAUCCGUGCUCCUGGUUCAGUUUUUCUGUUCUAUUUUUUCAUGAAAGAAAAGUUCAUCAAAAACUAUCAACAUGGGAUCUAGUUUUGAAGAUCUCGACGCGAUGAAUCCAAUGGUGAAAGCGGUUCGAGAUUUGGACAAGUGGUUUAAGAGAUAAAACAUUUUAAAUAAAUGGAUCUACGAAAAAAAGGGAAAACUCCCAGGUUGCGACAAGUGACGCACAUGUAGCGCGUCACUUGUCGCAACCUGAGGAGGUUGGAGUGAUCUUUGCAACGAGUACGACUCAACUAGUGAUUUUGCAAAUUUUCCAAACCUCGUGAUGGAUGGGGCAGUCCCUCUAUUGGGAGCUCCUAAUUACUGCAUUCUGCGGCAAAUAGACGCCUCUUCGCUCAUAGCACGCGGAACUGGCCGGCCAUUAGGGUAAAUCUCUUAGCGAUCAGUCGGGCGCAAAACUUUCGAAAAAGAAAAUAUGCUCAACCAACCAAGGAUUUGGUCUCCAGAACUUCUAUUGAGGCCGACACCUCGCCAGCCGGUCGAACUGACCAACGGCUCUUGAAAAUGUGCAGCGCCAAGUCUAAAGAACACACUGCAGCAGCGUAACUCAACAUUUAAAAAAUGCAAUCAAUUUAUUAUAUUCCAUUUCUUUUGAAAUUGAGAACAAUGUAUUGAAAACUCAAACAAUCUUCGAAAACUUGGAACACCUUUUGGAAUUAUGAAGAUAUAUUGAAAAAUGAGGACAAAUUUUUGAAAUUCCGAACAAUUUUUUAAAACACGAAUAAAGUUUAAGACUCCGAACUUCAUUGAAAACAAUAAAAAAAUUUAAAAAAUCUGAAGAAUUUUUUAGAAUUUGAAAUAUUUUUAGAAAUACGAACAAAAUUUUGAAGCUCUCAACUUUUUUGAAAUCAUGAACAAUUUUUGAAAUUCCAAACAUUUGUUUGAAACAGUGAUUUUUUUUAAACACAAGCAAAAAAUUCAAACUCCAUUUUUUAUGAAAACAUGAUCAAAUUUCGAACUACCGAACAAUUUUUAGAAACAAGAAAAAAUUAAAACUCCAAACUUGCUUGAACACACGAAAUUUUUUUUGAACAUUUUGGACAUUUUUUGAUAUUGCGAACAAUUUAGAAUACAGUAACAAAAAAUUAAAAUCCAAACAUUUUUUGAAAACAUGAACAAAUUUUAAAACUCAGAACAUUUUUGGACACCGACGCAACGAGCGCAAGAAACAGAAUUUCAAAAAUGACACUUAAAAAUAAAACAGAAAAAAUAUAAAGGAAACAAAGAAAAGAAAAAAAUAGAACAGAAAAUAAAACAAGAAAAACCAAAAAGCCGAGUAGAAGAAAAAAAACAGUUCUGGGAACCAUCUAGAAGGUUCCCAAAACCGCUUGGCUCCCACUGUGGCCAUGCUUUAAGUGGGUGGGCCCAAAUCCCUAGCUCUGGUGCGUGGCGCAACUAGCGCAACGAGUGAUUUGAACCAAGACCUUCUAGACAUCAGAAAGCUGCGCUAACCACACGAGCUACCUCACUUUUUGUGUUACUUAUAGCUAUUUAUUACUUUUCUUCUUUCUCCUUUCUUUUUUUUUUACCUUUUUAUUUUUGUUGGAACAGUUUUGUUCCAUUUUUCUCUCUAAAUUAGUGCAUUUUUUCUUCAAAUUGAUGUAUUUUUUUAAAACAGAUGAACAUUUUUUCCCAAAAUUGAUGAACUUUUUUGCUAAAAUCUGUGAACUUUUUUAGAAUUGGUGAACUUUUUUCAAAUUUGAUGAACGUUUUUCAAAUAUCAUAAACAUUUUUUAAUAUUUGAUGAACUUUUUCCAAAUCCGAUGAACUUUUUCAACUUCGAUGAUUUUUUUUUUCAAAUUUGAUGAACGUUUUUUUAAAUUGAUGAACCUUUCCCAUUUUUUGCUAUUUUUUUCAAUUGGUACGGUUUAUUUCAAUUCGUGAUUUUUGUGAAUGCGUAAUUUAUGUUUUUUUGUUCAAAUAAUUAUAGUGCGUAUAUAAUACUAGUAUAUUUUUAGUUUUUGUACUGAAUGAAUGGUCAAAAGUGCUUUAUUUCCUCUAGUAAUCAACAAUCUGAGUGUGUCCUUGUGGUGAACGUGUGUGCAUUUACAUUGAUUUUCGGAGUUCGAAUCCCAGAACUCCCUAUUAAAUGUGAACGAUUCCCUCUAAACAUUAUGAAAUGAAAAGCUUUACACCCCUUACAAAAAAGAGUUCGCCGUGCCUGAUGAACAUUGGAUUUCAGACCAAAUGGCGUAUAACUUAUUGCUAUGAUCAAUGGUGAUGCCAUCGAAGAUGUUAAGUUGAGUGAUCCACAUCCCCUCUCAAUAACCUCAUUAACUCUCUCUUUGAACUGUAGCUUCUGUUAUCAUCCAAACUGACAUUAUUCACCAAGAUUGCCCGGAUAUAUUAUGUUGGGAUCUAACCACUAAUGGUACUUGUUCUUCCAAAUCCAUUUAUUAAUUGUGUUUGCAGGAUAUUCAUGCAAAUCCAAGAAAUACUCCUUGCCAAGUUUCUUUGCAGGUCAAAAAUCUUCUCAAGUUGAUUUGGAAGCAAAAGUUGAUGAUCCCUAGAGUUCAAACUUUCGCUUGGAGACUCCUUCGGAAAGCGCUUCCCACAAGCUUGAGGGCUGGGUGCUUUUCCAUACAUAUUUCUCAAUGUUAUUGCAGAUGUGGUCAACAAGAGGAUGAGGUUCACCUGUUUUUUCUUUGUGACUUUGCUAGAGCUACUUGUUUUUCUCAUCCUUGGUUCAUUAGAACAGAUGUUUUAGUUCAAAACUAUCCCAAUAUUCAAAGUAUUAUUCUUGCUUCUGUUAUCAUCAUUCUAUAUUUUAUGGGGUGUAUUUGGAAAGCAAGGAAUGAUUAUCUUUUUUAUAGAAAGAAAGCUGCCCAUCACCAAGUUAAUACUGUUGUUGCUUCUCUAUGUGCUGAUUUUUGUGAUCUUCUUAAUAAUUCUUCACACCAUCAGUCUCGAAACUCCAGUUGUAUCUUAAUCCAUACUAAUCAACUUCCCUUGCAGGGACAAACGCUUAAAUCCGACCUUCUUAUCACAGGGCCGGAAGUAUAUACUGAUGUAGCUUUUAAGUGCAAAAGGAUUCCAGGUUUAUUGCAGGGAACAUCAGCCACUGGAGUUGGUAUCUACAUUUCUUUGUCGCAGGAUCAGAAGCAAGUCAAUGUUAAGAUUUAAGCUUUCACCUCAAAUACAAGUACACCUCUUGGCUGCAACUUUUGCUCUUCUCCUGGCUGCACUAGUGGCCAAACGUCUCAGCAUCAACCAGCCGACCUUCCUCACAAACUAUCUCUCUUUGGCUUCAUUUGCGGCUAGUAGGAAGAUUACUGAAACUACUACCCCUUGGACUAUCAGGAAAGUUUUAGCUGAUUUCUCAUGUUACUCUUUAGACCUUCAACCUAGGGUGUUCCAUAUUUUCCAAGGAAAUUAAUGGAAUUGCUCACAAUGUCGCUCAUCAGGUUCUUAGAUCAAAUGGAGAACCUGGUAUAUGUUAUUUUGCUUCAGCUCACAGGAACGUGACUUGCGCGGUAGUUUCUCUCCUCUCCAAUUUCCAGUUCAAGGGAUUUGUAAUUGAUGUUGUACGUUGCUAUUGAGCUGAGCUGAAUGGAAAGUUUGGUGCUUCGUGCGCCAUUUGUUGUUCAAAAAAAACAUCCCCUCUCAAUGCUUGUUGACCCACCAACUCUUCCUUUUAAAGAUUAUAAAGAUGUCUCAUGCAAUUUCCUUGGGGUGUUCUUCGUUGUCCGACGAAGAAUAGUGCCAAAAGUCAGUUUGCUUGCCACCCCCAAUGAUGAUUCUAGUGGCUUCACGUUCAUAUUAGACUUACGGAUUAUUUUUACCGGAACUAACGGACCAACUCUUCUCCCCUCACUAAGAGCAUGUGCAACAGUCUAGGAGGGUCAUGUCUAUACCCUCUCUUCAUGUCAGAUUACAGAUGCACACAACCCGACAAAAAAGGAAGGAGAAGAAAAAAAGAUCCCGCUACGGUGAUCAAAACCGUGUAGUUGCAACACAAGCCACUGCGAAGGCAGCACCCGGAGUCCAAAUUCUCCAAAAGCGAUGCCUCCAAGAAGAAAACAGUGCACAAGCGCCGUGCCACCCGACCAUAGACCUCAGGUUUUCAUCUGGAGAAAGUCCGCUCUCAAAACAAUGCCUUCAACAAGAUCAUUGCCAGGCACAACCACUUAAAGUCAGACCUUGGAUUUUCACCAUGGAACAUAAGACUAUGUACUUCUCCGGUGCUGCCGGCCCCGCUUGCCGAUGUCGCUUCUACAAGUCAGGAAACACCAAGCAAAGUCCUCAUCGCCUCGAGGACUCAGUUUGCUAUAACUAGACUUCAAACCUCAGCCGCCAUGACAUUCUCCGCCACUAUCUUCACCAUGGAAAUUUGAAGACCGACAUGUCCCAUGAUGGCAACACACAGCGAAGCUUAGCGUCACUCCCUCUUGAAGCCGCACGGCUAAAAAUACGGGUUCACACGACCGAAUCUCAUCCAAUCCAGCAAUCUAUAGGCGUCAGGCGCCGAAUGGAGAUCGCCGACGGAGCCUUCUAGAACUUGUCACCGGCCAGAUCGAUAAGGACAUGCGUCAAGUAGAACACCGUCUUGACGCGAGAAGAACACUAGGACCACCUCCUUUAUUAGGCAGAUCGGCAGGCCCCCACGCCGCUGCCCACUGGUUCCUGAUUAAUAGUCUGGAGAACUCAGCGGGCACCACCACCACCACCCGCAUCACGCGGAGAUGAGGGGCUGGGCCGCACCGAGACCCCUGAACCAGGCGCCAUGCCACCCACGUGGCCACAGCGGUCGCCCAAGAAGUUCGGGACCGCCGCCCCGGUGUCCAACUCCGUCAUACGAGCCGCGUCUGUUUCAGGGAAGGAGAUCGAACACACUGGUUCCAUUCAUCUGUGGAGAUACAUAUACAGGGGAGCAGCGGGUGCUUGAGCCACGAUGGUGAUCGUGGAGUGACCAUGCUCGAGAGGUGGAUGGACGUGUGUGCGUAAAGGAAAACUGCACACACGUACGCUAUACUAGCCUGAUGUAGAGACUACGUACAAUACUCACACACACACACACAUACAUGUAGCUUAACACCCCCCCUCCCCGCAGUCGGGACGGUGCGAGGAGCGACGCAGAGACUGGAGCGGAAAUCGUGGAAGACGUCGACGGGCAAUCCUUUGGUCAUCACAUCGGCGAAUUGCUGCCGCGUGGGAAUGUGAAGGACGCGAAACUUGCCCAGGGCCCCGCGCUCGCGGACGAAGUGAAUGUCGAGUUUGACAUGCUUGGUGCGCCGGUGAUGGACUGGAUUGCUGGACAGGUACACCGAAACCGAAGAGAUGUUGUCACAGUACAGUACACGAGCGUCGCCGUCUUGAUAGAGCACCGGAGUUCGCCCAGAAGUUGUCGGAGCCAGACGCAGUCAGCCACCGCAUUGGCAACACCGCGAUACUCAGUGUCAGCACUCGAUCUGGAGACGGUCAGCUGGCGUUUGGACGACCAGGACACAAGAGUGUCGCCAAGAUAGACGCAGUACCCCGAGAUGGAGCGCCGCGUAUCCGGGCAGCCAGCCCAGUGGGCGUCGGUGUAGGCGCGGAGAUCAAGUGUCGAGGACGCGCGCAGGUGUAACCCGAGAGAGGCAGUGCCGCGGAUGUACCGGAGAGCGCGCUUGAUCAGCGCACGAUGGCACUCACGCGGAUCAUGCAUGGGCAAACAUAUUUGCUGGACGGCGUAGGCGAGCUCUGGGCGCGUGACGGUGAGGUACUGCAGGGCACCGGCGAGGCUGCGGUACUCUGUGGAGUCAGCCACGCGGGGGCCUGUCGCCGCGGGCAGCUUGGCCUUGGUGUCCACCGGAGUAGGCACGGGCUUGCAGUUGUCCAUGGAAGGAUGCUCCAGCAUGUCCUCCGUGUACUGCUCUUGCGAGGGGAAGAAGCCAGCAUCGGAGCGCGUGACGCGGAUGCCCAAGAAGUAGUGCAGGGCGCCGAGGUCUUUCAUGGUGAACUUGGUGGUGAGCGCGGCGAUGAUGCGAUGAAGGAAGGCGUCGGAGGAGGCCGUGAGGACGAUAUCGUCCACGUAGAGCAACAGGUACGCGGCGUCAGCGCCGCGUGCGAGCGUGAACAGCAAACUGUCCGAGCGGGUCGCCGUGAACCCAAGGGUGGUGAUGAAGCCGGUGAAGCGAAGAAACCACGCGCGCGGCGCCUGCUUCAAGCCAUACAAAGACUUGGAAAGGCGACACACGUGGUCUGGCUUGCCAGUGUCGAUGAAGCCCGCAGGUUGAAGACAGUAAACCUCUUCCUGAAAGUGCCAUGCAAGAAAGCAUUCUUCACCUCGAGUUGAUGGACUGGCCACCGACGCGACGCGGUGAGAGUGAGGACGGUGCGGAUGGUCGCUAGUUUAACCACAGGGGAGAAAGUCUCCCCGUAGUCGACACCAGCACGUUGGUUGAAGCCACGUACGACCUGUUGGAAAUAUGCCCUAGAGGCAAUAAUAAAAGUAUUAUUAUAUUUCAUUGUUCAUGAUAAUUGUCUUUUAUUCAUGCUAUAACUGUAUUAUCCGGAAAUCGUAAUACACGUGUGAAUACUUAGACCACAAUAUGUCCCUGGUAAGCCUCUAGUUGACCAGCUUGUUGUGAUCAACAGAUAGUCAUGGUUUCCUGACUAUGGACAUUGGAUGUCGUUGAUAACGGGAUCACAUCAUUAGGAGAAUGAUGUGAUGGACAAGACCCAAUCCUAAGCAUAGCAUAAAAGAUCGUGUAGUUCGUAUUGCUAGAGCUUUGUCAAUGUCAAGUUCUCUUCCUUAGACCAUGAGAUCGUGUAACUCCCGGAUACCGUAGAAGUGCCUUGGGUGUAUCAAACGUCACAACGUAACUGGGUGACUAUAAAGGUGCAUUACAGGUAUCUCCGAAAGUAGCUGUUGGGUUGACACGGAUCGAGACUGGGAUUUGUCACUCCGUAUGACGGAGAGGUAUCUCUGGGCCCACUCGGUAAUGCAUCAUCGUAUUGAGCUCAAUGUGACCAAGGUGUUGGACACGGGAUCAUGCAUUACGGUACGAGUAAAGUGACUUGCCAGUAACGAGACUGAACAAGGUAUUGGGAUACCGACGAUCGAGUCUCGGGCAAGUAACGUACCGAUUGACAAAGGGAAUUGCAUACAGGGUUUGAUCGAAUCCUCGACAUAGUGGUUCAUCCGAUGACAACAUCGAGGAGCAUGUGGGAGCCAUCAUGGGUAUCCAGAUCCCGCUGUUGGUUAUUGACUGAGAGCGUCUCGGUCAUGUCUGCAUGUCUCCCGAACCCGUAGGGUCUACACACUUAAGGUUCGGUGACGCUAGGGUUAUGAAGAUAUGUAUAUGCAGAAACCCGAAUGUUGUUCGGAGUCCCGGAUGAGAUCCCGGACGUCACAAGGAGUUCCGGAAUGGUCCGGAGGUAAAGAAUUAUAUAUAGGAAGUGCUAUUUCGGGCAUCAGGACAAGUUUUGGGGUUAUCGGUAUUGUACCGGGACCACCGGAAGGGUCCCGGGGGUCCACCGGGUGGGGCCACCUGUCCCGGGGGGCCACAUGGGCUGUAGGGGGUGCGCCUUGGCCUUCAUGGGCCAAGGGCACCAGCCCCUAUAGGCCCAUGCGCCUAGGGUUUCCCCCUAGGAGGAGUCCUAGUGGUGGAAGGCACCCCUAGGUGCCUUGGGGGGGAGGGAAACCUCCCCUAGGCCGCCGCCCCCCCUAGUAGAUCUCAUCUACUAGGGCCGGCGCCCCCCUGGCACCCCUAUAUAUAGUGGGGGGGAGGAGGGACUUCAUACACCAGCCCCUGGCGCCUCCAUCUCCCCCCCCGUUACGUCUCUCCCUCGUAGUCUCGGCGAAGCCCUGCUGCUGUGACGCCCUGCAUCCACCACCACACCGUCGUGCUGCUGGAUCUUCAUCAACCUCUCCUUCCCCCUUGCUGGAUCAAGAAGGAGGAGACGUCUCCCGUCCCGUACGUGUGUUGAACGCGGAGGUGCCAUCCGUUCGGCGCUGGUCAUCGGUGAUUUGGAUCACGUCGAGUACGACUACAUCAUCACCUUGCAAGCUUCCGCACGCGAUCUACAAGUGGUAUGUAGAUGCAAACUCUCUCCCUUGACUCGUUGCUUAGACGAACUCAUAGAUGGAUCUUGGUGAAACCGUAGGAAAAAUUUUAAUUUUCUGCAACGUUCCCCAACAGUGGCAUCAUGAGCUAGGUCUAUGCGUAGUUCUCUUUGCACGAGUAGAACACAAUUUUGUUGUGGGCGUGGAUUUUGUCAUCUUACUUGCCUCUAAUAGUCUUUUCUUGCUCAACGGUAUUGUGGGAUGAAGCGGCCCGGACCAACCUUACACGUACGCUUACGUGAGACCGGUUCCACCGACUGACAUGCACUAGUUGCAUAAGGUGGCUGGCGGGUGUCUGUCUCUCCCACCUUAGUUGGAGCGGAAUCGAUGAACAGGGCCCUUAUGAAGGAUAAAUAGAAGUUGACAAAAUCACUUGUGGUAAUUCGUAGGUAAGAAAAUGUUCUUGCUAGAACCCAAUUGCAGCCACGUAAAAGAUGCAACAACAAUUAGAGGACGUCUAACUUGUUUUUGCAGCGAUUGAUCAUGUGAUGUGAUAUGGCCAGAAGUUGUGAUGAAUGAUGAAUUGUGAUGUAUGAGAUCAUGUUCUUUGUAAUAGGAUUCACGACUUGCAUGUCGAUGAGUAUGACAACCGGCAGGAGCCAUAGGAGUUGUCAUUAUUUUUUGUAUGACCUGCGUGUCAUUGAAUAACGUCAUGUAAACUACUUUACUUUAUUGCUAAACGUUAGUCAUAGAAGUAGAAGUAGUCGUUGGCGUGACAACUUCAUGAAGACACGAUGAUGGAGAUCAUGGUGUCAAGCCGGUGACAAGAUGAUCAUGGAGCCCCGAAGAUGAAGAUCAAUGGAGCUAUAUGAUAUUGGCCAUAUCAUGUCACAACUAUAUAAUUGCAUGUGAUGUUUAUUAUGUAUUAUGCAUCUUGUUUACUUAGGACGACGGUAGUAAAUAAGAUGAUCCCUUAUAGAAUUUCAAGAAGUGUUCUCCCCUAACUGUGCACCGUUGCUACAGUUCGUCGUUUCUAAGCACCACGUGAUGAUCGGGUGUGAUGGAUUCUUACGUUCACAUACAACGGGUGUAAGACAGUUUUACACAGCGAAAACACUUAGGGUUAACUUGACGAGCCUAGCAUGUGCAGACAUGGCCUCGGAACACGGAGACCGAAAGGUCGAACACGAGUCGUAUGGAAGAUACGAUCAACAUGAAAAUGUUCACCGACGAUGACUAGUCCGUCUCACGUGAUGAUCGGACACGGGCUAGUCGACUCGGAUCGUGUAACACUUAGAUGACUAAAGGGAUGUCUAAUCUAAGUGGGAGUUCAUAAUUUGAUUAGAACUUUAUUAUCAUGAACUUAGUCUAAAACCUUUGCAAAUAUGUCUUGUAGAUCAAUGGCCAACGCUAAUGUCAACAUGAACUUCAACGCAUUCCUAGAGAAAACCAAGCUGAAAGAUGAUGGCAGCAACUAUACGGACUGGGUCCGGAACCUGAGGAUCAUCCUCAUAGCUGCCAGGAAACAAUAUGUCCUAGAAGGACCGCUAGGUGACGCUCCCGUCCCAGAGAACCAAGACAUUAUGAAUGCUUGGCAGUCUCGUGCUGAUGAUUACUCCCUCGUUCAGUGCGGCAUGCUUUACAGCUUAGAACCGGGGCUCCAAAAGCAUUUUGAGCACCACGGAGCAUAUGAGAUGUUCGAAGAGCUGAAACUAGUUUUUCAAGCUCAUGCCCGGGUCGAGAGAUAUGAUGUCUCCGACAAGUUCUACAGUUGUAAGAUGGAGGAAAACAGUUCUGUCAGUGAGCACAUCCUGAAGAUGUCUGGGUUGCACAACCGUAUGACCCAGCUGAACAUUAACCUCCCAGAUGAGGCGGUCAUUGACAGAAUCCUCCAGUCGCUCCCACCAAGCUACAAGAGCUUUGUGAUGAACUACAACAUGCAGGGGAUGGAAAAGACCAUUCCUGAAGUGUUCUCGAUGCUGAAGUCAGCAGAGGCUGAAAUCAAGAAAGAACAUCAAGUGUUGAUGGUCAAUAAGACCACUAAGUUCAAGAAGGGCAAGGGUAAGAAGAACUUCAAGAAGGACGGCAAAGAUGUUGCCGCGCUUGGUAAGCCAGUUACCGGGAAGAAGUCAAAGAAUGGACCCAAGCCUGAGACUGAGUGCUUUUAUUGCAAGGGGAAGGGUCACUGGAAGCGGAACUGCCCCAAAUACUUAGCGGAUAAGAAGGCCGGCAACACCAAAGGUAUAUUUGAUAUACAUGUGAUUGAUGUGUACCUUACCAGUAACCGUAGUAACUCCUGGGUAUUUGAUACCGGUGCCGUUGCUCAUAUUUGUAACUCACAGCAGGAGCUGCGGAAUAAACGGAGAAUGGCAAAGGACGAGGUGACGAUGCGCGUCGGGAAUGGUUCCAGAGUCGAUGUGAUCGCCGUCGGCACGCUGCCUCUACAUUUACCCACGGGAUUAGUUUUGAACCUUAAUAAUUGUUAUUUAGCGCCAAGUUUGAGCAUGAACAUUGUAUCAGGAUCUCGUUUAAUACGAGAUGGCUACUCAUUUAAGUCUGAGAAUAAUGGUUGUUCGAUUUAUAUGAGAGAUAUGUUUUAUGGUCAUGCUCCGAUGGUCAAUGGUUUAUUCUUAAUGAAUAUCGAGCGUAAUAUUACACAUGUUCAUAGUGUAGAUGCCAAAAGAUUUAAAGUUGAUAACGAUAGUCCCACAUACUUGUGGCACUGCCGCCUUGGUCACAUUGGUGUCAAGCGCAUGAAGAAGCUCCAUGCUGAUGGACUUUUAGAGUCUCUUGAUUAUGAAUCGUUUGACACGUGCGAACCAUGCCUCUUGGGCAAAAUGACCAAGACUCCGUUCUCCGGAACAAUGGAGCGAGCAACCAACUUGUUGGAAAUCAUACAUACCGAUGUGUGCGGUCCAAUGAGCGUUGAGGCUCGCGGAGGAUAUCGUUAUGUUCUCACUCUCACAGAUGACUUGAGUAGAUAUGGGUAUGUCUACUUAAUGAAACACAAGUCUGAGACCUUUGAAAAGUUCAAGGAAUUUCAGAAUGAGGUGGAGAAUCAACGUGACCGAAAGAUAAAAUUCUUACGAUCAGAUCGUGGAGGAGAAUACUUAAGUCACGAAUUUGGUACACACUUAAAGAAAUGUGGAAUCGUUUCACAGCUCACGCCGCCUGGAACACCUCAGCGAAACGGUGUGUCCGAACGUCGUAAUCGCACUCUAUUGGAUAUGGUGCGGUCUAUGAUGUCUCUUACCGAUUUACCGCUAUCAUUUUGGGGAUACGCUCUAGAGACAGCUACAUUCACUUUAAAUAGGGCACCGUCUAAAUCCGUUGAGACGACACCGUAUGAAUUAUGGUUUGAAAAGAAACCUAAGCUGUCGUUUCUGAAAGUUUGGGGAUGCGAUGCUUAUGUCAAGAAACUUCAACCUGAAAAGCUCGAACCCAAGUCGGAAAAAUGCGUAUUCAUAGGAUACCCUAAGGAAACUGUAGGGUAUACCUUCUACUUAAGAUCCGAAGGCAAGAUCUUUGUAGCCAAGAAUGGAUGCUUUCUGGAAAAAGAGUUUCUCUCGAAAGAAGUAAGUGGGAGGAAAGUAUAACUCGAUGAAGUACUACCUCUUGAGCAGGAAAGUGGCGCAGCGCAGGAAAUCGUUCCUGUGAUGCCCACACCAACUGAAGAGGAAAACAAUGAUGAUGAUCAAGGUACUUCGGAUCAAGUUACUGCUGAACUUCGUAGGUCCACAAGGACACGUUCCGCACCAGAGUGGUACGGCAACCCUGUCCUGUUAAUCAUGUUGUUAGACAACAAUGAACCUUCGAACUAUGAAGAAGCAAUGGCGGGCCCGGAUUCCAACAAAUGGCUUGAAGCCAUGAAAUCCGAGAUAGAAUCCAUGUAUGAAAACAAAGUAUGGACUUUGACAGACUUGCCCGAUGAUCGGCGAGUGAUAGAAAACAAAUGGAUAUUUAAGAAGAAGACGGACGCGGAUGGUAAUAUUACCAUCUAUAAAGCUCGACUUGUCGCUAAGGGUUAUCGACAGGUUCAAGGGAUUGACUACGACGAGACAUUCUCUCCCGUAGCGAAGCUAAAGUCCGUCCGAAUCAUGUUAGCAAUUGCCGCAUACUAUGAUUAUGAGAUAUGGCAGAUGGACGUCAAAACAGCAUUCCUUAACGGGCAUCUUAAGGAAGAACUGUAUAUGAUGCAGCCGGAAGGUUUUGUCGAUCCUCGGAACGCUAACAAAGUAUGCAAGCUCCAGCGAUCCAUUUAUGGACUGGUGCAAGCAUCUCGGAGUUGGAACAUUCGCUUUGAUGAGAUGAUCAAAGCGUUUGGGUUUAUGCAGACUUAUGGAGAAGCCUGCGUUUACAAGAAAGUGAGUGGGAGCACUGUAGCAUUUCUCAUAUUAUAUGUAGAUGACAUACUCCUGAUGGGAAAUAAUAUAGAAUUUCUGGACAGCAUUAAGGCCUACUUGAAUAAGUGUUUUUCAAUGAAGGACCUUGGAGAAGCUGCUUAUAUAUUAGGCAUCAAGAUCUAUAGAGAUAGAUCGAGACGCCUCAUAGGUCUUUCACAAAGCACAUACCUUGAUAAGAUUUUGAAGAGAUUCAGAAUGGAUCAGUCCAAGAAGGGGUUCUUGCCUAUGUUACAAGGUAUGAGACUGAGCUCAGCUCAGUCACCGACCACGGCAAAAGAUAAAGAAGAGAUGAGUGUCAUCCCCUAUGCUUCAGCCAUAGGAUCUAUUAUGUAUGCCAUGCUAUGUACCAGACCCGAUGUAAACCUUGCCGUAAGUUUGGUAGCAAGAUACCAAAGUAAUCCCGGCAAGGAACACUGGACAGCGGUCAAGAAUAUCCUGAAGUACCUGAAAAGGACGAAGGACAUGUUUCUCGUUUAUGGAGGAGACGAAGAGCUCGUCGUAAAGGGUUACGUCGACGCUAGCUUCGACUCAGAUCUGGAUGACUCUAAGUCACAAACCGGAUACGUGUAUAUGUUGAAUGGUGGAGCAGUAAGCUGGUGCAGCUGCAAGCAGAGCAUCGUGGCGGGAUCUACGUGUGAAGCGGAGUACAUGGCAGCCUCGGAGGCAGCACAUGAAGCGAUUUGGGUGAAGGAGUUCAUCACCGACCUAGGAGUCAUACCCAAUGCGUCGGGGCCGAUCAAACUCUUCUGUGACAACACUGGAGCUAUUGCCCCCGCCAAGGAGCCCAGGUUUCACAAGAAGACCAGGCACAUCAAGCGUCGUUUCAACUCCAUCCGUGAAAAUGUUCAAGAUGGAGACAUAGAGAUUUGCAAAGUGCACACGGAUCUGAAUGUCGCAGAUCCGCUGACUAAACCUCUCUCGCGUGCAAAACAUGAUCAACACCAGAACUCUAUGGGUGUUCGAUUCAUCACAAUGUAACUAGAUUGGUGACUCUAGUGCAAGUGGGAGACUGUUGGAAAUAUGCCCUAGAGGCAAUAAUAAAAGUAUUAUUAUAUUUCAUUGUUCAUGAUAAUUGUCUUUUAUUCAUGCUAUAACUGUAUUAUCCGGAAAUCGUAAUACACGUGUGAAUACUUAGACCACAAUAUGUCCCUGGUAAGCCUCUAGUUGACCAGCUUGUUGUGAUCAACAGAUAGUCAUGGUUUCCUGACUAUGGACAUUGGAUAUCGUUGAUAACGGGAUCACAUCAUUAGGAGAAUGAUGUGAUGGACAAGACCCAAUCCUAAGCAUAGCAUAAAAGAUCGUGUAGUUCGUAUUGCUAGAGCUUUGUCAAUGUCAAGUAUCUCUUCCUUAGACCAUGAGAUCGUGUAACUCCCGGAUACCGUAGAAGUGCCUUGGGUGUAUCAAACGUCACAACGUAACUGGGUGACUAUAAAGGUGCAUUACAGGUAUCUCCGAAAGUAGCUGUUGGGUUGACACGGAUCGAGACUGGGAUUUGUCACUCCGUAUGACGGAGAGGUAUCUUUGGGCCCACUCGGUAAUGCAUCAUCGUAUUGAGCUCAAUGUGACCAAGGUGUUGGACAUGGGAUCAUGCAUUACGGUACGAGUAAAGUGACUUGCCAGUAACGAGACUGAACAAGGUAUUGGGAUACCGACGAUCGAGUCUCGGGCAAGUAACGUACCGAUUGACAAAGGGAAUUGCAUACAGGGUUUGAUCGAAUCCUCGACAUAGUGGUUCAUCCGAUGACAACAUCGAGGAGCAUGUGGGAGCCAUCAUGGGUAUCCAGAUCCCGCUGUUGGUUAUUGACUGAGAGCGUCUCGGUCAUGUCUGCAUGUCUCCCGAACCCGUAGGGUCUACACACUUAAGGUUCGGUGACGCUAGGGUUAUGAAGAUAUGUAUAUGCAGAAACCCGAAUGUUGUUCGGAGUCCCGGAUGAGAUCCCGGACGUCACAAGGAGCUCCGGAAUGGUCCGGAGGUAAAGAAUUAUAUAUAGGAAGUGCUAUUUCGGGCAUCGGGACAAGUUUCGGGGUUAUCGGUAUUGUACCGGGACCACCGGAAGGGUCCCGGGGGUCCACCGGGUGGGGCCACCUGUCCCGGGGGGCCACAUGGGCUGUAGGGGGUGCGCCUUGGCCUUCAUGGGCCAAGGGCACCAGCCCCUAUAGGCCCAUGCGCCUAGGGUUUCCCCCUAGGAGGAGUCCUAGUGGUGGAAGGCACCCCUAGGUGCCUUGGGGGGGAGGGAAACCUCCCCUAGGCCGCCGCCCCCCCUAGUAGAUCUCAUCUACUAGGGCCGGCGCCCCCCUGGCACCCCUAUAUAUAGUGGGGGAGAGGAGGGACUUCAUACACCAGCCCCUGGCGCCUCCAUCUCCCCCCCGUUACGUCUCUCCCUCGUAGUCUCGGCGAAGCCCUGCUGCUGUGACGCCCUGCAUCCACCACCACGCCGUCGUGCUGCUGGAUCUUCAUCAACCUCUCCUUUCCCCUUGCUGGAUCAAGAAGGAGGAGACGUCUCCCGUCCCGUACGUGUGUUGAACGCGGAGGUGCCGUCCGUUCGGCGCUGGUCAUCGGUGAUUUGGAUCACGUCGAGUACGACUACAUCAUCACCUUGCAAGCUUCCGCACGCGAUCUACAAGUGGUAUGUAGAUGCAAACUCUCUCCCUUGACUCGUUGCUUAGACGAACUCAUAGAUGGAUCUUGGUGAAACCGUAGGAAAAAUUUUAAUUUUCUGCAACGUUCCCCAACACGACCCACCUCGCUUUGUAUCAUUCAAGAGUGCCGUCCGCGCGCAGUUUUUGACAGAAAACCCAUUUUCCCGUGAUGAUAUUUGCGCGUGGAGGUUUAGGCACAAGCUCCCAGGUACGGUUUUCAGUGAGAGCGGCGAACUCCUCUCGCAUGGUGGCGACCCAGUUGGGAUCACGAAGAGCAAUGCGCACUGAGCGCGGAAGGGGGGAGAUCCUCGGUGAAGCGGCGACAGAGGCAACACAAACGUAGUCCGCGGCGUACUUCUUGUUUGGCCGGAACACGCCGGCGCGUGCACGAGUGACGAUCGCUGGCGCGGGAGGAGGUGGAGCAACGGAGCGGCCCGAUCCAUCGGAUGAGGAUCCAACGGAUGCAUGGGAGCCGGACGUGCAUGGGCUGGAGCAGGGAGUGGACGUAGCCCAAGACGCGGGGGAAGUGGGUGAGGGAGGGUUUGAAUGUGGGCCGCAGGAUGGGGAUCUGACGGCGCUGGUCAAUGCAGGUGUGUGCGCGCGAGAGAGAGAGCGGCAGGGCGUGGGCUGACUGAGGUGCGUGGUUAGGGAAGGAUGGGUGGGUACCGGCACGAGGCGUGGGUGAGAGAUCGUGGGAGCUGGUGGCAGUUGCGGUGUGGCAAAGGGGAAGGUGAGUUCGUCAAAACGAACAUGGCAAGAAGUGAGCACGCGAUGAGUGUUGGGGUCGUAGCAGCGAUAACCACGAUGAUCUGGGGGAUAGCCCAAGAAAACACAUGCCAUAGAGCGAGCAUCAAGCUUAUGACGCGCGGUCGAGGUGGUGUUGGGAUAACAUAGGCAGCCGAAAACGCGCAAGGCGGAGUAGUCGGGAGCUACGCCAAGGAGGAGUUCAUGCGGGGUACGCGGCGAGCUAGACGCACAGGGUUUGUAGUUGUGAAGGAGCGUGGCGGUGGCGAGCGCUUCAGCCCAGAAGCGAGGCGGGAGUGAGGUGUGAAAGAGAAGUGCGUGCAUGCUCUCGUUCAGAGUGCGGAGAGCACGCUCGGCAACCCCGUUUUGUUGGCUCGUGUAGGGGCAUGACAGGCAAAGGACUGUGCCGUGGCGAGAGAGGAGGGAGCGAACGGCGAGGUUGUCAAACUCGCGGCCAUUAUCGGUUUGCAAAGCCAGGAUAGGACGCUCAAAUUGAGUGUGAACAUAGGCGUAGAAAGCAGUGAGCACACAAAUCACACCAGACUUGUUUCGAAGAGGAAAGUCCAUACAUAGCGCGUACAACUAUCAAUGAUAACUAGGUAGUAUUCAAAACCAAAAACGCUAACAACUAGAGAAGUCCAAACAUCUAAGUGUAAUAGCUGAAAUGGGAAAUAGCUAGUAGACGUGGAGGCAGCGAACGGCAGGCGUGUGUUCUUGCCGAGGCGACACGCUGAGCAGGAGUGCGGAGUGGAAGGCGCGCAGGUGAACUCGAACUGACCCAGAGCACGACGGAGCACCUCCGUGCCGGGAUGCCCAAGACGGCUGUGCCACAACUCAGCAGACGCGACGCCGACGAAGUAGCUAGCGCACGGGACGGCAGGGUUGCAGCACACCUGGUACAGGUCGCCGAUCGAGUCACACCGAAGGAUCACCAGGCGGGUGCGGAUAUCCUUGACAGAAAACCCAAAGGCGUAAAAUUCCACGGAUACAGGAUUAUCGCGAGUAAGACGACGUACAGAAAGAAGAUUGGUGAUGAUGGAGGGAGAGAGGAGCACAUUGUGGAGCUCGAGAGAGGAGUUGUUGGCGAUGAGCGAGCCACGACCAGUGUGCGUAAUGGGCAUGCAGCCGCCAUUGCCAACAAUAAUAUCACGAGGAGGAAAGGAAGGACGAAGGGAGUGGAGAGUACCAGGGUUGGAGGUCAUGUGCGAUGAGGCGUCCGAAUCCAUGUACCAGUCAGAGGUGCUGGCCGGUGGCGGCGGCGAGGACGAGUGCGCGGCCUGAAGUGCAGUCUGGAGGCCACCCAUGUCCCAUGGCUGCUGCGGCGGGGGAGGCGCGCUGCUGGAGCUGGCCCCUGGCGACCCAUAGGUGAACCCGGGGAGGAGCGCAGGAUACCCGACGUAGGCGGCAGGCGCACCACCGACGAAGAGAGCUUGCUGCGUCGGGAAGCCCGGGCGGGGCCCGAGGACGCUGGCCCCUGGCGCACGCCAGGGCAUAGGCCACGCCUGGACCAUGCCAAUCCAGGAGUGGGCGCUCGAGGAGGAGCCUGGUAACGCAGCCGGACGUGGAACGGGCGGAGUCGAGGGUGGUGUAGUCGAGGACGAGCCCCCCGUUGCCCCGACCGCGGCGACGGUUGCGCCCACGCCCGCGACCAGCCCCGCCGUCGGAAGGAGGCAUCGGGGGCGCUGGGCUAACCGGCAGACGCGCCGCGAUGAGAGCAUGGGCGGAUUGCUGACGAGCCGCCUGCUCGGCGCGAUGUUCUUCGAGGAGGAGGAAGGAGUGGGCCUCAAGGAACAUGGGCAGCGGGACACGCGAGGUGAGGUGGGGGAUCGCGGUGUGGUACUGGAGCCCGAGCCCGCGCAGCAUGUUGAACAGUUGCUGCGGCUCGGAGACAGGCUGGCCGAGGUCACGAAGUUGAUCGGCGAAGGACUUGAGGCGAGUGCAGUACUGCAUCACCGUGAGGUCGCCCUGCACCACAGCGUGGUACUCGACAUCGAGAUACACUGCCCAGGAGAGGUUGUUGUCGCGGAAGAUGCCCUCGAUCGCAGCCCAGAGCACGUCGGCGGUGUCGUCGGGCUGCAUCACGGCGUCGAGCAUCUCGGGAGAGACAGUGGAGUAGAGCCAAUGAACGACGCAGUGGUCGACCAUGACCCAUUCGGGAUAGCGACGGCGAGGGGCGGCAGGAGCGACGAGGUGGUCGCGCACACCGAACAUGCCGACGAUGGUGCGGAAGAAGCGUCGCCACUGGGCGUAGUUUCCGGCAUGGAGGUCGAGGGUGACCGAAACGUGAUGCCAGAUGCAGCGGCGCCGGGGGCACGGUGGACAGAGGCGCGCUCGCGGGCUGGGCGGGCGCCAGAGCAGAGGGCGGAGGCGCGCUCGCGGCCAGAGCGGACGCAUCAUCGUCGGAGGUGUCAGGGGUGGCUAGGGGAUUGGUGUCCAUGGCAGCGGAAGGAGAGGACAGAUCGGGCGCAAACGGGUUGGUUGCGGCAGCGUCUGAUACCAUGUUUCAGGGAAGGAGAUCUAACACACUGGUUCCAAUCAUCUGUGGAGAUACAUAUACAGGGGAGCAGCGGGUGCUUGAGCCACGAUGGUGAUCAUGGAGUGACCAUGCUCGAGAGGUGGAGGGACGUGUGUGCGUAAGGGAAAACUGUACACACGUACGCUAUACUAGCCUGAUGUAGAGACUACGUACAAUACUCACACACACAUAUACAUGUAGCUUAACAGCGUCAUCUUGGCCCGCCACGAAACUCCAGCGAGAGAUCCCUCCACGCGAGAAGGAAGAGGCCCGGAUGCUGCCAGUUGCACUUGGGGAUGAGAGCCCGCCACCGCCGUCAGCAAGGCGGCCCUUGACCGGCGGCAUCCUUCAGCGGUAGUGAGGGGAACAAGGGCGGAGGAGAGGGAGGUGGCAGCUCUAGGGAUCCGCCCGAGCCACCCCGCGUGGGAGCGACGCGGGGGUCACACCCACACGAUGUAUAUAAUGGAAGGAAAGGAAAAAGAAUAUGACCAACCAUCUUCUCAAUGCCAGCUAGUUUUGCAUGUAAAGCCUCCAUGGCAAUAAAAUGGCGCAGGUUAACAAGCUUGUUGCCUUUCGGCAAAUUUGUACUUGUUAAAUUGUGAUCGAAAUUCUAACGUAUUGGACUAGACGUAGUACAUGCGGUGUAAGCCUUUUCGUUGGUACCGAUGCAUACGAGUACAACUCGUUUACUUGUCCUCAAGGACUCUUAUUUAUUGCUCUCAUAUAUACUCCAUGUAGUCUCACCUAAAGACUGUCUGUCGUCUCGUGCUUGUAAUACUCCUCCAUCAUAGUGAUGCUCUUGUCGUCUCGUGCGUCCGUGAUUUCUCCCGUAAGGGUUUUCAUGUAAAAAUCCGUGUGCUCUCGUGUCUCGUUUAUCUCGUUUUAUCUAACAAGUGGUAUACACGAAGUAGCACAUACGAGAUUUGAGACGAAAGAAUUAGGGUUGCGGUCUGGUCCGCCGCCGCCGACCUGCAAUUCGACAAAUCGCAGGUUUUGCCGAGAGUGCCGACAGGAGUUCAGUCGACCGGGUCAAGUUCGGAUAUUCCUCUGCGUAUCCGAGAUCGAUCGCUGCUAGCUGUACGAGCUGCAGCCGCAUGUCGCCGGGACCGACAGGGUUUCCAUCGCGCGCCGCUUCGAAAGCAUGGCCACGUCUUCCCGUCCAUAGCAGCCUUGCUUCAAGUCCCGACGAAUCGGCUCAAGUUCAACUGUACAUCACGUGAAGACAAGUACCGCACUAUCUCUUGGAUUUUUUACUACGUGAAGCUUAUCCUGAUUCACUAGUACUAGAGUACAAGUUCAGAUUCUGUUUUUCUGUCUUCGACUGCCACGUCCACCCGAAGCUACCAGGUGCUACUGUUUUUUGUUUCGUUUGAUCCCCAUAUUAAAUUAUGUCAAGAAUUUUCUACCGGCUUAUACUACUUGUGUACACAGAUUUAAUCAACUCAUGGCAUCGAUGAAGUAUGAUGUUCCGCUGCUGGAUCAUGACACAAGGUUUACCUUAUGGCAAGUCAAGAUGCGGGCGUUGUUGGCAUGUGCUGACUAUGAUGAAGCAUUGGACAGUUUUGGAAAGAAUCGGACUCAAGACUGGACUAUGCGGAGAAAAGAAUAGAUCGUAAGGCUUUGUCACAAAUUCAACUCCAUUUGCAUAACAUAAUAUUUCACAGAAAGUUUUGAGCAAAAAAACUGCCGCUGUUCUAUGGUUAAAGCUGGAAGGGAUUUGCAUGACUAAAGAUUUCACCAACAAGAUGCAUUUGAAGCAAAAAUUAUUCCUGCACAGGCUAUCCGAGGGGGGUAAUGUUUUGAAUCAUAUUUUAGAAUUUAAAGAGAUUAUAUCUGAUCUAUCUGCAAUGGAGGUUAAGUAUGAAGAGGAAGAUACUGCUUUAAUGUUACUCUUUUCACUGCCAAGUUCUUAUACCAAUUUUAGAGACACCAUAUUAUACAAUUGUAAUACUCUCACACUUAAUGAAGUUUAUGAAGCUUUGAACUCCAAGGAAAAGAUGAAAUUAAUGGUGCCUCAUGAUGGUUCAAGUUCAUCCCAAGCAGAGGGAUUAUCUGUUCGUGGCAGGACAAAGGAGAAGAACUCCAAUAAUGGAAAUAGAGGCAAAAGUAAAAAUGGCUACAGGGGCCGGUCGCAAUCCAGAGACAAGAAAUAUUGCAGAUAUUGCAAGAGAGACGGGCAUUACAUUUCAGAGUGUUACAAGUUGCAGAACAAAGAAAAGAAGAAAGGUAACAAACAAGGUGAAAAUUCUUCUAACGUUGCUCGUGAUGAUAGUUCCGAUGAUGCUCUUGUCGUUAUUGCUUGAUGUGCUGAGACCAAUGAUGAGUGGGUACUUGACACUACAUGCACUUUUCAUAUGUGCCCGCAUAGAGAUUGGUUUACUACUUUUGAUUCCACUUCUGCUGCUGGUUCUGUUUUGGAUUUUGGUAAUUCACCAUGCAAGAUUGAAGGCAUAGGUUCCGUUCGAAUCAAGAUGUUUGAUGGCACAAUCAAAACUUUGACAGAUGUUCGGUAUAUUUCGAAGAUGAAGAGAAAUCUUAUCUCUAUGAGUGCCCUUGAUACAAAAGGUUACAAGCAGGUGGAGAUAGUGUUUUGAAGGUCACCAAAGGUUCCCUUAUUGUGAUGAAAGGUGACUUAAGUUCGACCAAUGGUCUUUAUUACCUUCGAGGUUCUACCGUUUCAGGUAAUGCUACUCUAGUUAUUUCAAAGAAUUCUGAUUGUGAUGCUGCUAACCUUUGGCAUAUGCGUCUUGGACAUAUGAGUGAACUUGGUUUAGCAGAGUUAAAUAAGAGAGGUCUUCUUGAUGGAUAUGAACCUGGUAAAUUGAAAUUUUGUGAGCAUUGCGUCUUCGGCAAGCAUGAGAGGGUGAAGUUCAACACUUCGACUCAUACAACCAAAGGUAUUCUUGAUUAUGUUCAUUCUGAUUUAUGAGGAACAUCUCGCAGAAAGUCACUUGGUGGUGCUAGUUACAUGCUGACUAUUAUUGAUGAUUAUACGAGAAAAGUUUUGUCUUAUUUCUUGAAGCGUAAAUAUGAAGCAUUCUUGACAUAUAAGGAGUGAAAGAUUAUGAUUGAGAGACAAGCUGAAAACAAGGUAAAGAUACUUCGCACUGAUAAUGGUAUCGAAUUCUGUUGUAAGCAAUUUUAAAAUUAUUGCAAGUCUGAAGGCAUUCUCAGACACUGCAUCAUUCCUUAUACACUUCAACAAAAUGAGGUUGCUGAGCGUAUGAACAGGACCAUUAUUUUCAGAGCCUGUCGCAUGUUGUCCAAUGCAGGUUUGCAUAGGCAUUUUUGGGCUGAGGCCGCUUCCACUGCUUGUUAUCUCAUCAAUCGUUCACCAUCUAUUGCUCUUAAUAAGAAAAACUCCAAUUCAGGUAUGGUCUAGUUCACCUGCUGAUUAUUCACAGUUGAGAGUUUUUGGUUGCACUGCUUAUGCUCAUGUUGAUAAUGAAAAGUUGGAGCCUAGGGCUGUUAAGUGCAUCUUUCUUGGUUGUAAGUCUGGUGUUAAAGGUUUUAAGUUGUGGAAUCCUGAAACCCAGAAGGUUGUUAUUAGCAGAAAUGUUUGAUACGUCUCCAACGUAUCUAUAAUUUUUGAUUGUUCCAUGCUAUUAUAUUAUGUGUUUUGGAUGUUUAAUGGGCUUUACUAUACACUUUUAUAUUAUUUUUGGGACUAACCUAUUAACCGGAGGCCAGUCCAAAUUGCUGUUUUUUUGCCUACUUUAGUGUUUCGCAGAAAAGGAAUAUCAAACGGAGUCCAAACGGAAUGAAACCUCUGGGAGAGUUAUUUUUGGAACAAACGCAAUCCAGGAGAAUUGGAGUGGACGUCAAGAAAGAAACAAGGAAGCCAUGAGGUAGGGAGGCGCGCCCAGGGAGGGUAGGCGCGCCCCCCACCCUCAUGGGCCCCUCGUGGCUCCCCUGACCGACUUCCUUCGCCUAUAUAUACUCAUAUACCCUGAAAACAUCCAGGAGCACCACAAAACCCUAUUUCCACCACCGCAACCUUCUGUACCCAUGAGAUCCCAUCUUGGGGCCUUUUCCGGCGCUCCACCGGAGGGGGAAUCGAUCAUGGAGGGCUUCUACAUCAACACCAUAGCCUCUUCGAUGAAGUGUGAGUAGUUUACCACAGACCUUCGGGUCCAUAGUUAUUAGCUAGAUGACUUCUUCUCUCUCUUUGGAUCUCAAUACAAAGUUCUCCUUGAUCUUCUUGGAGAUCUAUUCGAUGUAAUUCUUUUUGCGGUGUGUUUGUCGAGAUCCGAUGAAUUGUGGGUUUAUGAUCAAGAUUAUCUAUGAACAAUAUUUGAAUCUCCUCUAAAUUCUUUUAUGUAUGAUUGGUUAUCUUUGCAAGUCUCUUCGAAUUAUCAGUUUGGUUUGGCCUACUAGAUUGAUCUUUCUUGCAAUGGGAGAAGUGCUUAGCUUUGGGUUCAAUCUUGCGGUGUCCUUUCCCAGUGACAGCAGGGGCAGCAAGGCACGUAUUGUAUUGUUGCCAUCGAGGAUAAAAAGAUGGGGUUUAUAUCAUAUUGCUUGAGUUUAUCCCUCUACAUCAUGUCAUCUUGCCUAAUGCGUUACUCUGUUCUUAUGAACUUAAUACUCUAGAUGCAUGCUGGAUAGCUGUCGAUGUGUGGAGUAAUAGUAGUAGAUGUAGAAUCGUUUCGGUCUACUUGUCACGGACAUGUUGCCUAUAUACAUGAUCAUGCCUAGAUAUUCUCAUAACUAUGUGAAAUCACAAGUGCUCCCUGGGUGAUUUUGGUAAUUAAUGUCAACAUAUCUCUUGUUGGACUAACACUUCUGAUGCGGAGCAUCCCUCGACCAUCCCCAUGGAUGUCACACCGCCACCACAAGCAUGGAGAGGACCUACGACGAGAGCUCAUGAACGCGACGUCGGAACCGAGGUGAACUCUUUCCUCUUUGAGUUUCAUUCGGAUUCCCACGAGAGUCGGGUUCUACCUCAAAUGGAUACAUCGUGCAUUCUUAGGUACUUGGGAGAUCGUCACGGGGAAGCACGGAGGCAACACCAAGUUCACCCGGAGACGCAAGAAGGAAGGAGAAGGAAGAUGGGCACGAAGGAGUGGAGCCACUAGACACCUCGGGUGCCCGCCCCUGCGUCCGCGGGUGCCCGGCCGCCGGCUGUGCUGGGCCUGGUUGCCCCGGGUGCCAGGCCAGGAGGCCCCGGGUGCCCGGCCGCCCCAGCCUGGGCGCUUCCCGCUGCCCCGGGUGCCCGGCCAACUGGCCCCGGGUGCCCGGUCCCUCCUGCUGGCGCUGCUGCCUUCCACCCCGGGUGCCUGGCCCAUGCCCCCAGCCGCCUAGCGCGCCCCCGGGUGCCCGGGCCAUCUGCAGCCGGCCCUGUCCAACCCGGGUGCCUGGCCCUUCGGCCCCGGGUGCCCGGCCACCUACAGCCGCACCACCUCCGGGUGCCCGGGCCUCUUUGCAUCGGGUGCCCGGACCACUCCGAGGGCCUUCCUGCCUUGUUGGGCUUUUGCCCAGUUACCCAUCUCCACCUCUUAUUUCACCCCUAGACUAUAAGUACCCCCCACCUAGCUCAUUUAGAGGGAUGGCAAAGUAUUUGAUAGACAUUUGUGAGCUUUUCUCCAUGGAUCCACUCCACUAGGAGAUCAAGACCUCCUCUUGGAGUGACCAAACAUCAAGACCUCCUCCUUGGGGAAGGAUCCCCAUCAUAGGAUCAUCAAGCCCUCAUCUCCUUCAUAGGAUUUGGGAUGAACUCUACCAUGUAUCUUAUUUCCCUUUGAUUGUUCAUGUACCUUGUGGAUCUUGUAUGUUUGUUAGUCUAGUGGAUGUGUGAUUUGGACUUGUUCUUGAGUGUUCCUCUUGUUUUCCCUCUUGUGUUCAUCUUGUUCUUUGGGAUUUCCCCUCCAAUUCGUGAAAGAUCUUCACCUAGGGUUCCACCCUACAACAUCUUGGUAUCAUGAGCCAUGGUUUCUCACAAAAUUGGAGCCCCCAUCUUGUUUUCUAGCCUAAUUUUGUGUGUUCUUCCCCAAUUUCAAAAAUUCCCCACCAAAAAUAGCCCCAAUUUUUUUGUGAUUUGUUGGUUUGAUGAGAUUUUGUUGGAUUUGAUCCGUGGAUUUGCUUGGUUUCAAGUGAAUCUAGCAUCCCCCCAUCCAUCUCCACCUUUCCCUCCACAAAAUCCACCAAUUUCUUGCAUCUUCCCACGAAUUUCCGUCCAAAUCCGACACCCCUGGGCACCCGGACCUCAAACCCCGGGCACCCGGACCUCCCCGCCCACCCCCCUGACCACCCCGGGUGCCUGCACCCCAAACCCCGGGCACCCGCACCCCCGGGCUGUUUGCCUNNNNNNNNNNNNNNNNNNNNNNNNNNNNNNNNNNNNNNNNNNNNNNNNNNNNNNNNNNNNNNNNNNNNNNNNNNNNNNNNNNNNNNNNNNNNNNNNNNNNNNNNNNNNNNNNNNNNNNNNNNNNNNNNNNNNNNNNNNNNNNNNNNNNNNNNNNNNNNNNNNNNNNNNNNNNNNNNNNNNNNNNNNNNNNNNNNNNNNNNNNNNNNNNNNNNNNNNNNNNNNNNNNNNNNNNNNNNNNNNNNNNNNNNNNNNNNNNNNNNNNNNNNNNNNNNNNNNNNNNNNNNNNNNNNNNNNNNNNNNNNNNNNNNNNNNNNNNNNNNNNNNNNNNNNNNNNNNNNNNNNNNNNNNNNNNNNNNNNNNNNNNNAACACCUUUAGGCCAUAACUUUCGCUCCCGGAGUCCGAUUUUGACGUUCUUUAGCUCGUUGAGUAGCUAUUGACAUCCCCCAGCCAUCUAGAUAGGUUCCAACAUCAUUUGAAUCCAUAAAUUGUUUGGCAUUUUGGCAUCUUUGCAUAGGCCAUCCACCAUAUCAUUCGCAAAACCACCAUCGCUUUCCGCCACCGAACCCAUUUUAGUCUCAUAUAGAAUUUGUGGUUGCUUGAGUGGUGACUUGAGUCUCCUAAGGUAUUUCGUCUACUUAGGGACGGUUGCUUUGUCAUCAACCACCACCACCACUUCCGCAUUGCUAACUCCGGAACCACCAACGCAUUUCGCUACCACCAUUUGACAUUUUCCUUGAGAUUUUGAGUUCACGGUUUUUUACCGUUUCCUAAGGUGUUUCGGCUACUUAGGGACGGGUCUACAUCAUCUUGGUAUCUACAUCAAGAACACCGCCACUCAUCAUCGCCACGAGGUCGUCAUCGACAUCGACCACUUCACCAUUUUGACAACCUAACCGUAAGCAAGAACGGUAACCUCCAUAUCACUUUGGUAUCGUGGUAUCCCUUCAUUGUACAUUCUUGCCAUUAAAUUGUUAACCCCUUAGCCCAUUUUGCGUCACUUGCCUAUCGAGACUUGCCAUUUGAGUAUUGCCGACAACGUUACUUGUGCACAUUAGUGAUCCAUACCUUCCAUUGCAUACAUAACAUAUCAUAUUGGUAUCAUCGUGGUAUCAUCAUAUCAUCCCUUGUGUCACAAGAUCGUUCCCGCAUAUACACAUUGCUACUUGGUUUGUGCAUUUCGCAUAAGUGGCCAUAUCAAAAAAAAAAAAGCUUUUAAGCAAAAAGAGAGCAAAGAGCUUGUAAGCAAGAGCCAUAGCAUCGCCACAUUGCAUACCAUACUACCAUAUUGAUCAUCUUGGAUCAUCGUGUGCGAAACACCGGGAACAUCAUACACAUAGCAUACUUGGGAUAGAAAGCUCAUACAUCUUGCAUCUUAUAGGUUGUGCACAAGUGCCAUAUCCGCCUAUUGAGCAAUCGUGCUAGAGUCUCUCUUGAGUUGUGCAACACGACCGUUUUCCGUGGAUUCCACAUUUUGUGCUCAUUCCUUGAUUGCAUGACCCCAUUUAUCUAUCCUUAUGUGUGUUUCUGUGUGCCACAUAUUGCUAUUGGUCUACUUGUUUCACUUGCAAAUUUGUGAAUCUUUUCCAACAUUAUUGACUCUUGCUAACAUUUUGCAUCAAAUUUUGUGCCACUAUCCUCACCGAGCUCCACUAUAAGCUUUACUUGAUAGGUGUGAGUGAACAAGUCCGGUACCAAUUCCACUAUUCUUUCAUCUCACAUUGAGUGAAACGGGAUACAUCCUCAACUUUGGGAAAAGGUAACUUGGUAUUGUUUAUCUCAUUUCCUACUCACCUCUACUCGAGUCUUGUGAUGGAUAGGCAAGGCAUUUCAUCUCCGGUCUUCCACGACAACGACGGCAUGAACAACUACAUCACCAAAAUGCCCAUCUUCGGACUACAACGAGUAACACGAGGCAUUGAGCGACUCACCGCCGACAUUCAUCAACUUGAAGCACGAACAAGAGACUACCUCGACACCAAGUUGGCCGAACAAAGGGAUCAAGUACGAGACAUGAUGGCCAACCACAAGUCUUCUUCCCCUUCGUCAUCUUCAAGGCAGCGGUGCUCAAGUUGCCAAUCUUCGGAACGUCAUCGAGCUCAAGCACUACAACACCAUCAAGAUGAAGAUGCUCGCGAUGCGUACACCUACAAGUCCCAGAAAGCUCUACAUCAAGCUACGGCCAAACGUCAUGAGCACAAGAGAAGACCGCGAGACAAGCACCACCAAGACGGAGCUACGACUACUACCACCACUUCGGCAUCUUCGCCAAGUGUUCUCAAGGCCAUCCACGACGACAAUGACGAGAUGAUCGAGCAUGGGAUUUUCCCUUCGGUCAUGGAGGAGAGUGAUGAUGUGCCAUCUUCGGCCUUCAUCCACGGCGACAAUGACGAGAUGGUUGAGCAUGGGAUUUUCCCUUCGACCACGGCGAUGUAUGAUGACUUGAGUGACUUGUGCCACCAUAUUGAGAGUGAGAGUGACUUCACCACUAGCCCCAUAUAUGACGAGUUGCCCCAAUUCCCAUGUGAGGAGAGCCACCAACACCACCACUUGAGUGAUUUGAGUGACUCCACCAUAUGUGACAUUGUGUGCACCUACCUUGAGGGAGUGAGUGAGCAACCACCACAUAGAGAGCGUGAGGUAGUUGAUAGGGCACGUGAGGCCAUUUCGAUUUCUAACAACUUAACCUCUACCUCUAUUGUGUCUUCUCAUUUGGUGCUAGGUCCCAUAUAUGAUGACGCGCCGAUUCAUGACGACUAUGUCCUCCCUUUGGACAAGACGAUGGCCAUGGUGAACUAUGAUGCACCUCCCACAUGGUUCCAUCACGAUGAUGACGUUGGCCACGCUUUGGUCUUUUGCACCUCACCUACACCACUUGAGUGGAACGAGAAAGGUAACAUAGGUGAAGGUGAUGCUCUUGUCCCACUAGUGGACAUUCUUGACAUUGAUUGCUUGCAUGAUGUUGAUCCACCUAUUUCCAUGCUUCAUGCUAGUGCGAUUACCCCAUACGAUGAUUUGCCCAUUUAUGAUGAGUAUGAUGAUUCUCAUGUGGACUCUAGUAGUUGUGAUGCCAUGUUACAUAGGAUUUCUUGUGACAAUUCUCUAGGUCACAUCAUGUUUGAAAAUCCUCUUGACUUGUCAUAUGCUAUGCAUGAGAACAAAAAUAUGUCAUAUUUGCAAUCUCAUCUUAGUGCCUAUGCAUUUGCCAUCAACAUAAACCCAAUUUGCACAUAUGGCAUAGACGACAAGCCCUUGGUUAUUGGCAUUUGUUUUUCUUGUGAUGAUAUUGGUAUGCUUCCUUUGCAUCAUUUAUCUCAUAUGCCAUGCCAUGACCACCUAGCUUUGGAUAUGCAUUGUUUUGGAUGUUCUCCAUUUUCUCCAUAUGAUGUUUCCACUAUUGCUCAUGAGGACACCCCCAUAGUUUCCUCAUACAUUUUAGGAGAUUUUGAUUCAUCCUAUCCAUUGCAUGAUCUCACUACGUGUGUGCACCAUAUGCUCCCCAUGAAUGAAAAUGCUAUUGUUGUGUCACACACUUGCUAUAAUUUGCGUCCAAAACAUGUUGAACACAAUAACUAUCAUUGCAUGAUGGAUGACAUAUUUCUCUACCAUGCCUCAAAUUUCUUUGAGCGAUGCUUAUCUUGUGCUAACUCACAUGUGCACAUACAUAUCAUGAUGGAUGAUGUGUACAUUUACCACGCGCACAAUUUUUUUGGUUUGUGUUUCUUUUGUGUAGGUACCCAUGAAUACUUGUCAACCUCACAAUCCCAUGAGUUGAAAAAACGAGCUCUAGAGAGCAACGAUGACUUGGGAUCACAUGGAUUGCCUUUCCCACCGCUCUCUUCGCGCACAGACUUCGUGCAUUUCUUCUACAUGGCUCUCACUUGGUUAUGGGUUAUUUACCACUUCUCACUUUAUGCCCAUAUUGCCAUGUUCACUUUGCGUGAUAUGCUCAUUCAUAUGCCUUUGCCAUGCAUUUGUGACCCAUGCUUUGCAUUACACAUGAUGAUUGAUUCUACUACUUGUAUGUGUAUUUGCAAGCUUGGUGGAGAUAUUGCUUGUUAUUGCCAUGUUUGCUAUGUGCCCCAUGCCUACAACGAUACUAUGAUCUUGCUUUGUGUUCGUGCUCGCGAUAUGUCAUGUGCAUUGUCUAUGCCUAUUAUUUGCUCACAUGACAUGAUUGCCAUGAUUUCCUCUAGUGUGUUGCAUCUUCGCUCCACUAGUUCACACGACUUGAUUUUUAUGCUUUCUCAUGUUGCAUCCACUUCUUGGAUUACUUGCUACUAUCACAUGUUUGGUUGCAACAAUGUCAUUCCUUCACAUAUGCCAUGUCCCAUUGAUUGCUACAUGCUUGCCUUGAUUGCCUCACACAUGAUGAACAAUUGCUCUUGCUAUCGUGUUGAGUGCCACUCGAUUUUCACUACACCCUAUGCACAUUAUGCUUGGAUUGUCUUACACUUGACCCAUGUGUUUAGACAUUGCCUUUCAUUUGGCGUUGUGAAUGAUUCUUAUGCUUACCAUAGACCGUUCAUUGAGAGUCUUAUGCAUGCUUGCUAUGACAUUGAGGUAGAUGCUUGUUCACUUGUCCCACAUAUUAGCACCUUUACCUCACCCUUGCAUGAUCGUUUCCAUGAUGCUUCUCCAUAUGAUAAAUUUAUGUGCUUACAUGCUAUGCCACACUCCCUUGUCAAACCAUAUGCUAUGCUUGAUGACAACACUUGUUGGGUGAAGCACCUCUUGAAUGCUUGAUUUUGCUUUAACGCCAACCAUAUUUGUUUUUCCAAGUGCUUGUUAUCUUUGCUCCUUUUGAAGGAAUUACAAGACGGUGCGACAUUGGAGAGUGACCAUUUCGAGCUUCAACGUGACAAGUGCUUGGUGGUUGUCCACUUCCACUCGGCAACGCCUUCUCUUCCCCAUGGUGAUGAAGAUCACGAUCCAUGGACGGAUCUCUCCCAAGGGGAGAGAUGAUGCGGAGCAUCCCUCGACCAUCCCCAUGGAUGUCACACCGCCACCGCAAGCAUGGAGAGGACCUACGACGAGAGCUCACGCACGCGACGUCGGAACCGAGGUGAACUCUUUCCUCUUUGAGUUUCAUUCGGAUUCCCACGAGAGUCGGGUUCUACCUCAAAUGGAUACAUUGUGCAUUCUUAGGUACUUGGGAGAUCGUCACGAGGAAGCACGGAGGGAAACACCAAGUUCACCCGGAGACGCACGGAGGAAGGAGAAGGAAGAUGGGCAGAAGGAGUGGAGCCACUGGACACCCCGGGUGCCCGGCCCCUGCGUCCCCGGGUGCCCGGCCGCAUGCUGUGCCGGGCCUCGCCGCCCCGGGUGCCCGGGCAGCAGGCCUCGGGUGCCCGGCCACCCCAGUCUGGGUGCUUCCCGCCGCCCCGGGUGCCCGGCCCCUCCUGUUGGCGCCGCUGCCUUCCACCCCGGGUGCCCGGGCCUUGCUCCCCCGGGUGCACGGCCCAUGCCCCCAGCUGCCUGGUGCGCCCCUGGGUGCCCGGGCCAUCUACAGCCGGCCCUGUCCAGCCCGGGUGCCCAGCCCUUCGGCUCCGGGUGCCCGGCCACCUACAGUCGCACCACCUCCGGGUGCCCGGGCCUCUUUGCACCGGGUGCCCGGACCACUCUGAGGGCCCGCGUGCCUUGUUGGGCUUUUGCCCAUGUACCCAUCUCCACCUCUUAUUUCACCCCUAGACUAUAAGUACCCCCCACCUAGCUCAUUUAGAGGGAUAGCAAAGUAUUUGAUAGACAUUUGUGAGCUUUGCUCCAUGGAUCCACUCCACUAGGAGAUCAAGACCUCCUCUUGGAGUGACCAAACAUCAAGACCUCCUCCUUGGGGGAAGGAUCCCCAUCAUAGGAUCAUCAAGCCCUCAUCUCCUUCAUAGGAUUUGGGAUGAACUCUACCAUGUAUCUUAUUUCCCUUUGAUUGUUCAUGUACCUUGUGGAUCUUGUGUGUUUGUUAGUCUAGUGGAUGUGUGAUUUGGACUUUUUCUUGAGUGUUCCUCUUGUUUUCCCUCUUGUGUUCAUCUUGUUCUUGGGGAUUCCCCCUCCAAUUCGUGAAAGAUCUUCACCUAGGGUUCCACCCUACAACAACUUCUACCUAGUAUGUUUCAAACAAGUUCAACAAUGGAGUGGCAUGGACUAAAGGAUGUGGAACCCCUUCAAGAUGCUAAGGACAAAGGAUUGGCUCAAGCUCCAAGAACAAGACUCUACAUUUUGUAUUUUAGUGAUCCAAGAUCACAUUGAGUCUAUAGGAAAAGCCAAUACAAUCAAGAGGGGAUGAGGUGUUGCUUAAUGGCCUGCUUGCUCAAAGUACUUAGUGAUAUUCUCCAAAGCCCUCAACUACUUUCUCACAUCCACAUAUUUCCUAAACCAAACGUCUAACUCGGUCCUACCGAUUCUUUCCAUCCGGCGCCACCGAGUUCAGAUGUCUUAGCCACUGCCACAAACCCUAGGCAAAUCGAUCUCACCGAUAGGGAUCUUGGUCUCACCAAGAUGGGAUUGUAAUCUCUCUGUGUAUGUCCAUUACCAAAAUCGGUCUCACCGAGUUUGAGUAAUUGGUACUACCGAGAUUACAAUGCAAACUCUCUGGUUAACUUAUUACCAAAAUCGGUCCCACCGAGUUUGUGUAAUCGGUCUCACCGAGUUUGUCUGACCAACUCUCUGGUCAGCUUAUUACCAAAAUCAGUCCCACCGAGUUUGUGUAAUCGGUAUCACCGAGAUUACAUUAACCCCUAACCCUAAUCAUAUCGGUCCUACCAAGUUGCAUGUCGGUCCCACCGAAAAUCCUAACGGUCACUAGAUUUGCUGAAUCGGUCUGACCGAGUUUAUCAAUUCGGUUCCACCGAGUUUGGCAAGUUGUGUGUAACGGUUAGAUUUUGUGUGGAGGCUAUAUAUACCCCUCCACCCACUCUUCAUUCGUGGAGAGAGCCAUCAGAACGAACCUACACUUCCAGCAUACAUUUUCUGAGAGAGAACCACCUACUCAUGUGUUGAGGCUAAGAUAUUCCAUUCCUACCAUAUGAAUCUUGAUCUCUAGCCUUCCCCAAGUUGCUUUCCACUCAAAUCCUCUUUCCACCAAAUCCAAAUCCUAUGAGAGAGAGUUGAGUGUUGGGGAGACUAUAAUUUGAAGAACAAGAGCAAGGAGUUCAUCAUCAACACACCAUUUGUUACUUCUUGGAGAGUGGUGUCUCCUAGAUUGGCUAGGUGUCACUUGGGAGCCUCCGACAAGAUUGUGGAGUUGAACCAAGGAGUUUGUAAGGGCAAGGAGAUCGCCUACUUUGUGAAGAUCUACCGCUAGUCAGGCAAGUCCUUCGUGGGUGACGACCAUGGUGGGAUAGACAAGGUUGCUUCUUCAUAGACCCUUCGUGGGUGGAGCCCUCCAUGGACUCGCGCAACCGUUACCCUUCGUGGGUUGAAGUCUCCAUCAACGUGGAUGUACGAUAGCACCACCUAUCGGAACCACGACAAAAACAUCCGUGUCUCCAAUUGCAUUUGAACUCUCCAAACCCUUCCCUUUAUAUUCUUGCAAGUUGCAUGCUUUACUUUCCGCUGCUCAUAUACUCUUUGCAUGCUUGCUUGAUAUGUAUUGUGAGUGUUAAACUUGUGCCAAAACUCCACCUAAACUUAAAGAAGUUAAAAACCGCAACUUUUGGUACUUAGUGUCUAAUCACCCCGCUCUAGACACCUCUUGUCGAUCCUUUCAAUUGGUAUCAGAGCUUUGGUCUCCAUUGCUUUGGUUUAAACACCAUUGGAGGAAGAUGGAUGAGUCUACAAUUGGGAGUCUUAGACAUAGAGUGCCUAUACUUGAUGGAGAGUACUUUCAUGAGUGAAAAAAUGAGAUGCUUGUGAUUUUCAAUCAAUAUCAUUUGAACAAGUACAUUGCUAGCCCUUGUGCACCUCAUGUUGAUCCUAUGCAUCCUACUCUUGAUGAGUCAAUUGACAUGAUUCACAAUCUUAGAACUAUUGAACUUAUCAUUAGAGGCUUGCCUAGAAACUUGGUUGGAUGUUUGCCUACUCUUAAGUGUGCCUACACCAUAUGGAAAUUUCUUGAGGAACGUUUUCCAAAUUAUUCCUUGAAAAACCUUGAUGAAAUUCUCCAUAAGUCUAUUGCAUUGAGUAAGAUGAAUUCUAGUGAUCCUAUGUUUGGUGAUUGUCUAUUUGAGCUUACAAACCUUAUGCGUGCCAAAGGAGAUGUUGGAAUUAUUAGUGAUAUUAUUUCCGAAGCUAUAAAACUACAUAAGCAAGAGCAUUGUCAAACUCACUCUAAUGAAUCACCCUCUCUAGGAUUUGAUCCACCACAUGACGAUGUUGAACAUGGAUACUAUGAUGAGGAUGAUGAUAGUGACUUCUAUCUUGGUGAUGCAAUGAGACACUUUGGUCUUAUGGCAAAUCUUCGGGGAUAUAUGGCAGGAGGAAAGGAAUGGGUUCUUGAUAGUGGAUGUACCGAUCACAUAACCGGAGAUAAAGAUAUGUUUCGUGAGCUUGCUGAAAACGAUGGUCCACGAAAGUAUGUCACUUUCGAUGACAACUCAAAGGGUAAGGUGGUUGGCCUCGGUAAGGUGGCCAUAUCACAUGAUAGCUCCAUACAAAAUGUCAUGCUCGUUGAAUCUUUUGGCUACAACUUACUUUCAGUAUCUAGACUUGCUGAUUUCGGUUUCAAUGUCCUAUUUGCUGAAGUAGAUUGCCAAGUGUUUCGUAGAGAUAAUCAUAAAAUGGUCUUUAUCAGUGUACGUAGAGGUGAUCUAUACAUUGUUGAUUUCACUAAAAAGGCUCAACCUAGAACUUGCUUUGUUGCUAAAUCCUCUAAAGGUUGGUUAUGGCAUAGACGAUUGGGUCAUGUUGGCAUGAGAAACCUUGACAAGCUUAUUAAAGGAAAUCAUAUCCUUGGAGUUAAUGCUGUCAUAUUUGAUAAGGAUAGACUUUGCAGCACUUGUCAGGCAGGUAAACAGGUUGGAGGGAGGCAUCCCGUGAAGAACAUCAUGACCACAAGGAGGCCACUCGAGCUACUUCACAUGGACCUUUUUGGUCCCAAUGCCUAAAAAGUCUCGGUGGAAAUUCUUUUGGUCUAGUUAUAGUUGAUGAUUUUUCAAGAUUUACGUGGGUGUUCUUUCUCGAUGAUAAAUCGUAGGUUCAAAAGAUCUUCAAAAACUUCGCUAGGAAGGCCCAAAAUCAAUUUAAAGUGAAGAUCAAGAAGGUUCGCAGCGACAACGGAACGGAGUUCAAGAACGCAAAUGUGGACACCUUUCUUGACGAAGAAGGUAUUUCACAUGAGUUCUCGGCUACGUACACACCUCAACAAAAUGGAGUUGUUGAGAGGAAGAACCGGACGCUCAUCGAAAUGGCAACAAUGAUGCUUGAUGAGUAUAAGACGCUGAAGCACUUUUGGGCGGAAGCAGUUGAGACAGCUUGUCAUGCAACAAAUCGCUUGUAUCUUCACAAGCUACUCGACAAGAUGGCAUACGAGCUUCUCACCGAUAACAAACCCCAAGUUGGAUACUUUCGAGUAUUUGGCUCAAAGUGCUACAUUCUUGAUAAGCAUUGUCGUUCUAAAUUUGCUCCUAAGUCUCACGAAGGUUUCCUACUUGGCAAACUCUCACACAUACCAUGUCUACAACAAUUUCACCCGAAAGGUUGAAGAAACGGUAGAUGUGAAGUUUGAUCAAUCUAACGGCUCGCAAGUAGAGCAAUUGCCAAUUGAUGUAGGAGACAAAGAUCCCUCGAAAGCAAUCCAAGACUUGUCUAUUGGCAAGAUUCGUCCAACGGAGGUGAAGGAGAGUACCUCGUCCGUCCAAGUGGAAGCUUCUACCUCACAACAAGGUGAACCAAGAGUUGAUACGGAAGCAUCCACAAGUGGGACACACCAAGAUGAAGAAAACGAGGAAGUGCACCAAGACGAAUGUCAAUGACCCCCUUCUCCACCACGACAAGAGAACGACAACGCCAACAAUGAAGAAGGCCAAGAAGAAGAACAAGAUGAACAAGAUGUUCAACCAAGACCCAAGAAAAGGCUUUCACGAGUUCGAGCAAGAAUUGCUAAAGACCAUCCCGUCGAGCAAAUCUACAAUGAUAUCCAAACCGGGAGAAUCACUCGCUCUAAAACUCGUUUAGCUAACUUUUGUGAACACUAUUCAUUCAUCUCUAGGAUUGAACCUAUGAAGGUUGAAGAAGCAUUGGAAGAUCCGGAUUGGAUAAACACCAUGCAUGAAGAACUACUAGAAAAAGGGCUAUAGAUCGGAUUGACACUAAUGGUGCACCAGACAAGUGGUGCGCCAUUAGUAUAUACUAAUGGCGCACCACCUUCUGAUGCGCCAUUAGAGUUGAAACUACUAAUGGCGCACCUUGCCCACGGUGCGCCAUUAGUAUCAAUUUUUUUUUGAACUAGUGCGCCUGUCCAAACAUACUAAUGGCGCAUCCACAGGAAGUGCGCCAUUACUAGUUGUAACUAGUAAUGGCGCACCAGCCAGAAAGUGCGCCACUAAUGUUAUUUUUUUUAUUAUUUUUUUAUUCCUUUUUUUGCAAAACUACUAAUGGCGCACUCACACGCGGUGCGCCAUUACUAGUUUAAACUAGUAAUGGCGCACCGUGGGGGAGUGCGCCAUUAGUAUGUUUUUUUUCAAAACUACUAAUGGCGCACCACCAGGGGGUGCGCCAUUAGUAACCUGGAUUACUAAUGGCACAUUUGUGGUUGGUGCGCCAUUAGUAAGUGGGCAGCAACAAGAUAUUUUGGACAACCUCUCCUCCCACACUCACUUUCUCCCCACUUCAUUCUCUCCACCGCCUCCUCCUUGUCUCGGGUGCCUCCUCUUUUUCACCUCAUUUCCACCAUAGAUUCAUUCAAAUUAAGUGGUUAAGUUACCUUUUUUUGCUAGGUAAGUAAGGGGGGAAGCUAUAUUUAUGUUGUUCUCCCUACAACAAUGUGCACAUGCACUUUUUAUGGCCUAGCUAGAUCUAUGUACGUUCGUGGUGUUGCAUAUGUUUGUGGUGUUGCAUAUGUGUUUGUGUUUGGAGGUGUACCGGUAUUUGAAAUGCGAUAGUUGCCAAUAUUUUGCCGGAAUGUUGAUUCAUUUCCGUUUUGGCGAGAAUUUUGGCAUUAAGCAUUCUUUUUGGUCCUAUUUUUAGGGAAAGUCAUGCCAAAUUUUUUCUUGGUUCUAAAAUAUCGUUUUGCUCUACCCCGCAGGCGACCAUGGUCCGCACGAUGACCGAAGGCAUCAUGAAUAGGUUUUUGAGGUCCGCGAAGGACGAGAUGCUUCAAAAGAACGAGACGGAGAUAAGAUGUCCGUGUCGAAGAUGCAAGCUGAAUAGCCUUAUUGCGGACCCGGAUUCCGGGCAGGUGCGGGACCACCUGCUCUUGCGUGGUUUCAUGGAUGGCUAUCGGUGGCAAGGUGAUGAAGAUGACUACGAAGUCGUCCAUGGGGGCCGGGCAAGAAAUGAGGAAGGGCAGCAAGACAACCACCGCGGCUCGGGUGGGCGAGAAGACGAAGAAUCCCCAGGAGAUGAUCACGAUGGUGAUGCUGUACACAGUCAUCAUGUAGAAGAUGCAGGACAUGAUGAUGAUGCCGGCGGAGCAGACGACGCUGGACCAUCGAUGGGCUGGGUGCAGGACCCUCAUAUUCAAGAGCUGCUUCUCAAGCAGACGGAUAACACAAGAGCUGCCGCCCGAGAGAAAGCCAAGAUGGAUCAACUUGAGUUAGACGCGGUUACUCCAUUGUAUGAAGGAUGCAGGCCCGAGGAUACCCGCCUGAAAGUAACGCUCAUGGCUCUGGAGAUGAAGGUAAAACACAAAAUGACCGAUGCAUGCUUCGACGAGAACAUGUCAUUCUGGCACGAACGUCUUCCCAAGGGGAACAAGUGCCCGACCAGUUUGGAGGAGGCAAAGAAAAUUGUGUGUCCUCUGGAUUUACCGCACGUGAAAUACCAUGUGUGCAUGAACAAUUGCAUCAUUUAUCGGGACGAGCAUGCGGAGUCUACCAUAUGUCCGGUGUGCGGUGUCACUCGAUACAAGAAGAGGAAGAAAGCUCCUCGAAAAGGGGUGUGGUACUUUCCGAUCACUCCUCGUCUGCAGCGGUAUUUCAGGGACCCUAAGGUAGCAAAGCUCCUGCGUUGGCACGUGGAUAGGGAGGAGAAGAAGCGAGAAGAUGACGCAAAUGAUCCAGAGAUAGAUAAAAAAGACAAGAUGCUGAGUCACCCUAAGGAUGCGAGCCAGUGGCAAGCGUUGAACUUCGAAUACCCAGAAUUUGGGAACGAUCCAAGGAACAUCGUGCUGGGCGCGAGCACCGAUGGAGUCAAUCCGUUUGGCAGCCAGAGAAGCACACAUAGCACCUGGCCUGUGUUUGUGUGGAUGUACAACCUUCCCCCCUAGUUGUGCAUGAAGAGGAAGUACAUUCACAUGAGUAUGCUAAUUGAAGGGCCGAAACAACCAGGGAACGACAUCAAUCUGUAUCUGGGGCUGCUGAAAGAGGAGCUUGACACGCUGUGGAAAACGCCAGCCAAUACGUGGGACGCCGCAGAGAAAGAAUAUUUCCCUAUGAGAGCCGCACUGCUCACGACGGUGCACGACUAUCUCGGUUACGGAUAUCUUGCGGGGCAGGUAGUCCACGGAUUUUCUGGAUGCGUAAGGUGCAUGGAUGACACAACGUAUCGCCAGCUAGAUAGAGAUCCCGGGUCUUCGAAAACCGUGUUCAUGGGACAUCGAAGGUGGCUUCGCGACGAUGACCCGUGGAGGAAACGCAAGGAUCUGUUCGAUGGUGAAACCGAACCCCGAAAACGCCCGUGUACGAGGAGCAGCGAGGAAACAAGCUGUUGAAAAAUUGGAAAGACUGCCCACUGCCGGGAAAGAAGCAAAAGGCGCCAGAGCCGGGAAAGAAGCGAAAGGCGCCAGAGCCGCUGCUGAAGGUAUGGAAAACGAGGUCUGUUUUCUGGGACUUGCCGUAUUGGAAGAUCCACCGUGUGCCUCACAGCCUUGAUGUCAUGCAUAUCACGAAGAACGUGUGCGAGAGUCUGCUUGGUACCCUGAUCAACAUGCCAGAGAGGACCAAAGAUGGGCCGAAAGCAAGGGCAGACUUGAAAUCAAUGGGCAUCAGGCAGGAGCUUCACGCUAUAUAUGAUGAUGAUGAUGAUGAUGAUGAUGAUGAUGAUGAUGAUGAUGAUGAUGAUGAGGCAAAGCAGGACACAGAAACUCGUCGCAAAGGCAAAAAGGCCAAGAAGACCGGAAAUGACUACCCUCCCGCGUGCUUCACUCUAAGUCAGGAGGAGAUCGAGCAGUUUUUCACUUGCCUCCUAGGAGUAAAACUUCCUUACGGUUACGCGGGGAAGAUAAGCAGAUACCUAGACCCAGCGAAGCAGAAGUUUAGCAGGAUGAAGUCUCACGACUGUCACGUGCUGAUGACGCAGAUACUUCCAGUUGCAAUCCGUGGGAUCAUGGACGCGCACGUCCGUGAAACGCUAUUUGGCCUAUGCAACUUCUUCGACGUCAUCUCUCGGAAGUCGAUUGGCGUGAGGCAACUCAGAAGGCUACAGGAAGAGAUCGUGGUGAUACUAUGCGAGCUUGAGAUGUACUUCCCGCCCGCAUUCUUCGACGUUAUGGUGCAUCUGCUGGUCCAUAUAGUGGAGGAUAUCAUCCAACUCGGGCCGACGUUCCUGCACAGCAUGAUGCUGUUCGAAAGGAUGAAUGGUGUCAUCAAACGAUACGUUCGCAACAUGUCACGUCCAGAAGGAAGCAUAGCCAGGGGCUUUCUGACCGAAGAGUGCAUCUCCUACUGCACGAAUUAUCUAGGCAUCGAGAACCCCGUUGGUCUGCCCGUCAAUAGGCACCUCGGCAGGCUCACUGGAUGGGGUCACCGUGAGGGUCGCCGCGAAAUGCAUGUCGACUUCGAGGGUCGACUCGCCGACUUUGAAAGAGCAAACCUAGUCGCGCUACAACACAUAGACAUGGUCGAUCCUUGGGUGGUAGAGCACAAAACCUUUAUUAAGAAGACGUACAAUGACCGAGGCCAACAGAGGACAGACGGAGAUAUACUCAAAGAGCACAACUCAUGUUUCAUGCGUUGGUUCAAGCAGAAGCUUCUGUCGUACCCUUUACAUGAGGAUUCUUCCGCGGAAGAACAACUCAUAUUCGCCUUGUCACAGGGCGCCGAGCACAACCUGAUGACCUAUGAGGCGUACGAUAUCAACGGCUACACAUUCUACAUCGAGGCCAAGGACAUGAAGAGCGAUGGUUAUCAGAACUCCGGGGUAACGAUGGAAUCCUACACCGGUAACAACAAGGACAGAUACUACAGAAGGAUCGAGGAGAUCUGGGAGCUGAGCUACGCUGGAGAGAAGGUCCCGAUGUUCCGUGUCAGAUGGGCCAAGAACGUCAUAAAAGAAGACCGGUAUUUCACCACCAUGGUUAUACCCGAAGCCAAAUCCAAGACCCCGGGCGCAAACGUCACCGCGAAAAAUGAGCCAUGGGUACUGGCUUCCCAAGUGGACCAAUGCUUCUUCAUUACCGACCCGCCAAAGCCCAGUCGUGUUGUCGUGAGGAGAGGCAAAAGGAAGAUCAUUGGAAUGGAUGGAGUAGCCAAUGAGCAAGACUUCGACAAGUACGGCGACCCGAGGAUCGAACAUGACGACGAUGAUGAAGUAGCAGCAUACACCACAAGAAGAAGCAGGACCACCCUACCUAAAGGACGUCCGUUCCAUAGAAGAACUCCAUUUGCGAAAAAGAAGGGCAAGAAGAUUGUGAACAGAUAGCUAGCUAAGAUCGAUUGUAUUUAAAUCGUAGACUUCAUUUCUCGAUUGUAUUUCAUGGGCACUUUUUGAACUAUCAUGAAUAUUUUUUAAUUUCNNNNNNNNNNNNNNNNNNNNNNNNNNNNNNNNNNNNNNNNNNNNNNNNNNNNNNNNNNNNNNNNNNNNNNNNNNNNNNNNNNNNNNNNNNNNNNNNNNNNNNNNNNNNNNNNNNNNNNNNNNNNNNNNNNNNNNNNNNNNNNNNNNNNNNNNNNNNNNNNNNNNNNNNNNNNNNNNNNNNNNNNNNNNNNNNNNNNNNNNNNNNNNNNNNNNNNNNNNNNNNNNNNNNNNNNNNNNNNNNNNNNNNNNNNNNNNNNNNNNNNNNNNNNNNNNNNNNNNNNNNNNNNNNNNNNNNNNNNNNNNNNNNNNNNNNNNNNNNNNNNNNNNNNNNNNNNNNNNNGCUCCACCGGCAUUACUGUUUGAUGAUAUUUUUUAAAAAAUUAUUACUGUCUUAUAAAAAAAUUAUUACUGUUAUGAUUUUAAAAAGUUUGAACAUAUUAAAACACAAAUAAGUAUCAAACAGCAUUUUAAAUGCAUAAAAAAAUUGUGGAGCCUGGGAAUCGAACCCAGGACCUCCUGGUGUGAGAACUAGCUGCUGACCAAUCGAGCUAGUAGAGAAGACUUGACAUGUAUCAGGUCAGGUGGUAGAUAACUGUUGGCUCGAGCAGAAAUAAAAAAAAUACUAAUGGCGCACCAGGGUGAGGUGCGCCAUUAGCAUGUAUGUACUUAUGGCGCACCGACGGGUGGUGCGCCAUUAGUAUUGUGCCACCCCUAGCUACUUCGUACCGAUCCCCUCUCUCUCCCUCGCCCUCGCCCGCGAUCCCCUUCCCCUAUCUCCUCUCCCGACGCCACCGUUGCCCCGCCCCGACACCACCGUCGCCCCGCCGCCCUCGACGCCACCGUCGCCCCGCCCCGACACCGUCCGUCGCCCCGCCGCCCUCAACGCCACCGUCGCCCCNNNNNNNNNNNNNNNNNNNNNNNNNNNNNNNNNNNNNNNNNNNNNNNNNNNNNNNNNNNNNNNNNNNNNNNNNNNNNNNNNNNNNNNNNNNNNNNNNNNNNNNNNNNNNNNNNNNNNNNNNNNNNNNNNNNNNNNNNNNNNNNNNNNNNNNNNNNNNNNNNNNNNNNNNNNNNNNNNNNNNNNNNNNNNNNNNNNNNNNNNNNNNNNNNNNNNNNNNNNNNNNNNNNNNNNNNNNNNNNNNNNNNNNCGCCCCGCCGCCCCGACACCACCGUCCGUCGCCCCGCCGCCCCGAAGCAAGGUAUGCGACUGGUUCGUCCCCUGUCAUGGCCAGAUUGAUUUUUUUUCGGUAAACUAGGCUAGGGUUCGAUGGAUUAUGGAGAUUCAUGGUGAUUCAUCAGUAAACUAGGCUAGUCCGGUUUCUGAAACUGAAUCCUGUUUGGUUCAUUCAAUAAGGAACGGUGCCAAUGUUUAUCUAUCAGCAUGAACAAGUUAGCUUUCUGUAAAAAUAAAUUGGCUGAGUGAAUAGCCUCCUUUCUACUACUACAGAAGAAGUAACCCAAGUCGCCGAUGCUGUAUGAUCUUGUGAAUGUUACACAACGCAGGUGCUGAACUGACUAAGUUUGGAAUUUGUUUAGUUCUUUCAUAGGUGUCAGGCCUCAGAGGUUUUUAUUAGGGGACUCAAGAGGUUUACUUCUGAUGUUAUUCUUUUGAGUAGUUGCAGCAUGCUCACCAAUAGCUGGUCCAAACAGGAUCUAUAGAGGUAGAUAGAGUUUACAAUCAUCCUGAUGAAGAUAGAAAAUGACAAAUAUGAAACACAUUGAAAAUGCUCAUAUAGUUGUCAAUUCCAUGAAAAAUGAAGUGUACCCAAAUUAUAGAAUCAAAUACAAUGUUACUUGUGAGAUAUUUGGUACUGAAAUCUUGCAUUGAUGUAGAAUAUGGUCUUCCCUGGUAUUGUAAAUGAUUUUAGAGGUCAUCUCUCUGAAUAUUCAUGGAAUUUUUGGUCCUGCCGUCUAAUUCUGUUAGGCCAGAGUUCCAGUGUCUCAAUACUCUAGAAUAUAGUGAUAUCUGAAAAUUGUGGUAUCUUAUAUCUUCAUGCUAAAAUACUGUAGUUUUUUAAUACUUUGGUUUUUUAGCACUUUACUAUCAAACACAGCCUUAAUGCUUUUAUUUGCUACAUAGAUCUCCUGAUUGGUAGAAAGUAGUGGUACAGUUUAAUUCUGAGAUAGGUCUAUAUAUGCUAGCUUCGUAUUUGUUUGCUAAUGGCUAGGUGCAGAUGCUUCGUAUUUGUUUCUGCUGCCUAGUAAAAUUGCAACAUGUAAACAACCUCUGGUGAUGUGCUCUGGAGUUGAUAAUAUUGCCAUCUUAGGUCACUGCUGAGCUUGUCAAUCCAAAAGUCUGCAAGUAGAAGGCAGCGUUUGAUUAACUUCCGUUCCGGCAUGUGGCUUCAUGUGGGUGUGGGAUCCAUGGGUGUGGGAUCCAUGUGACAUGUGACAUUGCAUCCAUGUCCACCUGGGAUAAUAUUUUGCAGGUACCCCGAGAGGCCCUUGAGUUUGCCGGAAUGUCGAUUAACUUCCGUUCCGGCAAAUUCGGGUACUCCAUAUGUCCUAUUUUCAGCAAAGGUCAUUCUGAAAUUUUCCGUGAAUUUUAGCAUGACUUUGCUAAAAAUAGGACAUAUGGGGUACUUGUGACUAAUGCAUGGGCCGGGGUAUCGUAGUAGUUAAUUAAGUAGGAUCAAGUGCCCCGGCGUACUUGUGACUAAUGCAUGGCUUUUAGGGUGCCUCGGUGUCGAUAAAAACCGAAAUGAUGAAAGCUUAGGCUUUUAGGGUGCCUCGGCGUCGAAAAACCCUCAAUGAUAAAAGCUUAGAUUUUAGGAUGCCUCGGUGUCGACAAACCCUAAAUGAUGAGACCAUGAUCUUGUUCCUUGACAAUAACCAACUUUUUGACCAAACUUUGUUUCUAUUUAGAGAGAAACAUGGCCCACAACGAUGAGGCCGGGGGUUCGGCAUUCUGGGAGCUGUCCCAGGAGAUGGAGGAACAACCUCACUUGUAUGAGGCCGCCGCCUUCCCCACCGAUCCUGAGACCACUGAUGAUGCCGCCGAGGAUGACCCCACUGAUGCCACCACUGAUGGUGCCGCCGAGGAUGCCACCACUGAUGAUGGCGGCGCACGCACAGAUGGCAGCCAACCGAAGAGGCAACGGAAGGACCGGCGCCCGAUCGUGCUCCUCACCCUCAAGGAGGAAGUUACUGAAGUGGACUCCAACGGGAAUCCAACGGCGCCUGAAUGAAUAGUCAAGGGGUACUCGCUUCAGCUCGCGUGCAUUGUCCGGAGCACCGUCUCGAUCAACACCGAGAACCUGAGGCAUCCUGACCGAGGGAAUUUGCGCCACCUCCUCUUCACGAAGCUGCACGAACGAUACAAGUUCCCCGCUGAAUUUGCAAACACAAGCCUCAAAGGGAAUAAAGUGAACAAUGCUGCCCUCACGAAGAUGAGCAAGGCCUUGUCUACUUGGAAAAGCAAUGUGAAGAAAAUGAUCGAGAAAGGUGAGAGUUAUCAGAAGAUCAAGGAGAAAAAAUCCUUCGAUCACCGAAGAUGACUACAACGACUUCAAGAUCAAUUGCUCGAGCCCCGCAAAAUCCCAAUCAAGUGAGUGGGGGAAACAAAUGCGGGAGCUGAACAUAGGGGAACACACACUCGGUCCCGGCGGUUACAGAGUGGCGGAGCCUAUAUGGGACAAGGAGGAGGCGGACCGUGCCGAGCAAGGCCUACCGCCCCUCUUCGAUAAAUACGGUGACAAGCAGACCAGGAACUUUGUCAGGGCCCGGUACAAGAAGGACCCGAAAACAAAGGAGCUUACCAUGGAUCCGAAGACCAGACAGCUUGAGCUUGUUCUGGUAAGGAAUACACCCCCGCGUAAUUAGCUCCAUAUGGUUGCAUUCUAAUUAAUGAAGCCAAAUUUCUAAAUGGUUCACAUUCCUUCCGCAGGCGACUGAAAGCAGUGGCGCGGGGUCGACUAAGAGCAACCCUUGGGACACCACUCUAAAUAGGGCGUUGAAUGUAAUGAAGAAGAAGGAUAAGCUCAGUAAGCCGACGUCAGCUGGUCGUGUGGCCGGCAAAGGCUUGUCGACAAAAUGGGGGUCAUACUAUACCGCUGGUGUGCGGAAGGAGAAAAAGACCAGCUCGGAAAGCCAAGCGCGAGAGGUUCAAGAACUCAAGGCACAGGUGGUGCGGAUUCUGGAGAUUGUCCAAGAGCAAGUGGAACAACGACUCAGAGCAACGAUCACCGCCAUUGUGCCUACCUUGAUCUCGGGGUUGAGUGCGUGGAUUGCGGGCGGCCAACAGGGGCCGCCCCCGAUUCCUAGCUUCACGGCCAGCAACUCGCAUAAUGCGAUGGCGGGGCCAUUGGUGCCUCCGGCGGAGGCGGCAUUGGUGUCUCUGAUGCCGGCACGGGAGCUUAAUGCACCCGGGUGUACGCCGGCCGGCACCUCUGCAGCAAGCGGCCCCUCCGUCAACUGCACGCCCGCCGUUGGCGGUGCGUCAACAUUAGCCGAGCUCGACGCCAUCAUCACAGUAACUAAUUAAGCCUCUCUCGGCCGAGGACUUCAUCUCCUUGCCUUUGACUGGGCAUCCCUGACGCCCUACAUGUUUUCGCAGGGCGCCGCCGACGUUCCGUGCACUCUCCUCCACUUCGUGAACAACGAGUUGGUCGAUCUCGCCAAGGGCAAAAUCGUUCAACCGGGCAACCCCUUGUUCCACGGUACCCAGAUGCCACCCAACUUGUUUAGGGUUCAACUGGUUCGGGUGCUGCCAGGCUGCGACGACUUGUUACCUCCGAUUCGACCCGUCGGGGCCGACGAUGAUGACGUGAUGACCCUCAGCGCCUGACUGAGCUGGCCCCUGCUUUGGCCGAAGAGCUAGAUUCGUUUGGGGGCGGGGGACACCACCCCAAAGACAACACCGCCAGUCAUGCCGGAGCCAAGUCAGCCCCAUGGCAAGACCGCCGCAACGGUGCCGGACAUCCUUAUGCCACUGGAUCCAAACAUGCAUAUGGCACAGGAUCAGAAGAACGACGACGACGACGAUGAUACAUUUGGCAACGUUGAUCAGUACUUUGCUGAUCAUGGGUACGAUGGCGACUUCAUGGGGCCUCCUUCUCAAGAACCAAACCCAACAAAAAGACGUGUGCGAUCUAGCUGGUACCGCGGAGAAGCCAAGUUGCAACAGGCGCCGUCUGGCGUUCAGCUCUCAGGAGACGCCUCCAGCUGCUGACUUCACCGAGCCUCAGAUAGGCGAGGUGCGAAAUAUUAUCAGCCCCAACACACUCAAGAAGGCGGUCUGUGAGCAGAACUCGGUCCCAUUACAGGAGAAGAAGAAGGCACGCAAAAGAAAGACUAAGAAGGGUGCGAGCCAGCCGGCACCGAGUACGAUCCGUGCUCAGGACGGGCCACCUUCACCGCAGGAUAUCUCGAGGAGGGUGCAUGUGGCGGGUAGGGCGAUGCUACCGACAAAUAUGCUCAAUGCUGCAACCGGUGCUAUGCGGAGUCUGCAUGACAGUGUUCUUUCUUUGGAGAAGCGGCGUCUCAGAGAGAAGGAUGUGGCAUACCCGGUUUUCGCGGCCAAGGUGCCAGAGGGCAAGGGCUUUGUGGAUAACUCCAUCGGGCGUACGAUCGUCCUGCGUUUUGAUGACAUCCACGCUAUGUUGAACCUUCAUCCGCUGCACUACACCUUCGUUCGGCUAUUUUCGCUGAGUAUGGAGAUGCGGAUCAUUCGCGACAAGACCCCGGACAUCGUGAUAGUCGACCCCUUCUACAUGCGUGCCAAGAUCUUUGGCAGCGCUGGGGACCGGCAAGUCGCGAGUUCUUACCUCGAAGGCGUCAUUCUGGCAAACCAAGAUAAGGAUAACUUCCUCGUGCCUUACUUUCCCGAGUAAGUCCUCCCCUCAACCGGCCCGUAACAUAUGAAUUCUUACAUUUCGAUCGUUUUUCUUUUAAGAUUCCGUGUUUUCUGCAGUGACACACGUUGCACGCUCAUCCUCCUAAGCCCCAAAUAUUCCAUGGCCACGUAUUUCGACCCGGACCGUCAGUCGAACGUAGACUACACAAAUGUCAAGAAGGUUCUUGAUGAUGUUCUCCCCGGCUACGCCAAAUCUGGAGGCACCUUCACCAAGCCUAUUCGUAAGUACGGCAAGCAUGUGUUCUCCCACAAUACGACGUUCUGCUGCGUCAAGCAGCCGCCUGGCGGUCAGAAGGGUGCCUACUAUGCCAUCCAUCACAUGCGGGCGAUCGUACGGGACCAUCAUCAACUUCUGCUACCGAGUAAACUCAAAGAUUGGGCAAAGAGCGUGUCGGCAAUCCAGGACGCGGACCUCCGACAAGAAUUCUUUCGCAUCCAGUCGGAGUUUGCGGAAAUCAUCCAUCAAGAUGUCCUUCGUACCUCGGGGCAGUUCUACCUCAACAAUCAACCGUCCAACAGUGACAUCGACACAAUGCUACAAAUGCAGGCUGACAACGACUGUUAUUUCAUGACUCCCACGAUAGACGGCGGCUUCAUCCAUGCUCCGGUCCCUUGAGUCGAGUCAAAAGCAGUGAUGCUGUGUCUAGUUCUGAAACAUCGAUUGGCUCAUGUUGUAAUUAAACUUUAAUGAACUUGUAGUAUGUCUCUUUGGUUUCGAGAGUCAUUCAACUUAGAUGUAAUCGAUGCUAUUAAUGUCUUGCUUUUCUCUUCCGAUCGUUCUGUUGCAUACUUAUAUAUUGCUUAUGUAUUGUCUGUGAAUUGGUACUAACGUUUCGUUUGGCUAGUGCAUAGCGAUGCCGACGUAUGUCGUGUACAAGGGUAAGGUUCCCGGAGUCUACGAUGACUGGGAGGAGUGUCGGAGACAGGUUCACCGAUUCAGCGGUAACAGUUACAAAGGGUACACCACUAGGGCCGAGGCCGAAUCUAGAUACGCCCGCUAUCUAGCGGGAGAGGGGAGGGAGCGUUGGAGGAACCGGAUGAAGACGAGUUUCAUCGUGAUGAUGCUCAUCGUGAUGACCGCAUCUCUCUUCUAUGUGAUGGUAGUUUAGAUGAUCGAUAUCGACUUGUAAUGUGAAGACAAACUCGCUACUCGCGGUCUCGGGACUUGUAAUAUAAUGUUCUAUCUUUGUUCGGUCUUUUCAAUUCGGAGACUAAUAUGAUGAAUUGUAUUCGGAGACUAAUAUGAUGAAUUGUAUUCAAAGACUAAUCUUCUAUUGUAUUCGAUGAAUCUGUUGUUGAUGUGUGCUGUCUAUAUUUUGUCAAAUUAUACAUUUUGUAACCUGUGCAAAAAACAGAAAAUAAAAAAUAAAAAAACCUAAUAUUCAUACUAAUGGCGCAUCACAUGACAGUGCGCCAUUAGUAUGACAAAGCAUACUAAUGGCGCAUCACUGGACAGUGCGCCAUUAGUAUGCCGCGGUUACUAAUGGUGCAUCCCGUUGUAGUGCGCCAUUAGUAUGCCAAAGCACCUGGGUAUACAUGGCCCCUGGGAGGCAUACUAAUGGCGCACCCUGGCCUAUACUAAUGGCGCACCAGUGGUGAGCCAUUAGUAUACCAGAUACUAAUGGCGCACCAGUGGUGCGCCAUUAGUAAAAAUUACUAAUGGCGUGCUAGUAAUGGCGCACCACUGAUGCGCCAUUAAUGGCCAAAUUAGGUGCGCCAUUAGUAGGGGUUUUUCUAGUAGUGACAACUUUGAGAGAAAUCAAGUUUGGACAUUGGUUGAGAAGCCCGACAACAACCACAACAUCAUUGGUACCAAAUGGGUGUUUCGCAACAAGCAAGAUGAAGAUGGACAAGUAGUUCGCAACAAAGCACGUCUCGUCGCCCAAGGCUACACAAAAGUCGAAGGUAUGGACUAUGGUGAGACUUAUGCUCCCGUUGCUAGACUUGAGUCCAUUCGCAUCUUACUUGCCUAUGCUAAUCACCAUGAUGUCACCUUAUACCAAAUGGACAUUAAAAGUGCAUCUCUAAAUGGUGAAAUAGAGGAGGAAGUUUAUGUUAAGCAACCUCCCGGCUUUGUUAAUCCUAAGAAACCUGAUCAUGUUUACAAACUUCACAAAGCUCUUUAUGGUCUUAAACAAGCUCCUAGAGCGUGGUAUAAAUGCUUGACCAAAUUCCUUAUUGAAAAAGGCUUUGAAAUUGGAAAAAUUGAUUGUACUAUUUUUACUAAAAGGGUUAAUGGAGAACUACUUGUAUGCCAAAUUUAUGUCGAUGAUAUUAUAUUUGGUUCUACUAACCCUCAUUUUAGUGAAAAGUUUGGGAAGCUAAUGUCGGAGAAGUUUGAGAUGUCUAUGAUGAGUGAACUCAAAUUCUUUCUUGGUUUGCAAAUCAAGCAAACUAAGGAAGGUACCUUUGUCUCUCAAACGAAUUACACCAAGGAAUUAUUCAACAAGUUCAAUAUGCAAGAAUGCAAAGGUAUGACUACACCCAUGCCUACUAGUGGACAUCUUGAUUUUACAAAAGACGGUGAACCGGUCGAUCAAAAAGUUUAUCGCUCUAUGAUUGGUUCAUUAUUAUAUCUAUGUGCUUCACGUCCCGAUAUCAUGCUAAGUGUGUGCAUGUGUGCACGAUAUCAAGCUGCUCCUAAAGAAUGUCAUCUUAAGGCCGUGAAAAGGAUAGUGAGAUAUUUAAUCCAUACACCAAAUUUUGGCAUUGGUAUCCUAAGAGGGCCUCUUUCGAUCUUGUUGGCUACUCCGACUCGGGUUAUGCCGGUGAAAAGGUUGAUAGAAAGUUCACUUCGGGUACUUGUCAAUUUCUUGGUAGAUCUCUUGUGUCUUGGUCUUCCAAGAAACAAAACUCGGUAUCCUUAUCCACCGCUGAAGCAGAAUACAUUGCCGUUGGUUCAUGUUGUGCUCAGUUACUAUGGAUGACCCAAACUCUUAAAGAUUAUGGGAUAUAUGUGAAACAUGUUCCAUUACUUUGUGACAAUGAGAGUGCAAUCAAGAUUGCUCAUAAUCCCGUGCAACACUCUCGAACUAAGCAUAUUGAAGUUCGUCAUCAUUUCAUUCGAGAUCAUGUUGCUAAGGGUGACAUUAAUCUUAAGCAUGUUCGCACCGAAAAGCAAUUAGCGGAUAUAUUCACUAAACCACUUGACGAGAGAGUGUUUUGCAGGUUAAGAGGUGAAUUGAACAUCAUUGAUGCUUCAAACUUGGAGUAGGAGCUCCAUUGGAUACAUGCAAGACAUGAGCUUAUGACUAAUCCUUGAUAUUUCUCUUAUGAUGAAAAUCUUAUGUCUUGGAUAUAUUUGCACCUUGCAUGUUAUCUAACCCUUGUAGGUACUCGGAUGAAUCCAAUUCUAUGAGAUAGCAACUCACUCACAUCUUGAGCAAUCUCUACAUCACCAAGUCCCUACACAAUGGUGGUUGAAGACAAUGAAGCACGGAACCACUCAAACAUAUCCUUUGACAAAUUCUAUGUUGAUCUUCAUGAUUGUCAUUUUGGAUACACAAGUGCUCUUCCUUGCAAAAACUAACCCAUGUAGGUAUAUGAACUCAAAUUCCAAGUGGUGCUCCCAACUCUUGAUGAGCUACAUCAACCUUGAGCAACCCACACAAGUUCAACUACAUGAUCACGAUCAUCACCACCACCCAAGGUAUGUUAUUCCAUCUUAGAGAAGCUUUACUCCAAGACACGAGUCAAAGCAACUCGACAAAGAUGUGAAUACAUCAAGAUGCUUAAACAAAAAAUGGUAACCGAGCUUAAAAGAUGAGUAUGACCUAUGAUCAAGUGAUCUCACUUGACUCCUAAGUCAAUAUACUCUAACACAGGUGACUUUGUCGCCGACCAAUUCUAGAUGAAGUUCUCUCGUGUUCUUUUCCGUGCUCUUGCAUUUGUCUCAUGCAUAUUUGUUUCCCCUUCCAAAAAAAAACCUCAUCUAGAUUUCUUUUCUUUUCCUCUCUUUUCUAUUUGUUCUGCAUUCCCUGCAUCCAAUUCAUUGCAAAUCUUUCUAUUAAUUCCUUGCAAAUCCUUGUGAGAUCUUACUUGACUAGUGAGCUGAGGUGACAAGUGUUUUCUCUGCGAUGAACUCGGUCUCACCGGGUUGACGCUUUCGGUCCAACCGAAUCCUUUUGCUGCAACCGAAGCAUACCACUCGGUGCCACCGAUUUCACCACAGGAAAAACAUUUUGCCACUUAUUCCUGCAUUACUCUUGAUCCAGCUCCACUCAAUGAAUCUUGUCCUCUACAAGCAUCACAUUUUUAUCAGUUCUUUGUGUUGUGACUCAAGGACCAAACCCAUUCACGACAAAUUCCAGAAGGCCCUUCUUGGAAAUUGAUGUCAAAGGGGGAGAGAGAGAUCACAUCAAAGCUUAUCACUUCAACAGGGGGAGAGAGAUAUCCCUAGGGGGAGAGAAUACUCAAGGAGAGAGUAAUCUUCAAGGAUCCCAGAUGCUUGGUGUUCAAGAGGAGAGAUGCCACAUGUCUUCUUGAGGGGAAAGACAUGUUCAUAUGUGCCUAUUUGCAUUAGCUCUGUUCAUUUGCUUCCUUGAGCUCUGAUUUUGCAUUUAGCUCUGGCUUUCUGUUCCCUAUCUUCUCCCAGUAUCCCAUGCUAGAUUCAGGGGGAGCAAGCCAUCUAAGGGAAAGAAAUUAUUUAAAUUCAUUACACAUCUUUACCUUUGGGGACAUGUCUAUGUUCAAUGUGGUACUUAGUACUCACUCUCUACAUGUCAUCCCAAUCUUGGUACUCUUGUGGUUUAUUCUGUUUGCUCUGGCUAGUAGGUGUAUAUGUGUUAUCUAACCUUGUUUCUGCAGGUUCAUUCCAUCCUAAGCCAACUCAAGACCACAAGGUAAGUAUAUGCAUCACAGUCAUGUGUAUGAGGAAUUCUUGCUGAUGUACAUAUUGUUUGCAAGAAGGACUCAUGAGCAUGAAGGUACAUUUCCCACAUACACAUCUGUUGCUAUCUUUUGCUCUGAUGCAUAUGGCCAAGAUACAUGUAACACAUUGCUUACUCUGUCAUGUUUAUGCAUUCAGAUGCUCCUAUAUUCCAUAUUCACAUGAUUGCAUGCAUGUAGGGGGAGCCUAUGCUUGUUACAUGUCUUUCCAAAGCUUUACUUGCUAUUCUCUAUAUCUUUAUCUAAAGCUUUGAUGUAUGUUGUCAUCAAUUACCAAAAAGGGGGAGAUUGAAAGCAUAAGUGCUCCCUGGGUGAUUUUGGUAAUUAAUGUCAACAUAUCUCUUGUUGGACUAACACUUCUACCUAGUAUGUUUCAGACAAGUUCAACAAUGGACUGGCAUGGACUAAAGGAUGUGGAACCCCUUCAACAUGCUAAGGACAAAGGAUUGGCUCAAGCUCCAAGAACAAGACUCUACAUUUUCUAUUUUAGUGAUCCAAGAUCACAUUGAGUCUAUAAGAAAAACCAAUACUAUCAAGAGGGGAUGAGGUGUUGCUUAAUGGCCUGCUUGCUCAAAGUACUUAGUGAUAUGCUCCAAAGCCCUCAACUACUUUCUCACAUCCACAUAUGUCCUAAACCAAAAGUCUAACUCGGCCCUACCGAUUCUUUCCAUCCGGCGCCACCGAGUUCAGAUGUCUUAGCCACUGCCACAGACCCUAGGCAAAUCGGUCUCACCGAUAGGGAUCUCGGUCUCACCGAGAUGGGAUUUUAAUCUCUCUGUGUAUGUCCAUUACCAAAAUCGGUCUCACCGAGUUUGAGUAAUCGGUACUACCAAGAUUACAAUGCAAACUCUCUGGUUAACUUAUUACCAAAAUCGGUCCCACCGAGUUUGUGUAAUCGGUCUCACCGAGUUUGCCUCACCAACUCUCUGGUUAGCUUAUUACCAAAAUCGGUCCCACCGAGUUUUUGUAAUCGGUCUCACCGAGAUUACGUUAAGCCCUAACCCUAAUCAUAUCGGUCCAACCGAAUUGCAUGUCGGUCCCACCGAAAAUCCUAACGGUCACUAGAUUUGCUGAAUCGGUCUGACCGAGUUUAUCAACUCGAUCCCACCGAGUUUGGCAAGUUUUGUGUAAGAGUUAGAUUUUGUGUGGAGGCUAUAUAUACCCCUCCACCCACUCUUCAUUCGUGGAGAGAGCCAUCAGAACAAACCUACACUUCCAGCAUACAUUUUCUGAGAGAGAACCACCUACUCAUGUGUUGAGGCCAAGAUAUUCCAUACCUACCAUAUGAAUCUUGAUCUCUAGCCUUCCCCAAGAUGAUUUCCACUCAAAUCCUCUUUCCACCAAAUCCAAAUCCCAUGAGAGAGAGUUGAGUGUUGGGAAGUCUAUCAUUUGAAGCACAAGAGCAAGGAGUUCAUCAUCAACACACCAUUUGUUACUUCUUGGAGAGUGGUGUCUCCUAGAUUGGCUAGGUGUCACUUGGGAGCCUCCGACAAGAUUGUGGAGUUAAACCAAGGAGUUUGUAAGGGCAAGAAGAUCGCCUACUUUGUGAAGAUCUACCGCUAGUGAGGCAAGUCCUUCGUGGGUGACGGCCAUGGUGGGAUAGACAAGGUUGCUUCUUCGUGGACCCUUCGUGGGUGGAUCCCUCCAUGGACUCGCGCAACCGUUACCCUUCAUGGGUUGAAGUCUCCAUCAACGUGGAUGUACGAUAGCACCACCUAUCGGAACCACGAAAAAAACAUCCGUGUCUCCAAUUGCGUUUGAACUCUCCAAACCCUUUCCUUUAAAUUCUUGCAAGUUGCAUGCUUUACUUUCCGCUGCUCAUAUACUCUUUGCAUGCUUGCUUGAUAUGUAUUGUGAGUGUUAAACGUGUGCCAAAACUCCACCCAAACUUAAAGAAGUUAAAAACCGCAACUUUUGGUACUUAGUGUCUAAUCACCCCCCUCUAGACACCUCUUCUCGAUCCUUUCACUAUGCACUUUUCUAUCAAUUGCUAGACAGUAAUUUGUUCACCCAUCGUAAUACUUACGCUAUCUUGAGAGAAGCCACUAGUGAAACCUAUGGCCCCCGGGUCUAUUUUCCAUCAUAUAAGUUUCUGAUCUAUUUUAUUUUGCAAUCUUUACUUUCCUAUCUAUAUCAUAAAAAUACCAAAAUUGUUUAUCUUAUUAUCUCUAUCAGAUCUCACUUUUGCAAGUGGUCGUGAAGGGAUUGACAACCCCUUUAUCGCGUUGGUUGCAAGGUUCUUAUUUGUUAGUGAAGGUACGAGGGAUUUGAGUGUAGCCUCCUACUGGAUUGAUACCUUGGUUCUCAAAAACUGAGGGAAAUACUUACGCUACUUUGUUGCAUCACCCUUUCCUCUUCAAGGGAAAACCAACGCAUGCUCAAGAGGUAGCAAGAAGGAUUUCUGACGCCGUUGCUGGGGAGUCUACGCACAAGUCAAGAAAUACCAAGUACCCAUCACAAACUCUUAUCCCUUGCAUUACAUUAUUUGCCAUUUUCCUCCCUUUUUCCUCUCCCCCACUUCACCCUUGCCAUUUUAUUCGCCCUUCUUCUGUUCGUCUUUUCGUUUGCUUUGAUGUCUUACUUGGCUCGUUUGCUCGUUUGGUUGGAAUAGUUGUUUAUUUAUUGCUAAACAGAGAACCUAGGAUCUAUGGAUCCUCAUCCGCUUGCCAAUCUUUUUAAGAGAUCCAAUUAUGAUGAACCAAAUUCUAGUGAUUUGAGUGCACUAGAUUAUCUUUAUGAGGUUUUGCUUGAAAUUCGUGAAUCUGAAAAUUGUGAUGAAGAAAUUUAUGAAGAGAUUCAUGAUAGCUCCUUGAAUAAAAAGCAUGAUUGCAAUGAUUUUAUUUUAAAUUCUCUUGAUGUCAAUUGUGCUAAUAAUAUCCAAAACCCUAAGCUUGGGGAUGCUAGUUUUGCUAUGUCUACUACUUGUUGGAAUGAUCAUGAUUGGGGUGACCCUUCUUAUGAUCUUGAAAAUUUAUUUAAGACCCAUGAUGAAUAUGAGAUUGAUAAUAGUGUUUGCAAUAAUAUUGAAAGUGGGUUUGGAAGAGUGUCAACUUUAGAUCCCACAUAUUUGGAGAAUGUUCAAUCUUAUGGUAUUUUUGAUAAAAGUGGGUUUGGAGAGGUCAUGACUUUAGUUAAUGAUAAUCCCACUAUUUUGGAAGUGUGUCAACUUCACAUGCAUGUGGAUCAUGUUGAGAAUAUGUUAUGUGAUAGCUAUUUUGUUGAAUUUGCCUAUGAUCCUACAUGUAAUUAUUAUGAGAGUGGAAAAUAUGGUCGUAGAAAUUUUUAUCUUACUAAAUUACCUCUCGUCAUGUUGAGAUUACUAUCGUCUCUUUCUUCUUCCUUGCAUGUGCUAGUUUUUUCUUGCCUUGCAAAUUUGUUUGCCUAUAAUAUGCCUAUGCAUAGGAAGUAUGUUAGACUUAGAUGUGUUUGUCACGUGUUUCAUGAUGCUCUCUUUGUGCUUCAAUUCUUGUCUUUCAUGUGAGCAUCAUUAAAAUUAUCAAUGCCUAGCUAAAAGGCUUUAAAGAAAAGCGCUUGUCGGGAGACAACCCAAUAUUUUUCCUUGCUGUUAUUCAAUAAAUAAUUCAUCUAGAUUCUGUUUAGAUGUGGUUUUAUGUUUUAAUUAGUGUUUGAUCUUGCUGAAAAACAGAAACUUUUGCAUGCACGAGAAUAAUUUUAAUAAAUCACAGAAACGUGCUUUUCAGUUGAUUCUUUUCGCAGAAAAUUAAAAGACAAAUUGCCUAGGACUUACUAUUUUGGUAGAAGCUUUGGGGUUCCAGAAGUAUUCGGAAGUUACAGAUUGCUACAGACUGUUCUGUUUUUUGACAGAUUCUGUUUUUCGUGUGUUGUUUGCUUAUUUUGAUGAAUCUAUGGCUAGUAUCGGGGGGUAUGAACCAUAUAGAAGUUGGAAUACAGUAGGUUUAACACCAAUAUAAAUAAAGAAUGAGUUCAUUACAGUACCUUAAAGUGGUGGUUUGUUUUCUUAUACUAACGGAGCUUACGAGUUUUCUGUUGAGUUUUGUGUUGUGAAGUUUUCAAGUUUUGGGUAAAGAUUUGAUGGAUUAUGGAAUAAGGAGUGUCAAGAGCCUAAGCUUGGGGAUGAACAAGGCACCCCAAGGUAAAAUUCAAGGACAACCAAAAGCCUAAGCUUGGGGAUGCCCCGGAAGGCAUCCCCUCUUUCGUCUUCGUCCAUCGGUAACUUUACUUGAUGCUAUAUUUUUAGUCACCACAUGAUACGUGUUUUGCUUGGAGCGUCUUGUAUGAUAUAAGUCUUUUCUUUUUAGUUACCACAAUCACUCUUGAUGUACACACCCUUUGGGAGAGACACAAAUGAAUUGGAAUUUAUUAGAAUAUUCUAUGUGCUUCACUUAUAUCUUUUGAGCUAGACAAUUUUGCUCUAGUACUUCACUUAUAUCUUUUUAGAGCACGGUGGUGGUUUUAUUGUUUAGAAAUUAUUGAUCUCUCAUGCUUCACUUAUAUUAUUUUUAGAGUCUUUUAGAACAGCAUGGUAUUUGCUUUGGUUAUAAAAUUAGUCCUAAUAUGAUGGGCAUCCAAGUUGGGUAUAAUAAAAACUAUCAUAUAGAGUGCAUUGAACACUAUGAUAAAUUUGAUACUUGAUAAUUGUUUUGAGAUAUAAGGGUGGUAAUGUUAGAGUCAUGCUAGUUGGGUAAUUAUGAAAUUGAGAAAUACUUGUAUUAUAGUUGGCAAGUCCCGUAGCAUGCACGUAUGGUGAACGUUGUGUGACAAAUUUGAAGCAUGGGGUGAUUUUUGGUUGUCUUCCUUAUGAGUGGAGGUCGGGAUCGCGUGAUGGUUAACUCGUACCAACCCUCCCCCUAAGAGCAUGUGUAGUAGUACUUUGCUUCAAGAGCUAAUAAACUUUUGCAAUAAGUAUAUGAGUUCUUUAUGACUAAUGUGAGUCCAUGGAUUAUACGCACUCUUACCUUUCCAUAAUUUGCUAGCCUCUACGGUACCGUGCAUUGCCCUUUCUCACCUUGAGAGUUGGUGCAAACUUUGCCGGUGCAUCCAAACCCCAUGAUACGAUAUGCUCUAUCACACAUAAACCUCCUUAUAUCUUCCUCAAAACAGCCGCCAUACCUAUCUAUUAUGGCAUUUCCAUAGCCAUUCCGAGAUAUAUUGCCAUGCAACUUUUGUUGGAAAUAUGCCCUAGAGGCAAUAAUAAAUAAGUUAUUAUUAUAUUUCUUUGUUCAUGAUAAUAGUCUUUUAUUCAUGCUAUAACUGUAUUGUCCGGAAAUCGUAAUACACGUGUGAAUACAUAGACCACAAUAUGUCCCUAGUGAGCCUCUAGUUGACUAGCUCGUUGUGAUCAACAGAUAGUCAUGGUUUCCUGGCUAUGGACAUUGGAUGUCGUUGAUAACGGGAUCACAUCAUUAGGAGAAUGAUGUGAUGGACAAGACCCAAUCCUAAGCAUAGCACAAAGAUCGUGUAGUUCGUUUGCUAGAGCUUUGCCAAUGUCAAGUAUCUCUUCCUUUGACCAUGAGAGCGUGUAACUCCUGGAUACCGUAGGAGUGCUUUGGGUGUAUCAAACGUCACAACGUAACUGGGUGACUAUAAAGGUGCACUACAGGUAUCUCCGAAAGUAUCUAUUGUUUUAUGCGGAUCGAGACUGGGAUUUGUCACUCCGUGUAAACGGAAAGGUAUCUCUGGGCCCACUCGGUAGGACAUCAUCAUAAUGUGCACAAUGUGACCAAGGGGUUGAUCACGGGAUGAUGUGUUACGGAACGAGUAAAGAGACUUGCCGGUAACGAGAUUGAACAAGGUAUCGGUAUAUCGACGAUCGAAUCUCGGGCAAGUAAAAUACCGCUAGACAAAGGGAAUUGUAUACGGGAUCGAUUGAGUCCUUGACAUCGUGGUUCAUCCGAUGAGAUCAUCGUGGAACAUGUGGGAGCCAACAUGGGUAUCCAGAUCCCGCUGUUGGUUAUUGACCGGAGAACGUCUCGGUCAUGUCUGCAUGUCUCCUGAACCCGUAGGGUCUACACACUUAAGGUUCGAUGACGCUAGGGUUAUAAAGGAAGUUUGUAUGUGGUUACCGAAUGUUGUUCGGAGUCCCGGAUGAGAUCUCGGACGUCACGAGGAGUUCCGGAAUGGUCCGGAGGUAAAGAUUUAUAUAUGGGAAGUCCUGUUUUGGUCACCGGAAAAGUUUCGGGCGAUAUCGAUAUUGUACCGGGACCACCGGGAGGGUCCCGGGGGUCCACCAAGUGGGGCCACCUGCCCCAGAAGGUUGCGUGGGCCAAGUGUGGGAGGGGACCAGCCCCUAGGAGGGCUGGUGCGCCCCCCACAAGGAGUCCAAGGCGCAAGAGAGAGUGGGAGGGGGCAAACCCUAGUCCAGAUGGGCCUUAAGGCCCAUAUUGGUGCGCCUCCCUCUCCUCUCCCCCCUUGGCCGCCUCCCCUUUGCCAUCUAGGGCUGGCCGCACCCCUUGGGGGUGGGAAACCCUAAAGGGGGCGCAGCCCCCCCCUUCCCCCUAUAUAUAGAUGAGGUUUGGGGCUGCCAUAACACAUGAGUUCUCUCCCUCUUGGUGCAGCCCUACCUCUCUCCCUACUCCUCCUCUCCCAUGGUGCUUGGCGAAGCCCUGCGGGAUUGCCACGCUCCUCCACCACCACCACGCCGUUGUGCUGCUGUUGGAUGGAGUCUUCCUCAACCUCUCCCUCUCUCCUUGCUGGAUCAAGGCGUGGGAGACGUCACCGGGCUGUACGUGUGUUGAACGCGGAGGUGUCGUGCGUUCGGCACUUGAUCAUCGGUGAUUUGAAUCACGACGAGUACGACUCCAUCAACCCCGUUCACUUGAACGCUUCCGCUUAGCGAUCUACAAGGGUAUGUAGAUGCACUCUCCUUCUACUCGUAGCUGGUUUCUCCAUAGAUAGAUCUUGGUGACACGUAGGAAAAUUUUGAAUUUCUGCUACGUUCCCCAACAGUGGCAUCAUGAGCUAGGUCUAUUGCGUAGAUUCUUUGCACGAGUAGAACACAAAGUAGUUGUGGGCGUCGAUAUUGUUCAAUAUGCUUGCCGUUACUAGUCUUAUCUUGAUUCGGCGGCAUCGUGGGAUGAAGCGGCCCGGACCAACCUUACACGUACGCUUACGUGAGACCGGUUCCACCGACAAACAUGCACUAGUUGCAUAAGGUGGCUGGCGGGUGUCUGUCUCUCCCACUUUAGUCGGAUCGGAUUCAAUGAAAAGGGUCCUUAUGAAGGGUAAAUAGCAAUUGGCAUAUCACGUUGUGGUUCAUGCGUAGGUAAGAAACGUUCUUGCUAGAAACCCAUAGCAGCCACGUAAAACAUGCAAACAACAAUUAGAGGACGUCUAACUUGUUUUUGCAGGGUAUGCUAUGUGAUGUGAUAUGGCCAAAGGAUGUGAUGAAUGAUAUAUGUGAUGUAUGAGAUUGAUCAUGUUCUUGUAAUAGGAUUCACGACUUGCAUGUCGAUGAGUAUGACAACCGGCAGGAGCCAUAGGAGUUGUCUUUAUUUUUUGUAUGACCUGCGUGUCAUUGAAGAACGCCAUGUAAACUACUUUACUUUAUUGCUAAACGCGUUAGUCAUAGAAGUAGAAGUAGUCGUUGGCGUGACAACUUCAUGAAGACACGAUGAUGGAGAUCAUGGUGUCAAGCCGGUGACAAGAUGAUCAUGGAGCCCCGAAGAUGAAGAUCAAAGGAGCUAUAUGAUAUUGGCCAUAUCAUGUCACUACUCUAUUUGAUUGCAUGUGAUGUUUAUCAUGUUUAUGCAUCUUGUUUACUUAGGACGACGGUAGUAAAUAAGAUGAUCCCUUACAAAAUUUCAAGAAGUGUUCUCCCCUAACUGUGCACCGUUGCUACAGUUCGUCGCUUCUAAGCACCACGUGAUGAUCGGGUGUGAUGGAUUCUUACGUUCACAUACAACGGGUGUAAGACAGUUUUACACAGCGAAAACACUUAGGGUUAACUUGACGAGCCUAGCAUGUGCAGACAUGGCCUCGGAACACGGAGACCGAAAGGUCGAGCAUGAGUCGUAUAGUAGAUACGAUCAACAUGAAGAUGUUCACCGAUGAUGACUAGUCCGUCUCACGUGAUGAUCGGACACGGCCUAGUUGACUCGGAUCAUGUAAUCACUUAGAUGACUAGAGGGAUGUCUAUCUGAGUGGGAGUUCAUAAGAUGAACUUAAUUAUCUGAACAUAGUCAAAAGGAUUUUGCAAAUUAUGUCAUAGCUCGCGCUUUACUUCUACUGUUUUAGAUAUGUUCCUAGAGAAAAUAUAGUUUGAAAGUUGAAAGUAGCAAUUAUGCGGACAGUAGAAAGCUUAUGUCCUUAAUGCAUUGCUCAGUGUGCCAAACCCCAAACGUCGUUUGUGGAUGUUGCGAACAUCGGACAUACACGUUUUGAUAACUACGUGAUAGUUCAGUUAAAUGGUUUAAGUAGAGGCACCAAAGACAUUUUCGAAACGUCGCGGAACAUAUGAGAUGUUUCGAGGGCUGAAAUUGGGAUUUCAGGCUUGUGCCCACGUCAAGAGGUAUGAGACCUCCGGCGAUUUUCUUAGCCUGCAAACUAAGGGAGAAAAGCUCAAUCGUUGAGCUUGUGCUCAGAUUGUCUGAGUGCAACAAUCACUUGAAUCAAGUGGGAGUUAAUCUUCCAGAUGAGAUAGUGAUGUUUCCCCAAAGUCAUUGCCACCAAGCUGCAAGAGCUUCAUGAUGAACUAUAACAUAUCAAGGAUAGAUAUGAUGAUCCUUGAGGUAUUCGCGAUGUUAGACACUGCGAAAAUAGAAAUCAAGAAGGAGCAUCAAUUGUUGAUGGUUGGUGAAACCACUAGUUUCAAGAAGGGCAAGGGAAAUAAGGGAUACUUCAUGAAACGGCAAAUCAGCUGCUGCACCAAUGAAGAAACCCAAGGUUGAACCCAAACCCGAGACUAAGUGCUUCUGUAAUAAGGGGAACAACCACUGGAGCAGCAUUACCCUAGAUACUUGGUAGAUGAGAAGGCUGGCAAGGUCGAUAGAAGUAUAUUGGAUAUACAUUAUGUUAAUGUGUACUUUACUAGUACUCCUAGUAGCACCAGGGUAUUGGAUACCGGUUCGGUUGCUAAGUGUUAGUAACUCGAAAUAAAAGCUACGGCAUAAACGAAGACUAGCUAAAGGUGAGAUGACGAUAUGUGUUGGAAGUGUUUCCAAUGUUGAUAUGAUCAAGCAUCGCACGCUCCCUCUACCAUCGAGAUUUGGUGUUUGCGUUGAGCAUAGACAUGAUUGGAUUAUGUCUAUAGCAAUACGGUUAUUCAUUUAAGGAGAAUAAUGGUUACUCUAUUUUUUGAAUAAUACCUUCAAUGGUCUUGCACCUAAAGGAAUGGUUUAUUGAAUCUCGGUCGUAGUGAUACACAUUUUCAUGCCAAAAGAUAUAAGAUAGUAAUGAUAGUACCACUUACUUGUGGCACUGCCAUGUAAGUCAUAAUGGUAUAAAACGCAUGAAGAAGCUCCAUGUUGAUGGAUCUUUGGACUCACUCGUUUUUGAAAAGUUUGAGACAUGCGAACCAUGUCUAUUGGUGUAUAUGCAUGAAGAAACUCCAUGCAAAUGGACCGUUCGGACUCACUUGAUUUUGAAUCACUUGAGAUAUGCAAAUCAUACCACAUAGGCAAGAUGACUGAAAAGCCUCGGUUUCAAUAAGAUGGAACAAGAUAGCAACUUGUUGGAAGUAACACAUUUUGAUGUGUGCAGUCCAAUAAAUGCUGAGGCAUGCAGUGAAUAUCGUUAUGUUCUUACUUCACAGAUGAUUCGAGUAGAUGUUGAGAAUAUUUACUUGAUGAAACACAACUCUGAAUUAUUGAAUGGUUCAUGUAAUUUCAGAGUGAAGUAGAAGAUCAUUGUGACAAAAGGAUAAAAUGUCUAUGAUACGAUCAUAGAGAUGAAUAUCUGAGUUACGAGUUUUGGCACACAAUUAAGACAUUAUGGAAAUUGUUUCAUAAUUAAUACCGGCUGGAACACCAUAGUGUGAUGGUGUGUCCGAACAUCAUAGUUGCACCCUAUUGGAUAUGGUGCGUACCAUGAUGUCUCUUAUCGAAUUACCACUGUCGUUCAUGGGUUAGGCAUUAGAGACAACCACAUUCACUUUAAAUAGGGCACCACGUAAUUCCGAUGAGAUGACACCGUAUGAAUUAUGGUUUAGAGAAACCUAAGUUGUCGUUUCUUAAAGGUUUGGGGCUGCGACGCUUAUGUGAAAAAGUUUCAGGAUUAAGCUCGAACCCAAAGCGGAUAAAAUACAUCUUCAUAGGACACCCAAAACAGUUGGGUAUACCUCCUAAUUCAGAUCCGAAAGCAAUAUGAAUUGUUUCUAGAAUCGGGUCCUUUCUCGAGGAAAGGUUUCUCUCGAAAGAGUUGAGUGGGAGGAUGGUGGAGACUUGAUGAGGUUAUUGAACCGUCUCUUCAACUAGUGUGUGGCAGGGCACAGGAAGUUGUUCCUGUGGCACCUACACCAAUUGAAGUGGAAGCUUAUGAUAUUGAUCAUGAAACUUCGGAUCAAGUCACUACCAAACCUCGUGGGAUGACAAGGAUGCGUACUACUUCAGAAUGGUACGUAAUCCUGUCUUGGAAGUCAUGUUGCUGGACAACAAUGAACCUACGAGCUAUGGAGAAGCGAUGGUGGGCCCGGAUUCCGAUAAAUGGCUCGAGGCCAUAAAAUCCGAGAACGGAUCCAUGGACUUUGGUGGACUUGCCCGAUGAUCGGCAAGCCAUUAAGAUAAAUGGAUCUUUAAGAAGAAGACGGACGUGGAUGGUAAUGUCACCGUCCAUGAAGCUCGACUUGUGGCGAAAAGUUUUUCACAAGUUCAAGGAGUUGACUACGAUGAGAUUUUCUCAUCCGUAGCGAUGCUUAAAGUCCGUCAGAUUCAUGUUAGCAUUAGCUGUAUUUAUGAAAUCUGGCAGAUGGAUAUCAAAACGAGUUUCCUUACCAGUUUUCGUGAGGAAAGAUUGUAGGUAAUACAAUCAGAAAGUUUUUGUCGAUCCUAAGGAUGCUAAAAGGUAUGCUAGCUCCAGCGAUCCUUCUAAGGACUGGAGUGAGCAUCUCGGAGUUGGAAUGUAUGCUUUGAUGAUGAUCAAAGAUUUUGGGUUUGUACAAAGUUUAUGAGAAACUUGUAUUUCCAAAGAAGUGAGUGGGAGCACUAUAGAAUUUCUGAUGAGUAUAUGUUGAUCAGAAAUGAUGUAGAAUUUCUAGAAAGCAUCUAGGGUUAUUUGAAAGGUGUUUUUCAAUAGAAAACCUGGAUUAAGCUACUUGAACAUUGAGCAUCGAGAUCUAUAAGGAUAGAUCAAAAUGCUUAAUAAUACUUUCAAAAUGAGCAUAUACCUUGACAUGAUCUUGAAGGUGUUCAACAUGGAUCAGUCAAAGAAGAAGUUCUUGCCUGAGUUGUAAGGUACGAAGUUAAGACUUAAAGCUCGACCACGGCAGAAUAGAGAGAAAGGACGAAGGUCAUCCCCUAUGCUUGAGACGUAGGCUCUUCAGUAUGCUAUGCUGUGUACCGCACCUGAAGUGUGCCUUGCCAUGAGUCAGUCAAGGGGUACAAGAGUGAUCCAUGAAUGGAUCACAGGACAGCGGUCAAAGUUAUCCUUAGUAACUAGUGGACUAAGGAAUUUUCUCAAUUAUGGAGGUGGUAAAAGAGUUCGUCGUAAAGGGUUACGUCGAUGCAAGCUUAACACCUAUCCGGAUAGCUCUGAGUAGAGAUACCGGAUACGUACAAUGGAGCAACAAUUUAGAAUAGCUCCAAGUAGAACAGUUAUUUGGAAUAGCUCCAAAUAGAACGUGGGAGCUGCAUCUAGGAGAUGACAUAGAGAUUUGUAAAGCACACACGGAUCUGAAAGGUUCAGACCCGUUGACUAAAACCUCUCUCACAAGCAGAACAUGACCAAACCCCAUAUCUCAUUGAGUCUUGAUCACAUGAUGAUGUGAACUAGUUUAGUGACACUAGUAAACUCUUUGGAUGUUGGUCACAUGGUGAUGUGACCUGUCAGUGUUAAUCACAUGGUGAUGCGAACUAGAUUAUUGACUCUAGUGCAAGUGGGAGACUGUUGGAAAUAUGCCCUAGAGGCAAUAAUAAAUAAGUUAUUAUUAUAUUUCUUUGUUCAUGAUAAUAGUCUUUUAUUCAUGCUAUAACUGUAUUAUCCGGAAAUCAUAAUACACGUGUGAAUACAUAGACCACAAUAUGUCCCUAGUGAGCCUCUAGUUGACUAGCUCGUUGUGAUCAACAGAUAGUCAUGGUUUCCUGGCUAUGGACAUUGGAUGUCGUUGAUAACGGGAUCACAUCAUUAGGAGAAUGAUGUGAUGGACAAGACCCAAUCCUAAGCAUAGCACAAAGAUCGUGUAGUUCGUUUGCUAGAGCUUUGCCAAUGUCAAGUAUCUCUUCCUUUGACCAUGAGAGCGUGUAACUCCUGGAUACCGUAGGAGUGCUUUGGGUGUAUCAAACGUCACAACGUAACUGGGUGACUAUAAAGGUGCACUACAGGUAUCUCCGAAAGUAUCUAUUGUUUUAUGUGGAUCGAGACUGGGAUUUGUCACUCCGUGUAAACGGAGAGGUAUCUCUGGGCCCACUCGGUAGGACAUCAUCAUAUGCGCAAUGUGACCAAGGAGUUGAUCACGGGAUGAUGUGUUACGGAACAAGUAAAGUGACUUGCCGGUAACGAGAUUGAACAAGGUAUUGGAUACCGACGAUCGAAUCUCGGGCAAGUAACAUACCGAUAGACAAAGGGAAUUGAAUACGGGAUUGAUUAAGUCCUUGACAUCGUGGUUCAUCCGAUGAGAUCAUCGUGGAACAUGUGGGAGCCAUCAUGGGUAUCCAGAUCCCGCUGUUGGUUAUUGACCGAAGAACGUCUCGGUCAUGUCUGCAUGUCUCCCGAACCCGUAGGGUCUACACACUUAAGGUUCGAUGACGCUAGGGUUAUAAAGGAAGUUUGUAUGUGGUUACCGAAUGUUGUUCGGAGUCCCGGAUGAGAUCCCGGACGUCACGAGGAGUUCCGGAAUGGUCCGGAGGUAAAGAUUUAUAUAUGGGAAGUCCUGUUUUGGUCACCGGAAAAGUUUCGGGCGAUAUCGGUAUUGUACCGGGACCACCGGGAGGGUCCCGGGGGUCCACCAAGUGGGGCCACCUGCCCCAGAAGGUUGCGUGGGCCAAGUGUGGGAGGGGACCAGCCCCUAGGAGGGCUGGUGCGCCCCCCACAAGGAGUCCAAGGCGCAAGAGAGAGUGGGAGGGGGCAAACCCUAGUCCAGAUGGGCCUUAAGGCCCAUAUUGGUGCGCCUCCCUCUCCUCUCCCCCCUUGGCCGCCUCCCCUUUGCCAUCUAGGGCUGGCCGCACCCCUUGGGGGUGGGAAACCCUAAAGGGGGCGCAGCCCCCCCUUCCCCCUAUAUAUAGAUGAGGUUUGGGGCUGCCAUAACACAUGAGUUCUCUCCCUCUUGGUGCAGCCCUACCUCUCUCCCUACUCCUCCUCUCCCAUGAUGCUUGGCGAAGCCCUGCGGGAUUGCCACGCUCCUCCACCACCACCACGCCGUUGUGCUGCUGUUGGAUGGAGUCUUCCUCAACCUCUCCCUCUCUCCUUGCUGGAUCAAGGCGUGGGAGACGUCACCGGGCUGUACGUGUGUUGAACGCGGAGGUGUCGUGCGUUCGGCACUUGAUCAUCGGUGAUUUGAAUCACGACGAGUACGACUCCAUCAACCCCGUUCACUUGAACGCUUCCGCUUAGCGAUCUACAAGGGUAUGUAGAUGCACUCUCCUUCUACUCGUAGCUGGUUUCUCCAUAGAUAGAUCUUGGUGACACGUAGGAAAAUUUUGAAUUUCUGCUACGUUCCCCAACAACUUUUCACCGAUCCAUUUAUUAUGACACGCUCCAUCGUUGUCAUAUUGCUUUUGCAUGAUCAUGUAGUUGACAUCGUAUUUGUGGCAAAGCCACCUUUAUAAUUCUUUCAUAUGUGUCGCUCUUGAUUCAUUGCAUAUCCUGGUACACCGCCGGAGGCAUUCACAUAGAGUCAUAUGUUGUUCUUAGUAUCGAGUUGUAAUUCUUGAGUUGUAAAUAAAUAAAAGUGUGAUGAUCUUCAUUAUUAGAGCAUUGUCUCAAGUGCGGAAAGAAUGAUGGAGACUAUGAUUCCCCCACAAGUCGGGAUGAGACUCCAGACUUUAUGAAAAAUAGAAGAGGCCAAAGAAGCCCAAAUAAAAAAAGAGGCCAAAGAAGCCCAAAUAAAAAAAGGAGAAAAAAAUGAGAGAAAAAGAGAGAAGGGACAAUGUUACUAUCCUUUGUCCACAAUUGUGCUUCAAAGUAGCACCAUGAUCUUCAUGAUAGAGUCUCCUAUGUCGUCACUUUCAUAUACUAGUGGGAAUUUUUCAUUAUAGAACCUGGCUUGUAUAUUCCAAUGAUGAGCUUCCUCAAAAUGCCCUAGGUCUUCGUGAGCAAGCAAGUUGGAUGCAUACCCACUUAGUUCUUUUUGAGCUUUCAUACAUUUAUAGCUCUAGUGCAUUCGUUACAUGGCAAUCCCUACUCCUCGUAUUAACAUCAAUUGAUGGGCAUCUGCAUAGCCCGUUGAUUAGCCGCGUCAAUAUGAGACGUUCUCCUUUUUUGUUCUCUCACAUAAUCCCUAUCAUCAUACUCUACUCCACCCAUAGUGCUAUAUCCAUGGCUUACGCUGAUGUAUUGUGUGAGGGUUGAAAAGGCUGAAACGCGUUAAAAAGUAUGAACCAAUUGCUUGGCUGAAACCGGGGUUGUGCAUGAUGGGAGUAUUUUGUGGGACGAAAUGAAGCAUGGCCAAACUAUAUGAUUUUGUAGGGAUAAGCUUUCUUUGACUAUGUUAUUUUGAUAAGACAUGAUUACUUUGUUAGUAUGCUUGAAGUAUUACUAUUUUGAUGUCAAUAUUAAAAUUUUAUCUUGAAUCUUUUGGAUCGGAACAUUCAUGCCACAAUAAAGAAAAUUACAUUGAGAAAUAUGCUAGGUAGCAUUCCACAUCAAAAAUUCUGUUUUUAUCAUUUACCUACUCGAGGACGAGCAGGAAUUAAGCUUGGGGGUGCUUGAUACGUCUCCAACGUAUCUAUAAUUUUUGAUUGUUCCAUGCUAUUAUAUUAUCUGUUUUGGGUAUUUAAUGGUCUUUACUAUACACUUCUAUAUUAUUUUUGGGACUAACCUAUUAACUGGAGGCCUAGUCCAAAUUGUUGUUUUUUUGCCUAUUUCAGUAUUUCGCAGAAAAGAAAUAUCAAACAGAGUCCAAACGGAAUGAAACUUUCAGGAGAGUUAUUUUUGGAACAAACGCGAUCCAGGAGACUUGGAGUGGACAUCAAGAAAGAAACGAGGAAGCCACGAGGCAGGGAGGCGCCCAGGGGGGUAGGCGCCCCCACCCUCGUGGGCCCAUCGUGGCUCCCCUAACCGACUUCCUUCGCCUAUAUAUACUCAUAUACCCUGAAAAUAUCUAGGAGCAACACGAAACCCUAUUUCCACCGCCGCAACCUUCUGUACCCGUGGGAUCCCAUCUUGGGGCCUUUUCCGGCGCUCCGCCGAAGGGGGAAUCGAUCACGGAGGGCUUCUACAUCAACACCAUAACCUCUCCGAUGAAGUGCGAGUAGUUUACCAUAGACCUUCGGGUCCAUAGUUAUUAGCUAGAUGGCUUCUUCUCUCUCUUUGGAUCUCAAUGCAAAGUUCUCCUUGAUCUUCUUGGAGAUCUAUUCGAUGUAAUUCUUUUUGCGGUGUGUUUGUCGAGAUCCGAUGAAUUGUGGGUUUAUGAUCAAGAUUAUCUAUGAACAAUAUUUGAAUCUCCUCUGAAUUCUUUUAUGUAUGAGUGGUUAUCUUUGCAAGUCUAUUUGAAUUAUCAGUUUGGUUUGGCCUACUAGAUUGAUCUUUCUUGCAAUGGGAGAAGUGCUUAGCUUUGGGUUCAAUCUUGCGGUGUCCUUUCCCAGUGACAGUAGGGAAAGCAAGGCACGUAUUGUAUUGUUGCCAUCGAGGAUAAAAAGAUGGGGUUUAUAUCAUAUUGCUUGCAUUUAUCCCUCUACAUUAUGUCAUCUUGCCUAAUGUGUUACUCUGUUCUUAUGAACUUAAUACUCUAGAUGCAUGCUAGAUAGCGGUCGAUGUGUGGAGUAAUAGUAGUAGAUGCAGAAUCGUUUCGGUCUACUUGUCAUGGACGUGAUGCCUAUAUACAUGAUCAUGCCUAGAUAUUCUCAUAACUAUGCACUUUUCUAUCAAUUGCUAGACAGUAAUUUGUUCACCCACCAUAAUACAUAUGCUAUCUUGAGAGAAGCCACUAGUGAAACCUAUGGCCCCCGGGUCUAUUUUCCAUCAUAUAAGUUUCUGAUCUAUUUUAUUUUGCAAUCUUUACUUUCCAAUCUAUAUCAUAAAAAUACCAAAAUUAUUUAUCUUAUUAUCUCUAUCAGAUCUCACUUUUGCAAGUGGCCGUGAAGGGAUUGACAACCCCUUUAUCGCGUUGGUUGCAAGGUUCUUAUUUGUUUGUGCAGGUACGAGGGAUUUGAGUGUAGCCUCCUACUGGAUUGAUACCUUGGUUCUCAAAAAUUGAGGAAAAUACUUAUGCUACUUUGCUGCAUCAUCCUUUCCUCUUCAAGGAAAAACCAACACAUGCUCAAGAGGUAGCAAUGUUAUCUUCAAUGAAUUUGAUAUGUUACAUAAUGUUCCAUCUACUAAUGUUCAUGUUGAGAGUGAACAUCAGCCUAUUGUUCAGUAGCCUGUUGUUCCAGUGUAGCAUGUUAUUGAUUUAGGUGAUACAUCUGGUAAGGAAAAUGUUGAUGCAGAUGAUGAUCCCGUUAUUGAUGAUGAACAUGUCACUCCCACUUCAAAUCAGCCUAUUGUUCCACCCAGUUGGAAUCUCACAGGUGACAGAGUUAGGCGCGGUAUUAAUAAAGCCGACAGAUUAAUUGAAGAGUGCAACAUUGUUUCUUUUGCUUUAUCUGUUGUAGAAGAAAUUGAAGGUAAUGCUGAGCCUUCUUCAUAUUCUGAGGCUAUUAUUUCUGGUGAUAGUAAUAAGUGGAUGACCACUAUGCAUGAUGAUAUGGAAUCACUUGAAAAGAAUGAUACUUGGGAUUUAGUAAAAUUACCUAGAGAGAAGAAACCUAUUCGUUGCAAGUGGGUUUUCAAAAGGAAAGAAAGUGUUUCUCCCAAUGAUGAGACAAGAUAUAAUGCAAUGUUAGUUGCUAAAGGUUACAGUCAGAUUCCAAGUAUUGACUAUAACGAAGUCUUUUCUCCUGUUGUGAAGCAUAGCUCUAUUCGCACUUUACUCAGUAUUGUUGUCAUGCAUGAUUUUGAGCUUGAACAAUUGGAUGUUAAAACUGCAAUUUAAAUGGAGAAAUAGAAGAGGAUAUUUAUAUGAAACAACCUGAAGGAUUUGUUAUUCCUGGAUAAGUUAAAGAAAUCUCUUUAUGAAUUCAAGCAAUCAUCUAGAGAGUGGGACAAGAGAUUUGACACCUUUAUGCUCUCUCAAGGUUUCAAAAGGUCUAACUAUGAGUUGUGUUUAUUUGAAAACCGUCAAUGAUCCAUGAUGGUGUUGACAUCAUCAACGGUGAGCUUCGGCCCUCCUGGCUUUAGAAAGGGGGCGGUGGUGAGGAGCCGUUGACGGGGGCAAGGGUGACGCUUGGAGCCGCACGAGGACGUCAGGCGCGGAGUGCCACACGUGGAUCACGGCACACCUGAGCGCGACCUGAGUCCUCUCGGAGGCAGGGUCGGGGAGCAUGAGCUCCGCAGUGUACAGAUCGUGCUCGACGAGCAGGACGGCGCGAGCGAGGUCGGCGCCUACCCAGUGAAGGUAGCGGGUGGCCUGUUCUUGGGUGAUGCAUCCGAAGUAGCUCAUCAUGAACCUGACGAGAGCCUGGCAGGACGCCUGAGCAAUUCUGUGCCAGGUAACCCUGCGGCAGGACGACCCAAUGGUACUACCGGACGACCAGGUAUCCCUUUGCUGUGCCGUGCCGGCCAGGUUAUUGGACCUUCUGGUCCUCUUGGCGGGCGGUUCCUCCUUUGCCCGAAAGUGGUCGCGCGGGAGGAGGGCCAUGGUGCUGAGGAUGACGUUUGAGACUGGGUCCAAAAGGCCGAGGGAGAGGCCGCCGUCACGCAUGGUUUCGUAUAGCUUGUCGGCGACGGCGUCCGGCAUGUCUUGGACGGGCAGCCGGUCGAACGCCUCCCCGUACAAGUCCGGGAUGAGGUCGAGGAGGUCGGCCUUGAAGUUGAAGUUAGGGGGGCCGUCGCGCUCGCCGCGCUUGAAGUUGAAGUUUGGGGGGACUGUCGCGCUCACAGCUGUACAGGCAGGAGAAGAGCCCCAUGCGGCCGGGACCCGCGGGUGGGUGGACCUUGUUGGGCGGCAUUACAUCAGCUGCGAUCCAUUGAUGUGGCGGUUCGAUCGGCGGCAGGAUAUAUGUAAGGCGGACGACGAGCUAGUUUUCUGACCGGACUCAGAUGACAAGAGAACACACACGGUGCGUCUGAUAUGGGCAGAACACACACGGAACAAGUCGAGUCAGUUUGGAGGCCGUAGGAAGAAAAUCCUAAACGACCCUUCCGGUCUGGUAGUAGGGAUGAAGAAGAUGAUCGUAUGCAUGAGCAGACGAUGACACACGACGCGCGCGUCUGAUAUGGGUCAAAAGUCCCUGGCCCGUUCCACCUUUCUAUCCGGUGUGGCUAAUGAGAGGGAUACUUUCUUAUUUAGUACCAAUUUUUUCUGAAUACAUAUAAACCGGUUUAUUCUUUAUCUAUAUCUAUAUAGUUUGCAUGAAUAACGUUGAGUGUGCAUCAUUUUUUUUAUGAAAAGGCCAAAGGCCAUAUAUUAAGUAGUAAAACCCCUUUAAAAACAUUCUUAUAGAAAUUGAGAAAUACAUCCAAAUCUUUGAGAGUAGUCGAAGUUUUCUUCCUCCUGCAUCCAUCGCUGGUCCCCGGUGAGCAAAGCUUGCUGCUGUCUCUCGACUCCGACUCAGCGGAGCAAACUUGUUUACACCCGGUAACUUAUAGAGGUAGCCACUGGAAAGUCGUCAAUGUAGACCGACGACUAAGAAGAAGGGCAAGGCCAAAAGCACGGCUAGAGUUUGUUAGAGCUUGUUGAGCCCGAACCGCCUGGCGAAGAAGGCGUCACGUGCCCAGGCCGGUGACAUGGCAAGCACGGCGAACAACGCCGUCAUGCUCCCAUACACGAUCUCCCGCGGUGGCCUCGGCCGCAUGACCCGCACCGCCACGUGCCUCACCAACACCGACACCUCGGUCGCCCCCGGCCCCUGUGAUGCCCGCACCCUCUCCUCGAUCGCCGUUGUGAACUCACGGUACAUCCCUUUGGUGUUGGCAUGUCAGGAUAUCAUGCUUGAUGCGGUCACUGGGUAUAUGAUCAAACCAGUUCAAAGUAUUGGAAAUGCAUCAAGGAAUGGCAAAUAUCUCACAAACCAAUGGGAUAGAAUCCUAGAAAGUUGCAACCGUCAGGAGGUCCUGAUUCCCUUGUAGCUGUAACCUUGUAGAGGGGCUUGGCUGCUGUUUUCCUUUUCCCUCGGAGCCUUUGCUCUGUUGGUUUUCAGCUCUAGACACCUAGACUGUUAACCCUUUGUACUGACUCUCCUUUUGUCUAAUAAAAUUUCGGUCAAUGGCCCUUCGAGAGAUGGAGAUUAACUGCACGGUUCACGUAAAUGGUGCAGUAAUUCACUACCAGAAUCUGAAAUUUUACUGUGAGCCCAAAACCGACAGGAAAAUCGGGUUUACCGUCAGGAAAAGUAUUUCCUGUCGGCCACCCGUCAGGGAUAGCUUGACAGGGAAAAUAAAUUAUGCCUGUCGGUUGACCGACAGGGACUAUAUUCCUGUCGGGUUUUCACAUUUCCCUGAUGGGUUUGGCCCUACAGGAUUAUAUAGGCGUCAGAUUUGGCAAACAAGGGAAAUACUAUAUCCCUGUCAUACAUUACCGUCAGGAAAAAAAGAAACCCAAUGAACAAAAAAAUAUAGACAGUUUUAUAAAUAGCUAUUCCAGAAUAGAAACAUCACUAUCAAUUGUUUCCUUCAACCAGAGAUACAAAUUCACAUGUCUUCGGAUACAAUUGCAUAGAAUUUACAUAAUGAAUGGAAGGUCAACGAAAACAGAGGUUCAACAUCUAAAAACACACAAGUGCAUCAACUAAAUAUACACAAUAGACUUCAUUUUCUAUAAUCUUUAGUUGCCAGCUUAAGUUGCAAGCUUCUCUUCAAGGUUGCCCUGCAGUGGACAUAUAAUUGAACUUGUAAAAAAUUGUGCAAAUGUCAACAGUUUGCUACAAAAAGGUAACUAGAAACAGGAACAAUACCUAUAAGAAAUAAUAAGCAUAAUCUAUUUGGUAUCUCAGUUUCUCGCAAUAACAUUGGCAGCUUGCUUUUGUCACAGCAAAGUUACCCACUUCUACAGCUUAUAGACUAAUAAUGGAGGAAUUAUUCUAGAAUCAUAUCUCAAAUCUGAUACAAAUUAUGCAACUGACAAAAUCCAUUUAAAUGAUAACCUGGGCACAUGCUUUUGGAUUAGCUUGACAAAAUUAUCAGCUAACUUCCUGAGAAGAUGAGUCAUUAGAGACUUCUUGCAAGAAAUUACACUACCAAUGUCAAUACCCUUAAGUCUAUCCAUUUCAAAUGUUGAAGAAAAAUAGUCAGAGUCAUCAUCAUCUCCGUAAGAAUAAAAAAAGCCAAAACAUUAUGCAAUUAUUCGAUAAUGUAACAACAUGGGAACUGAACAUCAUGGUGAGACAAUAAAAGACCCCAAAGAAAUAGAAAGAGGCUGUGUUCAGACUAAACCAACAUAGCAACUACUGGAUCAAUAAUGUUGAUCUCAUGAUCUUGGGCACACUGGACAUAGCAUGAUACGAUUUUAAUACACACGAGAAAACUUGACUGGCAAUUAUUCCUGAUAAAACUUUGGGGAUGAUGGUGAAUGCAAAAGUAAAAAUACCUUGAUUAGAAGCUCUUGAAUCUCUCAUAGACCCCGAAUCUUGAAUUUUUCUACGAAUAAUAAGUUACAAAUUCACAUAUCUUCUGAUAUAACUGCAUAGAAUUUACAUACAUGAAUCAAAAGUCAACAAAAACAGAGGUACAACUUCUCAAAAAUGCACACGUGCAUCAACUAAAUAUUCACAAUUUGAGACCAUUUUCUACAAUGUUUUGCUGGAGCUUAGGUUGCAAGAUGCUCUUCUUAACCUGCACUGGACAUAACUGAACUUGUAAAAUGUGCAAGUGUGAACAGUUUGCUACAAUAAGGUAACAAGAAACAAGAAUAGUAUCCAUAGGAUAUGAUCAGCAUAAUCUAUAUGGUAUCUCAUAUUCUCACAUUAACAUAGGUAUAUAUAGGCAACUUGUUUUUGUCACAGCAAAGUUAAACAAAUUGACAGCUAUAUAGACAUGAUAACUGAGUGGUUUCUUCUAAAAUCUUGUGACAAAUUUGAUACCAACACAACAAUUGACAAAAUCCAUUCAUCUAUCGGAACUAUCAGUUAUUAGAGGCUUCUUCAAGUUAAGCUCAAGCCAUAAUAUCGCCAGUAAGUGCAACUUCUCAAUGAUGCAUAACCAGAAGAAUGUACUCUCUGUUUCAAAAUGCAAGACGUUUUUUGACACUAUCUCAUUUGGAGACAGGUAGUACAAUAAGAAAAUCAGGGGAGUACCUUUGAGGAAAUAGUAGUAUACAAUCUCAAGAGGAUGUGUGUCCCGACAUAGAAUAGUUUCAACUAAACAGUGAAGUGGCAAUAUGGCAAGCAGUUUCAUCCAAGUUGAUUCUGUGAUAGAAUGCACAAACAGAAGUAUAUGGUUUUGCAUCAGAUAGUAGUAAGAAACCAAAGCAUCAUUUGAUUUUUCCUAGAGUAGGGAAUGGUACCUGCAUUUGGAAGGAUAUGAUGCAACUUUUUGCCAUCGAGUGACAACCUUAACUUAAUUAUUGUCGCAGCCUCUGUUGCAUUGAUGAUGCUCCGUAUACUUGUAGUGCAACUUGCUCAAUGCUUCCUAAAUCCUAAGAUAAUGAUAGAACAAACAGUAUGUACAGAAAAAUUAGAGAAUAAAAUUAUCAAGAAGGAAACAGAAAUGUAGUAACAUUCAUACUGAACAAAAAUAGCAGCUAGGGGCUCAACACAGAUAAGAUGAUCUUGGUCAUACUGGACAAAGAAUGGUAUACAAACAGUAUGAUAAGAUUAAAGUAUACAAACAACAUAAUUAAUUGCCUGAUAAUACUCCCUCCGUUCCGAAAUAAUUGUCUUUCUAGCCAUCUCAAAUAGACUACAACAUACGGAUGUAUGUAGACAUGUUUUAGAGUGUAGAUUCACUCAUUUUGCUCCGUAUGUAGUCACUUGUUGAAAUCUCUAGAAAGACAAUUAUUUCGGAACGGAGGGAGUAGAAGUUAAGCCUUCUUCCAAUUACAUUUUAUUGCUCUGCGUCAGAGUUGAAAUUAGGUGAUCCAUGUGCCUUCAUGUACACAAGGUCAGAACAAAAGCCAAGAUCUGUCAUGAAAAAAAAUCAAGUUUACUUGCAUGCAUACAUGUCACUGCAUAAAAAAAGCAUGGGAUUGCACUUGAUAAAUACACAAGCAAGAAUAAAGAUGCAACAGUAGGAUCUAAGAAAAAUUAUACCGGUGAGCGCCCUGGAGAGUUCGUCAACCCGAUGCAUAGUACUCCAUGUCCAUGGAGCCACCACUCACCUGGUCUCUCAUUGUUCAGGAUGCGUCUCUCAACAGAAAGUAGCCGCCGGCUUCUUGGUGUGGAGGAUCUGUGAGGCGGAUCUGUGAGGGGACGGUGCUUGAUCUGCUAGGGGAUAGGGGAGGGGAGGAGCCAGCGUUGUCCUCGCUGCUUACCGACGGUGGUGACGAUGUGAGGAAGGCGCGCUCGGGCUCGUGGUGAGGCUGCGCGUAGGCGCGAGGAGGACAAGGUGUGGUUCGCUUGACCGGCGAGAGGAUAGAGAAGGUACAAGAAACGAGGGGAUGUGCAGUCUCAAGGGUGGAUGCGCCGGCCUGGAGCAGCGGAGUGGGACGACAAAGGCGGCGACCGCUGCUGCGGCGGCAGCGGUGGCGGCGAGGGUUAGGUCUGGCGGCGGAGGCGAGGGUUAGGUCUGGCAGCGGCGAGAUGGGGUGGAGACGAGGGCUGGGGCUUCUGAUUUGGGGAUCGAGGGUUUCUAUCUAUUUCAUUUUCUACGGGCCUUUUCCUUUGAGCCCACAGGUGGCGGGACGCGAAAACAAAGCGCGCCCAACAAAAAUUGUUCACCGCGGGAAGGCCUUUUUAGCUGGGCGUUGGAGCGCGAAACACUAAAUUGUUCCCUGUGGGCCAAGACUCACAGGAAUAUGGCCUUUCACAAACUGACAGGAAUAUAUUUAUCCUGUGAGUUCUACCCCAGCCCAUAGGAGUAUACAUGGUAUUCCUGUGAUCCACCGCGGGCCCGACAGGAAUAUAGUCCGGCCCACAGAAAUAUUCACGUUUCUGGUAGUACGGUUACACACCUAAUACCCCCUCCGUUCCUAAAUAUUUGUCUUUCUAGACAUUCAAAUGGAUUAUCACAUACCGAUGUAUGUAGAUAUAUUUUAGAAUGUAGAUUCUUUCAUUUUGCUCGGUAUGUAGUCACUUGUUAAAAUAUCUAGAAAGACAAAUAUUUAAGAACGGAGGAAGUAAAUUAAUCAUUCACUGAGGAGGACGCUCCCUACAGUACUAGUACAACGUAGUACUACUACUAUUUAUAGUUCAGCUUCCAUCUCCAGUACUAGUACGAUAGUACUACUAUUCCUAUUUAUAGUUCAGCUUCCACCUCCUCAUCACCAACCACCCAGAUGUGGACAAGUAUCUAUAACCAACCACCCAGAUGUGGACAAGUAUCUAUAAUAGUACAUGGUCUAACACGUUAUUGAAGAAAUUUCACUCCGGACGAGACCCGAACAAAUGAUAUUUCACAAGUCAUGGCAGAAGAAAACGAUAUCCCCACGGCACCAUUCUCAGAAGAGAAGGUGAGAGUUGCGGUGUUUCAAAUGGAACAUAACAAAGCUCCAGGCCUUGAUGGUUUCGCCGCAAAUUUCUAUCAAUUUUUUUUGGGAGAUCAUCAAGUCUGGCCUUCUGGAGUUGUUGAAUUGUCUUCAUGCCGACCGACUUAAUUUUGAAGGCCGAACGGAUUCAACAGUUCAGACCCAUAUGCCUCCUUAAUGUCAGCUCCAAGAUUUUCAUCAAAGUGACGACGAAUUGGUACGGUUCAACUCGGUAGCCGAGCAUGUUGUCCAACCAUCUCAAACGGCUUUAAUGUAAGGAUUGAAUAUACUCGAUAGCGUAGUAAUCCUACAGCAGACCAUCCACGAGAUGCACCGGAAAAACAUGAGUGCAGUAGUAUUCAAAAUUGGCUUUGAAAAAGCCUAUGACAAGGUCAGAUAGUCUUUCCUCCAACAGGCCCUAAGGAUGAAAGGUUUCUCCGAUAAAUGACGCCAGUGGAUCAAAAAAAAAUUAACUGGAGGUAGCGCGCGUGUGGCCAUUAAAGUCAAUGAUGAUGCCGGCCAUUACUUUCAGACAAAAAAGGACUACGACAUGGUGACCCCAUGUCCGCAAUGUUAUUUAACAUUGUGGCUGACAUUGUGACCCCAUGCUCACCUGCUUGGUUGCGCACAUGGCCAAAUCCCGAUUCAAUAUCUGGGAAUACUGAUUCAUGAUCGACGUCUCAUCAUUGCGAAGUGGAAGCAUGUAGAGGAGCGGCUAGAGAAACGGUUGAGCAGCUAGAAAGGCAAGUUGCUCUCAGUUGCAGGACUACUGGUUUUGAUAAACUCUGUCCUCACAAUAUGGUUCUCCAUGCUUUAUUUCUUCUAGCUCCCAAAAGGGUUCUUGCAAAGACUGGACUAUUUUAGGUCGAGGUUCUUUUUUAAAUGAGACGAUGAAAAGAAAUAUAUAGGCUGCCGAAAUAGAGCAUGGUUUGUAGGCCGAAAGAUCAAGGUGGCCUUGGUAUUCAUGACCCGCGGGUCAAGAAUGAGGCCCUACUUUGUAAAUGGUUGUUCAAACUUCUUUCCAAGGAUUGUCUUUGGCAAACCAUGCUACGCAACAAGUACAUAGACCAAAGGCGGUGUCUCAUGUAUGUUGAAAACCUGGAGACUCACACUUUUGGACCGGCCUAAUGGCGGCAGAGAAACAUCUCUUUCGCAUUGGGUAUUUCGAGAUAAAGGACGGGUCAGAGAUUAGUUUUUGGGAAGACAUCUAGCUAGACAAUGCUAGUCUCUGAGAACAAUACCCAACCUUAUACAUCAUUGCACGCGACAAGAAUAAUACUACUGCGCAGGUACUCAGCUCAUCCCCGCCAAAUAUUUCGUUUAGGUGGGAUUAGAUUUGCACCCGACAUAUGUCAUGGCAUAAUAUCUUGUCCCGUCUGGAUUCGAUUAACCUGACACAAGGCCGAGAUAUAUUUUGCUGAAACCUUACUACAUCAGGGUCUUUCACAGUAGACUCUUUGUAUCGUGCGCUCACGCAUUCUAUGGUACCGAUGAGUAAUAACAAAAAAAGGAAAGCAAAGAUACCACUUAAGUUAAAAUCUUCAUGUGGUUUUGAGAAACCUUUCCAUAAAUUGAGCUUCUCCUGAAAUUUGUAAGUUGUUUACAUAAUUAAAAUUUUCACAGAAGAAAAGAACUAGUAUGAAUCAUGUGUACAUAAACAGUACUUGAAUUGCAAUUGCACAGUCCUAAUGUAAAACUUACUUGACAUUGUGCGCUGCUUCCUGCUGUCCCAGACAAUUGCAAUAUUUGUUCUCCAGUCAGCAGACAACUAUUUCAAAGAGUACAAUCAUUCAGUACAAUCAAAAUCUCUAGUCUAAUCCAGUACCCCUAAUUCCGUAGGGUUAGAGAAACAAAGCUAUAAUUAGAACAAGAUUUGCAAUGGAGGCAGAGGCACACCGCAUUGGGGGUCUGAUGCAGCGUACUUGUUCCUUCUUUCUCCACAGAAUCAGCGACUUGCGGCGAUCUGGUGUUGGUGGGCGAGUACGGUGUAGGUAUGGGAAUACGAACGAAGCCGAAGGGUCGAGGGCACGAAGCGUAGCGUUUACAAGGACGAAAUCAAGGUCUUCGGGUUGUCCUAACCAAACAUGGCGACCAACCCCCAACUUGAGUACAUGCUUGGUGAGAUUAUGCGCCUCAACAUUUGAGGUCUUAAACUCGUGUUUAAAAAUAGAAGAAACAAAAUACGACGACCACUCUAUGAUUUCAUGUAUCACAGCUCCAAAGCUUUGCCGAACUUCCACUUUUUAUAUAGCUUCAAUAAUGACUUUACUAGAUGCCACCACCGUCCUAUGCAUGUACAGAUCCGAGCCCAGGGCAAAUCAAUGCAAGCGCUACUUCAAAAAAUCUAAUGUCAUCGUGUAAAGCUUGCCGAACUUCCACUUUUUAUAAAGCUUCAAUUCAAUCUGAGGCCAGGGUAAAUCAAAUCAAUGCAGAUUUCCUAUGAAAUUCCUCCAAACAGAAGAGGCCUAAAACUUAUAAACUACUAGAAGUAACUUGUUUAGACCUUUUUUUAAAAUAGUACAAUGGUAGAUGCUUGCAUAGACGCAGAUCAUUGAAAUUACCACAAGCGGCUCACAAUCGACGGGAAUGUCACAUCCCACUGAACAAAGAUUGUCGGAAAGUCUGAAAUUAAUCUAGAAAAAUGUGAGUAUGAGUGCCAAAUCUAAUACUUGAACCCUGGUGGGCUUUUUGCACCACAAUACGCUCAGUAAGUUUAACCAUUUGAGAUGCGCUCAGUUUUUUUCUUGUUUGCAAGAACACAUAGAUUCGCCACCAGUUACAUGAUGUCGGCGAGAUUAGCUAGUGAUGCGAUGAGUGGCAUCUUGAGGUUGUGAACUGUAGUGGAGUGGCAGCGACGAACAGCCACCACUGGACGUGGCCAUUGUUGCAGUAUGGGAGCGGAGCUAGGUCUUUGAGGUACUCCAUCGAGGAAGCCACCACAGUAUGGGAGCGGACGCCUCAUGACCGACCUCAUCGAGGAGGAGAGCGCUGACUUCAUGGCUCGGCUGCAUGAGCGCUCCGGGAUCGGCGAGGAGACGAGCGUGCCCAAUUCUUACCGCUAUAUGCCCCCCAAGCGCGGCGUGGAGGCUUCCCGGGAGGAAGCCGAGCUGGUCAUCUUCUCCGCCGUCGACAAGGUGCUGGCAAGGACGACGGUGAAUCCCGAGGACAUCGACACACUCAUCAUCGCCUGUAGCUUCACCACGCUGACACCGGUGUUCGCCGACGUGGUCGUCAACAAGUACAAGCUCCGCGCGGACGUGCAGAGCGUGAACCUGUCCGGGAUGGGGUGCAGCGGGGCGCUCAUCUGCGUCGGCCUCGCCGAGAAACUCCUGCAGGCUGCACCACCAGGGAAGCACAAGCACGUGCUGAUCAUAGCCACCGAGAUCCUGUCGUCGAUGAUGUACCACGGCACCAAGCGCGAGAUGCUUGUGCCCAAUGUGCUCUUCCGCAUGGGCGCCGCCGCCAUGAUCAUGACCAACUCACCGGAACGCGCGCGGUUCCGGCUCGGUCCGAUCGUGCGCACGCUGACCGCUGCCCGGGACAGCGACUACCGAUGCGCAUUCCAGGAGGAGGACGACAAGGGGAUCACGGGCAUCAACCUCUCCAAGGAACUUCCCGUCGUUGCUGCGAACGCGCUCAAGAGUCACAUUGUCACCUUCUGUCCCCGGGCCCUGCCUGCCUCGGAGCUUCUCCGGGUCGCCUUCUCCCUCGUCAAGCAGUACGUGUUCCCGCUCCCGGGCGCGCGUGGGCGUGCGGAGAAGGGCGCGCGGCCGGCCUUCAACAAGGUGUUCCAGCACUUCUGCAUCCACCCGGGCGGGCGCAGGGUGCUCCAGGAGGUGCAGCAUGGCCUCGGCCUCUCUGACCGUGACAUGGAGGCGUCGCACAUGACGCUGCACCGGUUCGGGAACAUGGCCAGCAGCUCGUUGCUGUACGAGCUGGCCUACAUCGAGGCCAAGGGCCGGAUGACCGAGGGUGACCGGGUGUGCAUGAUCUCCUUCAGCCCCGGCAUAGACUGCAGCAGCGUCGUAUGGGAGUGCAUCAACCCGGCGGCGGCAGAUCCCAACGGACCCUGGGCCGCCUGUAUCCACCGCUACCCUGUGCAGGUCAAGACGACCUAAGGCCAGGUUCGCUUCUUUUUAGAGCCUUGGCUUAUGCAUAAUUAAGCUGCAGUGUGCAGUGAAAAUAAGCUCAUGAGAAUAAAGCAUCCACUUCUUUUCUGCUCCUAUCUACUACCUUCGUCUGGAAAUACUUGUCAUCAAAAUGAAUAAAAAAGAUGUAUCUAGACGUAUUUUAAUUCUAGAUACAUCUAUUUUUAUCCAUUUUGAUGACGAGUAUUUUUGGACGGAGGGAGUAUUAGGUGUAAAGUCAGUAGUACUAAUAUCGGUGCACUGUAAUUCUGUUCUCAUUGAAAUAAAUUAUAUUUCCGAAUUUCGUGAAAUGUUACGAUUUUCUUUUUUUGCGGAGAUGAAAUAUUACAAGUUGAACCGAUGAAAGAUCAUUGUCACACAUACGAACGCCAUAACGAACGUGAAUUGCUCCUUACAGUUUAGCAGCCGUAUGGAGGCAAAUCAAUCAAGAGGACAAGAAUUCUGGUGUGGCUAUACGUCAGUCAGCUGAAAGAAAGUUUGGGGUCAGUCGAUUUUUCUCAACCGUCGGAUGCGAAAUCAACGGCCUGCACCUUACUUCAACCUCCAACCUUUGUUCCUCCUAUCGCCAGCCUAACCGCCAUCCCCCGCGGCCCGUGGCGCUCCUGCGACCGCCUUGCCACCCCGCUCUACCUUGAACCGCCCUCCACCGCGGGGCUUGUUGUCGCCCCCGGCAAUCCCCUAGCCCCGCCUGCGGCCCGUGUCCAGUUUUUGGGGUUUCUAUAUUCAUUUUCGCUUCUGCAAAAAAAUAAUAUGAAAACAAAUAUGGUAGCAUCAGUUCCGUCCGUUUCCGCUCCGAUUUCAUCCGUAGUGUCUUGAAACUUUUGUUUGUCGGGGUCAGCCAACAAAACUAUAUUAUGGCGAGGUGCCUCGACUUAGGCAUGUGAGUUUGAACUUCAUGCAAAUUGGAGAUAACGGCAGAAUUACUAGCUUCAGCUCGAGCAGGUAAGAAAUGUAAAGUUGACUCACGAUACCAGGUUUAGAGAUUAUAGUCUUAUAAGAAAUGAAUUUAGAUAUUGAAACUUCAUCAAGUUUACCUGACUUGUAAGGGUUAUAAAGAAUAUUAUCGUAUAUGAAUUUAUUGAUAAUUCUAAUUGGGGGUCUCAUAUCCUGAAUGAUUUAAUUAUUACAAGUUUUACGGUGAUUGGGCUUUUUUGGAGCCCUUCGUUUGUCUCAAUCUAACGGCACACACAUACGUAGUACUGGCUAGUACUCGGAUGAAGUAUUUCAAAGUACUAAAACUUGUGGGGAUGGUACUAAUGACAAUGUGGGGACACCUUUUAAUCUAGGAGCAUUUUAGUCAUUGGAAAAAUGUGCACGUGCCGCCCCUCUCGUCCAAUGCAAAACCGCCGCCAUGGUCCUCUCCUCUUCCAUUACGGAACUGCAGCCAUCUCCUCCCUCUCUUGCAUUCCAAAUCCACCGCAGCCAUCUCCUCCUUCUCGCCGCCGCAACUUUGCUCUUCUCNNNNNNNNNNNNNNNNNNNNNNNNNNNNNNNNNNNNNNNNNNNNNNNNNNNNNNNNNNNNNNNNNNNNNNNNNNNNNNNNNNNNNNNNNNNNNNNNNNNNNNNNNNNNNNNNNNNNNNNNNNNNNNNNNNNNNNNNNNNNNNNNNNNNNNNNNNNNNNNNNNNNNNNNNNNNNNNNNNNNNNNNNNNNNNNNNNNNNNNNNNNNNNNNNNNNNNNNNNNNNNNNNNNNNNNNNNNNNNNNNNNNNNNNNNNNNNNNNNNNNNNNNNNNNNNNNNNNNNNNNNNNNNNNNNNNNNNNNNNNNNNNNNNNNNNNNNNNNNNNNNNNNNNNNNNNNNNNNNNNNNNNNNNNNNNNNNNNNNNNNNNNNNNNNNNNNNNNNNNNNNNNNNNNNNNNNNNNNCAGUAGAUCGAGCAGAUCGCCGGCGGCGACCAGGUCAAGACGGCCAGGUUGAGGGAGAUCCGUUCUUGGUUUGACAACACAAGGCAGAUGAACUGGGCGGCAAGGUACAUUUAUAUGUUGUAGGAUUGGAUAGAUCAAGGUACAAGAAAAAGCCCAAGAAGGGUAAAAGAAAAAGCCCAAGGAGAAGGGAAAAGCAUGUGUCCUCCUGUAUUGUUGGAAAUUCUUCGAGACUAAUGAGAAGUAGAACAUGACAAAUAGGGAGGCUCCUCCAUACCACUUCUUUCUCUCUUGAGUUUGAUGAUGGUGCCGGCGGUGGUGGUGGUGGUGAUGAUGAUGAUGAGUGGAUGCAUAGGAGUCCUACACCCGGAUCAAGUAUGGGGUGCCGGACAAAGAGAUCGACGAAGAUGCUCAAGAUAUAAAGAGAUGUGGGGGCUGAUAAGUACAAGAUUGCAGAGAUGAAAAGUCAAGGAAGGAAUUGGUGGAGAAGAGCAAACAAGAGAAGCUGGAGUUCGGGAAGAGGAGGAUACAAGAGAAGAUGGAACGAUGGGAACAAAUUAAUGGAAGUAAAAUGCGAGAUGGAUGCACAUAGGCUUCAACUUAUUGAAUACAAUCAAUUGAUGCAGGAGAAGAUGGCUGAAAAGAACUGGCUCAUGAUGUUAGAAAUUCCAUGUAUGAAACAUCAAGAAGAUUUGGGGAGAUGAGUCUAGCAGAGAUCGUGACUUCUAGGAUGCCAUGGAGUUGCUAGUGCACCGGAGGAGGGGGCGAUGCACAAAUGGGAGGAUGCCGUGCUCUUGACGACAUGUGAUUUUUACAUAUCAGCUGAAUGUGUGCAUUAUGAUUCAUCUUUUGUUUAUGCAUUUGAAGCCUACGAGCAUUGCUUUUGCCUUAAGUUUAUAUUAUGUCUAAAUUUGAAUUUGAAUCUUGAACCUGUCGAUUUGGUUUGAACUGCUGGUCAAGUGUGUGUGAUGUUUAACAACGACAAGCUCGGCUUAUAUAUGUGUGAAAACUCGGGAUUGAUUAGAGUGCACAGAUAUAGGAAAGAUAAAUUUUUCAAGGUUGCAUGUUUGCAACUUUGAGUUUACACACAGCCUCUACGUUUGGCGAGUUUGAGUUUGCGCACAACCUCUGCAACCUUAAAUAUUUUUUGGAGGGUCCCCAAAACUGUUUUGGAGGCCGUGAAUACGGCUGAUCUGCUAGAGUUGUUCUAAGACUUUCAACUUCACACCUGAGAACUGUGAUGUUGUGUACUUGCAUGUCUACUCUUACAGAUAUGGGAACAAAUAAACUGAACCUCCACCGAACAAGAGAAAAAUAAAGGUUAUUUGUGCCCGUGAUUAAAUACAAGAUGGAAUACAGAAGUAUUUACAAGCAUAAUAAUAUUAUUUCUAUGUCAGGCUUAAUAAGGUUCAAGACCUAAUACUAAGUACUCCUGCAGUUGAAAUUAAUACUCAUCACACUCCGGCAACUUCUGUUGUUCACCGUACAUUCUCAGAUCAUCUGCAAACUGCACGUCUCUCCUAAAAUCGAAGAUGAAAUCUGUGUCUAGCAUUCCAUCUGUGUUCAUUGUUCCACCGUGAGUAAUAUCACCAUCACACUCAAAAUAGUCUGUUGAAUCUGGAUAAACAAUCUUCCUCGCGGAUCCCUUUCCAUAGAAGCAACGGCCUGUCACCAAAACCAGAAUUGAUUAUGUAUCAGUCACAAGAAAACAGCUCCGACAGUAAUUCUUCCAAGUGAAAUGUUUGGCAAACCAUGUCUAUUUUGCAUUGGUUCCACUGACCACACCAUAAAACAGUGGCAGUUUUAAGCAACCAUGCUUGACACAAUAAAGGUUACUAGACAAAGUGUAUCCGUAAAACAUCUUAAGAUGCUGAAAUUUUCUGCACGCGAUCAGCAGCAAAGCUGCAAGAACACACAAAUGUUUUAAUUUAUUUCGGAAUUGCUACAUAUAUUCAAGUUAUAUUGAUCGAUAACAUGGCCUAAAUGUUGUAUAGCAAGAUUCAGAGGUGUACACAAGACAUGAAACCGAAUUAGGUAAGCCAGAUAACAUGAUCUCAGCUGCGGGCACAAGCCAUUUUAUUAACUGAAGAAUAAGACUUUUCGACAAGAGAGUUAACAUGAUUGCAGCAAGCAUAAGGCUUUUCGACAAAGCAUAAGGCCUUUCCUAUGUUUGGACGAAACAAGCAAGCAUCAUUGGUUGCAGAAAAAUAAGAAUAAGCAUCGUAGGAUCAAAAGACGAAAAGGUCGUAGAAGAAAUCAUAAGGCUUUUCGACAAAUCAGGGUGGAAAUUCUCCUCUUUAAUUUUCAAAACCUGCAUUUUUUUAAACUGAGGCAAAACUUUUGCCUGGUUGAUAAAUUAAGGAGAAGAGAAUUGCCCAGUUAAUUUAUGGAAAACCGGACGAAAACCAAAAACCUGCGUAUAUAGCUGCUCAAGGAACGGGGACUUACUGGUGUGUGUGAAGAGUAGAGGGCAGCAGAAAUUUGGUUCUGUCUUCUGAUAGGGAAACGAACAAUUGACUUGGGCGAAGAAAAACUAGUUAUGGGCCCCUGAUUUGGGAGCAGCCACAAAGUUAAUGUGGUAGCAUUCCCUGCCCAAGGAUUCCGAAGCGGACUCCACGCCACAGGUAACACUCGUUGCAUACUUUGGUUCCUAAAACAAGCAGCAACAAAGGUCAAUUAAUACAGAAAUGUAUGGAAUAUAUAUGUACUACGUAUGUACCAACUAAAUAACAAUGAACACAAAUAAAUUAAAGCCAGGUUGAUGUACCCGAGGAUGCUCCGAUGCAUAUUUUUGCAGUGCUUGUGCGACCCGAGAGCGAAUGUGUUGGGGAUAUAACUAUUAGGUAUGACCCGCCCACGAGGGGCCGGGCUAUACCUAUGGCGAUUCAUCAUAUGAAGCCCACGAGGAUAUUGAAGAUGGCGGUUUAGUUAAGGGCCCAAGGCCCAAAGGCGACUUAAAGCCCGUAGGGGUAAACCGCCAUAUAUGUAAAGACUUGCAUUGUAAAGCACGUAAAAGUAGUCACCGAGCCGGACACUUAUCUAUGAGCCGGCCGGGACUCCGUGAGCCGCUGGGCGUCAACCUGUGUAUAUAAAGGGAAGACCUGGCGGCGGUUCAAGACAAGAAAGACAACAGAUCGAAAGCUAGGUCAAGCGGAUUCACUCCCUGGUAAUCGAGACAUAAGCAAUACCACCUCAAACUGGAUUAGACCUUUACCUUCACUGCAAGGGGCCGAACCAGUAUAAACUCCCGUGUCCUUUGUCCCGUUUACCCCUUUAAACUACCUACUUGCGAUGGCUCCACGACUAAGUCCUUUUGCUAGGACAUCUGUCGUGACCUUUCCACGACAGUUGGCGCCCACCGUGGGGACAACGCAUGGUGGUUUCGAGUUCUUAAAGGGCAGCUUUGCAGGGCUCAAGGGAUACGCUGUAGGCCGGAUGACCAAGAGUCGUCGCGGCAAGCUCUACAUCGACGAUGCAGGCUGGGGCCCGAGGCCGGCUCAAUUGAGAACGGGUAUAGGGUCCCCUUCGGUGGAAUCCACGUCUUCAUCGGCAAAAUCGGCGAGCCGGGCCCUGAGCCGGACACCUGCACCGACAUCAUCGAGAUGGCUCAGUGUGCGAGACCCGCCCGAGCUCAGCCUGUCAUGAAGCGUGCCUUCGUGGGAUGCAUCCAUGGAGCGGAAUUUGAUAAAGGAUCUAUGUCUGGCGGUGAGACGGCCAUCUACUCUGAUGGUGAGUCUUCCACGGGUGAGACUACUUCAUUGUAUUAGCUGCAAGAUGGCGGGUUUGGGGGCUAUUCCAAUGGCGAUAGUAUUCUGGACCCCUAUGAGCCGCCAAACAGAGUCGGGAUCUUCAUGGCUGGUACCCAGCCUGGGUAAAAUUCUUCAACUGCAGCGGCGAUGACUUACGGGUCAGCGCGGUAACGGCAGCCGAGGCAGGAGGCCCUGCUUUGGAUGCUCAGGCCCAACGGAUUCAGUCGGAGGCUUUCCAGCUUACGAUGGAUCAAAACGCUUCAAAUGAAAUCAUGAGGAGGAGGCACCGGUCCCGUCUACCUCCGGUUUACGAGGCUAGAAACCUCUUCCGCACGCCUGGUGCAGGGCCCAGUAACCCGCCAGAGUUAAACCGGGCUGCGGCACCCGGGGUUGGGACGCCGGUUCAACCACGCAUGACGGAACCCCAUCGUCUGAAUACCGCUCCGCCUCAGCAUGUACCGACACCACCGGGUCAUUAUUCUAAUCCUUUGGAGAACAUGAUUGUUGCGGCGGCACGAUUGGCGGCUCUCCCGGUGGAUGGCGACUCUCCAACAGUGAUUGAAACACGAAGGGUCAGAGAACUUCUUCAAACAACCUUGGCGCAGCAGGAGGCAUAUUCUUACAGUCAAGAUAGGAUUCAUUCGACUCCUCGCCCAAGCCGGAGUUACAGAAGGCACAUGGACUCACCAGCCGUUUCAAGCAAUGCCCAGCGCCGUGUCCAGCCGCAUGGGCAUGACCCGGCGCAUGAUGGAGCUCUUAACUUGGUUGAUCAAGAUAGAGUGCGUCAACAAGCCGAGCAGGCGGCUCAGCAGGCGGCUCACCAGCCCCUUCCAGUUUAUCCAACGACUUCGGUUGAGGCAGUCGUGACCUCUAGAUCUACAGGUGUACCCUGUUUGGUGCCAGCUCUGCAUAAUGAGCGUUUGCCCAAAGAUUUCAAAGGACCUCAAAAGGUGCCUAAUUACACAGCCGACUUACCCCCUGAGGCGUGGAUUGAAAGUUAUGAGAUGGCCAUGGAAUUAUUGAAAGUCAGUGACGCUGCGUGUGCCAAGUACUUCACCAUGAUGCUGGAUGGAACGGCCCGCACUUGGUUAAAGGGUCUGCCGGCUAAUUCCAUCGGGUCAUGGGCUGAGCUAAAGGCCCAGUUUAUUCAGAACUUUAAAGACACAUGCAAGAAGCCCAUGUCGAUCGUGGACUUAGCGACUUGCGCCCAAGAGGAGGAUGAAUCAAUGACUCAUUGGGUGCGCCGGGUCAAAGCUAUCAUACAUUCAUCUGAUAACAUGAAUGUCGGCUCUGCGGUCUUAAUGUUGGAGAAAAAUUGCCUUUUUUGCCUCUUAAACAGAAGCUGGGGCGGCUCAAGCGCAAUUGUAAUGAUAUGGGGCAGCUGAUGGUGGCUCUAAUCAAAUAUGUUGACUUUGAUAGUACCAAGGACCCCCGAGUCUGACGAUGAGAAGGCAGGGAAGGGAAAGAAGAGCGGUAACGCCAAGGGUCAGCAGCAUAACCUGGCGAAUCAGGGGGGCAACAGUAAACGCAAGGCGGAUGGUAGCCCGGAGUUUGUGGCUAACACCAACGUACUGGGCAAUAAUCAGUGUUGUAAGGGGUACAUAUCUACACAUAUGACUACAUAAGAUAUUAGUGGAGAAUUCAGAUUCAGAUUCUCUGAGAACGCGUUUAGCCUUAUUGCUGAUAAUGCAGCGUGAUCUUUUUUUUAGAAAAGGAGGAUGACCCCCGGCCUCUGCAUCUGGGCAAUGCAUACGGCCACUUUAUUAAUUAUUCUCACAAGACCUUACAAAGUCAUACAACAGUAAGACUAAAGCCGCCGUCUAAGCAACAAACUGUCGCUACACCUGUCCAGUUGAUGAAGGGGCGCAGAUAGUCUGGGCCUAAUACCAAACAGACAUCGCAGCCAAGCCUAACAUCUAAGACCUGAGACCCCAACCUAGCCACUUGCCAGGUAUGGGGCACACACUGGUCCGGCGUGCUCUCAGAGGCCGCCGCCACCAACUGCCACCGCUCCAUCUUCAGAACUGUACUGAUGCAUGAAUCUUUCUCGGUCUAGCUAUCGUCGACGCCACCAUGGCGCCCAACGGAACCUCCUCCCUGUGCACAAACAGCUGAGCACGUCGCGGUCGCCACUGAUACACCUCAGCGCCAUUGCUGCCAAGUACCACCAGCCAACACAGCUUGAAGUUCUUGGAAAGUCUGUCGUGCGUAGCACCUGCCGACCAGGCAUGACAAAGCGUAGCACCUGUCGGUCAGGCAUGACUUGACAUCUCCACCGAAGCUCCGUGCAAGACGAAGCCGCUCCACCUGCUGCCUCUGACUUCCAGCGCUACUCUGCAAACGAUGCUCCCAAGAGAGAAACGACACCGCAGUGACGCCAUCGUCCGAUCUGGAACACCAGAUCCUAGGGUUUCCCCCAGAGCAGCACGAGUGGGUCUACAGUAGUUACACGACAAUGCCUUCAUCAAGGUAACGGCGAGAACGCUGCCAUCUCCUGCCGUCGGCUCGGUUUUCACCAGCAACCAUGUCUCCCCUACUCGCAGCUGGGACAAGAUGAUGGAUCUCGAGAUCCGAUCACCAAGCCUCUGGCCGGCCAUCUCUGGAAGAAGACGACCACCACAUCCACCAGCGUCACCACGCCGGGCACGCGUCGCCGCCGGCACCCCCAUGGUUCCUAGAGGCCGACAAGCCCCGACGAACACCAUGCCUUGCCAGCCGCCAUGGCCUAGACCCAAGCACCACCAGAUCCAGAUCGGAUCGGGGUCAAGGGCCCCAAGCCGCAGCAGCCGCGGAGGCUGUUGGAAAUAUGCCCUAGAGGCAAUAAUAAAAUGGUUAUUAUUAUAUUUCUUUGUUGAUGAUAAUUUUCUAUUAUUUAUGCUAUAAUUUUAUUAUCCGGAAAUUGUAAUACAAGUCCCUAGUGAGCCUCUAGUUGACUAGCUCGUUGAUCAACAGAUAGUCAUGGUUUCCUGACUAUGGACAUUGGAUGUCAUUGAUAACGGGAUCACAUCAUUAGGAGAAUGAUGUGAUGGACAAGACCCAAUCCUAAGCAUAGCACAAAGAUCGUGUAGUUCGUUUCGCUAGAGCUUUUCCAAAUGUCAAGUAUCUUUUCCUCAGACCACGAGAUUGUGCAACUCCCGGAUACCGUAUGAGUGCUUUGGGUGUGCCAAACGUCACAACGUAACUGGGUGACUAUAAAGGUGCACUACAGGUAUCUCCGAAAGUAUCUGUUGGGUUGGCACGAAUCGAGACUGGGAUUUGUCACUUCGUAUGACGGAGAGGUAUCUCUGGGCCCACUCGGUAAUGCAUCAUCAUAAUGAGCUCAAUGUGACCAAGUGUCUGGUGACGGGAUCAUGCAUUACGGUAUGAGUAAGUGACUUGCUGGUAACGAGAUUGAACGAGGUAUUGGGAUACCGACGAUCGAGUCUCGGGCAAGUAACGUACCGAUUGACAAAGGGAAUUGUAUUCGAGAUUGAUUGAAUCCUCGACAUCGUGGUUCAUCCGAUGAGAUCAUCGAUGAGCAUGUGGGAGCCAACAUGGGUAUCCAGAUCCCGCUGUUGGUUAUUGACCGGAGAGGCGUCUCGGUCAUGUCUGCAUGUCUCCCGAACCCAUAGGGUCUACACACUUAAGGUUCGGUGACGCUAGGGUUGAAGAGAUAUUAGUAUGCAGUAACCCGAAAGUUGUUUGGAGUCCCGGAUGAGAUCCCGGAUGUCACAAGGAGUUCCGGAAUGGUCCGGAGGUGAAGAAUUAUAUAUAGGAAGUGCAGUUUCGGUCACCGGGAAAGUUUCUGGGGUCACCGGUAUUGUACCGGGACCACCGGAAGGGUCCCGGGGGUCCACCGGGUGGGGCCACCUAUCUCGGAGGGUCCCGUGGGCUGAAGUGGGGAGGGGAACCAGCCCCUGGUGGACUGGUGCGCCCCCCCUUGGGCCCGCCCUGCGCCUAGGGUUGGAAACCCUAGGGGUGGGGGGCGCCUCCACUUGCCUUGGGGGCAAGCCACCCCCUUGGCCGCCGCCCCCCCUUGGAGAUCCCAUCUCCUAGGGCCGGCGCCCCCCUAGGGGGCCUAUAUAAAGGGGGGGAGGGAGGGCAGCCGCACCCAAGUCCCUGGCUCCUCCCUCUCCCUGCAACACCUCUCCCUCUCGUAGAAGCUUGGUGAAGCCCUGCCGUGAUCGCUGCUGCAUCCACCACCACGCCGUCGUGCUACUGGAUCUUCAUCAACCUCUCCUUCCCCCUUGCUGGAUCAAGAAGGAGGAGACGUCUUCCCAACCGUACGUGUGUUGAACGCGGAGGUGCCGUUCGUUCGGCGCUAGGAUCUCCGGUGAUUUGGAUCACGACGAGUACGACUCCCUCAACCCCGUUCCCUUGAACGCUUCCGCAUGCGAUCUACAAGGGUAUGUAGAUGCAGUCCCCUCUCGUUGCUAGAUGACUCCAUAGAUUGAUCUUGGUGAAGCGUAGAAAUUUUUUAUUUUCUGCAACGUUCCCCAACAGAGGCAGCACCACUGGACGGUGCCCUGCCCUCCACCCCGCCAUAGGACCGAGUCAUCGCCGGAGCUCCGCCGCGCCACGCCGCCAAGCCGCAGCCGGAAGAACUCAUGCCGCCGCCAGGGGAGAGAGAGAGACACGCCAGGGAGAGGCCCCGCCGCCGCCGGCACUGCCUGGGCUCUGUCCGGCUAUGUCCCUUGGCGACGGCGAGGGGGGAGGGAGGGUGUUUGAGGGCCGGCGGCGAAGGGAGCUAGGGUUCCCCCGAGUCGCCUCAGAGAGGGACGCGGGGGACGUGGCUGUCCGGCUGGGUUGUUGCUCUGACCGUGGACUGCUGCAACGUUGUUGUUGCCUCCCUCUGUUGGGUUGGUCAGCGGUGGUGUGGUGGUUCACGACGAUUAUAUUAGGCAGUUCCGACUGCGGUGAUGAUUCGACUCUGUUUCGAAGUCGGCUCAUUUGCAGGCGGCUCGUGUUGGCCUCCGCUCCAAUCCCUAGUUGCGCUUAUGCGGGAUGAGACAGAGGGAUGGCCCUCUCCGAGAUGAUUUCCAUCUCUAAGGGAUGGAUUCGUCAUCAGGAGGGCCACAAGGUCAGCCUUGACUCCCAUCUGGUGGAGGUGCGCACCGGGGAGCUCGUCCUCUAGGCGGGGAAGGUGGGGCGGUGGAUGUCAGAUCUGGUUGGCCCAGAGGGCUUCGACCUCGGGGCUGUCCAGGGAUGUAGCAGGAAGUGCAUUCGCGCCGGUCUCUUUGGUCAUCGUAGUUGCAAGCCUGGGUUGAGGCUGGAGUUGGGUCCAUGGAUGUCGGGGCGGCCACCUUGGUGGGGGGAGGAACAAUGUUCAUACCAAAGCUCGUGGGUCAGGUGUUGGGUGGUUUCCAUGGCCAUGUGGGCGGCGUGGUGGCCAAUGUGCGAAGGUCAGUGGUUGUGGUACGACAGUCGGUGGUUGUGGUACAACGGUCGGUAGCUUGUGGUACAAGGUCUGGGGAUGAAGAGGGCUUGCCGGGCCGGGUGAACACCCUCUCUGGCUCUACCUGUCCGAAGAUGGCGCCUAUUGGCUUCGUCUCCUUCUUGAAGGCAUCGUCACAGUUACUUCUUCAUCCUCUUUGUUGUUAUGGGGAAAGACUUGAUCCCUAAAUCGGGUAGUGCCAGCGCUCCGCGAUCGUGCUCUUUCAGAAGUCCCGACUUCGAGUACUCGGUUCCUUCGCAGUGACUCGUUCGCGGUUGAGGGCUCAUGGGACUUCAAGCGGUGCCUUAGGUUCCUACUUGUAGAUUGCUUGGAGUGGUAUGAGGUUAUGUAGUUAUUCCUAAACAUCCCCGUAUCUUGCCAUGCAUGUGUUGUGGUGUCGAGUUGUAUUGGUUGGAUUGUAUGUUGGUUGGUGCUUUAUCUGUAAAGCGGGUCGUGGGCCUUUUUUUGUCAUUUUCAUUACUCUCUCAUUCUUUGUUGUAAAUAGUACUCGCUUCGUAAAGAAAUAUAAGAGCGUUUAGAUCACUAAAGUUGUGCAACGAGUGCUUGUAGCAUAGUGAGGGUCCUAUUAUCGUCCAGUCGUCCAGGGCAUAUCUUUACGAUGGAGUUGAAGAGGUGUGGAAGGAGGUGCAUUCGCGCCAUAAUAGAUCACUAAAGAAAUAUAAGAGUCUAUAUAGAGGGAGUACAUAUUUUAGUACCUAAGAAAAUCUCUGCAUGGAAGGUAGCAACGAGUGCAUUAGCUACCAAUUUGUGCAAAAAAAAUUCAGACAUAUUCCCACUAGGGAUACAUGUCAUGUAUGCAGCACGGAGGCUGUGUUUGUUUCAGCUUUUGUAGACAGUUUCCUGCGAGAAAAAGCUAAAGCUGUACCAAACAGCUAAAAUAGAGCAGUUUUGUGUGCAAAGCCCAUAUCAGUUUCGGCCAGUUUUACGUGGUAUAGCCCAAAGCACCUCGCCGCGUACUUUCGCUGCGAAGCUGCUCGUAAUAGGCAGUUUUCCCAGCGCUAACCCUGCCCUUUGUCCAGAUUUACAACAAAAUUGCCAUCCGUCCUAUGCCCUGCGAGAGCUCCGGUUCCGCCAGAUUUGUACGAACAUCUAAUUAUAUGUACGGAUUAUGAAUUAUAAUGGACGGUCUAAUCCUUUAGCUCUCUUUUGUAUGGAUUAUUAGUUAUAUGGACUAUCUUUUGUAUUGUACGGGCAAUUGUGACUUGCAUGGACUAGCGAUGUGACAACAUAAUUAUUUUGCUCACUAUUAUUCUAUGUAUAUAUGAGCAAGAAAGUGAGAAAAAUAUUAUUAUGAAAGAUUUUAUGCAUUAUCAUAGAACAAAUCAUUUCCUGUCAGUCAAAAUACCAUUUAAACAAUCUAUUAACACUGAAUCAACAAGUUACACUGACCUUAGUACUCUAAGGGCAUUUUGGGCUUUUCAUCAGCUCAAAGUCGUUUCCACAACUGGUUGCCAAAUAGCUAACCUUCACUACAGCUGUUUCCUCAGCACAACAGUUUUGCCAGCACAGCAAGUCCACAGCUGAAACUGUUGAAACUGAAGCCCAAACAAACACAGCCAGAGGCAAAAACUACAUAUCACGUCCUUGUUAGAUGCGAUCAUGCACACAUACUAUGGGAGCUUAUGCGGUCAGUUUAGGUCUUGCCACAAAAUACCCAACUAGUUAAUGCUGGCAAGGACUGGUUGUUGGAUGUGCUGGCGAAUUCGAACGAGGAUAAGAGGGAUCGGGUUAUCAUGUUGGUGUGGUGAAUCUGGUCAUUGAGAUCAGACAUGGCCCAUGGCAAGGAAGUACCUUUUCCUCGUAUUUCGGUCGAGUACCUUCAAAGCUACAUGUCAUCCCUAAGAGUGCCAAGGCGGUUCAGUGCAGAAGAAAUCAUAAUAGGGAAAAUGACAGUCGACAUGGGGCCUCCUUCUACCACGAAAACAGCUAUGAUGGUGCUGCCUUGGCCUCCUCCCUCGGCAGACCAGGUUGCUCGAUCGGUGGAUGGUGCCUUUUCAUGUGUCGAUGGUUCUCCGGCAGCAGGUACGAUCCUUCGACAUGAUGGCAAUGUGAUCUUUGUGGCAUACAGAUACCUUUUCAACUCCAAUGACGCGCUUGAAGCGGGAAUUCAUGCAUUAACACAAGAUAUGGCAUUGGCAUUGUAGCAUAGUGAGGGUCCUAUUAUCGUCCAGUCGAACUCUUCAUAGGCCUUGGCAUCUGUAACUGAAAAAAGUCUGGAUCGUUCAACAUACGGGCAAUUGGUAGCUGAGAUUAAGUUUCUUAUGCUUGAUAGAGAAUUUAUUCCAACAAAAAUUAGACGUGAAAAUAAUAUGGUAGCAUAUCAAUUGGCUACAUAUAGUCGUGCAGAAUGUACCACUGCAAUAUGGGUAAGCCAAGGUUCACCUUGCAUGGAGGAACUUCUGCCUUGCAACUCUAACCCUCUAUUGACUUAAUAAAACUCUAUUACCCCUGUUAGAAUAAAUUCGAGGUAUACCGUCGAUCAUCCGAGGACUAAGCAAUCACACGAGCACGACACCGAGAUUUGUUAACGAUGUUCACCGAUAUGGCUACAUCCCCGGGGCCUGACUACGGGCGCUCCUCCCCGUGACACCGUCACAAUACCGCACACCGGCCACUUGGGCGUCGGCACACGUCGCCGGCUCCCCCUUGCGCGCCUGUGCUAUUAUGUUGGCAUAGAUUAUAUCGUGUGUCUACCCCCGCUAUAUAUGAGAGGCAUAGGAUACAAGUGUUCUACUAGGACACGACUCCAUAUCCUAUCUAAAUACAAUACAACUACAAGUCCAACUGCAACCUACCUUGUACACUUUAUUCGACACAACUCUAACAAACUCCACCUUGGCGAAUAUUCUCCAGCACCUUGAAUUCGUUAAUGCGUCAAACUUCCAUGUACAUUGGACUUGAGCUUAUCCCAUGUGUAUCGCUGCUACUCCAAAGACUCCACGUGACUCCACCUGCAACUUGUAGUACCUUCUUUUCUUGACCACAGUCAACACUCGAGCAAAAUUAAGUUCCUUGUUACUCUAGUUUGUGCUUCCAACUUCCAGAGUAUCCGUCCAACGCCAUCACACACUGAUUACUGACCUGCGUAAAAGUGAACAACUCACAUAUUGGAUGCCACAUAUAAGAGUUACCUGAACUCAACAUCACCGCUCCUUUCUUGACUGUCGGUCUGAAACAUGAAGAGAUUUCACCAUUGCUUGUAGUCAUCCCGAGUUAACUUCGCAGUUGUCUCACCACAUGUAUGACCACUAGAGCCCUGGCCCGUCUCCAUGUCCCGUGCAUACCGCACGCCUCGCCGCUAUUUCCGCGUUGAGCCUCCACUGUCCCGGUCGAGUCUCAAGGGUCGCAAACCCACACCACUCAACCCCCACUGCAGAGUACCACCGAUCAUCACCGACCGAUGACGAGUUUCACACUUCCAUCAGAUCGCUGGGCUCCAGUCCGAACUACGUGUCCCUUGCUUUUUCCCACUGAAUAGGCUUCGACUCUCUGUGCACUUAUGCUGUAGCCCCUCAAUCAGCACCGAGUGAAGUCCUCCAGACUCUAGCUCCACCUUCAACAUGACUCCAUGGUAGAUGAUCAGUCCACCCACGCGCUCCGUCGACUACAAGAUCACAUGUGCACCGUCUUGAAUCAACCCCGCGCCAUAGCCUCACUAGUAGAAAAAUGGCCUAUUGUCCCGGUUCGUAAGGGCCAUUUGUCCCGGUUGUUGAACCGGGACUAAAGUGUCGUUACUAAUGCCCUAGGCCUUUAGUUCUGGUUCUUAUACAAACCGGGACAGAUGGGCCUCCACGUGGCCGGUGCGGCAAGCCCAGGCAGGAGCCCUUUGGUCCCGGUUGGUGGCACCAACCGGGACCAAUAGGCAUCCACGCAUCAGUAUUUCAAGGGAUGGGGUUUUUUUUGAAGGGGGGGGGUUGGNNNNNNNNNNNNNNNNNNNNNNNNNNNNNNNNNNNNNNNNNNNNNNNNNNNNNNNNNNNNNNNNNNNNNNNNNNNNNNNNNNNNNNNNNNNNNNNNNNNNNNNNNNNNNNNNNNNNNNNNNNNNNNNNNNNNNNNNNNNNNNNNNNNNNNNNNNNNNNNNNNNNNNNNNNNNNNNNNNNNNNNNNNNNNNNNNNNNNNNNNNNNNNNNNNNNNNNNNNNNNNNNNNNNNNNNNNNNNNNNNNNNNNNNNNNNNNNNNNNNNNNNNNNNNNNNNNNNNNNNNNNNNNNNNNNNNNNNNNNNNNNNNNNNNNNNNNNNNNNNNNNNNNNNNNNNNNNNNNNNNNNNNNNNNNNNNNNNNNNNNNNNNNNNNNNNNNNNNNNNNNNNNNNNNNNNNNGGGGUUGGUGGUUUUGGGGGGUUAAUUUAGGUGUUUCAUAUAUUGUGUUAGCUAGCUAAUUAAUAGAGAGAAGUGUCCUCUCUUAUCUCCGUGCUUGGUCGACGCUAUGUACUAUACGUAUAGAGAGGACUAGACACGCUAGCUAGUAAGCAAAUGAAGGAAACAGAAGAUCGUCAUGAACAUAUGCAUACAGAGAGAAGCGAUAUCGACCAUCUCUCCUUCUCUGAGAGAUUGGUCGAAUAACAAGUUCUCGUAUAUCUAUCCGACGCUACUGGCUACAUAUAUACAAUAUAAUUAUCUCUUACAAUAUAAUCUCCUAAUUAUAUAUGAACUCAGGGUCCACAUGGUAUUCUUCGUCUUUAUCGAUCACGUGGUCAAGAAAGAAUGCUGCCAAUUCUCUUGAAUUGCUUGCAUACGAUCUGGUGGUAGGAGUUCAUCCCGCAUCCGAAAUAUCUAAUUUGAAGAAGGGGGUCAAUACAAUAUAUGAAUAAAUGAAACUCAACACAAAUGAUGGUAAUAAAAUAAAAUUGUGAAUAUUAUUAUUUACGCACUUCAUAUUGUUUGUUAGAGUAGCCCCGCUCACAGGUCGUGUGGCGGAUGGACUCACAAAUGUAGUAUCCACAGUAAUCAUUCCCUUGUUCCUGCCACAACCACUUUACAAGAAAUAGAGGUCAAUCAAACUGAUAAGCAAUCAUGCUAAAUGGUAUUGAUGAAACUAGCGCUUGAAUCACUAGGAGAUGCGCGGAACAUGCUACUAUAGUACUUACUUUCGGGUGUUUAAAUUGCAGCUUCUUCGGCAGUCUCGGAGUUUUUGAGGUGAAUUUUUUCCAAACCCUGCCAGACAAAGAAAACAAUUACUUGAUAUCAGGAAAUGAACAAAGUUGCUGAUAUGGUGCAAUAAUGAUCGAUUUAACUUACUUCUCUAGAAUUUCAGUCAUGUCCGCAUACUCCUUGGGAUCUUUUCGUCUCGAGUCUAAGACGGUUACUAGUCCCUGCGCAAGCUUAAUCUCUAGAAGAAUAUAGUGGAAGCUGUGCACGCAUGCAUAACUCAUCAAUUACAUUACUAUAACCUCGACUAAUAAGGGAAACCGAAUAUGCACAAGACAGUAACACUCACUUGAAGUUGUAAGGAAAGAGUAUUAUAGCUUUGUUUUGAUUUAAUAUAAACGAUUGUAGCAACUUGGCGUCGGUAUCUCUGGCCUGAAAUUCAACAAUAUAUGCAUCUACGAGAUUUGUGUUAAUGAACCCAAUAUCACCGAUUUGUCUUUUCUUCAAUUCGUCGAUCUUUGAUCUGCAUAAUAUAGUAAGGAUAAUUAAAAAUACAUGCAAUGAAAGAGCUGACCUAUAUAUAGAGACUCAAUGGCAGAAGUAGUACUACUUACAGGCAGUAGCAAGUGACCGUUAAUUUCUCGAGGGCCUUUUGAUUGAAAAACAUGAAGAACUCCUCAAAUGGAACAUUCAACAGUUCAAUUCCAAUGAGGUCAUGCUCCUCUCUAACUCUCAGCGUCAAAGUAUUCCUCCCCCAGACUCUCUGCAGGUUUUCAUGUACCAAUCAUGGAAUCUUCGCAUCAUCAUUGUUAGAGAUUUUUCAUCUUUGACGAGAGGCUUCCCGUACUCGUAUUUGUGUUCUUCCACCUCCAAGAAAUCAUAAUGUACAUCGUCGGGCAGGUAAUCUCCAAGGUUGUUAUAACCGGGCACCAUCCCCGGAUCAUUAGCGACGAUAUCGCUAGACACCUGGAGCGGGGGGAACGAUUGGUUCGCUUGUUCGCCGAGCUGGGCAAUUUUUUUCCCAGCUCGUCGUUCUGCUAACCUUUGACCACUGACAGUACUUCCCGGCCGCUCCGCUUUGAUAAAUGACUUUUCAAUAAUGCGCUCAUAGUUGCCGGAGACUUUGGUGGUUUCUUCAGGGCAGCCAGAGUACGCUUCGCUUUCACCGAAUCUAUCUUCUCCGCCGGAGGUGCAUGUUUCUUUGCUUUCACCCCUUCAAAGAAGUUCUUCACUUCGGCUCGCACGAUCUUCGCAUUUUCCUCCAGGCUCCUCUCGUAUGGUAACUUCUCUGGAGUCUUCAGAGAAGGGCCGAAUCUGUAUUGCCUCCCGCAUGUGGCUGUAUAGCUAGACGCCGGAGCAGACGGAGCGGCUGUGGCUGUCUUUCCUUUCUUACGAGGCGGAGGAGAAGGACUAUGACGCGCAGGAGCGGCGACGGGUCUCUUCCGGCCUUGUUGACGAGGCAGAGAAGGAAGAGGCUAGCUGCUCGGGCACGCCGGCGCAGGCGGAGAAGGAGGCGGAGUGCCGCCACGUGCUGGAGAAGGAGGCUGAGUGCCCUGAUCACUCGCUGGAGGAGGAGGCGGAAGAGGAGGCGGAGUGCCCUGACUCGCCAGAGGAGGAGGAGGAGGCGGAGGCAUCCAGUUCGGAAGGAUGAUGAGCUCCUUCCGCCAUAGGCAUGGAGUCUUCAGAGAAGAACCCAGCCGAAUCUCCCCUUCACCCGUAGGGUGGUCAAGCUCGAGGUCCUCAAAUCCGUCCGUUAUUUCAUCCACCAUCACCCUAGCAUAUCCUUCUGGAAUAGACCAGCAGUGGUAGGUUGCGCCAGGUUCAGUAGGUAAAACAGAGCCAACAGCCGCCUUGACUUUGAAUUUCAUCCAUUGCGUCAUAAGGUGGCAAUGUUGAGACUCCGUGAUAGCAUCCACGGGGUAGCUAGCAGGAGCCGUGAAGACAGGCUCCAGCUGAAGCUGCUCAGUGGAAGCCACGCUGCUUCUCCGCUGAGAUGGCGGGGUAGCUUCAGGAGAAGCUUCGGCAGGUCGUUUGCUGCGAUUUGCUUAUCAUUCCUCUAUCGCUUGUACCCUUGCGUGCAGCGCUUGCAGUUGGCUAUGCUCCACUUUCUUCCUCCUCUCCUGGCAUUUGUAAACCCCUGCGUCCGGAAACCCAGCCUUCCACCGAAUGGAGCCUGGCAUGCCUCGUGUCCGUCCAGGGUGCUCAGGAUUCCCGAGGGCCAUUAUGAGCUCGUCCUUCUCUCUGUCUGGAACGAACUUCCCUUGCUGUGCUGCCUCGAUAUACACCUGAAGCCUCGUGACGGGUAUUCGCAGUUGCUCGUCCGUCCAAAUGCACUUCCCUGAUACAGGGUCCAAGGUUCCGCCAACCCCGAAGAACUAAGUCCAGCAACGGUCUGGCCAGUUCAAUGUCUCUGGUUGACCCAUUUAUCAAUCAGGUCAUUCUCAGCCUUGGCCCACAACGGUCGGGCUUUGAGGUAGCCUCCUGACCCCGUGCGAUGGUGAUGCUUCUUCUUCGCAACAUUUUUCUUGUUUGUCACUGACAUCUUAUUACACUUGUCCGAUGUCUUGUGGGACACAAAUGCGGGCCAGUGAUCUUUGAUCUUCUCAUACUGGCCGGUGAACUCUGGUGUCUUUUCUUCGUCGACAAACGAUGUUUUCAGCUUAUUCUUCCACCUCCUGAAUAGUUCUGCCAUCUUCUUAAGAGCAUGAGACUUGAUCAAUUCCUCUUUAACUGGCUUCUCCGGAUCCUCCUGAGGCCGUAGGGUGAAAUUUUCCUUAAGCGUUGUCCAAAGAUCAUCUUUCUGCAUAUCGGAGACAUAAGACACCUCAGGGUCUUCAUUCUUAGGCUCUAACCAUUGGUGGAUACUGAUCGGGAUCUUGUCCCUAACAAGAACCCCACACUGAGCAACAAAUGCUUCCUUUGUCCGGAUGGGUUCAAUCGGCUUGCCAUCGCGCAUGAUUGCUGUGAUCUCAAACCUUUCAUCCGAGCGCAACUUUUUCUUCGGGCCUCUUCUCUUUACCGAAGUUGUGCUCGCUCCGGUGGGCUAGAAAAAAGAAGAAAGGCGAGACUUGAUUAAUAUGUGUACAUACGAAAACAAUGAACGCAUCAAUUAGCUAGUCAGCACAGGCUUAACUAAUAUAUAUACCUGGCCGGACUCGGUUCGAUCACCGGAGCCGUCUGAAGGAAAUAUGCCCUAGAGGCAAUAAUAAAGUUAUUAUUUAUUUCCUUAUAAUCAUGAUAAAUGUUUAUUAUUCAUGCUAGAAUUGUAUUUACCGGAAACAUAAUACAUGUGUGAAUACAUAGACAAACAAAGUGUCACUAAUAUGCCUCUACUUGACUAGCUCGUUAAUCAAAGAUGGUUAUGUUUCCUAACCAUGAACAAUGAGUUGUUAUUUGAUUAACGAGGUCACAUCAUUAGCAGAAUGAUCUGAUUGACAUGACCCAUUCCAUUAGCCUAGCACCCGAUCGUUUAGUAUGUUGCUAUUGCUUUCUUCAUGACUUAUACAUGUUCCUAUGACUAUAAGAUUAUGCAACUCCCGUUUACCGGAGGAACACUUUGGGUACUACCAAACGUCACAACGUAACUGGGUGAUUAUAAAGGAGUACUACAGGUGUCUCCAAUGGUCGAUGUUGGGUUGGCGUAUUUUGAGAUUAGGAUUUGUCACUCCGAUUGUCGGAGAGGUAUCUCUGGGCCCUCUCGGUAAUACACAUCACAUAAGCCUUGCAAGCAUUACAACUAAUAUGUUAGUUGUGAGAUGAUGUAUUACGGAACGAGUAAAGAGACAUGCCGGUAACGAGAUUGAACUAGGUAUUGGAUACCGACGAUCGAAUCUCGGGCAAGUAACAUACCGAUGACAAAGGGAACAACGUAUGUUGUUAUGCGGUCUGACCGAUAAAGAUCUUCGUAGAAUAUGUAGGAGCCAAUAUGGGCAUCCAGGUCCCGCCAUUGGUUAUUGACCAGAGACGUGUCUCGGUCAUGUCUACAUUGUUCUCGAACCCGUAGGGUCCGCACGCUUAAGGUUACGAUGACAGUUAUAUUAUGAGUUUAUGCAUUUUGAUGUACCGAAGGUUGUUCGGAGUCCCGGAUGUGAUCACGGACAUGACGAGGAGUCUCGAAAUGGUCGAGACAUAAAGAUUGAUAUAUUGGAAGCCUAUGUUUGGACAUCGGAAGUGUUCCGGGUGAAAUCGGGAUUUUACCGGGUUACCGGGAGGUUACUGGAACCCCCCGGGAGCCAUAUGGGCCUACAUGGGGCUUAGUGGAAAGGAGAAAGGGGAAGCCCAAGGGGGCUGCGCGCCUCCCCCCUUCCCCUAGUCCUAUUAGGACUAGGAGAGGUGGCCGGCCACCCCUCUCCCUCUUUCCCCCUUGGGAAUCCUAGUUGGAAUAGGAUUGGGGGGGGAGUCCUACUCCCGGUAGGAGUAGGACUCCUCCUGCGCCUCUCUCUCAUGGCCGGCGCCCCCUUCCCCCUUGGCUCCUUUAUAUACUGAGGUAGAGGCACCCCAUAGACACACAAGUUGACACAAGUUGAUCCACGUGAUCUAUUCCUUAGCCGUGUGCGGUGCCCCCUGCCACCAUAUUCCUCGAUAAUACUGUAGCGGAGUUUAGGCGAAGCCCUGCUGCUGUAGUUCAUCAAGAUCGUCACCACGCCGUCGUGCUGACGAAACUCUUCCCCGACACUUUGCUGGAUCGGAGUCCGGGGAUCGUCAUAGAGCUGAAUGUGUGCACGAACUCGGAGGUGCCGUAGUUUCGGUGCUUGAUCGGUUGGAUCGAGAAGACGUACGACUACUUCCUCUAUGUUGUGUCAUCGCUUCCGCAGUCGGUCUGCGUUGGGUACAUAGACAAUACUCUCCCCUCAUUGCUAUGCAUCACAUGAUCUUGCGUGUGCGUAGGAAAUUUUUUGAAAUGACUACGAAACCCAACAGUGGCAUCCGAGCCUAGGUUAUUUAUGUUGAUGUUAUAUGCACGAGUAGAACACAAGUGAGUUGUGGACGAUACAAGUCAUACUGCCUACCAGCAUGUCAUACUUUGUUUCGGCGGUAUUGUUGGACGAGACGACCCGGACCAACCUUACGCGUACGCUUACGCGAGACCGGUUCCCUCGACGUGCUUUGCACAGAGAUGGCUUGUGGGCGACUGUCUCUCCAACUUUAGUUGAACCAAGUAUGGCUACGCCCGGUCCUUGCGAAGGUUAAAACGGAGUCUAUUUGACAAACUAUCGUUGUGGUUUUGAUGCGUAGGUGAGAUUGGUUCUUACUUAAGCCCGUAGCAGCCACGUAAAACAUGCAACAACAAAGUAGAGGACGUCUAACUUGUUUUUGCAGGGCAUGUUGUGAUGUGAUAUGGUCAAGGCAUGAUGCUGAAUUUUAUUGUAUGAGAUGAUCAUGUUUUGUAACCGAGUUAUCGGCAACUGGCAGGAGCCAUAUGGUUGUCGCUUUAUUGUAUGCAAUGCAAUCGCGAUGUAAUGCUUUACUUUAUUACUAAACGGUAGUGAUAGUCGUGGAAGCAUAAGAUUGGCGAGACGACAACGAUGCUACGAUGGAGAUCAAGGUGUCGCGCCGGUGUCGAUGGUGAUCAUGACGGUGCUUCGGAGAUGGAGAUCACAAGCACAAGAUGAUGAUGACCAUAUCAUAUCACUUAUAUUGAUUGCAUGUGAUGUUUAUCUUUUUAUGCAUCUUAUCUUGCUUUGAUUGACGGUAGCAUUAUAAGAUGAUCUCUCACUAAAUUAUCAAGAAGUGUUCUCCCUGAUAUGCACCGUUGCCAAAGUUCGUCGUGCCCAGACACCACGUGAUGAUCGGGUGUGAUAAGCUCUACGUCCAUCUACAACGGGUGCAAGCCAGUUUUGCACACGCAGAAUACUCAGGUUAAACUUGACGAGCCUAGCAUAUGCAGAUAUGGCCUCGGAACACGGAGACCGAAAGGUCGAGCAUGAAUCAUAUAGUAGAUAUGAUCAACAUAACGAUGUUCACCAUUGAAAACUACUCCAUCUCACGUGAUGAUCGGUCAUGGUUUAGUUGAUUUGGAUCACGUAAUCACUUAGAGGAUUAGAGGGAUGUCUAUCUAAGUGGGAGUUCUUAAGUAAUAUGAUUAAUUGAACUUAAAUUUAUCAUGAACUUAGUCCUGGUAGUAUUUUGCAAAUUAUGUUGUAGAUCAAUAGCUCGCGUUGUUGCUUCCCUGUGUUUAUUUUGAUAUGUUCCUAGAGAAAAUCAUGUUGAAAGAUGUUAGUAGCAAUGAUGCGGAUUGGAUCCGUGAUCCGAGGUUUAUCCUCAUUGCUGCACAGAAGAAUUAUGUCCUUAAUGCACCGCUAGGUGACGGACCUAUUGCAGGAGCAGAUGCAGAUGUUAUGAACGUUUGGCUAGCUCAAUAUGAUGACUACUUGAUAGUUUAGUGCACCAUGCUUAAUGGCUUAGAACCGGGACUUCAAAGACGUUUUGAACGUCAUGGAGCAUAUGAGAUGUUCCAGGAGUUGAAGUUAAUAUUUCAAGCAAAUACCCGAGUUGAGAAAUAUGAAGUCUCCAACAAGUUCUAUAGCUAAAAGAUGGAGGAGAAUCGCUCAACUAGUGAGCAUGUACUUAGAUUGUCUGGGUACUUCAAUCGCUUGAAUCAAGUGGGAGAUUAUCUUCCAGAUAAGAUAGUGAUUGACAGAAUUCUCUAGUCACCACCACCAAGUUAGUAGAACUUCGUGAUGAACUAUAAUGCAAGGGAUGACGUAAACAAUUCCCGAGCACUUCGUGAUGCUAAAAUCAACGAAGGUAGAAAUCAAGAAAAACAUCAAGUGUUGAUGGUAGACAAGACCACUAGUUUCAAGAAAAGGGCAAAGGGAAGAAGGGGAACUUCAAGAAGAACGGCAAGCGAGUUGCUGCUCAAGUGAAGAAGCCCAAGUCUGGUCCUAAGCCUGAGACUAAGUGCUUCUACUACAAAGGGAUUGGUCACUGGAAGCGGAACUACCCCAAGUAAUUGGCGGAUAAGAAGGAUGGCAAAGUGAACAUAAGUAUAUUUGAUAUACAUGUUAUUGAUGUGUACUUUACUAGUGUUUAUAGCAAACCCCUUAGUAUUAGGUACUAGUUCAGUUGCUAAGAUUAGUAACUCGAAACGGGAGUUGCAGAAUAAACAAAGACUAGUUGAAGGGGAAGUGACGAUGAGUGUUGGAAGUAGUUCGAAGAUUAAUAUGAUCAUCAUCGCACACUCCCUAUACUUUCGGGAUUAGUGUUGAAACUAAAUAAGUGUUAUUUGGUGUUGGCGUUGAGCAUGAAUAUGAUUUGAUCAUGUUUAUUGCAAUACAGUUAUUCAUUUAAGUAAGAGAAUAAACUGUUGUUCUGUUUACAUGAAUAAAACCUUAUAUGGUUACACACCCAAUGAAAAAUGGUUCAUUGGAUCUCGAUCGUAGUGAUACACAUAUUCAUAAUAUUGAAACCAAAAGAUGCAAAGUUAAUAAUGAUAGUGCAACUUAUUUGUGGCACUGCCGUUUGGGUCAUAUCGGUGUAAAGCGCAUGAAGAUACUCCAUAAAGAUGGAUUUUCGGAAUCACUUGGUUAUGAAUCAUUUGAUGCUUGCGAACCGUGCCUUUUGGGCAAGAUGACUAAAACUCCGUUCUCCAGAACAAUGGAACGUGCUACUGACUUAUUGGAAAUAAUACAUACCGAUGUAUGCAAUCCAAUGAGUGUUGAUGCUCGUGGCAAGUAUCAUUAUUUUUUGAUCUUCACAGAUGAUUUGAGCAGAUAUGAGUAUAUCUACUUAAUGAAACAUAAGUCUGAAACAUUUGAAAAGUUCAAAGAAUUUCAGAGUGAAGUUGAAAAUCAUCGUAACAAGAAAAUAAAGUUUCUACGAUCUGAUCGUGGAGGAGAAUAUUUGAGUUAUGAGUUUGGUGUACAUUUGAAAAACUGUGGAAUAGUUUCACAACUCACGCCACCCGGAACACCACACCACAAUGGUGUGUCCGAACGUCAUAAUUGUACUUUAUUGGAUAUAGUGCAACCUAUGAUGUUUCUUACCGAUCUACCACUAUUGUUUUGGGGUUAUGCAUUAAAGACAGCUGCAUUCACGUUAAAUAGGGCACCAUCAAAAUCCGUUGAGACGACGCCUUAUGAACUGUGGUUUGGCAAGAAACCAAAGUUGUCGUUUCUUAAAGUUUGGGGCUGCGAUGCUUAUGUGAAAAACCUUCAACCUGAUAAGCUCGAACCCAAAUCGGAGAAAUGUGUCUUCAUAGGAUACCCAAAGGAAACUGUUGGGUACACCUUCUAUCACAGAUCCGAAGGCAAGAAAUUCGUUGCUAAGAAUGGAUCAUUUCUAGAGAAGGAGUUUCUCUCGAAAGAAGUGAGUGGGAGGAAAGUAGAACUUGAUGAGGUAACUGUACCUUCUCCCUUAUUGGAAAGUAGUUCAUCACAGAAAUCUGUUCCUGUGACUACUACACCAAUUAGUGAGGAAGCUAAUGAUGAUGAUCAUGUAACUUCAGAUCAAGUUACUACCAAAUCUCGUAGGUAAGCCAGAGUGAGAUCCGCACCAGAGUGGUACCGUAAUCCUGUUCUGGAAGUCAUGUUACUAGACCAUGACAAACUUGCGAACUAUGAGGAAGCGAUGAUGAGCCCAGAUUCCGCGAAAUGGUUUGAGGCCAUGAAAUCUGAGAUAUGAUCCAUGUAUGAGAACAAAGUAUGGACUUUGGUUGACUUGCCCGAUGAUCGGCAAGCCAUAGAAAAUAAAUGGAUCUUCAAGAGGAAGACGGACGCUGAUAGUAGUGUUACUAUCUACAAAGCUAGAAUUGUCGCAAAAAGGUUUUCGACAAGUUCAAGGUGUUGAGUAUGAUGAGAUUUUCUCACUCGUAUCUAUGCUUAAGUCUGUUCGAAUCAUGGUUAGCAAUUGCCGCAUUUUAUGAAAUCUGGCAAAUGGAUAAACAAAACUGCAUUCCUUAAUGGAUUUAUUAAAGAAGAGUUGUAUAUGAUGCAACCAGAAGGUUUUGUCAAUCCUAAAGGUGCUAACAAAAUGUGCAAGCUCCAGCGAUCCAUCUAUGGACUGGUGCAAGCCUCUCGGAGUUGGAAUAUACGCUUUGAUGAGUUGAUCAAAGUAUAUGGUUUUAUACAGACUUUUUGAGAAGCCUGUAUUUACAAUAAAGUGAGUGGGAGCACUACAGCCUUUCUGACUAGUAUAUGUGAGUGACAUAUUGUUGAUCAGAAAUAAUGUAGAAUUUUUCUGCAAAGCAUAAAGGAGUGUUUUAAAGGAGUUCUUUAAAAGGAAGAAAAACCUCAGUAAAAGCUACUUACAUAUUGAGCUUCAAGAUCUAUAGAGAUAGAUCAAGACGCUUGAUAAGUUUUUUCAAUGAGUACAUACCUUGACAAGAUUUUGAAGUAGUUCAAAAUGGAGCAGUGAAAGAAAGAGUUCUUGCCUGUAUUACAAGGUAUGAAAUUGAGUAAGACUCAAAUCCCGACCACAGCAGAAAAUAGGAAAAAAAUGAAUGAAAAGUCAUUCCCUAUGCCUCAGUCAUAGGUUCUAUAGAGUAUGCUAUGUUAUGUACCAGAACUAUUGUAUACCUUGCUCAGUAUUUGACAAGGGAGUACAAUAGUGAUCUAGGAGUAGAUCACUGGACAUUGGUCAAGAAUAUCCUUAGUGAGGACUAAGGAAAUAUUUCUCGAUUAUGGAGGUGAUAAAAGAGCCCGUCGUAAAAGUUACCUCGGUGCAAGUUUUCACACCGAUCCAGAUGACUCUAAGUCUCAAUCUGGAUACAUAUUGAAAGUGGGAGCAAUUAGCUAGAGUAGCACCGUGCAGAGCAUUGUAGACAUAGAAUAUUUGCAAAAUGCAUACGGCUCUGAAUGUGACAGACCCGUUGACUAAGCUUCUUUCACGAGCAAAACAUGAUCACACCUUAGUACUUUUUGGGUGUUAAUCACAUAGCGAUGUGAACUAGAUUAUUUACUCUAGUAAACCCUUUGGGUGUUGGUCACAUGAUGAUGUGAACUAUGGGUGUUAAUCAUAUACAGAUAUGAAUAUUAGUGUUAAAUCACAUGACAAUGUGAACUAGAUUAUUGACUCUAGUGCAAGUGGGAGACUGAAGGAGAUAUGCCCUAGAGGCAAUAAUAAAGUUAUUAUUUAUUUCCUUAUAAUCAUGAUAAAUGUUUAUUAUUCAUGCUAGAAUUGUAUUUACCGGAAACAUAAUACAUGUGUGAAUACAUAGACAAACAAAGUGUCACUAGUAUGCCUCUACUUGACUAGCUCGUUAAUCAAAGAUGGUUAUGUUUCCUAACCAUGAACAAUGAGUUGUUAUUUGAUUAACGAGGUCACAUCAUUAGCAGAAUGAUCUGAUUGACAUGACCCAUUCCAUUAGCCUAGCACCCGAUCGUUUAGUAUGUUGCUAUUGCUUUCUUCAUGACUUAUACAUGUUCCUAUGACUAUAAGAUUAUGCAACUCCCGUUUACCGGAGGAACACUUUGGGUACUACCAAACGUCACAACGUAACUGGGUGAUUAUAAAGGAGUACUACAGGUGUCUCCAAUUGUCGAUGUUGGGUUGGCGUAUUUCGAGAUUAGGACUUGUCACUCCGAUUGUCAGAGAGGUAUCUCUGGGCCCUCUCGGUAAUACACAUCACAUAAGCCUUGCAAGCAUUACAACUAAUAUGUUAGUUGUGAGAUGAUGUAUUACGGAACGAGUAAAGAGACUUGCCGGUAACGAGAUUGAACUAGGUAUUGGAUACCGACGAUCGAAUCUCGGGCAAGUAACAUACCGAUGACAAAGGGAACAACGUAUGUUGUUAUGCGGUCUGACCGAUAAAGAUCUUUGUAGAAUAUGUAGGAGCCAAUAUGGGCAUCCAGGUCCCGCUAUUGGUUAUUGACCAGAGACGUGUCUCGGUCAUGUCUACAUUGUUCUCGAACCCGUAGGGUCCGCACGCUUAAGGUUACGAUGACAGUUAUAUUAUGAGUUUAUGCAUUUUGAUGUACCGAAGGUUGUUCGGAGUCCCGGAUGUGAUCACGGACAUGACGAGGAGUCUCGAAAUGGUCGAGACAUAAAGAUUGAUAUAUUGGAAGCCUAUGUUUGGACAUCGGAAGUGUUCCGGGUGAAAUCGGGAUUUUACCGGGUUACCGGGAGGUUACCGGAACCCCCCGGGAGCCAUAUGGGCCUACAUGGGCCUUAGUGGAAAGGAGAAAGGGGCAGCCCAAGGGGUCUGCGCGCCUCCCCCCUUCCCCUAGUUCUAUUAGGACUAGGAGAGGUGGCCGGCCACCCCUCUCCCUCUUUCCCCCUUGGGAAUCCUAGUUGGAAUAGGAUUGGGGGGGGGAGUCCUACUCCCGGUAGGAGUAGGAUUCCUCCUGCGCCUCUCUCUCAUGGCCGGCGCCCCCUCCCCCCUUGGCUCCUUUAUAUACUGAGGUAGAGGCACCCCAUAGACACACAAGUUGACACAAGUUGAUCCACGUGAUCUAUUCCUUAGCCGUGUGCGGUGCCCCCUGCCACCAUAUUCCUCGAUAAUACUGUAGCGGAGUUUAGGCGAAGCCCUGCUGCUGUAGUUCAUCAAGAUUGUCACCACGCCGUCGUGCUGACGAAACUCUUCCCCGACACUUUGCUGGAUCGGAGUCCGGGGAUCGUCAUCGAGCUGAACGUGUGCACGAACUCGGAGGUGCCGUAGUUUCGGUGCUUGAUCGGUUGGAUCGAGAAGACGUACGACUACUUCCUCUACGUUGUGUCAUCGCUUCCGCAGUCGGUCUGCGUUGGGUACAUAGACAAUACUCUCCCCUCGUUGCUAUGCAUCACAUGAUCUUGCGUGUGCGUAGGAAUUUUUUUGAAAUUACUACGAAACCCAACACCGUCAUCACGGUCUCCUUCUUGUACCGGCCUUGGGUCACCGGAGCCAUCAUAAUCAUAGCCUUCUUCUUCACCCUGUCCUUCCAGACCAUCGGUGUCGUUGAGAAACGACAAGACGGCAUCACUUCCUUUUGCGAUUAUGUCCCCCAUCAUCGCUUCUGUUGCUUCGUCUCAGGGUGCUCCAUCGUUUCUGCAAAUAUUUACAACAUGGCAAUUAUUAUUCAAACAUGACAGAUGGAUAUAUUAGUGGCAAACGUAGAACUAGCUAGCUAAUCACAAUAAGGAAUCAUAUUAGUGGCCUCGACGCUGCUUCUCUAGGGUUUGGGGUGGCCUCGACAACACUUCAAGGGUUUCGGGUGCCCUCGACGACAACGCUCUUUUAACUUGGUAAAUUUGGGUGGCCUUGAGAGAGUUUGUCGGGUAGGGGCGCGGCGGGAGGGGGUAGGAGACCGACAUCGUUUUUUUCUAGGGUUUGGGGUCCUCGAGAGUUUUGGCCGAGCGAGAGGGCCGGGGAGGUGCUCCCGUGGUAUAAGUUAUCAUGGUCGAGAGGGUGACCCUCGACCCUCGACCCUCUGCCCUAGUUCGCGAUAAAAAAGAAGAAAAAAAAGAGGAGAAUAAGAAGGAAUACAUGAGUAGAAGAAUUCUUCUACUCCUCUAUUCCUUCUUCUUCUCCUCUUUUUUUCUUCUUCUUUCUCUUCUUAUUUUUUCUGACGUCCCCCCUCAUGUAAAUGCGGUGGAAACACUUUAUGAAAAUGCGGUGGUGGCCGAGCCGGGCGGUUUUCUUUUCCUUCUUCAUUUUUUCCUUUGUUUUUUCUUAUAUGUUUGUUUUCGUUUUCGCUCUACAUUUUUGUACAUAUGAAAAAAAUAAAGUUUCUAUGCAAAAGGGCACAAUUUUUAUGAACAAAUUACAACAUCUAAAUUAACUACACAUCUAAAUAAAUAUAACUACACAUCUGAAAUUUUCCUAAUCUUAAAACUAAACUAAGCAUAAACUAAAAUAAUCUAAAAAACAUGUAAAAACAUCUAAAAAUAGCAUCUAAAAACAUCUAAAAAUCUAAUAGUAGCUCGACGCAGGGGCGGAGGGGCACGACGGAGGGGCCGGCGCCGGCGCUGGCGUGGUAGGGCUGGGACGCAGGGGCGCGGGACAGGGGAGGGGCGCGGGAGCAGGCUGGUGGUCAUAGGGGGCGGCAGGGCACGGUGGUCGGCGCGUCGGGGCCGACAGGGGCGAGAGGGUCGACACCGUCGUCGGGGCAGAGGGCGUCAGCGGCGGUGGCGGCGACGUUGUGUAGCCUGACAGCGUCGGGGCGGCGACGUCGAGCAGCCUGACGGUGUCGGUGGCGGCGGCGACGGCAAGGUGGAGCAGGGGCGUCGGGCGGCGACGGCGAGGAGGAGCAGGGGCGUCGGGGGAGAAGAAGUGAUGGAUUUGGUCGAAACUGCUAAGUGUUUUAUUAUAUACCCAGGGCAUUGGUACCGGUUCGUGGCACCAACCGGGACCAAGUCCCGGUUGGUGCCACCAACCGGGACCAAAGGUCUCUUUUCAGCAGCCCAAAGGGCAGGAAGUAGAGGCCUUUGGUCCCGGUUGGUGGCACCAACCGGGAAUAAGGGGGGCAUUUGUCUCGGUUGGUGCCACGAACCGGUACCAAUGCACCGCUUUAGUCCUAGUUCGUACCACCAACCGGGACCAAAGGCCUUGCACAACGGCGUGGUGGUGGGAGUUUAGUCCCACCUCGCUAGUUGAGAGCGUUCGACACAUGUUUAUAAGCUCGGUUGCCUCUUCCCUUUCGAACUCCUCUGAAUUGCAGGCCUGUGGGCCAAAUCUAACACUUCUAUGCCUGUGGGCCUACUGGGCCUUCUGCGGGCCUAAAUCCUGGCCCAUGGAUGGGUUUCUAGUCGUAUUCACGCUGUGGUGGCCCUGCAGGUGGCAAUUUUUUUAUUUUUUCCCAGUUUUUUUCUUUUUUUCUUUCUUUAUUUUGUUUUGUUUCUACUUACAACAAAAUAUUAUUUAUUUUAUUUUAUUUUGUUUCAAGUUACUUAUUUAUUUUAUUUUAAGAUAAUUCUUUUUGCUAUUAAAGUUUCUAACAAAAAAAGUUCAUAGUUUUUGCUAGUUGAAAAGCAUUUGAAAUGAACUCUGAAAAAGUUGACAGUUGGCAUGGUAUCAUCAUUUCGCCCACAUAGCAUGUGCAAGAAAGUAGAGAGAGUUUCGGCAAAAGCAGGAUGCACUUCGUGUACAAAACGGACAAUCUCUUUCAAAGUAUCAGGGUUUCAUACGGAAACUCGUCUGUUACAAAGGGAAUUUAUUUUUUUUGAACUUAUUUGAACUCCAUAGUUUUUCUGCGUUCAAAAUGCACCAUUCAAAGCCACAUCAUCAAUUUUGAACCCUUUCUGACUUCAUUUGUUAUUUGUCAUGCAUUUACUGAUUAUUUUGAGCUAUAAGACCAUGAAAUUGAAAAGCAUUUGAAAUGAAAUUUGAAAAGGUUGAAAGUUGGCAUGGUAUCAUCAUUUCGCCCACAUAUCAUGUGCAAGACAGUAGAGAGGGUUACGGCAAAAACUGGAUGCACUUCGUGUACAAAACGGACAAUCUCUUUCGAAGUGUCAGGGUUUCAUACGGAAACUCUUCUGCUACAAGGGGAUUUCAUUUUUUUGAACUUGUUUGAAAUGCAUAGUUUUUUGUGUUCAAAAUGCACCAUUCAAAGCCAUAUCAUCAAUUUUGAACCCUUUCUUACUUCAUUUAUUAUUUUUCAUGCAUUUAUUGAUUAUUUUGACCUAUAAGACCAUGAAAUUGAAAAGCAUUUAAAAUUAACUCUGAAAAUGUUGAAAGUUGGCAUGGUAUCAUCAUUUCACCCACAUAGCAUGUGCAAGAAAGUAGAGAGGGUUACGUCAAAAAUUAGAUGCACUUCGUGUACAAAACGGACAAUCUCUUUCGAAGUAUCAGGGUUUCAUACAGAAACUCGUCUGUUACAAAGGGAUUUCAUUUUUUUGAACUUAUUUGAACUCCAUAGUUUUUCUAUGUUCAAAAUGCACCAUUCAAAGCCACAUCAUAAAUUUUGAACCCUUUCUGACUUCAUUUGUUAUUUUUCAUGCAUUUACUGAUUAUUUUGAGCUAUAAGACCAUGUAAUUGAAAAGCAUUUGAAAUGAACUCUCAAAAGGAUGAAAGUUGGCAUGGUAUCAUCAUUUCACCCACAUAGCAUGUGCAAGAAAGUAGAGAGGGUUACGGCAAAAACUGGAUGCACUUCGUGUACAACAUGGACAAUCUCUUUCGAAGUAUCAGGGUUUCAUACGGAAACUCGUCUGUUAUAAAGGGAUUUCAUUUUUUUUGAACUUAUUUGAACUNNNNNNNNNNNNNNNNNNNNNNNNNNNNNNNNNNNNNNNNNNNNNNNNNNNNNNNNNNNNNNNNNNNNNNNNNNNNNNNNNNNNNNNNNNNNNNNNNNNNNNNNNNNNNNNNNNNNNNNNNNNNNNNNNNNNNNNNNNNNNNNNNNNNNNNNNNNNNNNNNNNNNNNNNNNAACUCCAUAGUUUUUCUAUGUUCAAAAUGCACCAUUAAAAGCCACAUCAUCAAUUUUGAACCCUUUCUGACUUCAUUUGUUAUUUUUCAUGCAUUUACUGAUUAUUUUGAGCUAUAAGACCAUGAAAUUGAAAAGCAUUUGAAAUGAACUUUGAAAAGGUUGAAAGUUGGCAUGGUAUCAUCAUUUCACCCACAUAGCAUGUGCAAGAAAGUAGAGAGGGUUACGACAAAAACUGGAUGCACUUCGUGUACAAAACGGACAAUCUCUUUCGAAGUAUCACGGUUUCAUACAGAAACUCGUCUGUUACAAAGGGAUUUCAUUUUUUUGAACUUAUUUGAACUCCAUAGUUUUUCUGUGUUCAAAAUGCACCAUUCAAAGCCACAUCAUCAAUUUUCAACCCUCUCAUGAAUAGAUAAGUGACCAAAUUAAUAGAAGUUCAUAAUCACAUUAAAACCAAAGUACAUACAUAGUUCUCAUUGAACAACAUAUAGCUCUCCAGAGCAUCUAAUUAAACCUUACAUUGAAAUUAUGUAAAACAUUUCAAUGCAACAACAAAUGUGAUCAUAAUUGCAACCAAGGUAACAACUGAUCCAAGUGCAUAAUGAUACCAAGCCUCUUUAUGAAUGGCAUAUUUUCUAAUCUUUCUAAUCUUCAACCGCAUUGCAUCCAUCUGGAUCUUGUGAUCAUCGACGACAUCCGCAACAUGCAACUCCAAUAUCAUCUUCUCCUCCUCAAUUUUUUUAUUUUUUCCUUCAAGUAAUUGUUUUAUUCUUCAACUAAAUUUAACCUCUCGACAAUAGGGUCGGUUGGAAUUUCCGGUUCAACCACCUCCUAGAUAAAUAAAAUUGAUGUCACAUUGGUCGGCAUAAUUGUCAUAAACAAUAAAUGAACCAAAUAGUUAUCAAAAGAUAAUAUAUACCACAUCUGAAUCAUAGAUAGGAUGAGGGACGACGGGGGCGGAUACCAAAACCAUCGCACUAUAUAAUAACAAGGAAUAAUAAAAGUAAGAAAAUUAGACAAGUAUCUAUCUGAAGUAAGAAUUUUUUUUCUUUCAGAAAGAAGAUAAGAACAAGAGGCUCACCACGGUGGUGCCGGCGACGAGAUCGGCGCGGGCGAUCGACGGCGGUGAAGACGGGGACGGGACGUGACGGACCGCUAAACCUAGAAAAAUCUCGGGGAAAAUGGAGCUCGGAGGUCGAGUUUCGAGAGGAGAAAGAUUAACUAGUGUGGCUUGGACAUUUCAUCGAACACCUCAUGUGCAUAGGAGGUGAGCUAGAGCACCCAAAUGCCCUCCCCUCGCCGGCCAGAAAAAACAGAGCACUGUGGAGUGCUCUGCUGUUGCGAUGGGGUAUAUAGGCAACUCAUUUGUCCCGGUUCGUGGUAGAAACCGGGACUAAAGCCAAGAAAUAUGUCCUGGUUCAAGCCACAAACCGGGACCAGUGGUUGUGGGCCAGGAGAGAGGACCAUUGGUCUUGGUUCGUGCCUGGAACCGGGACAAAUGGGUCCAUACGAACCGGGACCAAUGCCCAUGAGGCCCCGGCCGACCCCCUGGGCUCACGAACCGGGACGAAUUCCCCCAUGGGUCCCGGUUCAUGACUGAACCGGGACUAAUGGGCUGGCCAGGCCCGAAUGAAAGCCCUGUUUUCUACUAGUGCCUUGUCGAAGCCACACAAGCACUUAGGCCCGUGCCAUGUGUUUCCACGCCCAUAAGUCGGUCACUAUCAGCAUCACGCUCCUACGUCGUCGUCGCCGAUCCCACCACCGUCUUCUGUACCAACCGACUUACGUCGAUCCCGUCAGACUGCCUAGUCUGACCCAGCCGAACUCGUUCGACUGUAUGACACGCUCAAGGCUCCCAAAUCGUCUUCCACGAAAUUUCCAUCCGUCACAAGAUAAUUCCAUCUCAGCUGACAUGACUUCAUGCAACGCCUUCACGCAUCCUUGUUGUGCCAACAAAUUUUUCACUCAUGUCUUCCAUGACCCAAGGUUUUUAGUUCCGCAAACUUCUCCACCUCAAACCUAGUACCCGUUUGCGCCAUGGUUCUUUGUACGACUGACCCUGCAAAAAAUUAUCCAAGCUUUCUUCUCACACAAUGCCCAAGUACACGAUGUUGUACUACUAGCAAAUUCCAACCAAAACUUAUGGACACCGAUAACUGCCACACAUGUGGUGUAUCAGGUGGUUGUGCCGCACGCCUCGUGUGGCAUGGAGAAGAACCCGCCCGCACGACCGUCUCCAGGCGCGCGCAGCCACAGCCCGCAUGUCCGGUGUGUGGCAAAACCACCCACACGUCCGGGCCAAACGACCGCGCUGCCCGCACGACCGUCUCCAGGCGCGCGCAGCCACAGCCCGCAUGUCUGGUGUGUGGCAAAACCACCCACACGUCCGGGACAAACGACCGCGCUGCCCGCACGACCCAGCCGUCCCGGCCUCCUUUCGAUCCCCAGUCCGAACUGCCGCCAUCGUCUCCCACCUCUCGAUCCCCUACCUCCAUCGCCGCCCUUCUCUAGUUGCCAUGGCAACCAGAGCAAAUCCAUAACACCACACGGAUUUGUGUGUAUUCGCAUUUGCCAACCAACAUACGCCAGAUCUGCCAUGUACUAUGCUAGAGUUGAGCUAAGGUUCUCGGCUGGCUUGGUGCAAGUAGUUGGUAAUGAAGGACGCGUAGGAAUCCCUAAAAAAGGAAGAGAAAGGAGAAAUUUGGCAUAAGGGGGUAGGAAAAAUAGUUGCCACUUGUGUCUAACAUCAGUUGCCACCUAUCAUUGUCGUUAAGUGCCACCAUGUUAACCUGUUGCUUGCCAUCCUAUUUUAGUGGCUUUUGCCAUCGCUUCAAAAUGAUAGCUGGCACCCAAAUUUCAGAAAAGAUAGUGGAUGUGCAUGUCCUACUUGCCAUGAUGUGUUGGUUGCCUAUGCAGGAAAUGUGAUAAGAUUGCCGUGUUAUCUUCUACGUGCAAACAGCAAAAAAUGCAUUUUUUGUGGAUUGUUGAUGUGUUCUUGUUCAUGCAGUGACUGAGAACACAUUGGCAGAAACAAAACACAGAAGAAUGAAUCACGAAGACGGCACUGAUCCUUGGGUUUCUCAAAGGCCAGAAACACCCCCUUGGGAUGCAACAGAGUACAGUCAACUCAUUUCGGCAGGGCCGUUGCUGCCACUACUAGAGCAGUACGCAGGCAUCGGUAUGAUGCAUGAUAAAAAAAGAACAUUUGCCAUGUUCGCGACGAUGAAGAUGACAUUCUACUUAUGUCCUACAAUGUCAUUUUUCGUAGGUUCUUAUGACCAAAACACAUUCAGGGGGGCACCAUAGCAAGUUCAGUCACAGGGCCUAACACUGACAAAUGUACAGGCAACCAACUUUAAGUAGCUAAUGUGGCAAAUCAAGGUAACGCAUACGAAAAAAAUGUAGGACCUUCAUGCAGCACGUGCCAUCAGGCGGCAACCAUGUACCUGCCAUCAACGUCAUACACAGGUGAGACCAUAAAAGUGAAGUUGCGGACAGUGAACUAGCAGAAGGAACAUAGCUGACAACUGUAGUUGCCAUGCCUGGACAACUGCAGUUGCCAUGCCUGUACAGAUUUAGUUGCCAUGCCUGGACAACUGCAGUUGCCAUGCCUGGACAACUACAGUUGCCAUGCAUGAUCAAAUGUGAUUGCAAUGUCUAAACAACCAUGGAUGACAAGUGUGAACAAAUCUGUGCGGCAUGAUUGGACCACUACAUAUGCCAUGUUGAACAAACUACAGUUGCCAUGCAAUGACCAAUUGCUACCAUGAUCACAGGUUGUUACGGUGGGACUACAUCGGCAAACGUCUCAUGGCAAGCUUCACAGUUGCAGGACAACGCUACUGCAGAUAGAGCACAUCAAAUUGGAAUGACAGACCACACAAGAUCGGCACAUGCGGCACAACAAGGUAAAACAAAUUUGACCCAGAAAACAAUACUGCAUUUGUUUUUGUGGGAAUAGCAUGUGAGGAAAAUAAGAUUUGUAACAGUGGUGGUGGAAAAAACAAACAGAAAAUGCUACCAAGUGGUCGUGUGCAGAAAAGUCAUAUAUUGUCUUCAGGAUUUGCCAAUUGCUAAAAGAGUGUGUGCAACACUAAUGAUUGGUCGCAUUUGCCUAGUGAGCUCAAGCCUAGAAUACAAGUUUUGAUGAUAUAAUAUACUGGUUGCCAUGUAUUGGCAGCAGUAGUUGCCAUGUAUGUUGGACUGCAGCUGCCAUGGAUAUAGAAUCCAAGUUUUGGUACAGAAAGAAGAUGGUUGCCAUGCAUUGGCAAUAGUAGUUGCCAUGUUUGUUGGACUAUAGCUGCCAUGACUGGAGAACUACAGUUGCCAUGCAUGUCCAUAUGCAGACUCAUGGCUUGCUGUGUGAAUGAUGUCAUGCCAAAUCACAUGCAGUUGAUGUACUCCGUUACGAUAAACAUGCCAUUCAAGCAAAAUCUUACGCUCAUACUAUUUUUUUAUUGCAGGACCUUCAAAUACAAUCAACAGCGGUGCGGGGACAUCUACUGCGGGGAGCUCUGAGCGCACGGAAGACGCGUUCCACCAGCCAGCCAACAAUCAUGCCACAAACAAUGCCGAGUCAGUGUCGGAAAUGGCAAUCGUUCCAACAAUGCCUACAAGCACACCUUUGAACACCAGCACAAGCAACACUCGAGUAGAUGAAACAGCCGCCGAUACUGAAGUGAAUGAUGAAACUGAUGACAAAGCACAAGGGGAUGAAGAUGGUGGGCAAUCAGAAAUCAUGGUACCUCAGCCACCGUACGUUGGACAGAGAUUUGAUUCGUUCGCAGAAGCAAAGGAAUUCUACAAGACCUAUGCAAAGUUCCAUGGGUUUGCGGUCAACACCAAAUACCAUAGGAAAAUUAAAAAAACUAACGAGUACAAUAGAGGUGAGAUGAGGUGCUAUAAGGUACGAAAGAACAAGAAGGGUAAAGGUGUUGCGCCUGUCGUUCCAGAACGAAAGAGAGGUAUCAUUCUCAAGACGGAAUGCCCUGUCCGGUGUAAGCUGAACAUAGAUGGAGCACGGUGGGUGGUCACUGAAUAUUUUGACGAGCACAACCACGAACUCACAAAGAAGUUCGACCUGGUAAAAUUUCUGACCGCCCAUAGAGGAUUCACCCCCCUCGAGAAGAAAUUCAUAAAGCUGCUACAUGAUUGUAACGUCAGUCCAUCAAGAAUGGUCCAGAUACUAUCCCUCAUCCACAGCAAAAAUGGGACUCUGAGUAGCAUGCCCUAUAUACCAGCUGAUGUCACAAACCUAAAGGCAAAGUACCAUAGAGAGAGCAAGUUGGCUGACAUAGAAGCUACGAUGGCCUACUUCGAUGAGAAAGCGAAGGAAGAUCCAGAUUUCUUCCACAUGAUAAGAUUGGACGAUGAGAACCGUGUCAGGAACAUGUAUUGGGUGGAUGGUGCUGCAAGAAGAGCCUACAAACAUUUCCGAGAUUGCAUUUCAUUCAACGCGACAUAUCUCACUAAUAUGUACAAGAUGCCAUGCGCUCCAUUCAUGGGAAUAAAUAACCACAAUCAGUCAUUGUAGUUCGGAUGCGGGCUCGUUCGGAACAAAGACACGGAUGGGUACACUUGGCGGUUCAAGACCUUCUUGGAGUGCAUGGAUUGACUUGCUCCGAUGAACAUAAUAAUAGACCAGGAUUUUAGCAUGCGUGCAGGCAUGGAGGAGGUCUUUCCGUUGGCGGUGCACAGGCACUGCAGGUGGCACAUUAUAAAGAAGGCUGAGGAGACGCUAGGACCAUUCUUUGCAGACCGUCCAGAGCUGCACAAGGCAUUCGAGCUGUGUGUGGACCACAGCUUGACGGUGGAGGAGUUUGAAAGGAGCUGGAUGGGCAUGAUUGAAACAUAUCAAGUCCAAGACAACGAGGCGCUUGCUAGCCUGUGGGAGAAGCGAAUGUACUGGGUGUCGGCCUACUUCAUGUAGUGCUUCUUCUCGUUUCUGCAGACUACGCAGCGCAGCGAGGGGUUCAAUGCUGUUUUGAAGCGGUAGGUGAGCCCUGGCAACUCAUUGCUACAGUUUGCCAAGCAAUACACCGCUUUGCAACAAAAAAUACUGGGAUCUGAGCUACAACAAGAAGCGAACACCGUGCUAAAGCAGCCAAAAUUGCUAAUGUACUUACCGAUGGAGAGGCAGAUGAGCAAGAUAUACACCAACAAGAUCUUUAACAAGUAAGUCAGUUGUGUUACAAUCUUAUUUGCACAAGCAUGAAGGUAGUAGGUGCCAUGUAGAAUGCAAUGCAGUUGAAAAGCUUAUUUGAAAAUGAUGAUUUUUUGAAAGGUAGCCAUUGAGUACAGAGUAACCAUGAUAUGUAGUUGCCAUGUUUAAUGAACUACAGUUUGCCAUGUUUAAUGAAGUACAGUUGUCAUGUUUACUCAAAUGCAGUUGCCAUGUUUGAUGAACUGUAGUUGCCAUGUUUAAUGCACUGUACUUCCAUUGGGCAUGAUGGUAUGGAAAUGCAAAUGCCGAUUAAAGAUGUUAUGCAAGUUGCCAUGUUUAAUGAAUUGCAGUUGCCAUGUUUAAUGAAUUGUAGUUGCCAUGUUUAAUGAACUGCAGUUGCCAUGUUUAAUGAACUGCAGUUGCCAUGUUUACUCGACUGCAGUUGCCAAGUUUAAUGAAAUGUAGUUGCCAUGUUCAAACGAAAUGUACUUAUAUUGGCCACAACAACAUAAGGUGCUACAAAAAACAUCACACAAGAGUUUAACAAAACCACACAAAACUUGCAGAUUUCAGGAAGAGAUAAAGUGUGCCAGCAUGUACAUGGCUUUCCAGUUGGACGAACAUACGUUCAAGGUGUGUUCUAUCUUGGGCAUGUCGGAUUCAGAACCUGAGACCCGGACAAGGGAAGGAACUACUUCGUGAAGGCCUCGAUAUGCAAAGGCAAAUACUACUGCCAAUGCUGCAAAUUCAAACGGGAUGGCAUUGUGUGUUGUCACAUACUAAAAGUAAUGGACAUGAACGCAGUGACACGAAUGCCCCGCCAUUUAAUAAGGCGGCGAUGGACUUGGGACGUUGACGACGCAUUGGCGCCGCAAACAUCAAACACAGUCAACCAUGACGAGAGACCGGAGUCAACCAUAGAAGCCAUGAGGCAUGUUGUGUUGACAAAGAACUAUGCUGAACUAACUAAUGAAGCCUGCAAGAGUGAUGAGACAGCGAGGGUCGCAGAAAAACACAGGAAGGCCCUGAAAAGAGAGCUUGAUGAAAUCAAUAAGAGGAAAGCGGAGGAAGCCUUACACAGGUUCACCAGCACAUCAAGUGUGCCUUCGUCCAUGGGGCCAUCAUCUGGAAACUCGGAGAUAGGAUCUGGAACAGCAAGCACACAAACCCAGGUCUGGAACCCGCCCCGUUCCAUCACAAAGGGGCGUCCAAAAGAGAUAAGAUACAAAUCGGGAUUGGAGAUUUAAGCAAAACACAAGAAAACAAAGAAAGGGACGGGCAAUCCGUAAGCAACAUUGGAGCACUGUGACAUGGUCCUUGGUGAGAUGUUCUAAAAAAUUUAAAAAUGGGAGAAUGACUCUUGAGGGGCAUCAGAAUUUGAAGGAAAGUGCCAUGAAUGGAUAAAUACAGUUGCCAUGUGUAUGGUACUUAAUUUGCCAUGUCUUUUAUACUGAAUCUGCCAUGUUAUUUAUACUGAAUCUGCCAUGUUAUUUUCUACGGAAUCUGCCAUGUUAUUUUCUACUAAAUCUUCCAUGUUAUGUAUACUGAAUCUGCCAUGUUAUGUAUACUGAAUCAGCCAUGUUAUUUAUAUUGAAUCUGCCAUGUUAUUUAUACUGAAUCUGCCAUGUUAGUUCUACUGAAUAUGCCAUGUUAUUUGUAAUGACUCUGCAUCACGUAGAUUUUCGUGUUCAGUCAACGCAUUUUAGUCACACAUAUUGUAUUAUGUGCAAACUAUGGGAAACAAGUUGAAAGGGUCACGUGCAGCAACUGCAAAAAGGUUACAGUUAGCAAUGAAAAAAAGAACCAAACAGACAAAUGAAAAAGGAUGAUAACUUUCACUAACCAUGUCUGAUGAACUACAUUUGCCAUGUUUUCAAACAUCGUAGACGCAUUCGAAACACCAAACUGGAGCUACCAACGAUGAAAGCAUAAUAUUAAUGAAAAACAUAAACGUAUCUACUGUCACACCUAAAUAGAUUCACAUCCACACAUAUAUUACAGAAAAUAUUCAAAUGUCGCUCACACACCACCACUACAUACUAGGCUACACGGAGAUGCAGUCAUAACAUAGUACAUGGACAUAGUUUUGAAAGGAACAAAGGUAAUACCUUACAUUCCUAGGCAACAGAAUGUAAGUUAGGCAUUUGAUAUGGAGCACCACGUGAUCACUUGUACUUCUUGGUGACUUUCUUGACAGCUUCCUCUAUGAACUCACGUGCAUUGGACCGCGUGUUAAAAUCUUCAUUUGUCAACCAGUUCCAUGUGUAAAUUUUGCGGAGCUCAAUGAACAUUGCAGCUGUGACGACAGGAACUAGUCUACCUUCCCACUUUGCAAGGUAUUCCAACGUGUGAAAGCCACAGUCCUGCCUGUACAAGAAAAGAAUCAGGUGAACUCACAAGAACAGAGAUAAAAAUAAUAAACUUCAAUUCAGAGGUGACAAGAGGGUUAGCAUUGGUGUAGAGGACACAUGAAGAAAGAGAUGGGAAAAUACCAAUUUCCUUGCUUCAAAGUCACCACGUACUCAAUUGGAAAAUGUCUGAUUUAGACUUUUGGGUGUUCGUUGUGACGGUUCCAUGUCUCUUUGAGGUUGUUGAUGAAUUAUUCAGCAUGCGUAGUAAGGUAUGCAUCAGCUGCCGAACGCAUUGAAUCAAGCACCUCAAAAUGUUGGUUAUUCAGGUCAAGGCAGAUCGCGUAGUGGUGACCACACUUGUCAUGUAGGUCGUGUGGUGCAAGCUCCUGGAACAUGGGGAAAGAAGAAGGACAGUUCACAUGAAGAACAGAAAUGGUGUAAUUGGGAAAAUGACGUGUAAGGAUGUCACCGAUUGCAGUAAGAGGCACAUGAGUGACAUACAGCAGCAAGGGGCCAAAAAGUAGACCCACAUAGAAUGUUUAAUUAUAGUGGGUAAUUAAAAUAAGUUGCCAUCCAUGUAUAAACAGAGUUGUCCUGUAUUUUAGUUUGAAGUUGCCACAUAGUUUGUACGGGGAUACAAAUCAAAAGUCAGUUUACAUGGCAGUUGUUGCCACGUGAAACAGUUGUCACAUAAAUAGGGUGUAGCCCACAUGUGAAGCAUAUCUACUGGCAAAAACAUACCAUGGGAGGAAAAAUAUGCAAAAAAGGAUGGAGUACUCACACAUUUUUUCAUUGUGAGCUUGAAAUCACCAUGCGCAGCAAAAUGCUUCCUCAGGAUUUUGUGGUGGAAGUCACCAUCCCAUAUUUUGCAGGUCACACUGUAAUGCAUGCUUAUUUUAUCGGGAGACAUAUCCAUAUGCUUGUUGAUGAAGUCAAUCCCACAUGCAACUACACUCGUCGACAUUUUACCGACUGGCCUCACACACUCGGCAAGAUCACCCAGGUCGACGUACGUCGGUUCGCAUUGUAUGAUCUUGAUUCUGUCCAAACAUGAGUUGUAUGAAAAUGAUAUAACAUGAAAGAAUCAUGUCUACUAAGUAAAAAAAACGUAAACGGAUCAUAUCUAGAAAUAGCAAAAAGAGGAAUGGUAAAAAGAGCAAAGCAAAAUGAGAGGUUAUGUGGUGUGGUCAUUACGCUUUCAGCUCCUUCAUGUGCUUGCUGCUGGCCCUCGCGUUUCCAAAGCACUUGACAAUAUCGUACAGCUGGUUCUGCUCCUUUGUGGCCUUGACUUCGGGCUCGUAGUCAUCCACGGGAGGUGCGUGAACUACCCUAUGCUGCCUCACAGAACCAGGGGUUGCACUUCUAAUGGUAUCCUCAGAUACCGUCUCAGCAGGCACGUUGGAACUUGAUUGCCCCUAACCUCGUGAGGACCUCCUCUGCAAUGCUGCCUCCUCAAUCCUGCGGUAAGCUUCAUCAGGUGACGGCGAAAUCUCCUCAGGGGUGCCUGCAAGGAUCAAAAAGGGGGUUAGGAUACCUGGAAAACAAAACAAAUGUAGUGUGAAAGAAAGGGUGCAGGAUAUGAAAUGUAGGUACAAAAAGUAGGGAGUUGCCAUGUGGAGGAAACUCCAGUUGCCAUGUGUAGUGCAUUGUAGUUGCCAUGUGACAACAACUACAAUUGCCAUGUUGUAUCAACUCCAGUUGCCAUGUGGUUGCCGAAUGGAAAAUGCAGCAUGGCAACAAAAAUGUAGGUGACAUUGUGCAGCAAAUCCAGUUGCCAUGUCAUCAGAUAACAGUUGACAUCACAAGUGAGAACCAAAAAAUGCUUGGGACAAAUGUUAGACUAAAAAGAUGUAUACAAGAAAAUGAUAAACGCAGAAGAAAUGUACCUUGCACGAUCGGCUCUGCGAACUUGACAGCCUUUCUGCCCUCGACCAUUGUCUGCGCCAUCAUUGUGGCCAUGCCUGCCGGGAAAGCAAAAGCAACUGGCGUAGUACUUGCACCACUGGUUGAUCUUGACUGAUGUCAAGGCUAAAGCUCGGUGGGGUGAAGGCAAUUGGGUGCCUCUCCUGCCUACUGGCCGGACCGCGAACAACUUGCUGGGCAGAAUCCAAGGGUGAAAGAUCAACAAACAUUUCUGAAUCGGCCGCUCCAGAAUCAUCGGGCUUAUUCGUAGGGUGUGGCGUGUUGUCAGCGGUAUCAGUCGCAGCUUUCUUGACAAUCUUCUUGUUUGGGCUGUAGGGGACACCAACGUUGACUGGGAGCUUAGAAGUGCACAAAUUUAAGCUGGAGUUAUCCACUCCGGGUAAAGACACAGUUUGCUCCAGACGUUCACCUCCGCCAGUCGUGCCUGGCUUGCCACCUGUAUCAGUUGUACUCCGGUCUUCCGAUUUCUCCAUAACAUUGCUUUUGGCAGGCGGUGGGAAUAGUGUGGAUGCAGGAACAUAACUAGAGUCAUCUCUGCUGCUCCUAGAUACAGCCAGUGCGUUGGGUAUGUCUGUUGAUUUCUUGCGGGGGCUACGACGCCUAGGUGGAAGGCCAGAUUGCGAAACGGUUGCCUUAGCAACCUCUGCACCACCAGGAGCUGGAGCUGUUGUGCCAAGACUCUCACCUGUGGAUGGCAUAUCAUUAUGAAUUGUCGCCUCAGCUACUUCUGUCGUGGACAUAGAAUUGCCACCACCCACGCGCUUGGAAUCCGUGUCAAAUGAGCGGGAAUCUUCCUUGCUUAGGUUGGUCUCGGGGGCGUCCACUUCAACACUUGCUGAUGGGGUGGCAUGGCUCACAGCAGCAUCCUUCAUUGCCAGCAGAGUGGGCAAUAUUUCAGCAGUCCUGGCAGAUACCGACUCAUCACUCCCAGAUGUACGGGUGCCUAUUCUUGUAGCCUGCACAUCUGCAACCGGCAGAGAUGGUCGGCCGCUUGCGUCAGAGCUAGUGGGAAUAGUUGAUGGUGCAUCAGCGGUUUUGUUGACUGGCGCCUCAUGAACAUCUGAGUUGCCACCUGUCAACAACUUUGAAUGAAGGCGUUCGAGUGGGUCCCUAAUGAUCUGCUUGGUCACGCGUGUAGUAGUCUUCUUCACCCUGCAAAGAAAAAGCACAUGAAAAUUAUUAAAAAUGAACAAAAAAUAUUUGCCAUGGUAGCCAUCUUAAAAAAUGGAAAAAAUGUGUGAUGUGCCAGGGCUGCCAUUCCAAAACUAGGUAUGGAUGAGCACACAAGCCAAUGGAAAGCUGGUAGUUGCCAUGCAGGUGGAAUAAGAGUUUCCAUGUGGCAUAGUUAGUAGUUGCCAUGCAGAACAAGCAGGAGUUGCCAUGGUAGCCAUCUUGAAAAAUUAAAAAAAUGUCUGAUCUGCCAGGAAUGCAAUUUCAAAACUAGGUAUGGAUGAGCACACAAGCCAAUGGAAAAGAUGGUAGUUGCCAUGUAGGUGCAAUAAGAGUUGCCAUUUGGCCUAGAUAGCAGUUGCCAUGCAAAAACAAGCAGGAGUUGCCAUGCAGUUAAAAGAAAGAGAUCAUUGGAAAAACAGCAGUUGCCAUGUGGGACUGAUGGCAGUAGCCCAUGUGGCAAGCUGAACAGCUGCAUUGAAAAGCAAAAAUAUAGCACUAUGGCAAUGAAAGAACAGGGAUAACCUACUUCUUGACUGGCUUCCUCAUGUCUGGCAACACGACAGGAUCCCCGGUGUUGGACGUCGUCGUACGAGGAGAUGACCUGGUGGAAGGGGUGUCACCAGCAAUGGGGGCACCUUUGUUCAAUCGAGCAGAAACACAGGUUGGCGUUGGUGCUUGUUUCUUCGUAACUGCUCGUCCACCAGCUGUCGCCUCACUGCAUGUAUAAGAAAGUGGCAAAAAAAGGUGCCAAGUGUCAGACACGAAAAUCAUUGCCACGCUUAGCAAAACGAAUGCAAAAAAGGGUCACUCUGUUCAAAAAGAUAGACAAAACAAAAAACUAAAAUAGAAGUCGAACCUCCCCCUAGCAGCUACGGGAUCGGUCCUAGACCUCUUGCCAGGAGAGCCCUGCCCAACAUCCUUUGGAGCCCUCCCCCUCUUUGAGGGCGACACCCCCUUGCCUCUCGCAGCUGUAUGUUCUUUGACUUUCUCCGGUGAGGGGACAUCUGGUGCAGCCUUGCCCUUCUUACCACCUGCACGAACUUCAACAUGUUCAUCAUCGUCAGUGUCGUGCUGCAUGUUCUCCAUGUCAUCGUCAUCGUCCUUGUUGAGAGCAGCAUCUCCAUCUAGUUCAUCUUGUGUGUCAGGAAGCUCCUGGGAAUUGUUGUAGUUGUACCGGCCACGGCAACCAGUUGGCCGAUGUGUCCGUUCUGCAACAAAUGUAGUGAACUGCCUCACAACCGCGUCUCUGUCAGAGCCAUUAAGGGACAUCCAACCCUCAACCAACUUCCCGAGCAAGCUGGUCAUUCCGGAUGCAAACUGCCCAAUUAGAUGCUCAACAGGUGCCCUCGCCUGUGCAUGAAACAAGAAGCAGCAGUAACCAACCAUAUUAGAGUCACGUGCACAAGAUCAAAAUAAACCAAAGCAACCAUAUAUAUAUAUCCUUGAUUACCUCAGUAGGACAAGACGGAGCUGAGUGCAUGUCCAUCCACUUUCCAAAGUUUUGGGGCCCCCCAAACAUGCUGUAGUCUAUAGCAUGCUUGGCCAUCAGCUGGAAAUAACCAAAAAACAGCUAGGAUGUAAGAGAGAAACUAACUAACAGUUCAUGUAUUGCAAAAAAAAGAGGAAGAGAAUAGAAGUUUCAGCAUGGAUGACAGAUUUGCCAUGUGGCGUGGGACAUGGAUACCAUGCGCAGACAGCCAUGGCUAACAAGGUAGUCAUCUCUUGUUAGCCACAAACGGUUGCCAUAUGAGGAUUUUUUUUUUCAUAUGUUAUGCAGCAACAAAAUUGAAAGAAUGCUGUGUAAAGAAAGAAACCAGAACUAACCUGUAGUUUCCCAUAUUUCGUAUCAGUUACCCUGUCUGCAGCAAGCACAGCCUUGACAGCAUCGUAAGUCCACGCAGAAACAGCAAACUUGUGUGUAGGCGGCGGGCCUCCUGUCCCAGUGAAGUCCACGGUGGAUAGGUCAAGACAAUCGACGUACAUGAGCUGAUGUACAACAAUUUAAAAAGGAAAAGAUAUCAGUUGCCAUCAUGGUAUUUUGCAAAAACAAGCUAAUGUAUGUUCCUUCAAUCAUCAAGUCGAAGGGGAUGAAAAGAAAGAAAAAGUUGCCAUCUAUCUGUGUUAGUUGCCAUCAUGGUGUGCUGGCAGUUGCCAUCUUGUUAUGAUGUUAGUUGCCACAAUGUCACCAUCAUGGUUGCCAUGCAUAAUCAAGGUGUGAAGAGUGUUUGCAAAGGACUAGUAAAAAAUACCAUUAAAUGGAGUCGACAACCCUUCUGGUACUUGUUUGAGAAUGCAUCAUGUAGGAAGUCCGCAAUGAACUUACACCAAUUCAUGGUCUUCACAUCUUUCAGUUUCGCCUGCAUGGCACAAAUUUCAGGACAAGAAGUUGCCGCAUCAGAAAUAAAAUGAAAAAACAUCAAAAUAGCUGCCAGUGACUAGCUUACACAUGACAUCGGAGCCAAAAGAUUGAAGGAAAUAAAGGAGUAGAGAUAGAUCAUUCACCAAGAUGGGGAAGCAUUAGUUGCUUGGGCGAAGAGAAGUGGUCGGUGCAAAAACAGCUGAGAUUAGGUACAUGAGUAGCUUCACCUUAAGAACCUCGCCAUGGCUUGUCAUGGCCUCCAGCGAAUUUGCCAGGAAAGUCGUGUUCGACAUGGAUGCCAUCCCAGGAAACAAACGGGCAAACAACGUUUCUUCGAUCUUAUUAUUGACCUCAUAUGGGACUUUGAUUUCUCCACGGGGCACACCCAAAGUGCAGAACACGGAUUCCUCGUCCAACGGCAGUCUUCCAUGUCUCGGAAUCACAAAUUCCCUGGAGGCAGGGUCGUAAAUAUCACCAAGCCAGUCGCAUACAGGGUUCACUAGAUUCUUGCACCGGACAUCCAUCAGAGCCUGCAUACCCAUCUCAGCAGCAGCUCCCUUCUGAUCGUCGGUAAAUCUCUCGGUCAAUGAAGUCAGGCGUUCCUGUGAAGCCCUAUUGCGAUUACGUUUCUUCUUCUGCAAAACAGACAAAUGAUCAUUUAUUGCCAUGUUUUCACUAUCAUGAAAAUUUAGUUCCUAAUAGAUGAUUGCAAACUCAAUGUGACAUUCAAAACAUAUGGGGGAGGAGGGGUGGACAGUUACCUCAUCACUGUCUUUUGUCCGUCCAGUUGCCCGAUUCUGCUGCGGUACAUCCAUGAAAUCAUCAUCAUCGUCUUGAUGAUCGCCGCGAGCCAUUCUGCUGAGGUAAGAACAAACCAAAAUGUCAGGGUGAAAAUUAAAAGUAUGAAGUAAGCAGUUGCCACCUAACAGAAUGUACUUGCCACAUGGGCUCAAUUGAAAGUGGCAAAUAGUGAAGGCAAUAUCAUAUGAACACACACACACCCUAUGAUUGUCAAACCAUAAAUGUGGCAACUAAAUACAUUGGCUUCAUUUGAAAAAUGUACAAAUCAUAAUGCACUUAAAACAAAAUGUUGAAGUUGCCAUGUUAGCACAAGAUAGUACGAAGAAAGGCACAAAUCUUCCACUGCACAAACAUAUAAUGUGGCAACUCACACCCUGUCCUCAUACAAAAAUGAGUUGCCAUGUGUUCAAAGGCAAAAUGUGCUAGGUUGAAAUUGCCAUGUUAAAAUGCAGAACAAUUGAAAAAGAGUUGAAAACAUCUUCUGAACAACCUGUAAUGGCAAUUCACACACUGACCUCAUAUUAAAAAUGAGUUGCCAUUUAAUACGGCCAAAUAUGUUCAGAUAUCACAAGUCAGCGUGGCAAAACACAAAAUUGGGUCUAUAAUACAGUGCAUUUGCCACAUUAUCAUGCCUACAUCAUGGCAACAGCCAUAGUUCACAGAAAUACUUGCCACAUGGAAAGCAUAUUUGUGGCAACUGACACAGUUGAUCAGGAAAUUAGUUGCCAUCCAGUGCACGUAGUUGCUGAAACUGCCAUGACUACCUAUUUAAUACACUUUAUCAUGCCUACAGCAUGGCAACAGCCAUAGCAUGUGCACAAAAUUAGUUGCCACAUGGAAAAUAUAUUUGUGGCAACUGUCAAAGUUGAUCAGGAAAUUAGUUGCCAUACAGUGCAGAUAGUUACUGAAACUACCAUGUCUACCUUCAUACUGCACUUUGAAAAACAACAACCUAGAUCUAGGGUUCAUUGGCAACUAUCAUAACCUAAAAUUCAUCAACAAAAAUCUUCCUGCACUGAUCGCAAAUAGAAUUUCGAGACAAUACAUAACUAACGCUAGAAAAACGCCGGCCCAAUCCCAAGGCAGAACCAGGAUGUGGCUGCGCACAGGCCGAACCACAACGGCAUGACCGCCGCUGCGGCGGCGACGAAACUGCUCGAUGCCAUCGAAAACGGCAAGCACAAGACUCCGCCGCCAGCGGGAACGCCGGCGCAUCGCGAACCGCCUGCAUCUCGAUGAAUCUCGAGCGGAACAUCGACCACGGAGGAGAGGGGAGAAAUGCAGGCAAGGACUUUGAGCGUGGGAAGGAGCAUUACCUUCAAUCUGCAGGCGCUCCGGCGAAGAUGCUCCGGUCCGGCGAGUCCCACCGACGGUCGUGAAUGUCGUCGACUCUUCCGCCUCCGCCGUCGCCUUCUCCUCUCGCCUUCUCUUCCAAUCAACUGAACUGCGGGGUGGGUUGUGCGAGUAAUGAAGUGGAGAGUAAAUGGAACCGUGAGGGGAGGGGGGGCGAAGUGCGCGACGUGGUUGACGGCAACUGCAGUCGGGCGUGGUAUGCGGGCGCAAAGCAGUUCCACCGAACACCCCCGAGUGGCAACCGUUGACCGCGGGGAGGCAACCGGCGUGUGGGCGAACUCUCUCACACAUCACACAUGCGACUUGUCCUACGUGGCACACAAAAUCAGCCAAAACGUGCCAAGAUUCGUGCAAAAACUGCUGAACGGUGAUGGAGGCGUGUGGUUGAGUUGGCUAACGCCCACGCGUGUGGGUGUUAGUGUUUCCGAAACUUAUUUGGCCUUCACGUGAUCGCUCGGCUCCUUGCACAUAACUCCGAUGCUAGCUUUCCUUUGCUUUGCCCUAAGCCUUCCCAAUGGAUUCGUAUCAUGUAUCAAUGGAUUUCAUCUUUCCGGUGAUUGAUGCUUGCCCAUCUCUGUGUCACGUGGAGACUCAGUCUCCCUUUUGGUCCAAACAAAUCUCCUACCCUGUACGCCAGCGCCUCCACAUCGCUAGCGGCCACCUUGGCCUGCCACCGCUAACCCAUAUGAUCCAGCCCACUGACCACGCUGGCCCCGCUUGGGCUUCAGCCCACCUGCACGCACGGCUGCACAGGGCAUAUACCCAACCGAUCUCGAUAACGAUCGAUCUACUCCAUUGCCUGCACGUUCCGCCGCCGCCGCUACGCCAACGACUUAUCUCGCCGAACCGAUCACUCCUGUUUCGGACCAGAUCGUCUUGCUGCUCCUUGCUGUCAUGUCCCACACGAUUGCUGAGACAAGAUUCCGCCGACUAGGCCAUCGACCAGCUUCCGCAACCACGAUCUCUUCAAAACCUCUCCUUUAGAUCAACAAUCCACAACCUCCAGAUAACCUAGCUCUGAUACCACUUGUUAGAAUAAAUUUGAGGUAUACUGUCGAUCAUCCGAGGACCAAACAAUCACACGAGCACGACACCGAGAUUUGUUAACGAGGUUCACCGACAUGGCUACAUCUCCGGGGCCUGACUACGGGCGCUCCUCCUCGUGACACCAUCACAAUACCACACAACGGCCACCCGGGCACCGGCACACGUCGCCGGCUCCCCCUUGCGCGCAUGUGCUAUUAUGUUGGCAUAGGUUACAUCGUGUGUCUAUCCCCGCUAUAUAUGAUAGGCCUAGGAUACAAGUGUCCUACUAGGACACGACUCCAUAUCCUAUCUAAACACAAUACAACUACAAGUCCAACUGUAACCUACUUUGUACACAUUAUUCGACACAACUCUAACAACCCCGCAAAAAACGGUAAAUAAAAAUUGAAUUAAUCGCUGUUUAGUAUAGAUUUGUGAGGUGGCUAACUACACUCACAAAUAUAAUUUCUUCAUCUUCUCCACUUUAUACCAGUUAGCCCAAAUAAACUAGAAGAUGAUAGUCUAGACACAUGAUCAUAAGAUAGACAAUUUAAGCUCCCAUGGUAAACAAAAGAAAAGGAUUAACACUAAACCUAGUAUAUUUGCAAAAAAACAUAAAAGUACGGAAAUGGCUCUCCUUUCCAACCGGUGGCACAUACAGAAAGUGACUUGGGGCCCUUUUUUUCACUCUAUUCUCUGGAGAAUCAGAGUCUAGAGAAUCAGAAGCUCAAUAGAACUUGAUCUGAUUCUAUAGAAUCCGGAGAAUCAAUCCACAAUCAGCAGCGCAACACAGAAGAAAAUAUUUGAAUUUUAGGAGCAUAACUCUGUUUCAGCUUGAAACUAUAGAAGAAAUGCCCUCCCGUAGCCGAGCCGUCCGCCCCCUCGAGAAAAUGAUUGGCCUGGGCUCUCUCGUGUUUCCUCACUCUAUUCCCCUGCCACCUGAUCCUCUCCUCCUCCCUCAGAAUAUCCCCUCAUGCCACCCCUUGCAGCAGCCAAUGAGCAUGACCUCGAUGCACCCAUGCCGCUAGCCCCUGCUUUCCUCCGUCGGCCCCGAUGCGCCCGACCUCUACUGGCUCGACGCACCUAUCCCGACGGCCUCCUCCUAUCCCUGCAGCAGUCGGCGAGCAAGGCCCCGAUACGCCAUCUUGCUGACCCUUGCCGUACUCCGCUCGGGAUCCUCCGACCCGGUCACUCUAGCAACAGCCAACAAAUGAAGGACGUUGUCGUGAUCCUCCUCGCCACCUCCCGCCAUCUCUUCCUGUCCGUGUCCAAUGCUCUUCUUCGACAAUUGCCUUGUUCCCCUGUUGUUAGUUACUAGUUACAUGGAUCAAUGGAUGUUUGAUAUAUGGACGGAUGUUGAUGUUUGGUAGAUGAUUUGCUUGAUGGAUGGGUGAAUGGUGAUACUUUCUUCCUAGAUGGAUGGAUGAAUGGUGCAAGCAUGUAAAAAAAUUGCUACCGUGAAUGCUCAAUGCUAUGGUGAAUGGUAGUAAUUUUUUGGGGGUGAAUGGUAGUAAUUGGUUCCCUUCUGCUGCUGCUUGUGCUAAUUUGCUACUUUGAAGGGUAGUGAUUGGUUCCAUUUCGCUACUGCUAUGUGCUAAUUUGCUUCAAUAGAUGCAUGUAUGUACGUGCUAAUUGAUAGGCUCUAUAGAUACGAAAAAUUGUUUUCGUGCCCAUAUUCGACAAGAAACUGUUCGAAACAACUUAGUGUUUGCAAACCAACACACAAUUAAAGUUCAGGGACAUUACAAACAUUUAAGCACACAACUCAUCCCACAAACUCAUGCUGCAAUCUCAGAAAAGAAAUGGACACCAGAUUCUAUGGGCAGCUAAUUCUGUGGUUGGUUUCUCAGAAACUGAUUCUGGAGAAAUGAAAGCUGAAAAGAACUGACCCUUGAGAGCGAGGCAAAAGAACUGCAAUGUCAAUCCUAGAAACGAAAUCUGACCCAAAAUAAAUUCAACAUAUCUUUUGUUGGCUUGCUAUUUUUUCAAUUUUUUUCAUUGACGAAAAAUUGUUCACUUGGUUUGACUACCAUUCAGUUUGUUGAGAUUCCUGCUCAUUCCUUUACACAACUAUUAGAGAAAAUACCUAACGAAGGAUAUGAGAGGGGAAGGAUGUCAUUGUUGAUAUAGUGACUAGAGAAGGUUAUAUGAUCUAGAUCCAUCUAUAAGCAAUUUUGCACAAUAUAUAGACAUGACAUUAUUUCCAGUCUAUGAUCAAAAGUGGGCUUUCAUACUCUGUUGUUGAUUCCAAAGAAUGCUCUCUGAGUGUUCUUCCAAAUAAGAAAAUAUGUCAUCCUCAAUUCCUUUCCAGUAGAUAUCCUCAGGUAGCGAUGGUUGUAAUAUCGUGUUACCCUGCCAUAUACUCAGGUAGUGAUGUUAAUAAGUAGCAAUAUACAUUAACAAGCACUUUGUGUUAGAUAUUUGUCCUUUGUACAAGUUAAGCUUUGAAGUUUCAUCUUAUUCUCCCAAUUUCAGAAAUUUCAGUUUUAUUUCACAUAAUUAGGCCAAAUCAUCUCUAUCAUAGGAUUUGUUCAUCUACAAGUUUAUACUGUACAUGUUAGAGCACAAAAACUUGAGUUGUAUCUUCAUAAAUUGGAAUAUGCAUGCCCCGACAGACGUAUCUGUAAUUACAUUUUAUUUCUAUGUAUGACUUCCGAUUUUUUAUUCUAACUACUUUCAUGACUAUGUAUUGGGUUACCAUGUGUUAUUUUUGGUGUUGCUUACAUCCAAUUUCCUAUUGCAAAUCGUUUUUUCAGUUGAGUACAACAAAUCUGUACUCCUAAUAGGGGAGUUAGUAGUCUGUUACGCAUGGUUUAUUUUCGUCUCCAUGGUUUAUUUUCACCUCCGCCUCCCACCACCACCCUGCACGCUGGUGUUUUCAACCUCCCACUAAAAAUCGAAUCGAUUAGUCCGACACUUCUUUUGGUUUUUUGUGCUCGCUUUGAUAGGUGUCAAUUCAAUUCAAUCAUGUAAAUAUUACGUAAUUAAGAAAUUUAGCAAUUACACCAUAUAUGUGAGAUAACCUUCCUAAAAGACAGACAGAAGGACAUCAAUUAGAGAGCAAAUUAAUUCCAUGCUUACAUUAGAUAGAACAUCAAUUACACUGCAACUCUGUGAUUGCAUUGACGCUAUAUAUGGUAUGAUAUUAAUUUUAGGCUAAACAUGUUGAGCGCUUAUGGAUCAAUCUAGGUCGUUGGAUUGAUACUAUUCGAUGACCGAGAUUAAAUGGAUAUGCCUUUUGAGUCUUUUUAUAUCGCGAGAGGAAAUUAAUUCCAUGCUUGUAUGUGCAUUUUCUUUGUUAGCCGUGGCAACGCACGGAAAUUUAGCAAGUUCUCAUAGGUUAACUCUAAAAUAUUGAUUUUAAUGAUAGUUCUUUGGAUUUGAUAUAGUCAAGUAAACCAAAUUCUAAUGGGUUCCCUUAAAAUAUAGCUUUUACCAAUAGUUUUCUAUAUUUCACUCUCUUUUCUCUCUUGUGCUUUGUAUUGCCAAAUUUACUCAAUAUAUGUUGAGUUCAAUAAAAAUUCUGCAACGGUUUGACUAUUACCAGAUGAACCAGUGAGGCGCGGUGGCAUGCCUCGCACUACCUGCUAGAUAAGCAAAGCACUCAUCUUUAUUUAGUUGCCAUGGAAGCGAUUAAAUGGAAACGAAUAAAGAAUUUUUUAGAAACCGAAACAAGAAGGUUCACUUGAGGAAGCAAAUUAAAAUUUUGGAUUCAAGACGGCCGUUUACACAGCCAUUCCAUUUCGAAAGUACGGACUCUCACGCUUGAAAUCUUUGUAGCAACUCCGCCAUAUGUACGACAGAUCUCAUGACAGGCGUAUGAUAUGCGUUGAUUUGAGGAAGGGGUUGUUUGAAAACAAAUUAAUCAUAACUAAUGCAAAAUCCUGCGCGCAGGCUGUCUCACAAACUGCACAUUUGACUGGAGCAUUGCACGCUCCUGGUGAAAGCAAUCGUAUAUUAUUUUUACCCGCAAAAAAAAGCAAUCAUAUUUUUGGCCUAGAUGUUUUUUGAAGGGAAAGCCUCAUGACACUUCAUUCAUCUCGUGACAAGGUUACAUCAUAGAGUCGCCCUAUGCCAUCAGCGUUAACUACCCCAAAUCUUUAUCAAUUAAUACCAAUAAGAGGAAGGUUACUAUUAAUUAGUAUUAUCAGCUCUAUCUUCUCUAAAAUACAAGUGAUAUAUGCGGUAAGCCAUAAACACAAACCAAAAUGGUAGACAUCAAAAUAUUUCCUAAAUUGCAUAUCCAGGAUAUAUUUCCAUACUACUGAUAACACUUGUGCUUCUCUAUAAAUCCACACUCUGAACUUGUAGACCGUGCAUUGCUUUCUCUCAUACAACCUAGCUAGACCAGAUAUUAAGCCCAAAGCUAGUGUUCUGCACUUCCACUUCUUGGCCGAUCAUGGCUUUCAAGAUCACCGUCCUGGUAUUUGCAUUGGCGCUGCUCCUUACGUCUUUCGGUAUGAUUCUAAAAGAUUUAAUUUGUAGUUUCUGUAAGUACAAUACCUCUUAUCUUAUAAGAAAACCUCCUUUUUCCCCUACGCAUAUAGAUGUUGGUGCAAGCAGGGAUUUGCAUUGGGGCGGCCCCCCAGCCAGAGUUCCUGCCUGCGCCGCCCAGGCCUGUGCCGAGACAUGCGUCGAUAAUGGCUAUUGUGGCGGGAUUUGUGACGAAUCUGUCUGCAAGUGCGUCCUCUGCAGAUCACUCGACGCUGUCGCUGAAAACAUACAGUUCUAAUCUAUCUAAGGGGUGGAUCAAUAAACAAAUAAUCGAUCCUCUCUAUCUCUUUUUGUCCGGGACAAUAUUGUUCUUUGUCUCUUUUUAGCAGAUUAUUAUUCGAGAAGAUCUGAUGUUUUUGUUGUCGUGAGAUUACAUUGUCUCGGUGGAUUAAUCAUGAUUGUUGAUUGUGUGAAUCGGAGUUUGUGUGUAUCAGACUUGUACGAGUAUGAAGCUGGUGGUACAUAU
rnacentral:lncRNA from 1 species